rnacentral:lncRNA from 1 species
AGAUAUCUUUAAGAUUCCACAAAGUUGAGGGUAUUGUAGAACUCAAUUUGUUGGAAUCUAAGUAAAGAUAUCCCAAAGAAGUAAUAUUACCCAAACAAGAGGGUAUGGAUCCAUGCAGCUUAUUCAACCCUAAAUACAUCUUGUAUAGUCUCUCCAAAUCACAAAGGCUUUAUGAGAUGGGCCCUCCUAAUUUAUUAGAGGAAAGAUAUAGACCUUGGAGAUUUCUCAUUCCUCCUAUUGAUGCUGGAAUCAAUCCACUUAAUUUAUUAUAGUCAAGUUGUAAAAGCAAUAGGUUGGUUAAGUUACCUAUUUCCAUAGGAAUAAUGCCUUGAAGCUCACACUCAUCGGCAUAAAAGUAUUGAAGGGAUUUUGAAAGGUUCCCAAUAUAAGUAGGAAGAACGCCACUCAAUGGAUUUCCUGAAACACCUAUUUUUCUCAAAUUCCUACAAUUCGUCAAAGAAGAAAGAAAGCUCCACUCAUGAUCAGUAGCAGAUCCUGUGAUCAAAUUAUUGUCAAAGAUUUUGAGCACUUCAAGGUGUUUUAAGCUGCCAAGCAUUUUAGGGAUUGGGCCAGAGAAUAAGUUUCGUGACAACUCUAGUUUCUUAAGCAUGGAAGCAUUGGAGAUAGAGUUGGGAAUGUUUCCGCUAAGUUUAUUUCUCCACAAUAAAAGAAUCUCAAGCUUUGGAGCAUUGGUGAUUGGUGGUAAAUCACCUGUGAAAUAGCAUCUUUUAGUAUACACAUUCAUUGAAUACCAAAUUCACAAAAUAUAUAAUACAUUAAAAUAAAAACUGUAAAACUUUAAAUCAAUUAAGAAUAAAAUUUUGGCAUGGAAAAAUGUGAUGAAAUCAAUUAGAAAGUUGAGACAUAAUAAGAAGUUUUGAGUAGUAAUUACUCAUGAUUUCUAUAGACAAAACAUAUAAUACACUGAUAAUUUUUUAAAAAAUAUUGUAAAACCUGAAAUAAAAUAAAAAAUAAAAGUUUGGCAUGAGAAUGUGGCAUCUAAUCAUUCUUAAAAAUAAGACUAACAUUGAAUAAUAAUUAGUUAUGAUUUGAGAAACAAAAAUGUUAAAGAUGUAAACUGGUAUGAUUUUUAUCUAUUGGGUUAAUUAUUUAUUUUUAUUAAAUUAUAUAUAGUGUAAAAUUUAAAGAUUAUUAUUUGCUCAAAAUUUUUGUAUUUUUCGUAUAUUUGAAAUUUAAUCUUUAUAUUUUUUAUUUUCUGUGAUUUAGUCUCUCUACUUUUUGAAUUGAAAAUUUUAAGUUUAUUUAUUAACACUGUUAAAAAGUUUUUGUGUUAGUAUGGCAUUUUGAAAAAUAAAAUAAAAUUGAUAUCUAUGUUUUUAAUUAUUCCAAAUAUUGUUUUACUAUUUCAAGAUAAACUUUUUGUGUCUAUACCAAUAUCUUAAGAACUAUUGUUGCAUGUUUAAUUAUUCUAAAGAUUUGUUGAUUGAGUCUUGGUUGAAGUGCAUUAUUCUCCUAUUUAUGAAUUGGGGAGUUGAUAAAGUACUUUAUUUUAAUAUAUUUUAAAAUAUUAAAAAUUUAUUAAAAUAUUUUUUAUAAAACUUGAUUGUACCACAAUAUACAAUUUUAAUAUCAAAUUUUUAAUUGUUUUUUAAAAAUAUUAGCGAAUAUAUACUUUAUUUCAAGUUACACAAUUUUUACUAGCUUUUAACUUUUUUUAAAAUUUUUAUCGUCUUUUAUAAUUUCUAAUAAUUUUUUAUAAUUUUUUACAAUAUUUACAAUUUCUAACAAUUUUUAAUAAUUUUAUUAUUUAUUUCAAAUUUAAAAAUUAACAAAUUUUUAUUUUUUUAAAACAAUUAUAUAUUUAUAAUGUAGUUAUUUUUUUAUAAUUUUUUUUUGAAAUUUAAAGAUUUUUUUGGUUUUUUUUUUCUAGAUGAUGAUGCCAUCAUGAUGCCAUCAUAUGCCACAUGCCUUCUAAUUUGUUGUCAUAUAGACAUAUUUCUUCGAGCGUAGUUGAAUUAAAAAUACUUGAUGGAAUCUGACCUGCACACAUAGUCGAAAAUUGAAGUGAAAAGCAUACCUUCUAAGCUGUUAAACUAAAAAUACUUUAAGCAUAUUUUAUUUUCCAUCAAAUUAACUAUUUUGCCUUGAAUGAAAUAAAAUGUUCUUAUUUUUGUUAUCUAUUACAAAUCAAACUCUUUUAUGAAAAAACUAUUUUAAAUUAAAGAAACAAAGAAAAUUCAAUAUCUUCUAAGUUAUUCCACUCCAAAUAUAAUCUUCAGUGAAGAAAUCUUGAAGAUGGAAGAUGGAACCUUACCAGAUAAUUGAUUGAAUCCCAAGCUCAAGGACUCUAGAUUAGACAUGUUAACAAGUGUUUCAGGGAUUGUGCCUAUAAAGUUAUUAUUUUUCAUUUUCAGCCUUCGAACUCCCUGUAAGUUCCCAAGCCAUGAUGGAAUUUCCCCAUUAAGACUGUUGUAUUUUAAUCGAAGGAUCCUCAAACGAUGCAAUUGGCCCAAUUCUUUAGGGAGAUGGCCAUAGAAAUGGUUUCUACUCAAGUCGAGAGAGAGUAGAAAUGAAAGAUUUCCAAGGUGUGGAGGGAUACUACCCCUAAGAUUCAUGCUUUUAAGUUUCAAAGCUAUAACUCUUUUAUGGAGGAUGCCACAAGAAACACCAAUCCAAUUGCAAACAGAGGUUGAGGCCGUCCAAUUGUUUGCCAAGACAUUUUGAGGACCGGCAAUGCGAUCCUUAAACUCGAGAAGUGCAAACUGAUCGGAGUUGAGAUUCCUGACUGUCAUACCCCAGCAAAGUCCGGAACAUGGUACGAAUAAAGCUAAAAGAAGAUGAAAGCAAGUGUUGUAGUUCAUGAUAGCAAGACGGAAUAAGCCAAGAAAAUAAAAAAAAGUAGGACAAGGGAAGUUGAGUUGAUAAAAUAGUUUGGAUGAUGAAGAAAAGCCCAGAGAGCAUGCUUUAAUAUGUUUUGAAGAAAUUUCAAAAUAAAUUUCAAAAUAAAUUUCAAAAUAAAAAUUUAAAAAGGAAAGCAAAGUUUUGAAGAAAUUUCAAAAUAAAUUUCAAGUCUUCUUCUUUAAAAAAUACGUACAAAGAGCGAAUUUUCAAAAUUUCUCCUAAAUUUUCUUCACAUUACUCCACAUAAUCCAUUAAAAAAACUUAAAAAAUAUAUUUUAUUAAUUACUAUACAUUCUUUUACUUUCAGAAUAAUAAAUUGUUUAAAAUUUGCUAUUAGUCCCUGUAAUUUAAAAGUUAAAAAAAAAAUUCAAUCCUCCUACUUUUCUAAUUUAAAAAUUCUAGUUCAAUCAAUUUUAAUUUUAAAAUCUUUGUAUAAAAGGUGUUUUUUUUUUGUGACCGAUCACACUUAACCAAUAUUUAAAAAUUAUUAAAAAAUAUUUUUUUUUGAAAUUUAAAGUGAUCUAAAAACAUAUUUUUAAGUACUUUGGACAGUCUAUUGUUGAUUUCCUUAUUAUAUUAAGUGUUUGCAAUCACUCCUAAUAUAUUGUGCUUGAGUUGUGACAAAGUCGAUCAUCAAAUUGCCAUAAUGAUCUAUUGAUGCUGAAAUUAAAGUUUUUGUUAUAUUGAUAGAGCUUGUCCUUCAACGCGUACAACGUGUUUGUUAUUUUUCUCCCUUCAAAUUGUAUGAUCUUAUUCAUUAAAUGAAUUAAUGAAUUUCCCUUUUAAAAAGAUAUAUUUUUAAAAAUUAAAUACUUUAUAAAAUAUUUAAAAAUUUGUAAGCCUUAAAACAAUCAACAAAAUAUUUUUGAAAUUUUAUAAAUAUAUUUUAAAAUUAUAGUAACGCUACAAAAUAUAUAUAUUUACUAAUUAUAUGCACCUUUUUUAUUUUUUUUCCUAACAUAUCAUUAUUUUCAACACUAUCGUAAUCCUGUUUUGAUAAUUCCCUUUCCAUACAUCCUUUUUCUACAUAGAAUUUCAAAAGAAAAUGUGAAUUAAUGUAAACGUGAGAAGACUUAAUUACAUUUAUUAGUUUAUCAAUCAAAACUUAAUUAGAAUCCAUCAAUAUUUCACACAUCAAAAACCCAAACAUAAAAUUCACUUUUAAAUUAUUUGAAGAUACAUUUGUAUUAUAGGAAAUGGAUUAAAUUAGUCUUUUAUUAUUAAAUGUAUUAUUUUAAUCUUUGUAUUAGGUAUGAAUUGUAUCUCCUAGAUUGAAGCCAAAGCUAUUCUUGAAAGACUGAAAUUAAGAUUCAGAUGUGUUGAGAUGGAAAGUGGCAACACAAUGUUGAUUGAAACUAUUUAUAACGGGUUGGCUACAAUAAGUAGUGCUGCCGAAGUAAGACAGAUUCACGAUUGGUGUUCCAAAAAUUGGGAAGUCAAAUUUCGACAUAUUCAACGAAAUGCCAAUAAAGUUGUUGAUUGCAUAGCUAAGGCAAAUGGAGGCGUAAUUGAGCAGCUGGUUAUCUUGGAAGAUCCUCUGCAUUAUGUGAGAUGCUAGCUUGAAGAAGAUAUUAGACAGUCACUAGUGACUGAUGAUAAUUUUCAUUUGGACUGAUGAGCGCUUAAUUUUCUAAGCUUAUGUUCAACAAAAAAAAAUUUAAAUACGUCUAAAUUGUAAUAGAGUUAACAUUUAGUGUUUAAAAAAUAUCUUAAAAAUUAUUUUUUUCCAAUUGCAGUUCAAUUCCACAAAUAUCGACGAUGAACCCGGACAUAAAAAUUACAGAAAAAAAAACACAUCUAUUAUCAAACCAGCAAUCCAUGUCUAAACUUAAAUUAACAAAAUUUGCCACACAACGCCCGGUACACUAUUAUAUAUCUAUACUAGAUUUAUUCUAGAUGCACAUGUUUUAUUAUAUUUAAAAAUUAAAAUGUAUGGUUGACUAAGUUUUAGUUGAGUUAGUAUUGAUAUUAUUGUCAGUGUAGGAAAAUGUGAGUUUAAUCACGCUCAAAUGUGUUUUAUCCUCCAAUUCAAGGGUUAGGAAAAGGUUAUUGAUAAUUAAAUUAUACCAACUUUUAUAAUAUUAAAAAAAAGGAUUUAUAAAUAAUAUAAGGAAAAGAAAAAAAGAGAAACAUAUUCAUAUUGAUGGGCUCUUUCAAUAUUAGACUUUUUUUUCUAUCACAAGUAAAAAUAUCAAAGGUGAUAAUAAUUAAAUUAUAAAAUUUAAAUUGAGAAAAUAGGGGAUAAAAUUUAUAAGUUUUAAAGUAUAAAGAAUGAAUUUAUAACUAACAACAUAUUUUAACCACAUAAUAAAAGUAGUUAUGGAGAGGAUCAUAUAAAAUGCAAAAAUGAAAUAAUAGAAAAGAAAUAAGUGUUGGGUAUAGUGGCAAUGUAUAUUAUACUUCUAAGGGGAGAUCAAGAUUUUAGACAAGGGAAGAAUUUUAAACCUGCUUUUUUCUCUAGAACUCAACGCAAACCUCAAAUUUAUCUUUUUAAAAGAAUUUAAAAAUAUCUAUAUAAAAGGUGAUUUUUUACCGAUCACACUUAACAAAAUUAAAAAAAAAUUGAAAUUUAAAGUGAUCUAAAAACAUAUUUUAAAGUGCUUUUGACCAUCUUGUGCUGAUUUCUUUAGUAAUUUGAUUUGUUCAAUAUAGAUUUUGGUGACUUAAAACAAAAUUAAUAAAAAAAUAUUUUAUCAGAUAUCUUUUUAAUGUUUAAUAAUAAGUUAAUUUAUAAAAUAUACUUUCAUUGGACACAGGGCCUCCAAGGCGGUGAACCACUAAUCAAAUUAAUUUUGAGAUACUUAAAUUUGUUUUCAUCAAUUAAGAAAUUAAAAAAAUUUGUUGAGACCUCAUGAUUAUGUUUUAUAAUUUCAGGCUUAUCAACUAUUUUGAAAAACAACAAAACGUCUUACACCAAAAACUAAAAAAAUAAAAACGUCGACAUUAAAUUUGUUGCCAUGCAAUCAAUUUUAAGAUGGUUUUUGGAGUUAUAUAUCACCUUAGCAUUGACUUACUUUUCUACACUUAGUCUUCUCCAACAAGUUAAAUAUUUCAAUUUUAACAACAUUGACAGGUCUUUGGGGUAGGGUCGAGCAAAACUCAAUAUAGGCUGAGUUGGCUCGGCCAAGUCGAGUCGACUUGUUCAAAUUAUUUAAAUUCGUAAUUUUUAAGGUGCAGUUAGAAUUUUUUGUUUUGAGAUGCUAAGAUUAAAAUAUUUCAGUUGCUAAAACAAAAUAUUUGUAUUUAAAAAGGCAUAAAUUAAAUAAUUAAGUUUUUCGAGUUUCCAUUUAAUCAAAGGUUAAAAGGACUAAAUUGAAGCUUUUUAUUUUUAAGAAAGGCUGAAUGACAAAUUGCCCAAAGCCAUGCCCCUAGCUAUACAACUAACUUCUCUAUGAUUAGUCCUUCGUUUGCUUUGGGUGAAAUCUUCCAACUAGCCUCAUCCUUGGUUUUACUUUCCAACAAUUAGUGUAUCACGAGUUUUGUUUUCUUUAAAAAAUAUUUGUGGAUAUUAGGAGAUAAUGAAAAUUAUUUUACUAUGAAAUUUUAAUAAAACUGGAAAAUAAGUAAUUUAUUUUAAGAGGUCGCAAUUAAACGUUAGAUUUCCAAUUUUUAAAUUUUAAUUUUUUUUUGACAAUUGCAUAAUAUUUUGAGUGUUGUAGGAAUGCCAUAAUAUAACCUUCCCUAAACAUAAUCGACUCUUGAGCAUGAUGGAUCCUAGAACUUCUCCUCUAUUCUCGUACCGCAAAUUGCUUCAAGUGUGGGUUCGAACAAUCACAAAUUAAACACAAAACCAGAAAUGAUUUAUUACUUUCAAUAGCAAGGUAAUUCUCUCUCAAUAGAAACCAAUAGAAGUGUAAUUCUUAGAAAAUAAAAUUUAUUUUUUGAAAAUAUAUUCUCACUACUUUCUAGCAGAAUAACAAUAUGUGAAACUUAUGUCUUGUGUUAAUAGCUCUACCAGUACUCUCUAUUUAUAGGGAGAGAUACGAGAAUCCUGGUUGAAUUAGUAAAACACGAAUAAUAUUUAUUUCAUAGAAAACAAUAUUCCACCCUAAGUAGAUCAAGUUUGUAUGACGCAUGGAUCAAAGCUCAAUCUAGGAGGAAAAAAAUAAAGGAAUUUUCUUUGUAAAGAAAAUUUGAGAUUGUACUAUUUUCAAAGUUAUAAAUAAAAUUAUACGCCAAAUUUUUAAGUCAAUUUCAACUCCAAUUUUGUAUGCACAAAUUUCUAGUACACUUGGUGGGACAUUCUUUGACUUUUAUCUAUUCUCUCAAAAAGUUAAAGUUCAAAGUUACAUUAAACUCAAAGAAGAUAAUCAUUAGUAAACCACCUCACAAGCCUGCUCAAACUAAUCCUACAACUCAUUCCACUUCAUCAUCAAACACCAAUGUUCUUGCUUAUCCUUAUGGAAUUAAACAGUCUCAUUUUCUGCAUUUUGGGUACACACCUGGUUUUAUUUGAUGCUAAAACAGUCCCCGAGCACUCCAAAGCCUAUAAUUGAACAAAUAAUACUAAUUUAAUCUUACAUAACAUGAUCCCAAAUUGAACUUGUAUCGAGGUUUUAACCCAUAAGUGACUAAACCUUACCUUCAACCGAGUGAACAGUAAUUCCCACACAAACUAAGACUCCGAUUGAAGAUUACGAGCCAUUGAAUCCUCCCCUAAUUGGCAUAAACAAAACACUUCAAAAGAAAGUCAACAAAUGGAGACAAAUCACUUAUCUAAAACUUACCGAACGAUCACAGACAAACGUGAAGCGACACGAGGCAGAGUGGGAAAAGAAAAAUCAAGAGGAUGAAGGGUGAAAGAGAGCAGAAAUUCGGUAGCAAUGAAGAGAAAAACGGCAAGAAAGUGGAGGGAUUUUGGGGAAAGUAAAAAAAAAGAUGAAUAGAAUAUUUGAUAACUACCCCAAUCCCUUAUUUCUCUCUAUCAAACUCCCCACUAAAUCCACUACUCAAAUUUUUAGUCCAUCUCAAACUCUCCUGGACGCACGAGCAAAAAAUAAUGCCCAUGCCAAAAUUUAAACAAAAGACCUCCUUCACACCAACACUCCACUUAUCCACCAGACCAAUAGGCUCAUUCUUUUAAUUAUUUUCCAACUUUUACUUAAAAGCCUACUGACCAAAGAUAGGGCUUAUUCAUAAAAAUACCAAAUUUUGCCCAAGACCUGGCUUGAACUUGGGACCUCCCAAACACACCCAGAACACAUAACCACUAAAGCAGACAUAAAUUUUGUGUCACACAUUCACAAUACCCAAAAUUAAAAUUUUAGGGCGUUACAAAAACACAUUAAAUAAUAUCGCAUAAAAUAAUCACAGUUAGAUAACAGUUCAGAAUGUCGAUUUUACAAUUUAACCACCAAUAGUAUCACAGUAUUCACAGUUGUAAUUUCAGAAUAUCAAAUUUCCACAUGAUUCACAAUAUUCACACAUAUAUAAAUAUAUCAUAAUAGAAUUCCAGAUUUGUAUGCACAUGAUUUAGAAGAUGCCAUACAAUUUUGGUUUUUAACAGAAUAAAUCCUACCCCACGUUACAUACCAUAAUGGGAGUUCCCCUAAACUCCCUUCUCCAACACACUAGGUUAUGGAUAAACCACUAUUGGUUCACAAAUAAUAACUGUCAUUUGGCUGUGGACACACAGCAAGUCCCCACAAUUGGAUUCUAGAUUUGGUUGUGGAUUCACAGCAAAAAAAUCCUACAAAUGAAGCCUGCUUUUGCCUGUAGAUUAUACAACAUAUACCCGCAGUUGGAAUCUGUCUUUGGCUGUGGAUGCAGUGUAACACCGCAAACUCGACCUGGACAUUAUGGCUGAAUCUUGAUGAUUUACUUUAACUCGCUAGAAAACCCACGAAUUUACUUUAAAAUCAUGUGGUUAAACUAGUGUUCACUUUGAUAAAUUGUUUUCCAGUUUUAGAGAAAUUUCUUGUUAAAACUGUUACUUUAUUACAAUAAAACAUUAAAGUAAUUGUAUCAUUUUGUAGUGGAAUCUACUAAGCUAUAAGGUUUUGAAAAUCGUGAUUUAGUUUGCAACAAAUCAUUUUGCAAAUAGAAAUUUAAUACUACUUAAUUUGGAAAAUCACGCUAAAACGAAAGCAAAGUCCAAAAUAAUUUACGGUUUGAAAUUCUAAAAAGCCCAAAUUAGACAUAAAGUCUAUUUAAACCAAUUUAUUGAAAGUGUAACACCCUAAACCCGGCCUAUAUGUUAUGGCCAAAUCUAGAUGUGUUACGAAAAAAAGUUUAUAAAAUGACUUCCUUGUUAUUGGCAAACCAUCGUAACCAUUAUUACUUAGUAUAUCUGAUUUGUUUGGAAAACUUAUUGAUAUACUUAUUUGAUUUAAAAUCGUUGCUCGCUUAUGCCUUUUUAUUAAACCAAAUAUUUUGCAGCGGAGUUUCUUUACAACAUCAUAUUUUGGAAAAUCAAAUUGUUUCUUGAAAAUCGUUAUUUUAGAAAAGUUUUCAUUUUCAGAAAAAUUAUUUUAUCAGUUGUUAUGCUGAGAAAACAAAAUAAAAUCCAAAACCAAAAAUAAUCGCAAAAAGUCUAGAGAGUCCCAAAAUGACAAUACUCUUAAAACUAGACAAGCUUAAACUAAUUUUAAAAGAAUGAAAUUUUACAGAAAUGUGGACACCACUGAGCUUCCGUCGCACCGACCCACCUAAAUCUGAGGGUUACUUGAACAGAACAAACAAACAGAGAGUGAGUUUUGAAACUUAGUGUCUAACGCAUAUAUAAACAAAAAUUCAGAAUCAAUCUCAUGCAGAACAGAUACAAGUGUAAACCUUUUAUAAAAUUAGAAUUGUACAGAUACAAAUAUGCAACAUCCUACCCUCAUCCUCUACACACCAACUCCGACCAUCCUAUCACACCACGUGGGGUAUAAAAUACCCAUCCAGCCCUACACACCGUAUAGUGUUUAUAUGACACUUUUUGGAAUAAUCGCAGCAGAGUUGCCAGUAUAUAUGCGAGAUAUCACCUCACAUAGAACACUUCCUCCUCAUAAUACAAAUCCCGCCUCAUAGCUAGAUACAGACAAAAUAUGAUGUAAAAUAAAUUAACAGAUACUAGAGUUAACAUAUCACGCGUGAGCGUAUAAUAGAUAUUACACAUGCUUAUGCAUAACAAAAUAGAUCAUACAUAUUGUAUUCCAUAAUACUCAUAUAAAUGUUAUUUACGUCAAUCUCAAUCUAACAGAGUAGCAGAUUUCAUGCUUUAACGCUUAUACCACACAUAUAGACCCUAUAGAAGGCCCACAGUCGAUCGAGACAACAUGUAUGUCGCUAGGGAAAAAAUUUGUAAUUUGGGCCCAUAUACAUGUAUGAGCCCACACACCCAAAAUGGCCUUGCCCAUGUGGCUCACCAACCUAGCACUCAGCCCAUACGGUCCAAAAUGGCCUAGGUCGUGUGUCACACACAGCCGCAUGUUGCACACAGCCUACCACAUAGCCAGUCACAAAACUGUUUGGAGUUGAAAAGCCCAAUUUUUGGCUUUCGUCAAUCAUCAUUUUCUUACGUUUUCAUUACACACCUGGUUUGAUUCUGACGCAAAAGCAACCCUAUGUCCACCGAAACCUAAAAAUAGCAUUCCAACGCCCAAUUUCAGUGAACAUUUACAAAACUCAAACAAAAACUAUCCAAAAACAUAGCCUCACAAUAGCAUCCAACGCACUCGCACACUUAUCGUCAACAAAUAGGAAACACCCAACACUCAAUUCGUUGGCGGAGCACCAAUUAUGAUAAUGCAAAAAUUUUAUGGAUUCUCAACACUAUCGAUCCGAAUGUAAGAUUGAUGCUUUCCAAUUAUGAUAAUGCGAAAAUUUUGUGGGAUGGUUUACAUGAAUUUUUUUUGUUGUCAACGAUCAACGUAUUCAAUAAUUAAAAUAAAAUAUUAGUCGUUUUUAGAAAACCAAGACUAUGAGUGUUGUAGUUUAUUUCAGUAAAUUAAAGGUUUUGUGGGAUGAACUAGAUAAUCAUGAACCAUUGAUUUGUUGCAAGUGUGGACAAUGUUUAUGUAACUUAGGGAAGGCGCAUGAACAAUGUCGUGAGCAUGAUUGACUUCAUCAAUUACUUCUUGCUCUCUAUUGUAAUUGUUAUGCUCAAACUAGGUUUACACUGUUUUACCAAGAUCCUUUGCCUUCCUUAAAUCAGGCAUUCCAACAAAUUACUUAGGAGGAACAUGUACGUGGAAUUACACUGAUUAAGGAAGAGAAGUCUGAUAUUUUAGGCUUUGCUAUGCGUACAGAGGGUCAUAACAAAGGCCGAGCUAAUUGUAUUGAUAAGUCAACCUUGUUGUGCACUCAUUGCCAUCGCAAAAGGCAUGAGAUGGCUACCCAUUUUGAAUUACAUAGCCACUUGGAUUGGCGGCUUAAGAAGUAUGGGAAGCCAGAGAAGAAAAGUGAUGAUCGUGGUGGUAAGACAAGUGCCACAUCUUCCACGUAAGUGUUUUAUUUCAAAGGAUCACAAUUAAACAUUAGAUUUCUCAUUUUUAAUUUUUUUAUUUUUUUAACAGCUACGUAAUUAACGAGUACCAAUUUUGGGUGUUGUAGGGGUUCUAUAACUUUCCCUAUAUGUAAUCGACUCUUGCACCCACUUUUUUUUCUCUAGAAUUCAAUGCAAACCUUAGAUUUAUCUUUUUAAAAGAAUUUUAAAAUCUCUUUAUAAAAGACGAUUUUUUUAGGUGACCAAUCACACUUAAGAAAAACAAAUCGGUGGCAACUCCUUUCUAAUAAAUGUAAAAAACUUUUUAAACAAAAUAAGGUUGAAAUAAUCUAGUUGUCGUUAUACUUUGAUAAAAUUUUAGAUUUAGUCCUUAUACUUAAAAGGUUAAAAAUUAAGUCUUGUUUUUAUUUAAAAAUCUUAGUCCUAUCGUUAAUAUUGUUUUUUUUUGUCAAAAUUUGUCAAGUUGACAUAUUAAUUAGGUUUCUCUUAUAUAUCGUGGUAUAUGACUAACACAAAAUAAACAAGUUGACAAAAUCUACAAAAAAUAUCAAAGAUGAUAAUAGUUUAAUUAAAAUUUUUAAAUUAAAAAAGUAAGGGAUUAAAUUUAUAACUUUUAAAGUACAAUGAAUGAAAUUAUUGAAAUACAAGAACUAACAACAUAUUUUAAAAUAUUACUAGUAAAUUAUAUAUCUACAACAAGAAUUGUAACCUCUUAUAUUAUAUUCUUGUAUCUAUUUUUGCAUCUUUCAUUAUAAUAUGAUUUAUUAAUUUUAAUAUUUUUAUAGAAUAAUAUGCUUUAAAUAGUUUUUUGUAUAAUUUAUAAAAAUUAUAAUAAACUUACAAAAUAAUUUAAUGAUAUUUAAUUAUUAACCAAAAAAAAUGAUAUCAUAUAUAUUAUGUAUAUAUUAAGAUUCCGAAUCAUUAAUUAUAUAUCUACGCAUUAUAAUAAAUUCAUCUUUCAAAAUUUUCCUUAUAAUUAAAGCAUAAAUUAUAUUUAUAAUAUUAUAAAUAUAUUUUAUCAUAAAUAUUCUUUCAAAUAUUUUUUAAUGUUUAAUAAUAAGUUAAUUUAUAAAAUAUUUUUUCAAUAAAUUAAUGUGAUGAGAUCGUUAGGUGCUUGGAUUUGGUGAAGGGGGAUGAAGAGAAAAGGGAUGGAAGUGAAUAAAAAUGUUGAGAAAUCGAAAGGGUUAGCGAGGGAAGCCGCCAUGAAAGGUGGUUCAAUGGAUAUGAACCAUCAAGCUUUUGUGGAUGAUGUUACUCAAGGUUGUUGCAAGUAAAUUAAAAAAUAUUUUUUUAAAUUAUUUUUUUGUUAAAAAACAUUUUUUAUUUUUUAUGUGGCAUGCCACAUUAUCAUAGUAUCAUGUGACAACUUCUGGUGAUUUCUGUCUGUAACAUUAGUCAAAUCAACAGUUAAAUCGUUCAACUCACAGUUUUUGUUAAAUGAAGAGGUCAAUUGGUUUUUUUGGAAUCAUUGAGUACUCAAUUGGUGCACUUUUAUCAUAAAGGCUAAAUUAAUUUUUUUAAUUUGUUAUUGUUGAGGGCUAUAACAAUAAAAAAAUUAAUGUAAAAUGAAAAAAAUGUUAGAGCUAAAUUUGUCAUUAUAACUAAAAUGUAAAACCAAAAUUUUUUGAAAAAUGAAAAAAAUGGAAAAUCACAAAUUCUAUCACUUAUGUUUGCUUAAAAUUAUAGUUUUGGUCACCAAUCUUUUGAAGUAAAUAUAUGGUCACCAAUAACUCACCUUAAAGUUAUACCCCUACGCAAGAAAGGAUUAAAUGACAUUGGAAUACCAUAAAACUUGUAUCUUUUUUUAUUCAUCUAAUACCAUUUUAACAUUUUCAUUUUAAAAAAUUGACAUAUCAUUUUGAAUUUGAUCUUUUUCAUGGUAUCUCAAAUUCAUUUAAUCUUUCCCUCUCUAAAAAAGCUAAUGUAACACAUUAAUGACAUCAUUUCAAACAAAGUUUUAGGUCAAAUUAUUCAUCUAGUCCUUGUAAUUGUUUUUAUAGGUGAAUUUCAUUAUUAUUCUUUUAUUUUCUUAGGCUUAAAUACACAUUUACCCCUAAUUUUAUCCCAUUCUCCUUAAUUGGUAUUUAUGGUUUAGAAAAUUUUAUAAAUAUAUUAUUUUUUAAGAAAUUAUAAGAAGAUUACAAAAAUUCCAAAAUAAUAUAAAAAAGCCAAGGAAAACCUAGAAAUUCAAAAAAAAAAAAAAAACGUCGACAUUGAAUUUGCUGUUUCACAUUCAAUUUUUGGAGAAGUAGAAUUUUCUAACUUAUUUUCCAUCAACUUGACUUCAAUUUUCAAUCACAAUCAAUUGCAUUCAAGAGCACCACAUCUGUUUGGAUGAAACAAACCUCUCAAUUUUAAGAUAAACGGGUCUUUAGGGUUAUAAAUUGAGGGCCUUUUCCACAAUUGCGGGUGAUUCGUUGAUAAUAACCUCAACAUUUCUGUAUCACAUUUCAAUUUUUAAUUUUUAGAGAGAUGAUUGGGUUACAAGACUGGUUUGAAGUGAAGAUAUUUCAAAAGAAGAUCGAAUACUCUACCAAUAGUCAUAAUUUAAAAUUCAGGUUAUGUUUCAUUUCAGCUAAGUUAAAUGUUAAGAUUGAGGUUAAACCUUUUAGAGGUUGCUCACAAAAGGAUCAAACCUUUAUAAAAUUGCCUAAAUGAAGGUUAAACCUUUUAAAAUAGACAAAUAAGGGCCUAACCUUUUAAAAGGUGUUCAAAUAAGGGUUUCUCAAACGUUGUAUAUCAGGUUAUGUGUUUUACUCUAAACACAUCGACAUUUACCUAUUUUUUCUAUAAAUUUGGUUGAAGUGCAUGAAAAAUCCUUAUUUGAGCACUUUUGUAAAGGUUAAUCUCUUAUUUGACCAUUUUGAAAGGUUUGAUCCUUAUAUAAGUAACCUCUAAAAGAUUGAGCACUAAUUUGACAAGUUUGAGAAAUAUCUAAAUUUGUUUUCAUGAAUCAAGAAAUUAAAAAAGAAAUGUUGAGAAAUAUUUUAGAGAUUCUUAGCUUUGACAAGUUCCCUCCACCAUCUCCCUGCCUCCAGUCCCACCUCUUCUCUUAUGCUCCUUCCAGCUUCUUGCCUUUUGUGUGUUGAAAAUUCAAAGGAACAAAAUAUCAACCUACAUCAUAAGGCACGAUCGCCAGAACUUUACUUUCUAGCCUGUCGAUCCGAUCCAAUCCAAUGAAAGAAGAACAAGGAGUCUUAAGAUCUGUCAACUUUAUUUCAUUUUCAUUUUCUUUGUCAUUUUCUAUGUUUCAUGUCGAAUACAAUGAAAGAAGAACAUAGAAAAAUGUGGCCUAUUUAUUUCCCAAUCAUCAUGAAAUUACUUGCCAUUGACUUAGAAUUUUCUCACCAAUUUUCAAGCAAUCUGACAUGAUUUCUCAAUCACAAUUAAUUGAAUUCAAGAUCUUUUUAGAUGACACAAACAUUUCAAUUUUAACACAAACCAAUAUUUCGGUUAUACUUCAGUGCUUGACAAGCACUUUCACAUUUGUGGGAUAAGAACUCUUAACAUUUUAGGAUCACAUUUAAUUCAAUUGCAUUUAAGACCUCAUGGUUUUAUUCUAUAAUUUCAGUCUUAUCAGCCUUUUCGGAAACAAUAAAACGUCGACAUUAAAUUUGUUGUUGAUGCAUUCAAUUUUUUGAGGGGUCUUUGGAGUUAUAUGUGACUUUAGCAUUGACUGACUUUUUUAUAAUUUAUCUUUUAUAAUAAGGUAAAUAUAUUAAUUUUAAUAACAUCGACAUGUUUUUUAGUAGGGUCGAGCAAAACCCAAUUAAAAUCGAUGAUAUUGGCUUAGUUGACUCGGUCAAGUCCAUUAGAUUGAUAAAAUCAUUUUUAAAAUCAGUUAUAAUGGAUAAAGGUAAUUAAUUAUCGAGUAAUGAAAUACAUAAUCAAAUCAAUUGAUUUUGUUAGAAACUAAAAGAAAAAGGGCUAAGCUGAAAAUUGAUUGCCCUUUAUUAAAAUUAACGAAUCUGUCUUUUACGUAUUAGAUAAUAUGAACAUCGCAUAUAUAAUAAGAAAAAUUACGUAUGAUUAUUUAUUAUCAUAAAAGGUUAGUUUAAAUUUAAAGUAAUCUAAUAUGUUUAUUGAACUUCAACUAUUAAAUAAAGUAUAAGCUAAAUAAGUAUAAAUAUUCUAGAAACCAUUUCUAACUGAUGAUAGGCUAAUUCGAUUAAUUUAUAAAAACUAGAUAGUAGGGUUAUAGUCCUCAAACUACACCUAAUUUAAUAACAUUUAUAUUUUUUUUAGCCUUAAACAUUUAUAGUUUUUGUUAAUUUGGUCCUUACUCUUUAAAAUUACAUAAAAAUUGCAAAAAAAUUAAAAAUUAAUUUUUAUCAUGAUUUUAAUAACAUUUAUAUUUUUUUUGUGGUUUGGUAACUUAUCAACUUGACUCUUACUUGUAACCAACUUUUCUAACCUUUUUCGUACCCUUAACCUAAGUCCCGUUACAAUUUCUAAAGACCUCUUGAUUGGUGUAUCAUCUCGAUUUGUUUUUAUAGUGGUGGAGAUUUGUUUUUUGUAGUGGCAUGAUUGCCAGAACUUUACUUUCUAUCCUGUCGAUCCGAUCCAAUGAAAGAAUAACAAAGAGUCUUAAGAUCUGUCAACUUUAUUUCAUUUUCAUUUUCUUUGUCAUUUUCUAUGUUUCUUGUCACAUACAAUGAAAGAAGAACAUAGAAAAAUGUUGCCUAUUUAUUUCCCAAUCAUCAUUCUAACAGGCCGAAUUAGCCCAGGCCCAAACAUUAAUAAAAUGUCCAGAUUACAAAAUAACCAACCAAAAAUUAAAAGCCCAAAAUAAUAAAAUAAAACCCAUUACAUUAACCCAAAACUCCAGCCCAAUUACAUUGAAGCCCAAAAAAAUAGUUUUUAGAAACCCCUAGGGUUUCUGGAACAAUCCGCGCCGCUCCUCCAUCCGCUUCUCCACGCACGCUGCACCUUUCCACGUGCGCCUCCAGCUGGCAGUGUACCUCCAAUGCAACAAACAAAGCAACAAGCAGCAAAAGAAAUGGAAAAACAACAAAAAAAAAAAGAAAGGAGCAACAAUGUAUAACAGAUUGAUAACAAAUAAUAGAAAAAAUAGCAGUAAAUAGGAAAAAAAAUUAAAAAAUAAUGAGGGUAAUUUCAUUUUUUUCUCUGUUUUGGCUAUAAAGAGAGCCGGUCAAAAUCUCUAAAGGGGGAUUUAGAAAUCAAUCAGAAAACAAGUAUUUUGUACCAACAAUUAGAGAAAAAAAAUACAAAAAUAGGGAUUGAAGGUUUUUUUUUCUUUCGUUUCGAUUUAUUUUAAAAUAGCAUAGAAAAUAAAAAGAAGGCUUACCUUGCGACGCCUUCAGAUCCUCUCGAAAAGGGGCUAAAAGGCCCUAUGUGGCACAGAUUUGACCACUGUUCACGGUGGAACCGCAGCGGAGGCGCAGAGGAUUGGCAUCAAUUUAGGCAGGGUUUGAAACCCUAGCAGAGAAAAAAUUAGGGUUGAUAGAUUUUUUUUAAAAAAAUGGCAAAAUGUUGUUUUAAAAAAUUUUGUUUUAAAAAAAAUUGUUGCUUUUAUAAAGGGUGUAAAACGGCGUCGUUUAGGGCAUGUUUCGAUGGCCCCAAAACGGCGCCUUAUAAGGCAACCCCCGACGACCCGACCUGCUCCAUGGGGGAUCCGCGUGGUUUUUGUUAAAUGGGUUAUGUCUAACCCUGGCCCUUCUACUUUUUAUACUUGUUUUAAUUUGAUCCUCUUUUUAUUUAUUUUUAUUUCUUUAAAUUAAGCCUGAUAAUUUUUUUCCAUUACAUUUUAAUCCUUAAUGAAACGGCGCGUUUUAGAGGAGAAGGGAAAAUUACCCUUCUAGUCCCUUCUUGUUAUUCGAGUGUUCAGAAGGGUCCUUUUUUGUUUAUUUUUUAUUUGCCCCAAAAUUUUGUUUUAAAGCUUAAUUUAGUCCUAUUUUGUUAUUUUAGCUAUUUUAUUAUUAGAUUAAUUAAUUUAAUAUUAUUAUUACUGCUAUUAUUUUACCCCUAUUAUUUAUAUAUUUAUUAUUAUAACUAUAUCAUUAAAUCAAUUAGUUUUUACAUUAUUAUUUCCAUUCUGUUUUUUAUUUACUUACUUAAAUACUUUAAAUGCAUUUAUUUUAUUUCUUAUUUUUUUAUGAAAUUUCAAAACUUUAGACUAUUUUUUUGUUACUAUAACCCUAAUUUCAUUCAUUUUAUAAUAGUUUUUUUUUAAAAUAUUUCUUAGAUUAAUUCCCUCGAUGUUAUUUUGUAUAUUUAUUUAUCUUUUUAAAUUUUCGAUAUUGUCUUAUUGUAUUAUUGUUGUUACUAUCAUUAUUCAUUAUUAUUGUUGAUUUUAUUCUUCUUUGAUUAAUGUUUAUGUUAGAGUAAUAGGUGUUAUGUGAUCAUUGUUAUUAUAUGUUAUAAUUUGUUGACACUCGUAUUGUAGUCAUUCGUCAGCUUAAUAUUUUGAGUAACAUUUUAAAUAUUACAUUAAUUUUGACCCAAAUGCAUAAUUUUUUAAUAAGUAAUAUUUCGUAUUGUGGAAUUUGAGAGAUCAUUCCCUAACUUACGGGGUCUCGAUUUUUUUGAUAAAUCUGAAUAUAAGAACUAUUUUAAAAAAAUACGUUUUAAAAUUAUCUCGGGAAUUUAAAAAGAAGCGUGUUCUAACUUACGGAAUAUGAUCUUUUUUUAAAAAUCGAGAUAAUCAAAUAUCUUUCAAAUAAAUAAACUUUUCGUGUUUAUUCUCGUUUUAGGAUUUAAGAUAUUGUGUCCUAACUCACGGGACACAAUUCUUUUUCUCGAUUAACGUGAAAUACGCCCUUUUUAAUUUUAUCUUUUUAAGUGAUUUUAACAAAAGGAUUGUAUUUUAAAUCUCUUCAAAAUUUUCAAUUUUUCGACAUUGAGACAUUAACUAAUCAAUUAGGUACCAAUUUUGGGCGUUACAAGGGUGUUAACCCUUCCUUGUACAUAACCGACUCCCGAACCUAUUUUUCUGAAUAUUAUAGGCCAAAAUUGUUUUAAUAAAUUAAACCCUUAAGAGGUGACUCGAUCACAGCUCAUAAAAAUUAUCGGUGGCGACCCUUGUUUUAAAAAAGGUGGUUUCAACAGCUUGGCGACUCCGCUGGGGACAAAAAUAAGAGUCAAGCCGCGAGUUGAUUAUUUCUUAUCUUUUUGUCAGAAAUUGUGAAUUCGAUUUAAAUUUAUGAUCUUUUCAUUGCAUUUUAUGGUCUGCAUCAUUUUUAUAUGCUUGCUUUACUACUUCGAGUCUUUUAAUCUUCGCAUAUUGUAUUGCAUAACCGUUCGGUUAUACCCUUUUAAGCGGGAGUGAGAAAUUAUUCUUUCGUGAGGUUUUCACCUUCGUAUAGGAUAGUGGAUUACUUUCAGGAUACAUCCAUACCUAUGUCUUCGUGAGAUUCUCAUCUCCGUAUAGUCAUAGGGAAAUGUAUUCCCCUGAACUGAACUCAGUCCGUAUGAGCCUAUAAUGGGUGAGGAUUGAGGAAUCUGCUGGUUCAGGUACCCUUUCUUUAGAACUAAACCGCAUGUAGUGAGCCCUAAGAGCAUACCCUAGGUAGAACCACUCCAAACCCCUAGUGGUCACCCAAAUAGGUGCUCUAUUUAUUUUUGCUUGCUUGUUUUUGCCUUGUACUAACCUAUUUGUUAUGGUUAUGAGUGCAUUGCAUUUUUAUCAUAAAAAAGAUGUGUUGAUUCACGUUCAGUUGCUAAAUAGAGAGCUUGUCAUGGAAAACGAAUUUCUUGAUAAAGUGGAAGACAAUGCGGUUGUCCGGAUAUGGUCCAAGAAAAUGUGAAGAAAGAAGGGUGAUAGUCUAAUGGAGGACUACACGACCUUGCUUUGUUGCCUGAUGAUUCAAGUUGACAAAGAUUAUUCGAGAGUCUUCAAUGUCCCGACCUUUUUAAAGAAGCUAACGAGCGUCACGAGGAUGAGCGAGUAAUGAGUUGCGGCCCGGAUCAAGCAAAAAAAAGAUAGAGGAGACACCCUUUUUGAAGAGUUCACGAGAUUUAUCUUAACAUCUAGACGAAGAAAAAGAUCAAUCUCUUUGCCUAGAGUAUGAGGGCAAAGCCGUAUAUAUCCGCUUUAUGUAAAUAAAUUUGUUUUCUAGUAAAGUUUUUCUAAUAGGAUUGAAUCAGAAUCAACGUCUCUUUUUGCAUUCAUUCCAUUCAUCUGCAUUGCAUUUCAUUGCAUCUAGAAUUUCACAAAAGGACCCUAAUUAAUCGAAAUUGUUAUAGCUACCUUGAAAAACUAACGAAAAUUUACCAAUUAAAUAUUCCUAUGGUACCCAUUGCAAAACUAAAGUAAUGGAUCAAAUAUUAGAAAGAUUAGAACAAAUGCUGAAGGAUAAACAUAACUGCUUUGGCUUAGGGUACAAGCCAGAUACAAGACAAAGAAGAAAUAGGAAAGGAGAACACGUUUGAGCGGGGAUGAGGUCAAAUGGGAGGGAUUAUUCAUCCCAGGCGAAGAAUGCCAAGAGAAGAAAAUAUUGAAAACAUGUUGGGAAACGUUCACAUCAAUGCCAUAUACGAAGAAGCAAUUGAAGGAGUGACCUUGUUAGAUAUCCGCCCUUAUGAACCUAAGAGUGUGCUAAACAAUUGGACUGCAGAAGAAAUUCUUGUAGUGUUUAGAGCUUACUCAUAGUAAUGUUCAGAACACACUUGUUGCUUUUAGCCUAGAAGUGAUAAGAAUCCCUCUGUGAAAUAGGCUCAUGUAUAAACAUCAUUAUUUUAAUGAAGUACAUCUUUGCAUUCAUUUUGAGCAAAUAUUCUUUUAUUCUUUUCAUACGAGUAAUUAUUUUGGAUUCUUUAAUUCUUUUGGGAUUUUCUUCCAAAAUCAUUCUUUUAUUACAUCCAUAAUCAUACUGUACAAAUAAUGUAAUAGCCUGAAUUUUCAGUGGUGUCGGAAUGGUGAUUCAAGAUCACUAAGUCUGACAAAUGAGUAGAAAAUAUUAUUAAUUUAGUAAGAAUAAGUAAAUGUGAAGUUAGGAAAAUUUUUGAAAUAGUGAAUAGUGUACUAGGAAUAAAUAUUAAAAUAAUUAAAAUAAAAAAUGAGGUAUCGAGACCUCGAAGAUUUUAAACCAAGCCAUAAGUACUUUUAGAAGUAUUUUUAGAGUGUCAUUGAGUUGGUAUUAAAGUUUCGUUAGAAAAUUUUAACGCUCGGAUAGUUAAUUAACCAAAAAGGACUAAAUUGAAAAUAGUGUAAAAUUUGUUAAAUUGUGAUUAAAUAGCUUAAGUGAUUAAAAAGGAGGGAUUUAAAAGGCAAUUAGGCCCAAAUUAUAUGGGCUGGACGGUUGGGUAAGAAAAAUCAGCAGAAUGUAAGGAGAAACAGGGGCAAAAUUGGAAACUUAACAAAUUAAACAUAUAAAACAAAGACAAAAGUGAAAAAUCUAGAGAUCUGCUCACAAUUUAUCAGCAAAAAUGCCAUAGGAGGUCUGAAAGAAGCUGGUUUUUCAUAUAUUUGAAUCAUGUAAGUUUAAUUCUUGAUUAUUUCUUCUAAUUUUUGUGAUUUUGAUACUUUUACAAUUAGGUCCAACUAAUUAUUUCAUUAGUUUUUGAUUUCAUGGCUGAUUUUGAAAGUUACCAUUGAUGAGUGUUGGAUUUUUAUGAUGAAUAAACAUGGAAUUAAAGCUUUAAUUUUGUUAUAUGAUGAUUUUAUUAAGUAAUUUUGAUAGAAAUUGAUUUUUGGGACCUAAUUGUGAAAAAGUUUGGAAUUAGGGUUUGGUGUUGCGGUUUUGAAUAUGAAAGUCUAUGUAGUAGUCUAAAAUAGUUGGAAAAGGUGUUAAUUGAGAAAAAUUAGAUCAAUUGAGGGGUUAAUUGAGUAGGACCAAAUUGUAAAAACUGUAAAGUUUGAGGUAAAAGUGUAAUUUCGAAAAUUUAAGGGCAUAAAUUGUGAAGUGAAUUAGAAUAGAAUUAUAUGCUGAUGAAUGAAUAAAUUUGUAUUUUAGAUCGAGAACCCGAAGCAAGCCGAGGAAAAGAAAAAGUAGUUGAUUAGUCCCUGAACUUUUACAAAUUCUGCAAAUCGACCCAGGUAAGUUCAUAUGGCUGAAAUUUAAUGAUUAAAUGUUAAUUUCAUGAAUUAUGUAAUGUAUGAUGAAAUGUAUUUAGUGUUGAAAUGAGAGUAAAAUAAAAAUGCGAAAAUCGAAUAAAUGAUCAAAUUAAGCGGAACGCCGGAUUUGAGUACUUCUGAUCAAGAGACAAAGUGAUAAGUGGUAGCUUUAGCUACACUUAUCUGAUCAAGUGAAAAAGUGAUAAGUGCUACACUUAUCUGAUCAAGAGACAAAGUGAUAAGUGGUAGCUUUAGCUCACUUAUCUGAUCAAGUGAAAAAGUGAUAAGUGCUAUACUUAUCUGAUCAAGUGACAAAGUGAUAAGUGGUAGCUUAGCUACACUUAUCUGAUCAGGGCCAAAUGAUAAGUGAUCAUACGUAAGACCAUAGUUAUACUAUGGCCAAGUGAAAGUGAAGUACUCAAUUUUCCGUAACCGUUCCUUAAUUUUGAUCAAGGAUGGUAAGUGACAAAUAGGCCCAAAGAAAUUAUGGUAAAAGAAUAAGUAGUAGUGAGUUUAUACCAAGGAACUCUCCAAAGAUUGUGGUUGACAAGUAAACUUAGUAAUGGUGUAUAUUGUAUAAGUGUACAAAUGUUUGGUAAGAUUUAUGUUUGUGCCUAUGAACUUACUAAGCUUUUCUAUAAGCUUACAUGUGUGUGUUUAUUGUUUUUCUAGAUUAACGUAUUUAUACAUUCGGAGGAUCGGAUCUACUUCGAGAAUCACACUAUCCAGAUAUACUCCGGUAGAUUUUGUUAAACAACUUUUUGGAUUUAUAUGGCAUGUACAUAGAAUUGAAGUAAAAAGUAAUAGAAUGAAUGACUGAGUAUGCAAAGUAAAUUUGAAUGUGAUGGUUGUGUUAGAUAUUGAAAAAUACAUGUUUUUAGUUUGAAAUGGUUGAUUGGCUGAACUUCGUUAGUAUUCAAGUGAAGUAGUUGAAAUACUGGAAUUGGUUGUGAUUUGAAAUUUGCAGGGAAGGUUAGAUAAAUAUAAAGGGGUUAUAUUGAUUUUUUUUAAAAAUUUCAAUGGAAUAAUUUUUGGACAGCAGCAUUGAUGUAACUUUUAAAAAUCACCAAAAAUAGUGGAAAUAGAAUUAGAAGUUGAAUGAGAUAUGAAAUUAAAUCUGAAUGAGUCUAAUUUCACAUGAAAGAAGUAGAAUAAGAAAAAGAGUUAUAUAUUUUUAGAUAUUUGAAUUUUAGUGAAACAGGGCAAGAAUGUUUUUGAAGUCCCCUGUUCUGACUUUAGAAAUUUAGUAAAAAUUGUACAAAAGGAAUUAUGAAUUAUAAUUUAUAUGUUUAAAUUCCGUAAUGAGUAUAUUUUAAGUAGAAAUAAUUGGAACCACCAUAUGAAGUCUUUGCAAUGAGAUAAUUGAAUUUUAGCGACAAGAGGUCAGGAUAGUCAAUUAGUGAAAUAGGGGAGACUUCAACUAAUAAACUGUAUUAAUUUGCUAAACCAAAAAUUCUGAAAAAUUUAUGGUGAAUAUACAUAUGAGUCUAGUUUGAGGGAAAAUUUACGGAUCUAAAUUUUUAGUUUCGUAUCUUGAGUUAUAAUUAUUUUAGUGACUACUGCGCAUGUGGACAGCUUUGUUGUGAAUGGUGAAAUUAAUUUUUAAAGUAAAUUUUUAUGCCCCGAACUUUUAAGUUCAGUCAAGUAACGCCUUAUGCUCGACUCCGGCAACCGUCUUGGGUAAGGGGUGUUAUAAAUAAUUAUUCUUAAAUUCAUACAUUCUUUGUAUAUUAUUUUGUACCUACAAUAGGUCCCUAGAUAUUAACAACAUGAGUGACGUUGCUACAGACUCAGAAUUUCCUUUUAAACAAGACAUGUGUUUAGAGGGAUCCCAUGGCUUUGAAGAUGACGUAGACUGUGGCUUAUCUCUGAAUUUGUUAAGGAUGGUAAAACAAGAGGAGAAGCAAAUCCUACCUCACAAGGAAUCAAUGGAAAUUGUGAGCUCAGAAGGGGGAAAAGAGGUGAAGAUUGAGACUAACAUUGCCACAAAGACAAAGCAUGACCUCGUUGAGUUACUCCAAGAAUUUAAAGAUGUCUUCGCAUGGUCAUACCAGGAUACUCCCGGGUUAAGUACUGGCAUUGUAGUACACUACCUUCUUAUAAAAGAAGAUUGCAAGCCAGUUUAGCAGAAACUCUGAAGGAUGAUGCCUGAUAUUGUGCUAAAAAUAAAAGAAGAAGUUAAAAAGCAAUUUGAUGUUGGGUUCUUACAAGUGGUUAAAUAUUCAGAAUGAGUAGCCAACAUCGUCUCAGUCUCUAAAAAAGAUGGGAAAGUACGAAUGUGCAUAGAUUACAGAGACAUGAACAAGGCCAGCCAAAAAGAAAAUUUCCCAUUGCCUCACAUUGACACUUUGGUGGAUAAUACAGUAGGCUACUCACUGUUUUCCUUCAUGGACGACUUCUCUGGAUACAACCAGAUAAAGAUGCAUCCCAAAAACAUGGGAAAGACUACAUUCGUGACCCUAUGGGGAAUGUUUUGCUAUAAAAUGAUGUCAUUCGGAUUAAAGAAUGUGGGAGCGACGUAUCAAAGGGAAUGGUAACCUUGUUUCAUGACAUGAUGUACAAGGAAAUCGAGGUUUAUGUUGGCGAUAUGAUUGCAAAAUCCAGAACAGAAGAGGAACAUGUGUAGGCCCUAAGAAAAUUAUUCUUAAGACUGAGAAAGUUCCAGCUCAAGCUUUCCAACGAAAUGCACAUUCAGAGCUAGGUUAGGAAAGCUGUUAGGCUUCACAGUUAGUGAAAAAGGAAUCGAGAUCAACCCAGAUAAAGUCAAGGCGAUACGAGAUUUACCUCUACCAUGCACUCAGAAGGAAGCUCGAGGUUUCCUAGGAAGACUGAAUUACAUUGCUCGAUACAUUUCACAACUAACCGAAAAAUGUGACACCAUAUUAAAAUAAAAAUAGAUUAAAUUGUAAGUAAAACAUAAUUUAAACAUAUGAAUACAUCAAAUUAAUAAUACUAAAUGAAUACAGUUAUUUAUGAUGAUGUUGUUGCCAAUUCCUAAUUUGGUGUCUAGUUAAUUUGUGACAUCAUAAAUUUAAGUGAUAAAUUUAAGGUUUUAUGUAUUGAUGUGGAUUCAAAUAUCACCAUAAUUUUUGUAAAUAAAAAACUAAUAAGAUAACUUAUAUUAAGUACGAAAGGGUAUUUUUAUAAUUUCUCUAAUCGAGUUGGUGCCCGGUUGACUCAUGACACUAACUCAAUCAGAAGCUUUAAUAAUAAUAUAGAUAUUCAUGUUAAAAAAACAAAAAAAAAGUACUUUAGUUCCAAAUAAUUAUAUAACAAGUAAAUUUAUAAUUGAUGAAUAAAUUUAUAAAUAAUAUAUUUAUAUGAUCUAAUAUAUUAUAUUUAUAUUAAUUAUAUAUCAUCUACAAACUUUGAAGAUCAAUUUAUUAAGUAAAAAUGAAAUUGUUAACACUAAAUCAAUUUUUAGAUUUUGUAUAGAUGAUUUAGUGAUGAUAAAAACAUUAUUAACACUAUUUUUUAAUUAACAAAAAAUUAGUGAUAUAUUUAAAUUAUAUUUAUCAUUUAUUAUUUUUAAUAAUAUUUUUUAAUUAUAUGAAGUAAAAUUAUAUUGUAUACUAAAUAUGGUACAUAUACUCUAAUUAUAACUUGAAAUUUUAUUAUAUAAAUUAAUAUAAAUUUGAAUAACAAAAUAAAAAAAAACUAAUUAGAAUAAUUUUAAAAAACAUUAUUUAAAAGUAGUUAAAAAUCACGUGCAACAGGUGAGAUCAAUGGUCUUUAGAGAAGAAAUGUUGAAGAUCAAAGUUGGAAUCUGGCCUAUAAGGCCUUUAAUUGCUUUAAUAUUAAGCAGUUCCAAACCAAGAAGAUUACCGAUUUCCUCAGGAAUUUGACCUGCACACAUGGUCGAAAAAUCAAUGUGUCAAACUACCUAUUUUGUUAGCAUAAGUCAAAGAGGUUUUCUUUUCUAUUCUACAUAAUUUGCAGAUGUUAGAUUUUAAUAUUUUUAAGCAUAUUUGUUUUCAUCAAAUUAACUAUUUUGAACUAUUUUGCCUUGAAUGAAAUAAAAUGCUCUUACUUUUGUUAUCUAUUACUAAUCAAACUCUUUUAUAAAAAAAAUACUUUAAACUAAAGAAACCAAGAAAAUUCAAUACCUUCUAGGUUAUUCAACCCCAAAUAUAAUUCUUUGAGUCGUGUCGGAUUUCCAAUACUUCUUGGAAUGAUCCCCAUCAAUUGAUUAUAGGAAAAUGACAAAAUUUUAAGGUUGUUGCAUUUGCUUAUACUUGACGGAAUGUUACCAUAUAAUUCAUUCCGACUCAAGUAAAGCCCUUCAAGCUUGGAAAGAUGUGACACAUAUCAUUAGGCAAGCUACCUGAUAGGCUAUUGUUGGAGAGAUCAAUGGCCUUCAGAGAAGAAAUGUUGAAGAUCGAAGUUGGAAUCUGACCUGUAAGGCCUUUAAUUGCUUUAAUAUUAAGCAGUUCCAAACCAAGAAGAUUACCGAUUUCCUCAAGAAUUUGACCUGCACACAUGGUCGAAAAAUCAAUGUGUCAAACUACCUAUUUUGUUAGCAUAAGUCAAAGAGGUUUUCUUUUCUGUUCUAUAGUAAUUUGGUGAUGUUAGAUUUUAAUAUAAUUCAGCACAUGUUUUUCAUCAAAUGAAAUAAAAAGUUUUUCCUUUUGUUAUCUAUUACAAAUCAAGCUCUUUUAUUAAAAAAAUACUUUAAAUUCAAGAAAUCAAGGAAAUUAAUUACCUUCUAAAUUAUUAAACCCCAAAUAUAAUUCCUGGAGUCGUGUUAGAUUUCCAAUACUUCUUGGAAUGAUCCCCAUAAAUUGAUUAUGGGGCAACAACAAAUUUUUAAGGAUGUUUCAUUUGCCUAUGCUUGACGGAAUGUUACCAGAUAACUCAUUGCUAUGCAAGUGAAGCCCUUCAAGCUCGGGAAGAUGUUGACACAUAUCAUUAGGCAAACUACCUAAUAGGCUAUUCCUGGAGAGAGCAAUAGUCUUGAGAGAAAAAUGUUGAAGAUCGAAGUCGGAAUCUGAUCUGUAAGGCCUUUAAUUGCUUGAAUAUUAAGCAUUUCCAAACUAAAAAGAUUACCGAUUUCUUCAGGAAUUUGACCUGCAGACAUAGUCGAAACAUCAAGGUGUUAAAUUUCCUAUUUUGUUAGUGUAAAUCAAAGAGGCUUUUUAUUUUUUUUCGUUAUGAAAUAAUAUGGAUAUGUUCGAUUCUAAUCAUAUUUAAGUAUAUAUUAGUUCUUGAAAGAAUGAGUUCUUAUUUUUGGUAUUUAUAUUGCAAAUAUAUAUUUUUUUAAAUUUAAAAGAAGGGAGGGGGCAAAUGUGUUUAAACUAAAGACAUCAAGGAAAAGGCAUACCAAGUAUAAUUGUUUAAGUUGUGUCAAAUUCCCAAUGCUUUUUGGAAUGAUCCCACUAAAUUGAUUAAUAGACAAUUCCAAAAUUUGAAGGUUGCAGCAUUUGUCUAUACUUGAUGGAAUAGAACUUGAUAAUUCAUUUCUACUCAAGUAAAGCUCUUUCAGCUUGGGAAGAUGGACACACAAAUCAUCGGGCAAGCCACCAGAAAGACUAUUAUCACAAAAAUGAAUCCUUUUCAAAGAAGAAAUGUUAAAGAUGGAAGAUGGAACCUGGCCAGAUAAUUGAUUGAAUCCCAAGUUCAAGAUCUCUAGAUUGGACAAGUUGACAAGUGUUUGAGGGAUCGUGCCUGUGAAGUUAUUAUUUCUCAUUUCCAACCUUUGAACUCUGUGCAAGUUCCCAAGCCAUGGUGGAAUUUCCCCAUUAAGACGGUUGUAGCUUAAUCGAAUGAUCCUCAAACGAUGCAAUUGGCCUAAUUCUUUAGCCAGAUGGCCGUAGAAAUUGUUGUUGCUCAAGUCGAUAGAAAAUAGAAAUGAAAGAUUUCCAAGGUGUGGAGGGAUAGUACCCCUAAGAUUCAUGUUUGUAAGAUUAAUCAAAGCUACAACUCUUUCAUGGAUGAUGCCACAAGAAACACCAACCCACUUACAGACAGAGGUAGAGUUCGUCCAAUUGUUUGCCAACACAUUUUGAGGAUCGACAAUGCGAUCUUUAAACUCAAAGAGUGCAAACUGAUCGGAGUUGAGAUUCCGGACUGUCAUAGCCAAGGAAACAAUAGAACAUUGUAUGAAUAAAAGUGAAAGAAGAUGAAAGCAAGUGUUGUAGUUCAUGAUGGCAAGACGAAAUAAGCCAGGAAAAGGGAAGUUGAAUUGAUGAAGAAAUAGCCAGCCAACAUGCUUAAAUAGGCUUCAACCCUUGCACACUUCUCAUACAUAAAGUUCGCUGCCAUUACAACAAGAAAACUCAUAUCUCCAUUCGUACCUAUCCAUACUUUAUUUGACUAACUUUUCCCUAACAAGUGUUCAGUAAGGAGAUAAAUCAGUUUGGAGCUAUUCACCGGCUUCUCCAAUCUUGGUUUCAAACUCCUAACCCAUCAAUUCACUUUAAUUGAAACGAUAUACACGAGUCUUUCGGCUUAUAUUUUUAAUUUAAUUUUUGUUACUUUUCAUAAUAUUUUUUGAGAAAUCCAAAUAUUCCAGUCUGAAAUUUCUUCAUUGCCACGUCUAUCUCCUGGGUAAGUCCGUGGUUAGGCAGCCCACUUUGGGAGCAGGAUUGUAAUUGUAAUUCUAUCCGACUCAUUUUACUAUUUAGAAAUAUAAAAGUAAUAUUAUAUUAUUUUUUAUAUUUUUAUAAAUUUAAUUUUAAUUAUAAUUUUUAAACAAUAAAACGAGUCAUUUGUAUUUGCCUAGUCUAAAUUGAAUCAGGAGUCAAAAAAAUUUUAAUCAUAAUUUACUAUUAUUUUAAUUAAUUAAAAUUUAACCUACUACAACUAGUAGUUGCAGAAAAAAUGUCAUUCCUUUAGAAAAACGAAAAUCCUUUAGAAAAAUGAGAACUUAUGAAGCAUUCAAUAAGAGUCAUUGGAAUAAAUGGUAACGAAAUCAUAAUUCAAUAUAAAGCUAAAAAAUGUACCAAUCUAUAUAAAUAAUGUAAGAUUUGUGAUACCUAAAUUAUUAUAUUUUCCAUAAAUAUAUGAAGAUAUUUUAUUAGGAAAUAAUUUUAUAUAUAAAAUUUUUUAUUUUCUUUUGAUAGAAAUUUAAUUAUGUUAUCUGUAGAAAAAAAUAUUUAUAGAAAUAUUAUUAGUAGAAAAUCAUAAAUUUGUGUGUGGCAAAAAAAAUUCACCACCAAGAAAGGGGCAAAUUAAACAACUUGAAACAAGUCAUUGGUUGUUUAAAAUAUUAGAUAAUAAUUUCAGUGAAGAAUCAUUAAAAUUAUGACAAAAUAACCCUAGAUAUUGUAGUAUUAAAUUGGAAAAUCUCAAUAAUAUUAUUAGAGUAAAACCUAUGAUCUAUCUAAACAAGAUAUAGAAGAUUUUGAUAUACAAAUUAAGGUUAGAAAUCAUGCGGAAAUAAAAAAGAAAAAAAAGCUAGUAUGGUCAUUAAUUAUAAAAGAUUAAAUCAAAAUAUUAUUUUUUUAUAGUUACUUGAAUUAAUCAGGCUAAACAAACAAAAUAUUUUAGUAAAUUUGACUGCAAAUCAGGAUUCUAGCAAAUCAUGAUAACAGAAAAGUCCAAACCUUUAACGGCUUUUAGUGCACCCAAUGGACAUUACCAAUGGAAAGUGAUGUCAUUUCAAUUAUGUGAUGCACCACAAAUCUUCCAAAGACGAAUGGAUUUUAUAUUUAAUAAAUAUAAAAAAAUUCUAUGUAGUCUACAUAGAUGAUAUUUUUUAUAUUUUUAGAUACACUAGAAUUACAUAAGAAACAUUUAAAUAUUAUUUCUUAAGAAUUCAUAAAAUAUAGAAUCAUAUUAAACCCUAAAAAUAUAGAGUUAGAAAAAAGAGAGAGAAUUUUUAUAAUAGUGGAAAUAAAAAAUUGUCCUCAAAAGAUUGAAGAAAAAAAGAACUUCCAACAAUUUCUAAUAUAUUCCUCCCAAAUUUUCAGUUUCAAUUUUAUUACAGAAUUUCUUUGCCGACAAUAAGAAAUUAAGAGCGCUCUUUAAGUUGAAUAUAGUCCGUCAGAUAUGGCUAUCUAUAACAUGGAACCUUUGGUUUUCAAGCUGAAUAGGAGAAUUGAUUCACUUGAUAAGUAUGAAAAAUUGAAACUGCUAAAUUUAAGUGCACUAACUCUGGAUAUCAUCAUUAUUUUUCUGUACAUUAAAGUACCUGUUUGAUAUGCGAUUUCUGCCUCAAACUAUCAACAUCUUUAACAUCCUUUUGCUAUAGUUAGCAUGGGUACUUCCUUUUAGAUUAACAGUUAGGUUUGAACUGUGAAUUAGAUUUCUGUGGCUGCUGGGAUUGAAGAAGUUAGUAUGCGAAUGACAUUGGACAAAUUUGGCAAAGUCUUCUCCAUCAGUGAAGAAAACCCCUUGGCGUAUGAAAAAUGUUCACCAUCUUAGACAUUUGUUUUCUUAUUGUAAGAAUAUUUUUAACAUUGUAACUUUUAACAUUAUUGUAAGAAUAUUUUGAAUUAUACUUCAGUUAUCAAUUUAUAUCAUAUAUCUUUUGUUGAAUUUGAAGUAUAAUUUAUAUUUGCUGUUUUUGGUUAGAUUUCAUGCUAUAGGAAGGGUUGUAUAUGGAUAGAAAUUGAAUGUUACAAAUCUGCCAAAGUUAGUGGCGUUUUUUCAUAAGAGCUGCUAAAGAAUGCUAUUUUUGGCGGUGUUUGUAAUAAAAGAGCCGCUAAAGGUCAUGUUCUUUAGCGAUGUUUGUGGGUAAAGCGCCGCUAAAGAUCAUGUUCUGUAGCGGUGUUUGUGGAUAAAGCGCCGCUAAAGAACAUGACCUUUAGCAGCGUAUUUUCACAUAAACGCCGCAAAAUUUAGCGGCUUUGUCUAUAGCGACUUUUUUUGCAGCGCUUUAAGUUUUAGCGGCGCUUUUAGGCCUAAAAAAGGGCCGCUAAAAGCCUGUUUUGCUGUAGUGAGCAUAUUUACAUUUUCGUCCCAAUUUCAACUAACACCCCAUCUAUUUCCCACUUCCCUUUUUCGGGCAAUUUCAACUAACACCUUCAUAUCAAACAUAACUAUUUUUCAAUUUUUCUUCUUUAUUUCAUUAAUAAAAUUAUCAAUCUAUUUGUUUUUAAAUAUAUAAUUUCAUUAAUAUUUUUUAAAUUAUAAUAUAAGAGUUGUUGUUUAUUUAUAGUUUUAUUACAUUAUUUACUCUCUCUUUUCUAUCAAGUUUUUUAAAUUAUAAUAUAAGAUUUAUUUUAUCAAUUUGUGGCUUAUCCAGUAUUCAUCUAUUUUAAUAAUAACUUGAGUUCCAGUCAUUAUCAUACCAGAAAGAGUUCCAUUUAUUCUUUAUCGUAAAUUUUAUAAAAAAAUAUACAUUUUAUUAUAAUACUAUAUGUGUUACGAAUAAUAUUUUAUUGUGGAUGCCCAUAAUUUUCAAAGUUGUAACCUCUAAUGUAGUAACCUUAAUGAAAUUAUGAGGCUUUUAUAUUGUAAUCAAGCCUCUAUUUAUUCUUUGUAACUUAAACAGAAGCAUAUUUUCUAUUAUAUUGAUAUUUUUUAUAGAUAUAUAUAUAUAUAUAAGGAAUCAAAUAAAAAGUUAUUUACCUUUCUAUUAUAUUGAUAUUUUCUAUUUGAUUUGUUCUUUUCUUUCACUAUUCCAUAAUAUAUUAUCAGUACGAUUUUAACCAAGAGUAACAUGUUAUUAGAUUGUGUCAAAAUUUUGUUGAGAAUCAUUAGAUUGUUUCCUUUUUCUUCUAUUUAGCCCCAAAUUGCACCCCUACACAAAAUUCAACAAAAACAUGGAAAAAUUAGUGGUGCACUCUCAUAAAUUAACCAAUUUAAUUACAUAAAAUAUGUAACUUUAGCAUUUUAUCAAUCAUGUUCUUUAGCGGCAUUUGUGGGUAAAGCGCCGCUAAAGGUCAUAUUCUUUAGCAGCGUUUGUGAUAAAAGUGCCACUAAAUAUCAUGUUCUUUAGCGGCGUUUGUGGAUAAAGCGCCGCUAAAGAACAUGACGUUUAGCAGCAUUUUUUUACAUAAACGUUGUAAAAUUUAGCGGCGUUGUCUAUAGCGACGUUUUUUGCGGUGCUUUCAAAUAGUUUUAGCGGCGCUUGUAGGCCUAAAAAAAUGCCGCUAAAAGUCUGUUUUGCUGUAUGAGCAUAUUUACAUUUUCGUCCCAAUUUCAACUAACACCCCAUCUAUUUCCCACUUCCCUUUUUCGGCCAAUUUCAACUAACACCUUCAUUUCAAACGUAAUUGUUUUUCGAUUUUUCCUCUUUAUUUCAUUAAUAAAAUUAUCAAUCUAUUUGUAUUUUAAAUAUAUAAUUUUAUUAAUAUUUUUUAAUUAUAAUAUAAGAGUUUUUGUUUAUUUAUAGUUUUAUUAUAUUAUUUACUCUCUUUUUUCUAUCAAGCUUUUUAAAUUAUAAUAUAAGAUUUAUUUUAUCAAAUGGUGGCUUAUCGAGUAUUCAUCUAUUUUAAUAAUAACUUGAGUUCCAAUCAUUAUCAUACCAGAAAGAGUUCCAUUUAUUCUUUAUCGUAAAUUUUAUAAAAAAAUAUAUAUUUUAUUAUAAUACUAUAUGUGUUAGGAAUAAUAUUUUAUUGUGGAUGCCCAUAAUUUUCAAAGUUGUAACCUCUAAUGUAGUAACCUCAAUGAAAUUAUGAGGCUUUUAUAUUGUAAUCAAGCCUCUAUUUAUUCUUUGUAACUUAAACAGAAGCAUAUUUUCUAUUAUAUUGAUAUUUUUUUAUAGAGAUAUAUACAUAAGGAAUCAAAUAAAAAGUUAUUUACCUUUCUAUUAUAUUGAUAUUUUCUAUUUGAUUUGUUCUUUUCUUUCACUAUUCCAUAAUAUAUUAUCAGUACGAUUUUAAUCAAGAGUAACAUUUUAUUAGAUUGUGUCAAAAUUUUGUUGGACUUCAAGUAUUGGAAUUUAAUUGUUUAAGUUAAGAAUCAUUAGAAUCAAUGGCUAUUUGAGAUAUGCUUGAGGAUGAUCUCAUUCUCUUCAUCACAAAGGUGGAGGUUAGAAAAUCUUUAUGUUUAAACAUUUAUAGCUUUAAAGUUAUUUUAACCUCUUAUUGUGACCUUAUAAUAUUUUGUAAUUUUUUGUAUUAUGGUAUAUAAAAAAAAUCUAACCAUAGUGAUUGAUUAGUAAUAUGAAUUUGUUAUUUGUUAUGUUUAAUAUAUAUUUUAUUUAUACUUAUUCAUUUUAUUUUUAUAUGAGUAAAUGAAGUGUUUGAAGAUUCGAAAUUUUUAUCAUCCAAGUUGAAAAUAAGUGCAAAAGUGUACAUUAUUUAAAAUAAAUUACGCAUUCAUUAAUGUUAUAUGAUAAAAUCAUUACAUGUUCUAAAGAACUAAUAUUGCAUCAAACUGUAAAAAGCUCUUGAAGAGUUAAUAUUUUACCUCCUUGUGAUACAAAAUCAUAUACAAUAUGAUAUUAUUUUUCAAAUCGAGUAGAUAUAUGUUGAGGGAAAUCUUUAUGUGGUUUACAUUAAAACCAUGGAUAGAAAUGACAUGAGAUACUCGUGUAUUUUUAUUAUAAAUAUUCCUUGAAGGAAGACACUUCACUUGUAUGAUUGACAUAUGAGAUAGUGGCAAGAAGUUCAUAGUGUUGGUAUGGUCGUCUAGAUCAUCUCAAAUCAAUAAUGAUGCAAAAUAAUUUGAAGAGAAUUUAUAUGAUUUUAUUGAAGAAUGAGAAGAUAUUUUCAUUUUGAUAAUUGUCAUCAAUACUAGUUCUUUGGAAAAAAAAUAUUGAACUAACAUAAAGUUAGAGGUUGGUUGCAUUUUUUGAUGAUAUCCAAAUAAUAUAUGAGCUCAUGUAUCACAUGUAUGCAACCCAAAGUUUACAGUAUUAUUUCUUGAAAUAAUUUGAUUCUACACAAUCUCUAUAGUAUGCAAUUUGUGCUAACAACGUUGGUGCAUUAUAUCCUAAGCUUGAUUUUCGUAGUUUUAGCUGAGAUAAUAUUAAGUUGUCUAUGCCUAUAUAUGUUAUACUUAAUGGUUAGCAAAAUUGUGCCUCCAUUUAAUUGCUUAACCAUUAAUAUAAGAAUAACUUUAAAAUAAGCAUGUAAUUUUAUUUGCAUAGAGUCAACAUGUAAGAAACAUUUGCCCCAUGAGAAUUGGCUUUCAUUUAUAAGCCAAUAGGUUUCAUAUGACUAUUUGGAUGUAAAAUAUCUAUUUUAUAUUCCACCAUAAUGCACUAAGAUGGUCCAUCAAGUAUGAAGUUGAGAAAAUUUAGAAUUUUUAUUUGAUGGUAAAAGUUGAAAAGAGAUAUAUACUUAUAAUUUUGAAAAAAAUAGUCAUGUUGCAAAUUUUUCUCAAUAUUAGGGGGAGACAAGUUGGACAAAUAAGGAUAAUUAUGUCAUCACUUUUUGUGAUCCCUCACUAAUAUUAUGUGCACAAAGUUUGAAGGAAAAAAGUAUUUGCUAGACAUGUUUAGUGAUGACACUUAGAGAUUGUAUAUACUAGAUGAUACAUAUACCAGCUAAAAUGUUCCAAAUAAUUAUGAGUCCUAGAAGGACAUAGUGAUAAAAAUAAUUUUUGGGCACGCUAGAAGGAUAAAAAACUAGUUCAUUCUAUAAAUCAAAAAAUUCUUGAAAGAAAAGAGUAAGAAAUGAAGCUGGCCACACAUUAAAGGAAACGAGUACUCAUGAAGAGACCUAAGGCAUAACUUUUAAUAAAACCCCAAAAGAGGUUCAAUACAUGGAAUUAUGAAUAUAAUAAGAUAUCUCGAUUAGUUAUAUCAUAACUAAAGAUGAUGGGGUUGAUAAAAGGAAAUUGUUGUUAACAACGAUAAUCUAAGUAGAACAUUUCAAUAUUAUGGUAAAAUGAGUAUUUUGAAUGAAAAUAUACUUGAAAGUAUUUAGAUGGGAACAACUCAUCAAAAUAAAUAGACGUUUCUAUUAUAACUUAUGAAAUGUGUCUCGGACAUGAAGUCCAAACAUUCGACAGGUGUAAAGCCAAGUGGAGUAUAUGUUAGCAUAAUAGUGAAAAAAUACAAAUCAUAAUAUAUAAAAUUGACUUGUAAGACAAACUUUCCCAAGACACUUGAUUUUGAUUAUGAAAAAUGAUUAAUUUGUGAUCUUAUCAAUUGAACAUACUUUGUAUAAUCAACAAAUUAUUAAUUAACCUCAUUUAACCAAUUUCCUUCAACACAUUUCAAAUCAAAUUAAUGUGUUGAGCACGCCCUUAACCCUUUUUCUUGAUUCAUUGCAUAGUCUAUUUCCAAGUACCAUAAUCAUCAACAUUUCAAUAUAUAAAGUCAUAACAUAAUGAAUCAUAGUUAGAAUUUUUUUUACCCUAUUAACCAAGUAUGGAACAAAAAUAAAAACCUAAUUUGUCAAGCUCAUUCAAUCAGCUUAUAUAUUAUAAGAAGAGCCUAAGUAUAAAUCCUAUACAUGAUUUCAAAUUCAACUAUUUAUAUUUGAGAUUCAAUUUAAAAUUCAUACUGAAAUUAUCAAAUUAACUCGUAAGCUACUCACGCUAAACAUUAAGGUACUCGAAUUCAAGUGGCUAGAUAUCAUAAACACUUUUAGCUUGUAAAACUAUUUCUAAGGGUCAGCCCAGAAUCAUGGUUGAACCCAAAAUCUGGUAACAAAAAUUUAAUUGAGCCAUCAGCCUAAAACAAAUAAGGCUUAAAAGGUUGGCACCCGAACAAUCAAAGAUAAACACCACCAUAUGCCACUCCCUGAAUCCGAUACAUACAAUAACACCCUUCACCACUUUUAUUCUUCUCCUUUUUUUUAACCUCAAUUUGGAUGGUCGCAUUUCUCUUUUUAGUGCUUUAUAGGGUUUGGGCUUUCAGAAUCCUCAGAGAUGCAAUUCAUGGAUCCCUCUAAGAAAUGCAAGCUUGAUGAAAAUGGUAUUAUUUCAACGGCAUCAGAACCUGACCCAAUCACCAAACUAACCCCACAAGAUGGCCGCAAGCUAAUCGAGCAAUUUAUCGUCGAUCAACUCCUUGACGUCCUCCAAGAUGCUGUUUGUUGUCACCUUGAUGUUCUUUCCGCCGUACACUCUAUUGCCGAUCAAGAUCCAUCUCAAAGGAAGCUUUUCAUCCGUGGUUGGGUUGGGAUACUACAACCCAACCCAACCCACAUUAGCAUACUACCAUGCGGUAACUUCUAGUGAUUUCUGUCUGUAACAUUAGACAGGUUAACAGUUAAAUCGUUCAACUGAAAGAUUUCUUUGAAGGAAGAGGUCAAUUGAUUUUUUUUGGAAUCAUUGUGUACUCAGUUGCAUUUAAGACGGGUAUCAUUCAUAAAGUAUAUAUCUACAUCAAGAAUGGUAGCCUCUUAUAUUAUAUUCAUGUAUUUAUUUUGCAUCUUUAAUUAUAAUAGGAUUUUUUUUGUUUAUUUAUAGUUUUAAUUAUAAUAUUUUUUAAAUAUGCCAAAGUAAAUUAUGUACCAAUUUUAAACUUCUCCUAGGUAAUUUAACGUAAGGGCAUUUAUGUUAUUUUACCACUUAUGAUAAAACUAACCUAAUUUUAGAUCUAAGUGUUUACCAACCUUCUUUUAGUCAAAUUAUGCAAGCCUAAAAUUUUUAGCUUAAUUUGAGUUUGUUUACUAUGUCUAAUUCAAGUUUUAUUAUUAAGAACUAAAUUGUAACUUAAACAAAUUAGAAUACCAAUUUAAAGAGACAAAAAUUCAAAGCCCCAAAACCCACACGGGCAUGUGGGUAAGUGACACAGGCGUGUGGAAACUGGAGCUAUCACACACGGGUGAGUGGGACUGAAAAAUAUGAAAUAAAUUAAUCCAUUUAAAUUUCCAACAACCAUGCUAUACUACCAAACCAAAUAAUGUUAGAAGCUUUGAAUAGGGGCGAAUCUUAAAAAAAAAUAGAAGAAUUAGAAUUAAAUUAUAAAAUUUUGAGAAGUUGUCAUGUAUUAAUUUAUUAUUUUUUAAAGGGUCUUAAUAGAUUUUUUUUCCCCAUUUUGGUUUGGCCAAUACCCCUGUCUGCCUCUUUCAAUUUGCUUCAACCCUUAGCCCAAUAUUCGAUUUGUUGUGGAAGUUUGACGCAUAAAAAUUCCUUUUUUAGAGGUUUAAAUUAUAAAUUUUUAUUAACAAAAUAUAAAAGAAAAAAACAUGUGUAGACAAGCCAAGAAACCUUUGGGAUCAUACAGGUGAUUUUGAGAUGUUCAUGGUUAUUUUGGUGGAGAGGGUAAAAAAGAAACAAAUGAUUCAUUAUAUAUGAUAUAAUUAUGAAAUUCAAGCCAUAUAUUGUAUGUUUCAUCCAUACAAAUUUCUUGUAGCAUUAAAUGACUCGUAGGCUUGCUGAAUUUCUUUGAAAGGCCCAAAGGCAAUUUAACAUUCACAAAAUAAUCUCUAAAUAGUGUAAAGACAAAUCAAAUCCACAGUAGCAUUAGAGUUGAUUAAGCUAAGCAUUGGCAAAUAUUACUUUGAUUUUGCAUGCAAUAUUGGCAAAACCCCCUCUUACAUUAGAAAAACAACAUAAUCCAUGAAACAUUGAUAGCCCAAUACAAAUUUCAUCGAGAAAAAAGUCUCUUUGUUUUGUAGAACAUGAUAGUAAAGAUGUGGAGUUUCGUUCUUCUUAUUGGCCUCCUUUAGUUUUCCUUGAUCAACAACCACUAGCCAAAAACACAAUUAGAUUAGAUUAUGAAUGAUACUUUCAACUAUGACAAUAUUAAAUACAAACCACUCUAAAUAACUCUAAAUAAAUGGAAAGCAGCAAAUUACCAGACGAGGCAAGCUAGCUCAAUUAAGACCAUUGUGUUAUACUUGUCUCUGAAUUGAAAAAUUUAGAAGGAAAUAAAGAGAAAGACUUAGAAAAUACUUGAAAACAGAAAAAAAAAUUAUGUCAUUUAAAAUAAAAAAUUUCUAUUCAAGCCAUUUAAAAUUUGUAAGAUUUUUAAAAUUUUAAAAUGAUAAAGGUAAAAUUGUACUUUGGCACCCCAAAAAUGAUAAAACUUUGAUUUAAUUAUUUAAAAAUUAUAAAAAUAUAGGCUAUUAAAAUGGUGAAAUUAUAUUUUUACUAUAGUAAAAAUUACAAUUUAAUUUCACCCCUAAAAGGAUUUUCUGGCUUCGCACCUAAUAAAAUCUUUGGCAAAAGACUAAAAUAAAAUUAUACCAUGAAUGGAAAAAGAAACUAAUAAAAUCCAAUCUAACAAAGAAAAUAACUUGAUGUCCAAAAGCUACCAUAAACCGUAAUUCAUGGGAAGGCUUGUUGCUUAUUUUAUUGGUUUCCAUUUUGAAAGAAGUUUGAAUUUUGAAGAGAGCCUACUACGUGAAAGCAAAAGAAAAAAAAAUAGUUUAUAUGAUUAAAAUUCCAGAAUAGAUUAAAAAUGUUGAAUUAAAGAUAAAAUUAAGUGUGAAUUAAUAACCACAAGUGUACUCUUUACUCACCAUCUCUGUUAAAAAUGUUGGAUGUUGUUUAGCAACCUUUGUUUGAUUUUCUUCAGCUCAACCACAACAUCUUUCAUAUCUUUUCUUUCUUCUGGUAACUCAGCUGAACAAUUCAAAGCCAACUCCAUGAUAGAUGAAAUACAAUUUGCUUUAACAACAAUGUACUCAUCCUCUCUUCUUAAUAAAUCAACAUCUGCAAUUUCUAUCGCUCCUUUAGGCAAUGAUCUUUCCAUCCAAUGCCUUAUACUCUCUUCUUCAACAAAAACCUUAUCAGUUGGCUUUUUCUUUGUGAAAGUUUCUAUAAGGACGAUCCCAUAACUAUAGACGUCAGAUUUUAUAGAAACAAUUCCUGCUGAUCCAAAUUCUGCAUUUCAAGUAUAAUUAGAACAUCAUUCAUCCUCAAUUAUUUCUAAAACGCUUAUUCAAAUAUCUAUCCACAUACACGUGAAACAAAAAUAUAAAAUACAAAUUAGGAAAAUAAUCAUACAAAAAUAAAAAAAAGAAUUCACCUGGUGCCAUAUACCCAAUAGUUGCAAGAGUCAUGGUUUGCUUCAUUACUUCACCUUCUCCCAACAAUUUGGCAACGCCAAAAUCUCCAACAUGUGCAACCAUGUCUUCAUCUAGUAAAAUAUUGCUUGGUUUUAUGUCACAAUGAAUUAUAGGUGUUGGAUGUCCAUUGUGGAGGUGUUCUAUAGCUACCGCAACAUCUAUCAUUAUGUCGACCCUUUGUAUGAUACCAAGGAAACAAUUUUCAGAAUGUAACCAUUUCUCAAGGUUUCCAUUAGACAUGUAAUCAAGCACCAAGGCUUUGAAGUCAACACUUGAGCAGUAAGUAAUGACCUUCACAAUAUUACGAUGAACUAUAUUAAGCAUAGCAUCACAUUCAAUGUCAAAACUCCUAAAUGCUCCCUCUGUUUGCAAAUUGAAAACUUUUAUUGCAACUUCCAUUCCAUCUGAAAGCCUCCCUUUAUAUACAUAUCCAAAACUCCCUGAACCAAGCGUAUUGCUUUCCUCAAAUCCAUUAGUUGCUCGUGAAAGUUCAGCAUGUGAAAUUCUUCUCAGUGUCUUCAAAGACAACAAAUCAUCUUUAACUGGUAGAGCUGUACUCCUUUGGCAUCUUCUAUACAUAAUAGUUAAGACUAUUAGUACUAGGACAAUACCAAUUGUUGGUAAACCAUACCUAAAAGCAUGCAAUAUAAUCAUUUGGGAGUUUUUGUGGAUGUCAUUUUUGCAAGGUGGGACUAGCAAUCUAGGUGGACCACAAAGUGCACAAUUAUUCAUGAAUGAUGUGCUAGAAAAGUUUGAAAAACAUCCUUUGCUGGGAAUUUCCCCUUCAAGUCUAUUGAAAGACACAUUAAAAUACUUUAGAUAUAAAAGCUUUUCCAAAGAUUUGGGAAUGACUCCAGAGAGAUUGUUAUUGCAUAAAUCCAAGAAUUCCAAACUAAUCAACCCUUCAAAUGAUUCAGGGAUAUGACCAUAUAGUAUGUUAUUUGAUAAAUCUAAUGAAACCAAAGUUAUAAGACCCCCAAAUGUGGAUAAGAUAUCGCUCGUGAGAAGAUUCCUUGAUAAAUUUAGUCUCAGUAGACUCCUAAAAUUUCCAACAUCAAUAGCAUGUGAAUUGUGAAGACGGUUUGAUGAUAAAUCUAUUUCUAAGAUAUCUUUAAGACUCCACAAAGUUGAGGGUAUUGUAGAACUCAAUUUGUUGGAACCUAACCAAAGAUAUCUCAAAGCAGAAAUAUUACCUAAACAAGAGGGUAUGGAUCCAUGCAGCUUAUUCAACCCUAAAUACAUCUCGUAUAGUCUCUCCAAACCACAAAGGCUUUCUGGGAUAGGCCCUCCUAAUUUAUUAGAGGAAAGACCUAGAAUUUGGAGAUUUCUCAUUCCUCCUAUUGAUGCUGGAAUCAAUCCACUUAAUUUAUUAUACCCAAGAUCUAAAAGCAAUAGGUUGGUUAAGUUACCUAUUUCCAUAGGAAUAAUGCCUUGAAGCUCACACUCUGUGGCAUGAAAGUAUUGAAGGGAUUUUGAAAGGUUCCCGAAAUAAGUAGGAAGAACGCCACUCAAUGGAUUUCCUGAAACAUCUAUUAUGCUCAAAUUCCUACAAUUCGUCAAAGAAGAAAGAAAGCUCCACUCAUGAUCAGUAGCAGAUCCUGUGAUCAAAUUAUUGUCAUAGAUUUGGAGCCAUACAAGUUGUCUUAAGCUGCCAAGCGUUUUAGGGAUUGGGCCAGAGAAUGAGUUAUCUCCCAAGUCUAGUUCCUUAAGCAUGGAAGCAUUGGAGAUAGAGUUGGGAAUGUUUCCGCUAAGUUUAUUUCCCCACAGUAAAAGAAUCUGAAGCUUUGGAGCAUUGGUAAUGGGUGGUAAAUUACCUGUAAAAUAGCAUCUUUUAGAAAACAUUCACAAAAUAUAUAAUACAUUAAAAUAAAAACUUUAAAUCAAUUAAGAAUAAAAUUUUGGCAUGGAAAAAUGUGAUGAAAUCAAUUAGAAAGUUGAGACAUAAUAAGAAGUUUUGAGUAGUAAUUAGUCCUUGUGAUUUGUAUAGACAAAACAUAUAAUACACUGAUAAUUUUUUUAAAAUAUUGUAAAACCUGAAAUAAAAUAAAAAAUAAAAGUUUGGCACGAGAAUGUGGCAUCUAAUCAUUCUUAAAAAUAAGACUAACAUUAAAUAAUAAUUAGUUAUGAUUUGAGAAACAAAAAUGUUAAAGAUGUAAACUGGUAUGAUUUUUAUCUAUUGGGUUAAUUAUUUAUUUUUAUUAAAUUAUAUAUAGUGUAAAAUUUAAAGAUUAUUAUUUGCUCAAAAUUUUUGUAUUUUAGGAUUUUAGGAUCGCAUUUAAUUCAAUUGUAUUUAAGACCUCAUGAAUUUAUUCUAUAAUUUGAGUCUUUUCAACCUUUUGGGAAAUAAUAAAACAUCGACAUUAAACUUGUUGUUGAUGCAUUCAAUUUGAUUUUUUGAGGGGUCAUUGGAGUUAUAUGUGAAUUUAGCAUUGAUUGACUUUUUUAGAAUUAAUCUUUUAUACCAAUUUAAUAACAUCGACAUGUUUUUGGGUAGGGUCGAGCAAAACCCAAUUAAAACCGAUGAAAUUGGUUUAGUUAACUCGGUCAAGUCCAUUAGAUGGAUAAAAUCAAUUUUAAAAUCAGUUAUUAUGGAUUAAGGUAAUUAAUUAUCGAGUAAUGAAAUACAUAAUCAAAUCAAUUGAUUUUGUUAGAAACUAAAAGAAAGUGGGAUAAGCUGAAAACUGAUUGCCCUUUUUUAGAAUUAAGGAAUCAGCCUUUUACAUGUUAGAUAAUAUGAACACCCCAUAUAUAAUAAGAAAAAUUAUGUACGAUUAUUUAUUAUCAUAAAUGGUUAGUUUAAAUUUAAAGUAAUCUAAUAUGUGUGUUGAACUUCAACUAUUACAUAAAGUAUAAGCUAAAUAUGUAUAAAUAUUCUAGAAACCAUUUCUAACUGAUGAUAGGCUAAUUUGAAAUUAAGAUUAAUAUAUAAAAACUAGAUAGUAGGGUUAUAGUCCUCAAACUACACCUAAUUUAAUAAAAUCUAUAGUUUUUAUAGCCUUAAACAUUUAUAGAUUUUGUUAAUUUGGUCCUUACUCUUUAAAAUUACAUAAAAAUUGCAAAAAUAUUUUAGAAAUACAAUUUUUUCGUAUUUUUAAUAACAUUUAUAGUUUUUUUUUUGGUUUGGUAACUUAUCAACUCGACUCUUAAUUGUAACCAACUUUUCUGAUUUUUUCGUACCCUUAACCUAAGUCCCGUUACAACUUUCUAAAGACCUCUUGAUUGGUGUAUCAUCUCGAUUUGUUCUUAUAGUGGUGGGGAUUUGGUUUUCAAGCAAGCCUAUGCUAAUCACAUUUUUCGUUCAACUAUUGAGCACACAGUACUUGAACCUUAAACACUUUGAGUGCUUUGAGUGAAUCUUAGUUAGGGUAUUGAUUAUUGUUGAGUUUGAAUUUUAGGUAAUUAUUGAGAUGGAGGAGAUGCCUAUUUUUUUGUGCUUUACAAAUUUCUGCUUAGAUUGCUUUUAUUCUUUAGUUUCAUGCUAGUUUCAAUUUCCAGUGCAUGAUUAUCUAUAGAUUAUUCAUAAGGCAUUGUCGGUGAAAACAAUAAAUUGAGGGAGAUUAACUUGAAAUAAAUUGAGGGAUAUUAACUUGAAUAAAGGUUGAGAAUUUUGCUUAAGGACAAACAAAUGCUUAAGUGUGGGGAUAUUUGAUAAGUGCUAAAAUUGAUAUGUUUUAACAUCAUUCUUAAUGUGUUUUUGGUUGAUUAUUCGAUGUUAAUGAUGCUCCUAAUCCUUACAAUUCGUGUUUUUAUGCUUAAUAGAACAUUUGGGAGGAAAAUGAGCUAAAAAUGAACGAAAACCUGAAAAUGGGGGCAAACUAUAGGACAUGGGCUGACCUAUUCCUCAUGACCGUAUGACUCACACGAUCAUGUGGUAGGUUGUGUCGAUUUCGUAGAUUUGCACUCUGAACUGUAAAAAAAGAAAAUUUUAGAUUUUUUGAGCAUUUUAAUACGUAUAUAUGAAAAAAAUAAGAAGAUAGGAGAGAACCUUCCUAGAAUAUUUAAGAAAACAACUCCAAAGACACUAUUGAAGUCGACUCUGAAGCAAAUUUUCCUCAAGAUUGAAGAUUCCCAGUUGGUUUCUUAAGAGAUUAUCAUGAGUUUCUUUAUUUCUUCUGGUUAUACUGCCCUUUGGAUGUUUUUAUUUUUAAGCAUGAACUAAUUUUCUAAAUACCGAAUUAGAGAGAUGAACCCUAUGAUAGAUUGUGACACCCCAAACCCAACCGGAUAGACCCGCCCGAAUUCAAAGCAUUUCAUUAGCCACCUAAGUGACUCUCCAGCUAACGACCACCCAAGACACACCUCGACCUUAUAACACCUCAAUCUUAUCUAAUUACUAGUUAUUUAUUAAUGUAGAAGUAAAUUAAUAUGAGCCAAUUUUAAACUUUUUCUAGGUAAUUUAACCUAAAGGCAAUUUUGUCAUUUUACCACCUAAUGUAAAACUAACCCGAUUUUAGAUCUAAGUGUUUACUAACCUUCUUUUAGUCAAAUUAUACAAGCCUAAAAUUUUCAGCUUAAUUUGAGUCCGUUUACUAUGUCUAAUUCAAGUUUUAUUAAUAAGGACUCAAUUGUAACUUAAACAAAUUAAAAUACCAAUUUAAAGAGACAAAAAUUCAAAACUCCAAAACCCACACGGGCAUGUGGGUAAGUGACAAGGGCUUGUGGGAUUGAAAAAUAUGAAAUAAAUUAAUCCACUCAAUUUUCCAACAACCAUGCUAUACUACCAAACCAAAAAAACACUUGAAGUUUUGAAUAGGGGCGAAUCUAAAAAAAAUUAGAAGAAUUAGAAUUAAAUUAUAAAAUUUUGAGAAGUUAAAAUAUAAUUUUAUCAUGUAUUAAUUUAUUGUUUUUUAAAGGGUCCUAAUAUAAUUUUUUUCCCAUUUUGGUUGGGCCAAUACCCCUGCCUGCCUCUUUAAAUUUGCUCCAACACUAAACCCAAUAUUCGAUUUGGAUUAACAACAACAUAUAGGUUAGUAUUUGUGGGAGUUUGACGAAUAAAAAUUCCUUUUUUAGAUGUUUAAAUUAUAAAUUUUUGAAAGAUUAAAAUAAAUUUGUAUUUUUUUAUUAACAAAAUAUAAAAGAAAAAAAAAUAUGUUUAGACAAGCCAAGAGAACUUUGGGAUCAUACAGGUGAUUUUGAGAUGUUAAUGGUUAUUUUGGUGGACAGCGUAAAAAAGAAACAAAUGAUUCAUUAUAUAUAAUAUAAUUAUGAAUUUCAAGCCAUAUAUUGUAUGUUUCAUCCAUAAAAAUUUCAUGGGAGGUCCAAAGGUAAUUAAAUGACUUGUAGGCUUGCUGAAUUUCUUUGAAAGGCCCAAAGGCAAUUUAACAUUCACAAAAUAAUCUCUAAAUACUGUAAAGACAAAUCAAAUCCACAGUAGCAUUAGAGUUGAUUAAGCUAAGCAUUGGCAAAUAUUACUUUGAUUUUGCAUGCAAAAUUGGCAAAACCCCCUCUUACAUUAGAAAAACAACAUAAUCCAUGAAACAUUGAUGGCUCAAUACAAAUUUCAUCGAGAAAAAAGUCUCUUUGUUUUGGAGAACAUGAUAGUAAAGAUGUGGAGUUUCGUUCUUCUAAUUGGCCUCCUUUAGUUUUCCUUGAUCAACAACAAUUAGCCAAAAACACAGUUAGAUUAGAUUAUGAAUGAUACUUUCAACUAUGACAAUAUUAAAUACAAAACACUCUAAAUAAAUGGAAAGUAGCAAAUUAAGACCAUUGUGUUAUACUUGUCUCUGAAUUGAAAGAUUUAGAAGAAAAUAAAGAGAAAGAGUUAGAAAAUACUUGAAAACAGAUAAAACUUAUAUGUCAUUUAAAAUAAAAAAAAUUUCUAUUUAAGCCAUUUAAAAUUUUUAAGAUUUUUUAAAUUUUAAAAUGAUAAAGGUAAAACUAUAUUUUGGUACCCAAAAAUGAUAAAACUUUGAUUUAAUUCUUUAGAAAUUAUAAAAAUAUAGGCUAUUAAAAUGGUGAAAUUAUAUUUUUACUAUAUUAAAAAUUACAAUUUAAUUUCACUUGCUAAAAGGAUUUACUGGCUUCGCCCCUAAUAAAAUCUUUGGCAAAAGAUUAAAAUAAAAUUAUACCGUGAAUGGAAAAAGAAACUUAAGAAAACCCAAUCUCACAAAGAAAAUAACUUGUCCAAAAGCUACCAUAAACCGUAAUUCAUGCGAAGGCUUGUUGCUCAUUUUAUUGGUUUCCAUUUUGAUUUUGCAAAAGAAGUUUGAAUUUUGAAGAGAGCAAAAGAAAAAAAUAGUUUAUUAAUUUUUUACGAAUACCGACAUAUUAUAUACAUGAUUAAAAUUCCAGAAUAGAUUAAAAAUGUUGAAUUAAAGAUAAAAUUAAGUAUGAAUUAAGAACCACAAGUGUACUCAUUACUCACCAUCUCUGUUAAAAAUGUUGUUUAGCAACCUGUGUUUGAUUUUCUUCAGCUCAACCACAACAUCUUUCAUAUCUUUUCUUUCUUCUGGUAACUCAGCUGAACAAUUCAAAGCCAAUUCCAUGAUAGAUGAAAUACAAUUUGCUUUAACAACAAUGUACUCAUCCUCUCUUCUUAGUAAAUCAACAUCUGCAAUUUCUAUUGCUCCUUUAGGCAAUGAACUUUCCAUCCAAUGCCUUACAGUCUCUUCUUCAACAAAAACAUUAUCAGUUGGCUUUUUCUUUGUGAAAGUUUCUAUAAGGACGAUCCCAUAACUAUAGACGUCAGAUUUUAUAGAAACAAUUCCUGCUGAUCCAAAUUCUGCAUUUCAAGUAUCAUUAGAACAUCAUUCACCCUCAAUUAUUUCUAAAAUGCUUAUUCAAAUAUAUAUCCGCAUACACAAGAAACAAAAAUAUAAAAUGCAAAUUAGGAAAAUAAUCGUACAAAAACAAAAAAGAAUUCACCUGGUGCCAUAUACCCGAUAGUUGCAAGAGUCAUGGUUUGCUUCAUUACUUCACCUUCUCCCAACAAUUUGGCAACGCCAAAAUCUCCAACAUGUGCAACCAUGUCUUCAUCUAGUAAAAUAUUGCUUGGUUUUAUGUCACAAUGAAUUAUAGGUGUUGGAUGUCCAUUGUGGAGGUGUUCUAUAGCUACCGCAACAUCUAUCAUUAUGUCGACCCUUUGUAUGAUAUCAAGGAAACAAUUUUCAGAAUGUAACCAUUUCUCAAGGUUUCCAUUAGACAUGUAAUCAAGCACCAAGGCUUUGAAGUCAACACUUGAGCAGCAAGUAAUGACCUUCACAAUAUUACGAUGAACUAUAUUAAGCAUAACAUCACAUUCAAUGUCAAAACUCCUAAAUGCUCCCUCUGUUUGCAAAUUGAAAACUUUUAUUGCAACUUCCAUUCCAUCUGAAAGCCUCCCUUUAUAUACAUAUCCAAAACUCCCUGAACCAAGCAUAUUGCUUUCCUCAAAUCCAUUAGUUGCUCGUGAAAGUUCAGCAUGUGAAAUUCUUCUCGGUGUCUUCAAAGACAACAAAUCAUCUUUAACUGGUAGAGCUGUACUCCUUUGGCAUCUUCUAUACAUAAUAGUUAAGACUAUUAGUACUAGGACAAUACCAAUUGUUGGUAAACCAUACCUAAAAGCAUGUAAUAUAAUCAUUUGGGAGUUUUUGUGGAUGUCAUUUUUGCAAGGUGGGACUAGCAAUCUAGGUGGACCACAAAAUGCACAAUUAUUCAUGAAUGAUGUGCUAGAAAAGUUUGAAAAACAUCUUUUGCUGGGAAUUUCCCCUUCAAGUCUAUUGAAAGACACAUUAAAAUACUUUAGAUAUAAAAGCUUUUCCAAAGAUUUGGGAAUGACUCCAGAGAGAUUGUUAUUGCAUAAAUCCAAGAAUUCCAAACUAAUCAACCCAUCAAAUGAUUCAGGGAUAUGACCAUGUAGUAUAUUAUUUGAUAAAUCUAAUGAAACCAAAGUUUGAAGACCCCCAAAUGUGGAUAAGAUAUCGCCCAUGAGAAGAUUCCUUGAUAAAUUUAGUCUCAGUAGACUCCUAAAGUUUCCAACAUCAAUAGCAUGUGAAUUGUGAAGAUGGUUUGAUGAUAAAUCUAUUUCUAAGAUAUCUUUAAGAUUCCACAAAGUUGAGGGUAUUGUAGAACUCAAUUUGUUGGAAUCUAACCAAAGAUAUCUCAAAGCAGAAAUAUUACCCAAACAAGAGGGUAUGGGUCCAUGCAGCUUAUUCAACCCUAAAUACAUCUUGUAUAGUCUCUCCAAACCACAGAGGCUUUCUGGGAUAGGCCCUUCUAAUUUAUUAGAGGAAAGAUCUAGACCUUGCAGAUUCCGCAGUCCUCCUAUUGAUGCUGGAAUGAAUCCACUUAAUUUAUUAUGGUCAAGUUCUAAAACCAAUAAGUUGGUUAAGUUACCUAUUUCCAUAGGAAUAAUGCCUUGAAGCUCACAAUUAUAGGCAUGAAAGGAUUGAAGGGAUUUUGAAAGGUUCCCAAUAUAAGUAGGAAGAACGCCACUCAAUGGAUUUCCUGAAACACCUAUUUUUCUCAAAUUCCUACAAUUCGUCAAAGAAGAAAGAAAGCUCCACUCAUGAUCAGUAGCAGAUCCUGUGAUCAAAUUAUUGUCAGUGAUUUUGAGCACUUCAAGGUGUUUUAAGCUGCCAAGCAUUUUAGGGAUUGGGCCAGAGAAUGAGUUAUCUUCCAAGUCUAGUUUCUUAAGCAUGGAAGCAUUGGAGAUAGAGUAAGGAAUGUUUCCGCUAAGUUUAUUUCCCCACAGUAAAAGAAUCUGAAGCUUUGGAGCAUUGGUAAUGGGUGGUAAAUUACCUGUAAAAUAGCAUCUUUUAGAAAACAUAUUCAUUGAAUACCAAAUUCACAAAAUAUAUAAUACAUUAAAAUUAAAACUUUAAAACUUUAAAUCAAUUAAGAAUAAAAUUUUGGCAUGGAAAAUUGUGAUGAAAUCAAUUAGAAAGUUGAGACAUAAUAAGAAGUUUUGAGUAGUAAUUACUCAUGAUUUCCAUAGACAAAACAUAUAAUACACUGAUAAUUUUUUUAAAAAUAUUGUAAAACCUGAAAUAAAAUAAAAAAUAAAAGUUUGGCAUGAGAAUGUGGCAUCUAAUCAUUCUUAAAAAUAAGACUAACAUUGAAUAAUAAUUAGUUAUGAUUUGAGAAACAAAAAUGUUAAAGAUGUAAACUGGUAUGAUUUUUAUCUAUUGGGUUAAUUAUUUAUUUUUAUUAAAUUAUAUAUAGUGUAAAAUUUAAAGAUUAUUAUUUGCUCAAAAUUUUUGUAUUUUUCGUAUAUUUGAAAUUUAAUCUUUAUAUUUUUUAUUUUCUGUGAUUUAGUCUCUCUACUUUUUGAAUUGAAAAUUUUAAGUUUAUUUAUUAACACUGUUAAAAAGUUUUUGUGUUAGUAUGGCAUUUUGAAAAAUAAAAUAAACUUGAUAUCUAUGUUUUUAAUUAUUCCAAAUACUGUUUUACUAUUCCAAGAUAAAUUAUUUGUGUCUAGACCAAUAUCUUAAGAACUAUUGUUGCAUGUUUAAUUAUUCUAAAGAAUUGUUGAUUGAGUCUUAGUUGAAGUGCACUAUUCUCCUAUUUAUGAAUUGGGGAGUUGAUAAAGUACUAAAUUUUGAUAUAUUUUAAAAAAUUAAAAAUUUAUUAAAAUAUUUUUAUAAAAAUUAAUUGUACCAAAAUAUACAAUUUUAAUAUCAAAUUUUUAAUUUUUUUAAAAAUAUUAGCGAAUAUAUACUUUAUUUCAAGUUACACAAUUUUUACUAGUUUUUAACUUUUUUUUUAAAUUUUUAUCGUCUUUUAUAAUUUCAUAUAUUUUUUUAUAAUUUUUUACAAUAUUUACAAUUUCUAACAAUUUUUAAUAAUUUUAUUAUUUAUUAUAAAUUUAAAAAUUAACAAAUUUUUAUUUUUUUAAAACAAUUAUAUAUUUAUAAUGUAGUUAUUUUUUUAUAAUUUUUUUUGAAAUUUAAAGAUUUUUUUGGUUUUUUCUAGAUGAUGAUGCCAUCAUGAUGUCAUCAUAUGCCACAUGGCAAUUUAUAAUUAGUUGACUAUCUCAAUCUAUUUUUUUAACGUCCAAUGGACUAAAACAAGAACACCUGAUAAUGUUAGAGACUACACUAGGAAUGUUUGAUAAUAUUAGGUACUAAAGUGGGCAAAAAAAAUUAAGGACUAUAUUAAAAAUAUAUCUAUAAUAUAUAUAAAUGCAUGGAUUUUGAGAAACUUUUGAAAUGACAAAUAUAUAGUCUUUGUUUUUUUUUACUAUAUUAUUGAAUUUUUUAUUUUAAAUAUUUUUUUAUUACUUUUAAGAUUUAUCAUAUGUAUGGAUAAAAAUUUUGGUUUUACUAAAAUAUUUGGUUAAAUAAAUUCACUUUAUAAAAAAAUUUAGCAUCCUUAUAAAUAACAAUUUUGAUUCCAUUAAAAAAAUUAUUUAAAAAUAUAUAAUAAAAAUUUAAAAUUUAUAUUGAAUCACUUUAUACUUAAAUUAUUAUUAGAAACUUUAUCAUACACAUAUGUGUAUGAGAACCACGUUUUCAGAACUUAAAUUUGUGUUCUAAAAUAACUUAUGAUAAAUAAUUAAAUGUAUAAUUUGAAAUUAUAUUGAAAUAAAAAUAGAUUAAAUUGUAAGUAAAACAUAUAUAAUUUAAACAUAUGAAUACAUCAAAUUAAAAAUACUAAAUGAAUACAUUUAUUUAUGAUGAUGUUGUUGUCAAUUCAUAAGUUGGUGUCGAGUUAAUUUGUGACAUCAUAAUUUUAAGUGAUAAAUUUAAGGUUUUAUGUAUUGAUGUCGAUUCAAAUAUCACCAUAAUUUUUUUAAAUAAAAAACUAAAGCACCCUCAAAUAAUAUAACUUAUAUUAAAUAUGAAAGGGUAUUUUUGUAAUUUCUCUAACGAGUUGGUGCCCGGUUGACUCAUGACACCAACUCAAUCAAAAGCUUCAAUAAUAAUAUAGAUAUUCACGUUUAAAAAAAGUACUUUAGUUCGAAAUAAUUAUGUAACAAGUAAUUUUAUAAUUGAUGAAUAAUUUUAUAAAAAUAUAUUUAUAUGAUCUAAUAUAUUAUAUUUAUAUUAAUUAUAUAUCAUCUACAAACUUUGAAGAUCAAUUUAUUAAGUAUCAGGAAAAGAAAAAAUGAAAUUGAAUUAACACUAAAUCAAUUUUUAGAUUUUGUACAGAUGAUUUAAUGAUGAUAAAAACAUUAUUAGCACUAUUUUUGAAUUAACAAAAAAUUAGUGAUAUAUUUUAAUUAUAUUUUUUAUUUUUUAUUUUUAAUAAUAUUUUUUUAAUUAUAUGAAGUAAAAUUAUAUUGUAUACUAAAUAUGGUACAUAUACUUUAAUUAAAACUUGAAAAAGUAUUAUAUAAAUUAAUAUAUUUUAAUUAUAUUCAACCAUUUGAAUAACAAAAUUAAAAAAAAACUAAUUAGAAUUAUUUACUUUUUAAAGUUUAAUGGAAAAUAAAAAAUAAAAAAUAAAUCAAUUCAUAUAAAUCUUAUUGUUUAUUAUCAGAUUAAAAUGAUAAAAGUAUAUGACAUACAUAGAAGAAACAAAUUCAACACCAUGUUUUUGGAGUUUGGAAAAAAUUAAAGUGAAAAACCUACCUUCUAAACUGUUGUUAAAUAGAUCUAUUUCUUCGAGCGUAGUUGAAUUAAAAAUACUUGAUGGAAUCUGACCUGCACACAUAGUCGAAAAUUGAAGUGAAAUCAAACUCUUUUGUGAAAAAAAUAUUACCAGAUAAUUCAUUCCAACCCAGGUAAAGCCCUUCAAGCUUGGGAAGAUGUUGACACAUAUCAUUAGGCAAACUACCUGAUAGGCUAUUGUUGGAGAGAUUAAUGGUCUUCAAAGAAGAAAUGUUGAAGAUCGAAGUUGGAAUCUGACCUAUAAGGCCUUUAAUUGCUCUAAUACUAAGCCUUUCCAAACUAAGAAGAUUACCAAUUUCCUUAGGAAUUAGACCUGCAGACAGUCGAAAAUUCAAUGUUUUUCAGCAUAUGUUUUUCAUCAAAUGAAAUAAAAAGUUCUUCCUUUUGUUAUCUAUUACAAAUCAAACUCUUUUAUAAAAAAAAUACUUUAAAUUCAAGAAAUCAAGGAAAUUGAUUACCUUCUAGAUUAUUAAACCCCAAAUAUAAUUCUUGGAGUCGUGUUAGAUUUCCAAUACUUCUUGGAAUGAUCCCCAUAAAUUGAUUAUAGGACAACGACAAAAUAUUAAGGUUGUUGCAUUUGCCCAUGCCAAAUGGAAUGUUACUAGAAAACUCAUUGCUAUCCAAGUAAAGCCCUUCAAGCUUGGGAAGAUGUUGACACAUAUCAUUAGGCAAACUACCUGAUAGGUUAUUGUUGGAGAGAUCAAUGGUCUUCAAAGAAGAAAUGUUGAAGAUCGAAGUUGGAAUCUGACCUGUAAAGCCUUUAAUUGCUUUAAUAUUAAGCAUUUCCAAACUAAGAAGUUUAAAUCAAUUAAGAAUAAAAUUUUGGCAUGGAAAAAUGUGAUGAAAUCAAUUAAAAAGUUGAGACAUAAUAAGAAGUUUUGAGUCGUAAUUAGUCCUUCUGAUUUGUAUAGACAAAACAUAUAAUACACUAAUAAUAAUUAGUUUGGCAUGAGAAUGUGGCAUCUAAUCAAUCUUAAAAAUGAGAUGACACUGAAUAAUAAUUAGUUAUGAUUUGGGAAACAAAAAUGUUAAAGCCAUUGCUUUUAAUGUAAACUAGUAUGAUUUUUAUCUAUUGGGUUAAUUAUUUAUUUUUAUGAAAUUAUAGUGUAAAAUUUAAAGAUUAUUUUUAUCUAUUACAAAUCAAACUCUUUUAUGAAAAAAAUAUUUUAAAUUAAAGAAACAAAGAAAAUUCAAUAUCUUCUAAGUUAUUCCACUCCAAAUAUAAUCUUCAGUGAAGAAAUCUUGAAGAUGGAAGAUGGAACCUUACCAGAUAAUUGAUUGAAUCCCAAGCUCAAGGACUCUAGAUUAGACAUGUUAACAAGUGUUUCAGGGAUUGUGCCUAUAAAGUUAUUAUUUUUCAUUUUCAGCCUUCGAACUCCCUGUAAGUUCCCAAGCCAUGAUGGAAUUUCCCCAUUAAGACUGUUGUAUUUUAAUCGAAGGAUCCUCAAACGAUGCAAUUGGCCCAAUUCUUUAGGGAGAUGGCCAUAGAAAUGGUUUCUACUCAAGUCGAGAGAGAGUAGAAAUGAAAGAUUUCCAAGGUGUGGAGGGAUACUACCCCUAAGAUUCAUGCUUUUAAGUUUGGAAACAAAUUCAACACAAUGUUUUUGGAGUUUGGAAAAAAUUAAAGUGAAAAACAUACCUUCUAAUUUGUUGUCAGAUAGUCCUAUUAUUUCGAGCAUAGUUGAAUUAAAAAUACUUGAUGGAAUCUGACCUGCACAUAUAGUUGAAAAUUGAAGUGAAAAACAUACCUUCUAAACUGUUCAACUAAAAAAACUUUAAGCAUAUUUGUUUUUCCAUCAAAUUAACUAUUUUGCCUUGAAUGAAAUAAAAUGCUCUUACUUUUGUUAUUUAUUACUAAUCAAACUCUUUUCUAAAAAAAAACUUUAAAUUAAGAAACUAAGAAAAUUCGGUACCUUCUAGGUUAUUAAACCCUAAAUAUAACUUCUGGAGUCGUGUUAGAUUUCCAAUACUUCUUGGAAUGAUACCCAUAAAUUGAUUAUAGGACAACGACAAAUUUUUAAGGUUGUUGCAUUUGCCCAUGCCAAAUGGAAUGUUACCAGAUAAUUCAUUCCAACUCAGGUAAAGCCCUUCAAGCUUGGGAAGAUGUUGACACAUAUCAUUAGGCAAACUACCUAGGUUAUUGUUGGAGAGAUCAAUGGUCUUCAAAGAAGAAAUGUUGAAGAUCGAAGUUGGAAUCUGACCUGUAAGGCCUUUAAUUGCUUUAAUAUUAAGCAAUACCAAAUCAAGAAUAUUACCGAUUUCCAAACCAAGAAUUUAUAGAAGAAACAAAUUUAACACAAUGUUUUUUGAGUUUGGAAAAUGUUAAAGUGAAAAACAUACCUUCUAAUUUGUUGUCAGAUAGUCCUAUUAUUUCGAGCAUAGUUGAAUUAAAAAUACUUGAUGGAAUCUGACCUGCACAUAUAGUUGAAAAUUGAAGUGAAAAACAUACCUUCUAAACUGUUCAACUAAAAAAACUUUAAGCAUAUUUGUUUUUCCAUCAAAUUAACUAUUUUGCCUUGAAUGAAAUAAAAUGCUCUUACUUUUGUUAUUUAUUACUAAUCAAACUCUUUUCUAAAAAAAAACUUUAAAUUAAGAAACUAAGAAAAUUCGGUACCUUCUAGGUUAUUCAACCCCAAAUAUAAUUCUUUGAGUUGUGUCAGAUUUCCAAUACUUUUUGGAAUGAUCCCCAUCAAUUGAUUAUAGGACAAUGACAAAAUUUUAAGGUUGCUGCAUUUGCCCAUGCCAAAUGGAAUGUUACCAGAUAAUUCAUUCCGACUCAAGUAAAGCCCUUCAAGCUUGGGAAGAUGUUGACACAUAUCAUUAGGCAAACUACCUGGUAGGCUAUUGCUGGAGAGUUUAAUAAUCUUCAGAGAAGAAAUAUUGAAGAUGGAAGAUGGAACCUGACCAAAUAAUUGAUUGAAUCCCAAGUUCAAGAUCUCUAGAUUAGACAUGUUAACAAGUGUUUCAGGGAUUGUGCCUGUAAAGUUAUUAUUCUUCAUUUCCAGCCUUCGAACUCUCUGUAAGUUCCCAAGCCAUGAUGGAAUUUCCCCAUUCAGACGGUUGUAGCUUAAUUGAAGGAUCCUCAAACGAUGCAAUUGGCCAAAUUCUUUAGGGAGAUGGCCAUAGAAAUGGUUGCUACUCAAGUCGAGAGAGAGUAGAAAUGAAAGAUUUCCAAGGUGUGGAGGGAUAGUACCCCUAAGAUUCAUGCUUGUAAGAUUCAAAGCUAUAACUCUUUUAUGGAGGAUGCCACAAGAAACACCAAUCCAAUUGCAAACAGAGGUUGAGGCCGUCCAAUUGUUUGCCAAGACAUUUUGAGGACCGGCAAUGCGAUCCUUAAACUCGAGAAGUGCAAACUGAUCGGAGUUGAGAUUCCUGACUGUCAUACCCCAGCAAAGUCCGGAACAUGGUAUGAAUAAAGCUAAAAGAAGAUGAAAGCAAGUGUUGUAGUUCAUGAUAGCAAGACGGAAUAAGCCAAGAAAAUAAAAAAAAGUAGGACAAGGGAAGUUGAGUUGAUAAAAUAGUUUGGAUGAUGAAGAAAAGCCCAGAGAGCAUGCUUUAAUAUGUUUUGAAGAAAUUUCAAAAUAAAUUUCAAAAUAAAUUUCAAAAUAAAAAUUUAAAAAGGAAAGCAAAGUUUUGAAGAAAUUUCAAAAUAAAUUUCAAGUCUUCUUCUUUAAAAAAUACGUACAAAGAGCGAAUUUUCAAAAUUUUUCCUAAAUUUUCUUCACAUUACUCCACAUAAUCCAUUAAAAAAACUUAAAAAAUAUAUUUUAUUAAUUACUAUACAUUCUUUUAUUUUCAGAAUAAUAAAUUGUUUAAAAUUUGCUAUUAGUCCCUAUAAUUUAAAAGUUAAAAAAAAUUCAAUCCUCCUACUUUUCUAAUUUAAAAAUUUUAGUUCAAUCAAUUUUAAUUUUAAAAUCUCUGUAUAAAAGGUGUUUUUUUUGUGACCGAUCACACUUAACCAAUAUUUAAAAAUUAAUAAAAAAUAUUUUUUUUUGAAAUUUAAAGUGAUCUAAAAACAUAUUUUUAAGUGCUUUGGACCGUCUAUUGUUGAUUUCCUUAUUAUAUUAAGUGUUUGCAAUCACUCCUAAUAUAUUGUGCUUGAGUUGUGACAAAGCCGAUCAUCAAAUUGCCAUAAUGAUCUAUUGAUGCUGAAAUUGAAGUUUUUGUUAUAUUGAUAGAGCUUGUCCUUCAACGCGUACAACGUGUUUGUUAUUUUUCUCCCUUCAAAUUGUAUGAUCUUAUUCAUUAAAUGAAUUAAUGAAUUUCCCUUUUAAAAAGAUAUAUUUUUAAAAAUUAAAUACUUUAUAAAAUAUUUAAAAAUUUGUAAGCCUUAAAACAAUCAACAAAAUAUUUUUGAAAUUUUAUAAAUAUAUUUUAAAACUAUAGUAACGCUACAAAAUAUAUAUAUUUACUAAUUAUAUGCACCUUUUUUAUUUUUAUUUCCUAACAUAUCAUUAUUUUCAACACUAUCGUAAUCCUGUUUUGAUAAUUCCCUUUCCAUACAUCCUUUUUCUACAUAGAAUUUCAAAAGAAAAUGUGAAUUAAUGUAAACGUGAGAAGACUUAAUUACAUUUAUUAGUUUAUCAAUCAAAACUUAAUUAGAAUCCAUCAAUAUUUCACACAUCAAAAACCCAAACAUAAAAUUCACUUUUAAAUUAUUUGAAGAUACAUUUGUAUUAUAGGAAAUCGAUUAAAUUAGUCUUUUAUUAUUAAAUGUAUUAUUUUAAUCUUUGUAUUAGGUAUGAAUGAUAUCUCCUAAAUUGAAGCCAGAGCUAUUCUUGAAAGACUGAAAUUAGGAUUCAGAUGUGUUGAGAUGGAAAGUGACAACACAAUGUUGAUUGAAACUAUUUGUAACAGGUUGACUACAAUAAGUAGUGCUGCCGAAGUAAGACAGAUUCACGAUUGGUGUUCCAAAAAUUGGGAAGUCAAAUUUAGACAUAUUCAGCGGAAUGCCAAUAAAGUUGUUGAUUGCAUAGCUAAGGCAAAUGGAGGCGUAAUUGAGCAGCUGGUUAUCUUGGAAGAUCCUCUGCAUUAUGUGAGAUGGUAGCUUGAAGAAGAUAUUAGACAGUCACUAGUGACUGAUGAUAAUUUUCAUUUGGACUGAUGAGCGCUUAAUUUUCUAAGCUUAUGUUCAACAAAAAAAAUUUUAACUACGUUUAAAUUGUAAUAGAGUUAACAUUUAGUGUUUAAAAAAUAUCUUAAAAAUUAUUAUUUUUUCCAAUUGCAGUUCAAUUCCACAAAUAUCGACGAUGAAUCCGGACAUAAAAAUUAUAGAAAAAAAACACAUCUAUUAUCAAACCAACAAUCCAUGUCUAAACUUAAAUUAACAAAAUUUGCCACGCAACGCCCAGUACACUAUUAUAUAUAUACUAGAUUUAUUCUAGAUGCACAUGUUUUAUUAUAUUUAAAAUUUAAAAUAUAUGGUUGACUAAGUGUUAGUUGAGUUAGUAUUGCUAUUAUUGUCAGUGUAAGGAAAUGUGAGUUUAAUUGCGCUCAAAUGUGUUUUAUCCUCCAAUUCAAGGGUUAGGAAAAGGUUAUUGAUAAUUAAGUUAUACCAACUUUUAUGAUAUUAAAAAAAGGAUUUAUAAAUAAUAUAAGGAAAAGAAAGAAAGAGAAACAUAUUCAUAUUGAUGGGCUCUUUCAAUAUUAGACUUUUUUUUCUAUCACAAGUAAAAAUAUCAAAGGUGAUAAUAAUUAAAUUAUAAAAUUUAAAUUGAGAAAAUAGGGGAUUGAGUUUAUAAGUUUUAAAGUAUAAAGAAUGAAUAUAUAACUAACAACAUAUUUUAACCACAUAAUAAAAGUAGUUAUGGUAAAAUAAUGACCUGAAUAAUUUUAAACGUCUCAUCCUUGCAAAAAUGAAAUAAUAGAAAAGAAAUAAGUGUUGGGUGUAGUGGCAAUGUACAUCAUACUUCUAAGGGGAGAUUAGGGUUUUAGACAAGGGAAGAAUUUUAAACUUGCUCUUUUCUCUAGAACUCAACGCAAACCUCAAAUUUAUCUUUUUAAAAGAAUUUAAAAAUAUGUAUAUAAAAGGUGAUUUUUUUACCGAUCACACUUAACAAAAUUUUAAAAAAAAAUGAAAUUUAAAGUGAUCUAAAAACAUAUUUUUAAGUGCUUUAGACCAUCCUGUGCUGAUUUCUUUAGUAAUUUGAUUUGUUCAAUAUAGAUUUUGGUAACUUAAAACAAAAUUAAUAAAAAAUUAUUUUUUUAGAUAUCUUUUUAAUGUUUAAUAAUAAGUUAAUUUAUAAAAUAUACUUUCAUUGGACACAGGGCCUCCAAGGCGGUGAACCACUAAUCAAAUUAAUUUUGAGAUACUUAAAUUUGUUUUCAUCAAUUAAGAAAUUAAAAAAAUUGUUGAGACCUCAUGAUUAUGUUUUAUAAUUUCAGGCUUAUCAACUAUUUUGAAAAACAACAAAACGUCUUACACCAAAAACUAAAAAAUAAAAACGUCGACAUUAAAUUUGUUGGCAUGCAAUCAAUUUUAAGAUGGUUUUUGGAGUUAUAUAUCACCUUAGCAUUGACUUACUUUUCUACAGUUUGUCUUCUCCAACAAGUUAAAUAUUUCAAUUUUAACAACAUUGACAGGUCUUUGGGGUAGGGUCGAGCAAAAUUCAAUAAAAACAGAUGAUAUAAGUUGAGUUGGCUCGGCCAAGUCGAGUCGAUUUGUUCAAAUUAUUUAAAUUAGUAAAUUUUAGGGUGCAAUUAGAAUUUUUUGUUUUGAGAUGCUAAUUAGAUUAAAAAAUUUCAGUUGCUAAAACAAAAAAAUUGUAUUUAAAAAGGCAUAAAUUAAAUAAUUAAGUUUUUCGAGUUUCCAUUUAAUCAAAGGUUAAAAGGACUAAAUUGAAGCUUUUUAUUUUUAAGAAAGGCUGAAUGACAAAUUGCCCAAAGCCCAUGGCCCUAGCUAUACAACUAACUUUUCUAUGAUUAGUCCUUGGUUUGCUUUGGGUGAAAUCUUCCAACUAGCCUCAUCCUUGGUUUUACUUUCCAACAAUUAGUGUAUCGCGGGUUUUGUUUUCUUUAAAAAAUAUUUGUGGAUAUUAGGAGAUAAUGAAAAUUAUUUUACUAUGAAAUUUUAAUAAAACUGGAAAAUAAGUAAUUUAUUUUAAGAGAUCACAAUUAAACGUUAGAUUUCCCCUUUUUAAAUUAUAAAUUUUUUUUUGACAAUUGCAUAAUAUUUUGAGCGUUGUAGGAAUGCCAUAAUAUAACCUUCCCUACGCAUAAUCGACUCUUGAGCAUGAUGGAUCCUAGACCUUCUCCUCUAUUCUCGUACCACAAAUUGCUUCAAGUGUGGGUUCGAACAAUCACAAAUUAAACGCAAAACCAAAAAUGAUUUAUUACUUUCAAUAGCAAAGUAAUUCUCUCUCAAUAGAAACCAAUAGAAUUGUAAUUCCUAGAAAAUAAAAUUUAUUUUUUGAAAAUAUAUUCUCACUACUUUCUAGCAGAAUAACAAUAUGUGAAACUUAUGUCUUGUGUUAAUAGCUCUACCAGUACUAUCUAUUUAUAGGGAGAGACACGAGAAUCCUGGUUGAAUUAGUAAAACACGAAUAAUAUUUAUUUCAUAGAAAACAAUAUUCCACCCUAAGUAGAUCAAGUUUGUAUGACGCAUGGAUCAAAGCUCAAUCUAGGAGAAAAAAAACAAAGGAAUUUUCUUUGUAAAGAAAAUUUGAGAUUGUACUAUUUUCAAAGUUAUAAAUAAAAUUAUACGCCAAAUUUUCAAGUCAAUUUUCAACUCCAAUUUUGUAUGCACAAAUUUCUAAUACACUUGGUGGGACAUUCUUUGACUUUUAUCUAUUCUCUCAAAAAGUUAAAGUUCAAAGUUACAUUAAACUCAAAGAAGAUAUUCAUUAGUAAACCACCUCACAAGCCUGCUCAAGCUAAUCCUACAACUCGUUCCACUUCAUCAUCAAACACCAAUAUUCUUGCUUAUCCUUAUGGAAUUAAACAGUCUCAUUUUCUGCAUUUUGGGUACACACUUAGUUUUGUUUGAUGCUAAAACAGUCCCCGAGCACUCCAAAACCUAUAAUUGAACAAAUAAUACUAAUUUAAUCUUACAUAACAUGAUCCCAAAUUGAAAUUGUAUCGAGGUUUUAACCCAUAAGUGACUAAACCUUACCUUCAACCGAUGAACAGUAAUUCCCACACAAACUAAGACUCCAAUUGGAGAUUACGAGCCAUUGAAUCCUCCCCUAAUUGGCAUAAACAAAACACUUCAAAAGAAAGUUAACAAAUGGAGACAAAUCACUUAUCUAAAACUUACCGAACGAUCACAGAAAAACGUGGAGUGACACGAGGCAGAGUGGGAAAAGAAAAAUCAAGAGGAUGAAGGGUGAAAGAGAGCAAAAAUUCGGUAGCAAUGAAGAGAAAAACAGCAAGAAAGUGGAGGGAUUUUAGGGAAAGUAAAAAAAAAGAUGAAUAGAAUAUUUGAUAACUACCCAAUCCCUUAUUUCUCUCUAUCAAACUCCCCACUAAAUCCACUACUCGAAUUUUUAGUCCAUCUCAAACUCUCCUGGACGCACGAGCAAAAAAUAAUGACCAUGCCAAAAUUUAAACAAAAGACCUCCUUCACACCAACACUCCACUUAUCCACCAGACCAAUAGGCUCAUUCUUUUAAUUAUUUUCCAACUUUUACUUAAAAGCCUACUGACCAAAGAUAGGGCUUAUUCAUAAAAAUACCAAAUUUUGCCCAAGACCUGGCUUGAACUUGGGACCUCUCAAACACACCCAGAACACAUAACCACUAAAGCAGACAGAAAUUUUGUGUCACACAUUCACAAUACCCAAAAUUAAAAUUUUAGGGCGUUACAAAAACACAUUAAACAAUAUCGCAUAAAACAAUCACAGUCAGAUAACAAUUCAGAAUGUCGAUUUUACAAUUUAACCACCAAUAGUAUCAUAGUAUUCACAGUUGUAAUUUCAGAAUAUCAAAUUUCCACAUCAUUCACAAUAUUCACACAUAUAUAAAUAUAUCAUAAUAGAAUUCUAGAUUUGUAUGCACAUGAUUUAGAAGAUGCCAUACAAUUUUGGGUUUUAACAGAAUAAAUCCUACCCCACAUUACAUACCAUAAUGGGAGUUCCCCUAAACUCCCUUCUCCAACACACUAGGUUGUGGAUAAACCACUAUUGGUUCACAAAUAAUAACUGUCAUUUGGCUGUGGACACAUAGCAAGUCCCCGCAAUUGGAUUCUAGAUUUGGUUGUGGAUUCACAGCAAAAAAAUCCUACAAAUGAAGCCUGCUUUUGCCUGUAGAUUAUACAACAUAUACCCGCAGUUGGAAUCUGUCUUUGGCUGUGGAUGCAGUGUAACACCUCAAACUCGACCUAGACGUUAUGGCUAAAUCUUAAUGAUUUACUUUAACUCGCUAGAAAGCCCACGAAUUUACUUUAAAAUCAUGUGGUUAAACUAGUGUUCACUUUGAUAAAUCGUUUUCCAGUUUUAGAGAAAAUUCUUGUUAAAACUGUUACUUUAUUACAAUAAAACAUUGAAGUAAUUGUAUCAUUUUGUAGUGGAAUCUACUAAGCUAUAAGGUUUUGAAAAUCGUGAUUUAGUUUGAAACAAAUCAUUUUGCAAAUAGAAAUUUAAUACUACUUAAUUUGGAAAAGCACGCUAAAACGAAAGCAAAGUCCAAAAUAAUUUACGGUUUGAAAUUCUAAAAAGCCCAAAUUAGUCAUAAAGUCUAUUUAAACCAAUUUAUCGAAAGUGUAACACCCUAAACCCGGCCUGUAUGUUAUGGCCAAAUCUAGAUGUGUUACGAAAAAAAGUUUAUAAAACGACUUCCUUGUUAUUGGCAAAUCAUCGUAGCCAUUAUUACUUAGUAUAUCUGAUUUGUUUGGAAAACUUAUUGAUAUACUUAUUUGAUUUAAAAUCGUUGCUCACUUACGCCUUUUUAUUAAACCAAAUAUUUUGCAGCGGAGUUUCUUUAAAACAUCAUAUUUUGGAAAAUCAAAUUGUUUCUUGAAAAUCGUUAUUUUAGAAAAGUUGUCAUUUUCAGAAAAAUUAUUUUAUCAGUUGUUAUGCUGAGAAAACAAAAUAAAAUCCAAAACCAAAAAUAGUCCCAAAAAGUCUAGAGAGUCCCAAAAUGACAAUACUCUUAAAACUAGACAAGUUUAAACUAAUUUUAAAAGAAUGAAAUUUUACAGAAAUGUGGACACCACUGAGCUUCCGUCGCACCGACCCACCUAAAUCUGAGGGUUACUUGAACAGAAUAAACAAACAGAGAGUGAGUUUUGAAACUUAGUGUCUAACGCGUAUAUAAACAAAAAUUCAGAAUCAAUCUCAUGCAGAACAGAUACAAGUGUAAACCUUUUAUAAAAUUAGAAUUAUACAGAUACAAAUAUGCAACAUCCUACCCUCAUCCUCUACACACCAACUCCGACCAUUCUAUCACACCACGUGGGGUAUAAAAUACCCACCCAGCCCUACACACCGUAUAGUAUUUAUAUGACACUUUUUGGAAUAAUCGCAGCAGAGUUGCCAGUAUAUAGGCGAGAUAUCACCUCACACAGAACACUUCCUCCUCAUAAUACAAAUCCCGCCCCAUAGCCAGAUACAGACAAAAUAUCAUGUAAAAUAAAUUAACAGAUACUAGAGUUAACAUAUCACGCAUGAGCGUAUAAUAGAUAUUACACAUGCUUAUGCAUAACAAAAUAGAUCAUACAUAUUGUAUUCCAUAAUACUCAUAUAAAUGUUAUUUACGUCAAUCUCAAUCUAAUAGAGUAGCUGAUUUCAUGCUUUAACUCUUAUACCACACAUACAGACCCUAUAGAAGGCCCACAGUUGAUCGAGACAACAUGUAUGUCCCUAGGGAAAAAAUUUGUAAUUUGGGCCCAUAUGCAUGUAUGAGCCCACACACCCAAAAUGGCCUUGCCCAUGUGGCUCACCUACCUAGCACUCAGCCCAUACGGUCCAAAAUGGCCUAGGUCGUGUGUCACACACAGCCGCAUGUUGCACACAGCCUACCACAUAGCGAGUCACAAAACCGUUUGGAGUUGACAAGCCUAAUUUUUGGCUUUCGUCAAUCGUCAUUUUCUUACGUUUUCAUUACACACUUGGUUUGAUUCUGACCCAAAAGCAACCCUAAGUCCACCGAAACCUAAAAAUAGCAUUCCAAUGCCCAAUUUCAGUGAACAUUUACAAAACUUAAACAAAAACUAUCCAAAAACAUAGCCUCACAAUAGCAUCCAAUGCACUCGCACACUUACCGUCAACGAAUAGGAAACACCCAACACUCAAUUCGUUGGCGGAGCACCAAUUAUGAUAAUGCAAAAAUUUUAUGGAUUCUCAACACUAUCGAUCCAAAUGUAAGAUUGAUGCUUUCCAAUUAUGAUAAUGCAAAAAUUUUAUGGGAUGGUUUACAUGAAUUUUUGUUGUUGUCAACGAUCAAUGUAUUCAAUAAUUAAAAGAAAAUAUUAGUCGUUGUUAGAAAACCAAUACUAUGAGUGUUGUAGUUUAUUUCAGUAAAUUAAAGGUUUUGUGGGAUGAACUAGACAAUCAUGAACAAUUGAUUUAUUGCAAGUGUGGACAAUGUUUAUGUAACUUAGGGAAGACGGAUGAACAAUGUCGUGAGCAUGAUCGACUUCAUCAAUUACUUCUUGCUCUCUAUUCUAAUUGUUAUGCUCAAACUAGGUUUACAUUGUUUUACCAAGAUCCUUUGCCUUCCUUAAAUCAGGCAUUCCAACAAAUUACUUAGGAGGAACAUGUACGUGGAAUUACACUGAUUAAGGAAGAGAAGUCUGAUAUUUUAGGCUUUGCUUUGCAUACAGAAGGUCAUAACAAAGGCCGAGCUAAUUGUAUUGAUAAGUCAACCUUGUUGUGCACUCAUUGCUAUCGCAAAAGGCAUGAGAUGGCUACCUAUUUUGAAUUACAUAGCCACUUGGAUUGGCGGCUUAAGAAGUAUGGGAAGCCAGAGAAGAAAAGUGAUGAUCGUGGUGGUAAGACAAGUGCACAUCUUCCACGUAAGUAUUUUAUUUCAAAGGAUCACAAUUAAACAUUAGAUUUCUCAUUUUUAAAUUUUUUUUAUUUUUUUAACAACUACGUAAUUAACGAGUACCAAUUUUGGGUGUUGUAGGGGUUCUAUAACUUUCCCUAUAUGUAAUCGACUCUUGCACCCUCUUUUUUUCUCUAGAAUUCAAUGCAAACCUUAAAUUUAUCUUUUUAAAAGAAUUUUAAAAUCUCUUUAUAAAAGACGAUUUUUUUAGGUGACCAAUCACAGUUAAGAAAAACAAAUCGGUGGCAACUCCUUUCUAAUAAAUGUAAAAAACUUUUUAAACAAAAUAAGGUUGAAAUAAUCUAGUUGUCGUUAUACUUUGAUAAAAUUUUAGAUUUAGUCCUUAUACUUAAAAGGUUAAAAAUUAAGUCUUGUUUUUAUUUAAAAAUCUUAGUCCUAUCGUUAAUAUUGUUUUUUUUUUGUCAAAAUUUGUCAAGUUGACAUAUUAAUUAGGUUUCUCUUAUAUAUCGUGGUAUAUGACUAACACAAAAUAAACAAGUUGACAAAUUCUACAAAAAAUAUCAAAGAUGAUAAUAGUUUAAUUAAAAUUUUUAAAUUAAAAAAGUAAGGGAUUAAAUUUAUAACUUUUAAAGUAUAAUGAAUGAAAUUAUUGAAAUACAAGAACUAACAACAUAUUUUAAAAAUAUUACUAGUAAAUUAUAUAUCUACAACAAGAAUUGUAACCUCUUAUAUUAUAUUCUUGUAUUUAUUUUUGCAUCUUUCAUAAUAUGAUUUAUUAAUUUUAAUAUUUUUAUAGAAUAAUAUGCUUUAAAUAGUUUUUUGUAUCAUUUAUAAAAAUUAUAAUAAACUUACAAAAUAAUUUAAUGAUAUUUAAUUAUUAAUCGAAAAAAAUGAUAUCAUAUAUAUUAUGUAUAUAUUAAGAUUCCAAAUCAUUAAUUAUAUAUCUACGCAUUAUAAUAAAUUCAUCUUUCAAAAUUUUCCUUAUAAUUAAAGCAUAAAUUAUAUUUAUAAUAAUAUAAAUAUAUUCUAUCAUAAAUAUUCUUUCAAAUAUUUUUUAAUGUUUAAUAAUAAGUUAAUUUAUAAAAUAUUCUUUCAGUAAAUUAACGUGAUGAGAUCGUUAGGUGCUUGGAUUUGGUGAAGGGGGAUGAAGAGAAAAGGGAUGGAAGUGAAUAAAAAUGUUGAGAAAUGGAAAGGGUUAGCGAGGGAAGCCGCCAUGAAAGGUGGUUCAAUGGAUAUGAACCUUCAAGCUUUUGUGGAUGAUGUUACUCAAGGUUGUUGCAAGUAAAUUUAAAAAUGUUUUUAAAUUAUUUUUUUGUUAAAAAAACAUUUUUUACUUUUUUAUGUGGCAUGCCACAUUAUCAUACUAUCAUGUGACAAUUUCUGGUGAUUUCUGUCCGCAACAUUAGUCAAAUCAACUGUUAAAUCGUUCAACUCACAGUUUUUGUUAAAUGAAGAGGUUAAUUGAUUUUUUUUUGGAAUCAUUGAGUACUCAAUUGGUGCACUUUUUUCAUAAAGGCUAAAUUAAUUUUUUAAUUUGUUAUUGUUGAAGGCUAUAGCAAUAAAAAAAAUUGAGGUAAAAAAAUAUUAGAGCUAAAUUUGUCAUUAUGCCUAAAAUGUAAAACCAAAUUUUUUUGAAAAUGAAAAAAAAUGGAAAAUCGCAAAUUCCGUCGCAUAUUUUUGCUUAAAAUUAUAGUUUUGGUCACCAAUCUUUUGAAGUAAAUAUAGGUCACCAAUAUUAUCAAUUUGUUACUUUGUAAUAACUCACCUUAAGUUAUACCCCGACGCACGAAAGGAUUAAAUGACAUUGGGAUACCAUCAAACUUGUAUCUUAAAUACACAUUUACCCCUAAUUUUAUCACAUUCUUCUUAAUUGGUAUUUAUGGUUUAGAAAAUUUUACAAAUAUAUUAUUUUUUAAGAAAUUAUAAGAAGAUUACAAAAAUUCCAAAAUAAUAUAAAAAAGCUAAGGAAAACCUAGAAAUUCAAAAAAAAAAACGUGGACAUUGAAUUUGCUGUUUCACAUUAAAUUUUUGGAGAAGUAGAAUUUUCUAACUUAUUUUCCAUCAACUUCACUUCAAUUUUCAAUCACAAUCUAUUGCAUUCAAGAGCACCACAUCUUUUGGGAUGAAACAAACCUCUCAAUUUUAAGAUAAACGGAAUCUAUUGCAUUCAAGAGCACCACGUCUUUUUGGAUGAAACAAAGCUCUCAAUUUUAGGAUAAACGGGUCUUUAGGGUUAUAAAUUGAGGUCCUUUUCCACAAUUGCGGGUGAUUCGUUGAUAAUAACCUCAACAUUUCUGUAUCACAUUUAAUUCAAUUCCACAUUCAAUUUUUAGUUUUUAGAGAGAUGAUUGGGUUACAACAAUGGUUUGAAGUGAAGAUAUUUCAAAACAAGAUGAAUACUCUACCAAUAGUCAUAAUUUAAAAUGCAGGUUAUGUUUCAUUUCAGCUAAGUUAAAUGUUAAGAUUGAGGUUAAACCUUUUAGAGGUUGCUCGCAAAAGGAUCAAACCUUUAUAAAAUUGUUUAAAUGAAGGUCAAACCUCUUAAAAUAGACAAAUAAGGGCCUAACCUUUUAAAAGGUGUUCAAAUAAGGGUUUCUCAAAUUUUGUAUAUCAGGUUAUGUAUUUUACUCUAAACACAUCGACAUUUACCUAUUUUUUCUAUAAAUUGGGUUGAAGUGCAUGAAAAAACCUUAUUUAAGCACUUCUGUAAAGGUUAAACUCUUAUUUGACUAUUUUGAAAGGUUUGAUCCUUAUAUAAGCAACCUCUAAAAGAUUGAGUACUAAUUUGACAAGAUUGAGAAAUACCUAAAUUUGUUUUCAUGAAUCAAGAAAAUAAAAAAGAAAUGUUGAGAAAUAUUUUAGAGAUUCUUAGCUUUGACAAGUUCCCUCCAUCAUCUUCCUGCCUCCAGUCCCACCUCUUCUCUUAUGCUCCUCCCAGCUUCUUGCUUUUUGUGUGUUGAAAUUUCAAAGGAACAAAAUAUCAACCUACAUCAUAAGGCACGAUUGCCAGAACUUUACUUUCUAGCCUGUCGAUCCGAUCCAAUGAAAGAAGAACAAAGAGUCUCAAGAUCUGUCAACUUUAUUUCAUUUUCAUUUUCUUUGUCAUUUUCUAUGUUUCAUGUCGAAUACAAUGAAAGAACAUAGAAAAAUGUUGCCUAUUUAUUUCCCAAUCAUCAUGAAAUUACUUGCCAUAGACUUAGAAUUUUCUCACCAAUUUUCAAGCAAUCUGACAUGAUUUCUCAAUCACAAUUAAUUGAAUUCAAGAUCUUUUUAGAUGACACAAACAUUUCAAUUUUAACACAAACCAAUAUUUAGGUUGUACUUCAGUGCUUGACAAGCACUUUCACAUUUGUGGGAUAAGAACUCUUAACAUUUUAGGAUCACAUUUAAUUCAAUUGCAUUUAAGACCUCACGAUUUUAUUCUAUAAUUUCAGUCUUAUCAGCCUUUUCGGAAACAAUAAAACGUCGACAUUAAAUUUGUUGUUGAUGCAUUCAAUUUUUUGAGGGGUCUUUGGAGUUAUAUGUGACUUUAGCAUUGACUGACUUUUUUAUAAUUAAUCUUUUAUAAUAUAUCAAUUUUAAUAACAUCGACAUGUUUUUUAGUAGGGUCUAGCAAAACCCAAUUAAAACCGAUGAUAUUGGCUUAGUUGACUCGGUCAAGUCCAUUAGAUUGAUAAAAUCAAUUUUAAAAUCAGUUAUAAUGGAUUAAGGUAAUUAAUUAUCGAGUAAUGAAAUACAUAAUCAAAUCAAUUGAUUUUGUUAGAAACUAAAAGAAAAUGAGAUAAGCUGAAAACUGAUUGCCCUUUAUUAAAAUUAACGAAUCCGCCCUUUACGUAUUAGAUAAUACGAACAUCACAUAUAUAAUAAGAAAAAUUACGUAUGAUUAUUUAUUAUCAUAAAAGGUUAGUUUAAAUUUAAAGUAAUCUAAUAUGUUUAUUGAACUUCAACUAUUAAAUAAAGUAUAAGCUAAAUAAGUAUAAAUAUUCUAGAAACCAUUUCUAACUGAUGAUAGGCUAAUUCGAUUAAUUUAUAAAAACUACAUAGUAGGGUUAUAGUCCUCAAACUACACCUAAUUUAAUAAUAUUUAUAGUUUUUUUUUUAGCCUUAAACAUUUAUAGUUUUUUGUUAAUUUGGUCCUUACUCUUUAAAAUUACAUAAAAAUUGCAAAAAAAAUUAAAAUUAAUUUUUUUUCAUAAUUUUAAUAACAUUUAUAGUUUUUUUUUUGUGUGUGGUUUGGUAACUUAUCAACUCGACUCUCACUUGUAACCAACUUUUCUAACCUUUUUCGUACCCUUAACCUAAGUCCCGUUACAACUUUCUAAAGACCUCUUUAUCAGUGUAUCAUGUCGGUUUGUUUUAUAAUGGUGGAGAUUUGUUUUUUGUAGUGGCACGAUUGCCAGAACUUUACUUUCUAGCCUAUCGAUCCGAUCCAAUGAAAGAAGAACAAAGAGUCUUAAGAUCUGUCAACUUUAUUUCAUUUUCAUUUUCUUUGUCAUUUUCUAUGUUUCUUGUCAAAUACAAUGAAAAAAGAACAUAGAAAAAUGUUGCAUAUUUAUUUCCCAUUCAUCACUCUAACAGGCCCAAUUAGCCCAGGCCCAAACAUUAAUAAAAUGUCUAGAUUACAAAAUAAUCAACUAAAAAUUAAAAGCUCAAAAAAUAAAAUAAAACCCAUUAUAUUAACCCAAAACCCCAGCCCAAUUACAUUGAAACCCAAAAAAAAAAUAGUUUUCAGAAACCCCUAGGGUUUCAGAAGCCCCUCAAUGUUAUUUUGUAUAUCUAUUUAUCUUUUUAAAUUUUCGAUAUUGUCUUGUUUUGUUUUUGUAUUAUUGUUGUUACCAUCAUUAUUCAUUAUUAUUAUUGUUGAUUUUAUUGUUCUUUGAUUAAUGUUAAUGUUAGAGUAAUAGAUGUUAUGUGAUCAUUGUUAUUAUAUGUUAUAAUUUGUUUACACUCGUAUUGUAGUCAUUUGUCAGCUUAAUAUUUUGAGUAAUAUUUUAAAUAUUACAUUAAUUUCGACCCAAAUGCAUAAUUUUUUAAUAAGUAAUAUUUUAUAUUUUGAAAUUUGAGAGAUCAUUCCCUAACUUACGGGGUCUCAAUUUUUUCGAUAAAUCUGAAUAUACUAACUAUUUUCAAAAAAUAUGUUUUAAAAUUAUCUCGGGAAUUUAAAAAGGAGCGUGUUCUAACUUACUGAAUAUGAUCUUUUUUUUAAAAUCGAGAUAAUCAAAUAACUUUCAAAUAAAUAAAUUUUCAAUGUUUAUUCUCAUAUCAGGAUUUAAAAUAUUAUAUCCUAACUCACGGGAUACAAUUCUUUUUCUCGAUUAACAUGAAAUAUGCCCGUUUUAAUUUUAUUUUUUAAGUGAUUUUAACAAAAGGAUUGUAUUUUAAAUCUCUUCAAAAUUUUCAAUUUUUCGACAUUGAGACAUUAACUAAUCAAUUAGGUACCAAUUUUGGGCGUUACGAGGGUGCUAACCCUUCCUCAUACGUAACCGACUCCCGAACCUAUUUUUCUGAAUAUUGAAGGCCAAAAUUGUUUUAAUAAAUUAAACCCUUAAGACGUGACCCCAUCACACCUCAUAAAAAUUAUCGGUGGCGACUCUCGUUUGCGUUUUUGUUUUCGUUUUCAAAAUAAAAGUCGACCCCUUGUUUUAAAAAAGGUGGUUCGAUAGCUUGGCGACUCCGUUGGGGAAAAAAAUAAGAGAGUCAAGCCACGAGUUGAUUAUUUCUUAUUUUUUGUCAGAAAUUGUGAAUUCGAUUUAAAUUUACGAUCUUUUCAUUGCAUUUUAUGGUCUGCAUCAUUUUGAUAUGCUUGCUUUACUGGUUCGAGUCUUUUAAUCUCCGCAUAUUGCAUUGCAUAACCGUUCGGUUAUACCCUUUUAAGUGGGAGUGAGAAACUAUUCAUUUGUGAGAUUUUUACCUCCGUAUAGGAUAGUGGAUUACUUUCGGGAUACAUCCGUACCUAUGUCUUCGUGAGAUUUUCAUCUCCGUAUAGUUAUAGGGAAAUGUAUUCCCCUGAACUGAACUCAGUCCGUAUGAGCCUAUAAUAGGUAAGGAUUGAGGAAUCUGCUGGUUCAGGUACCCUUUCUUUAGAACUAAACUGCAUGUAGUGAGCCCUAAGAGCAUACCGUAGGUAGAACCACUCCAAACCCCUAGUGGUCACCCAAAUAGGUGCUCUAUUUAUUUUUGCUUGCUUAUUUUUGCAUUGUACUAACCUAUUUUUUUGUUAUGAUUGCAUUGCAUUUUCAUCAUAAAAAAGAUGUGUUGAUUCACGUUCAAUUGCUAAAUAGAGAGCUUGUCAUGGAAAACGGAUUUCUUGAUAAAGUGGAAGACAAUGUGGUUAUCCGGAUAUGGUCCAAGAAAAUUUGACGAAAGAAGGGUGAUAGUCUAAUGGAGGACUACACGACCUUGCUUUAUUGCCCGAGGAUUCAAGUUGACAAAGAUUAUUUGAGAGUCCUCAAUGUCCCGACCUUUUUCAAGAAGCUAACGAGUGUCACGAGGAUGAGUGAGUAAUGAGUUGCGGCCCGGAUCAAGCAAAAAAGAGAUAGAGGAGACACCCUUUUUGAAGAGUUCGCGAGAUUUAUAUUAAUAUCAAAAUGAAGAAAAAGAUCAAUGUCUUCGCCUGGAGUAUGAAAGCAAAGCUGUAUAUAUAUCCGCUUUAUGUAAAUAAAUUUGUUUUCUAGUAAAGUUUUUCUAAUAGAAUUGAAUCAGAAUCAAUGUCUUUUUUUGCAUUCAUUCCAUUCAUCUGCAUUGCAUUUCAUUGCAUCCAAAAUUUCACAAAAGGACCCUAAUUAAUUGAAAUUGUUAUAGUUACUCUGAAAACUAAUAAAAAUCUACCAAUUAAAUAUUCCUACGGUACCCGUCGCAAAACCAAAGUAAUGGAUCAAAUAUUAGAAAGAUUAGAACAAAUUCUGAAAGACAAGCAUAAUCGUUUUUGCUUAGGGUACAAGCCAGAUACAAGACAAAGAAGGAAGGAGUUAGAGAAGAAAUAGGAAAGAAUGACAGCAUAUUUGAGCGAGGAUGAGGUCAAAUGGGAGCCUAUGAACUUUCCCUACAUAUCCAAAACUUUUGUAUCGGGAGGGAUUAUUCAUCCCGAGCGAAGAAUGCCAAGAGAAGAAAAUAUUGAAGAAAUGUUGGGAAACGUUCACAUCAAUGCCAUAUACGAAGAAGUAGUUGAAGGAUGGACCUUGUUAGAUAUCCGACCUUAUGAACCUGGGAGUGUGCUAAACAAUUGGACUACAGAAGAAAUUCCUGUAGUGUUUAGACCUUACUCAGAGUAAUAUUCAAAACACACUUGUUGCUUUUAGCCUAGAAGUGAUAAGAAUCCCUCUGUGAAAUAGGCUCAUGUAUAAACAUCAUUAUUUUAAUAAAGUAAAUCUUUGCAUUCAUUUUGAGCAAAUAUUCUUUUAUUCUUUCCAUACGAGUAAUUAUUUUAGAUUUUUCAUUAUUUUAGGAUUUUCUUCCAAAAAUCAUUCUUUUAUUACAUUCAUAAUCAUACUGUACAAAUAAUUAUUCUUAAAUUCAUUCAUUCUUUGUAUAUUCUUUUGUACCUAUAAUAGGUCCCUAGAUAUCAACGACAUGAGUGACGCUGCUACAGACUUAGAAUUUCCUUUUAAACAAGACAUGUGUUUAGAGGGAUCCCAUGACUUUGAAGAUGACGUAGACUGUGGCUUAUCUCCGGACUUGUUAAGGAUGGUAAAACAAGAGGAGAAGCAAAUCCUACUUCACAAUGAAUCAAUGGAAAUUGUGAGCUUAGAAGGGGAAAAUAGGUGAAGAUUGGGACUGACAUUGCCACAAAUACGAAGUAAGACCUCAUUGAGUUACUCUAAGAAUUCAAAGAUAUUUUUGCAUGGUCAUACUAGGAUACGCUCGGGUUAAGUACUGACAUUGUAGUACACUGCCUUCCUAUAAAAGAAGAUUGCUAGCCAGUUCAGCAGAAACUCCAGAGGAUGAGGCCUGAUAUUGUGCUAAAAAUAAAAGAAGUCAAAAAGUAAUUUGAUGUUGGGUUCUUACAAGUGGUCAAAUAUUCAGAAUGGGUAGCCAACAUCGUCUCAGUUCCUAAAAAAAAUGGGAAAGUACGAAUGUGCAUGGAUUACAGAGACUUGAACAAGGCCAGUCGAAAAGACAAUUCCCUAUUGCCUCACGUUGACACUUUGGUGGAUAAUACAGUAGGCUACUCACUUUUUUCCUUCAUGGAUGGCUUCUCUGGAUACAAUCAGAUAAAGAUGCAUCCAAAAACAUGGGAAAGAUUACAUUCGUGACCCUGUAGGAAACGUUUUACUAUAAAGUGAUGACAUUCAGAUUAAAGAAUAUGGGAGCGACGUAUCAAAGGGUGAUGGUAACCUUGUUUCAUGACAUGAUUUACAAGGAAAUCGAGGUUUAUAUUGACGAUAUGAUUGCAAAAUCUAGAACAGAAGAGGAACAUGUGCAGGUCCUGAGAAAAUUAUUCUUAAGACUGAGAAAGUUCUAGCUCAAGCUUUCCAACGAAAUGCACUUUCGGAGCUAGGUCAGGAAAGCUAUUAGGCUUCAUAGUCAGUGAAAAAGGAAUCGAGAUCAACCCAGACAAAGUCAAGGUAAUAAGAGAUUUACCUCCACUAUGCACUCAGAAGAAAGUUCGAGGUUUCCUAGGAAGACUAAAUUACAUUGCUCGGUUUAUUUCACAACUAACCGAAAAAUGUGACCCCAUAUUUCAUCUUUUAAAGAAACAUAAUCCAGAUGUAUAGGAUGAAGAAUGUCAGGAAGUUUUUGAUAGGAUAAAGCAGUACCUAUCAAAUACUCUAGUGCUGUUACCACCUAGCCCAGAUAGGCCACUGAUAUUGUAUUUAACAGUGUUUGAUAAUUUUAUGGGAUGCAUGCUAGGCCAACAUGAUGAGACAGGAAGGAAAGAAAGGGUUAUAUACUAUCUCAGUAAGAAAUUCACUGAUUAUGAAAUAAGAUACUCGUCUAUUGAGAAAUUAUGUUGUGCCUUGAUCUGGAUAACUCGGAGGCUAAGGCGGUACAUGUUGUACCAUACGACUUGACUAAUUUCAAAGUUAGACCCUUUAAAGUAUAUGAUGGAGUCAACUACUUUGAAUGGGAGGAUGGCCAGAUGGCAGAUUUUACUUUUUGAAUUUGACAUACUUUAUGUGAGCCAGAAGGCUAUAAAAUGGAGUGCAAUAGCGGAUUUUCUAGCUAGCAGAGCCUUGGAGGAUUAUGAGCCUUUAAAUUUUGAUUUUUUGAACGAGGACUUAAUGUAUGUGGCAACCACUAAAGAAAAUGCUCAAGUGGAUCGCAUUUGGAAGCUAAAAUUUGACGGAGCCUCAAAUGCUAUGGGUAAUAAAAUUGAGGCAGUCUUAGUAUCCCCGAGCAGAGAUCAUUAUCCUAUUGCUGGCAAAUUGGAUUUUGAUUGUACAAACAAUAUAGCAGAAAAUGAAGCGUGUAUUAUGGGCAUCCGUAUAGCCAAAGAAUGUAAAAUCAAAGUGCUAAAGGUAUAUGGGGAUUCUGCAUUGGUGAUAUAUCAGCUCAAAGGAGGAUGAGAGAUAAGAGACCUCAAAUUGAUUAAUUAUCGAAAGUUUAUUCUCGAAUUGAUUGAUGAGUUUGAUGAUAUUACUUUCUCCUAUCUCCCACUAGAUGAAAACCAGAUGGCUGACACGUUGGCUACUCUAGCUUUCAUGAUCAAAGUAAACAAACUAGAAGACAUGAAGCCUAUCCAGAUGAGCAUUUAUGAGACUUUGGCUCAUUGCUACAGUAUCGAGGAAGAGGAAAAGGAUGAUCAUCCUUGGUACCAAGAUAUACUGCAAUAUGUAAAGAAUCACGAGUACCCUGAUCAGGCAACGAAGAAUGAUAAGAGGACAUUGAGAAGACUAGCCACUAACUAUGUCUUACAUGGAGAGAUUUUAUACAAAAAGGGAAAGGAUCGGGUACUACUAAGAUGCUGGAUGCUAUAAAAGCUUAGAAAAUCUUGGAGGAAGUCCAUGAAGGUAUCUGCAAAAUGCAUGCCAACGGUUUCACAAUAGUAAGACAGAUUAUGAGAUUCGGGUACUACUGGUCGACCAUGGAAGGAGAUUGCAUCAAUUAUGCCAAGAAGUGCCAUAAAUGUCAAAUUUAUAGAGACAAAAUACACGCACGUUCUUCACCUCUCAACGUUAUGACUUCUCUAUGGCCUUUCUCUAUGUGGGAUAUGGAUGUCAUCGGGCCAAUAUUGCCAAAGGCUUCUAAUAGGUAUCGUUUCAUCUUCAUGGUCAUUGGUUACUUCACUAAAUAGAUGGAAGCUGAUUCAUAUGCUAAUGUCACGAAGUCAGGAGUCAGCAAGUUCUUGAAAAGGGAGAUCAUAUGUUGAUAUAUAAUGCCUGAAAGAAUCAUAUCUGACAAUACAUUGAAUUCGAAAAAUAGCAAAAUAGCGGAGGUCUGCAAUCAAUUCAAGAUCAAACACCAUAAUUCGUCACCAUAUCGCCCAAAAAUGAACGGAGCAGUGGAGGCGGCCAACUAAAAUACCAAGAAAAUUGUGGGGAAAAUGUCUGAGACUUACAAAGAUUGGCAUGAAAAAUUACCAUUUGCCCUCUUUGUUUAUCGAACAUCAAUCAGGACUUUCGUCGGGGCAACGCCUUUCUCUCUAGUUUAUAAGAUGGAGGCAGUUUUACCCAUUAAAGUUGAAAUCCCUUCUCUCUGGGUAUUGGCUGAGCUAAAGUUGGAUGAAGCUGAAUAGAUCCAACCUCGAUAUGAUCAGUUGAACCUAAUAGAAAGAAAAAGGCUAAAAGUUAUUCACCACGGUCAGAUGUACCAAAAACGAAUGAUGCGAGCCUACAACAAAAAAGUUCAUCCCAAAGAAUUCUAUGAGGGGGACCUAGUGUUGAAAAAGAUUUUUCCUCUACAAAAGAAUUUUAGAGGAAAAUGGAUGCCAAAUUAGGAAAGACCUUAUGUUGUAAUAAAGGCCUUUUCUGGAGGAGCAUUGAUUUUGAGUGAGAUGGAUGGUAAAAAUUUUCCUAAUCUUGUAAACUCAGAUUCAUUCAAGAAAUACUUCACCUAAAGAAGGAGAAGGGACCAAUGUGAAAACCUGCAAAGGGCACUUUGAGUCUUAAAAAAAAGAGACCAAGGUGAAAACCGCAAAUGGUGUCUUAAGUCCUAAAAAAAAGAGGCCAAGGUGAAAACUAGCAAAGGGCGCCUUGAGACCAAAGGGGAUUUGAGUUGAAAACCCGAAAAGAGCGACUCAAAUAUUGAUUAAAAUGGGGCAUGCAGUGAUCUUGCUAUACUUGAAUUAAUAGGAAAGGGGUAUACGACAUCUUGGGGCAUCGACAAAGUACUAUAGAUCUCCUAAACACAUUUCAAACUCAAAAUGGUCUUUAGGAAGUUUGUACAGAGAAAUUCAAGCUGCGAUGUCUAGGGCACCUAGUCUUCAUACUAUUUAUAUUAAAUUUGCUAUUCUUGGAAUACUUUAUUCUUUUCAAGAUACGUGUUCCCAAUCAAUUCCCUUUUUAUUCUUCUUUAUCCUUGAUAAUUUAUUCAUUUCGAGCUAUGCUCCAAAUCAAUUCUAUUCUUAUCCAUUGUUAUUAUCUUUUGCAAGCAUGUUGUAUUGGAAUAAUGAUUAAUAGACUAAUAAUACUUUUACAAAUAAAGUGCUGUAUAUUACUCUAAAAGUUUCUAAAUAAUACAAGAACCUAAAACAGGACUAUUGUUUAGAACGCACCGGGUUUAAAGGUUAGAAAUAUCUGAGAAGGAAGAGUCCAAAUUAAGACUAUCCCUUCGAAUUUUGUUGUCAAAAUAUUGAUUGAACAAAACGACAAGAUAUCGUAUUGGUGAACAAACGAGCAAUGAUCACCAGGUAAUAAAAAGAGGUUAUUUUGGAAAAAAAAUUACAUUGGUACGACACCUUAGGAAUGGUGUAAGAGACCAAAGAGGUUCACAUCUUGUAUUCUUGAAUUGCAAUAGGAGAGGAUUGAGAAAGAGCUAGAUAUUAUACUCCUGAAUUAUAAUGGAAGGGAAAUGGUACAAAUUUUAUGUACCAAAAGUACAGUGGAUUGAACCUUGAAGAUUACAGUAGGGGAAAUCUGAUUAAGUAAAAUAUGAAGUGUUUCUUUGGAGAUACCAGUCGAACAAGAUGGCAUUAUGACGUGUCGGUGAUAGAGCCUUAAUGAAUAAUGAGCAAUAACAACUCAAGCAUUAAGGGAUCAUUUUCAUAACAUUCUGUAUUCAUUCAUACACAUCUAGUUAGGAGAUUUUGAUUCAUUCCGAUCAUAACAUCCAAAUCACUAGACAUAAAUAGGCCCAUGAAAUGGAUUCUACAGGUCAUGUUCCCCAUAGAACAGAUGGGUGAAACCACAAAUCCUAUACCGCUGAAGUUGCAGUGGGAUGGAUUGAAGUCAUUAUGGCGAGUCUUAUCUCCCUGAAGUUGCAAUGGAGCAUAUUAAAGCUAGUAAUCUUAUCUCCCUGAAGUUGCAGUAGAGCGGAUUGAAGUUACAAGUCUUAUCCCCCUAAAGUUACAGUGGAGCAGACUGAAGAUAGUGAAUCUUAUUUCCCUGAAGCUGCAGUGGAACAAAUUGAAGCUAUAAAUUGUAGAUUUUAUCUCUCUAAAGUUGCAAUAGAGAAGAUCAUAUCAAACUUUAUCUCCCUGAAGUUGUAGUGGAACAGGUUGAAAAUACCAAUCUUAUCUCCCUGAAGUUACAGUGGAGUAGACUGAAGAUAGCGAAUCUUAUUUCUCUGAAGUUGCAGUGGAACGGAUUGAAGCUAUAAAUUACAGAUCUUAUCUCUCAGAAGUUGCAGUAAAGCAGAUCAUAGAAAACCUUAUCUCCCUGAACUUGCAGUGGAGUAGGUUGAAGUUAUAAGUCUUAUCUCCCUAAAGUUGCAGUGGAGCAGACUGAAGAUAGCGAAUCUUAUUNNNNNNNNNNNNNNNNNNNNNNNNNNNNNNNNNNNNNNNNNNNNNNNNNNNNNNNNNNNNNNNNNNNNNNNNNNNNNNNNNNNNNNNNNNNNNNNNNNNNNNNNNNNNNNNNNNNNNNNNNNNNNNNNNNNNNNNNNNNNNNNNNNNNNNNNNNNNNNNNNNNNNNNNNNNNNNNNNNNNNNNNNNNNNNNNNNNNNNNNNNNNNNNNNNNNNNNNNNNNNNNNNNNNNNNNNNNNNNNNNNNNNNNNNNNNNNNNNNNNNNNNNNNNNNNNNNNNNNNNNNNNNNNNNNNNNNNNNNNNNNNNNNNNNNNNNNNNNNNNNNNNNNNNNNNNNNNNNNNNNNNNNNNNNNNNNNNNNNNNNNNNNNNNNNNNNNNNNNNNNNNNNNNNNNNNNNNNNNNNNNNNNNNNNNNNNNNNNNNNNNNNNNNNNNNNNNNNNNNNNNNNNNNNNNNNNNNNNNNNNNNNNNNNNNNNNNNNNNNNNNNNNNNNNNNNNNNNNNNNUCAAAGGAACAAAAUAUCACCUACAUCAUAAGGCACGAUCGCCAGAACUUUACUUUCUAGCCUGUCGAUCCGAUCCAAUCCAAUGAAAGAACACAAGGAGUCUUAAGAUCUGUCAACUUUAUUUCAUUUUCAUUUCUUUGUCAUUUUCUAUGUUUCAUGUCGAAUACAAUAAAGAGAACAUAGAAAAAUGUGGCCUAUUUAUUUCCCAAUCAUCAUGAAAUUACUUGCCAUUGACUUAGAUUUUCUCACCAAUUUCAAGCAAUCUGACAUGAUUUCUCAUCACAAUUAAUUGAAUUCAAGAUCUUUUUAGAUGACACAAACAUUUCAUUUUAACACAAACCAAUAUUUCGGUUAUACUUCAGUGCUUGACAAGCACUUUCACAUUUGUGGAUAAGAACUCUUAACAUUUUAGGAUCACAUUUAAUUCAAUUGCAUUUAAGACCUCAUGGUUUUAUUCUAUAAUUUCAGUCUUAUCAGCCUUUUCGGAAACAAUAAAACGUCGACAUUAAAUUUGUUGUUGAUGCAUUCAAUUUUUUGGGUCUUUGGAGUUAUGUGACUUUAGCAUUGACUGACUUUUUUAUAAUUUAAUAAUAAGGUAAAUAUAUUAAUUUUAAUAACAUCGACAUGUUUUUUAGUAGGGUCGAGCAAAACCCAAUUAAAAUCGAUGAUAUUGGCUUAGUUGACUCGGUCAAGUCCAUUAGAUUGAUAAAAUCAUUUUUAAAAUCAGUUAUAAUGGAUAAAGGUAAUUAAUUAUCGAGUAAUGAAAUACAUAAUCAAAUCAAUUGAUUUUGUUAGAAACUAAAAGAAAAAGGGCUAAGCUGAAAAUUGAUUGCCCUUUAUUAAAAUUAACGAAUCUGUCUUUUACGUAUUAGAUAAUAUGAACAUCGCAUAUAUAAUAAGAAAAUUACGUAUGAUUAUUUAUUAUCAUAAAAGGUUAGUUUAAAUUUAAAGUAAUCUAAUAUGUUUAUUGAACUUCAACUAUUAAAUAAAGUAUAAGCUAAAUAAGUAUAAAUAUUCUAGAAACCAUUUCUAACUGAUGAUAGGCUAAUUCGAUUAAUUUAUAAAAACUAGAUAGUAGGGUUAUAGUCCUCAAACUACACCUAAUUUAAUAACAUUUAUAUUUUUUUUAGCCUUAAACAUUUAUAGUUUUGUUAAUUUGGUCCUUACUCUUUAAAAUUACAUAAAAAAUUGCAAAAAAAUUAAAAAUUAAUUUUUAUCAUGAUUUAAUAACAUUUAUAUUUUUUUUUGUGGUUUGGUAACUUAUCAACUUGACUCUUACUUGUAACCAACUUUUCUAACCUUUUUCGUACCCUUAACCUAAGUCCCGUUACAAUUUCUAAAGACCUCUUGAUUGGUGUAUCAUCUCGAUUUGUUUUUAUAGUGGUGGAGAUUUGUUUUUUGUAGUGGGCAUGAUUGCCAGAACUUUACUUUCUAUCCUGUCGAUCCGAUCCAAUGAAAGAAUAACAAAGAGGUCUUAAGAUCUGUCAACUUUAUUUCAUUUUCAUUUUCUUUGUCAUUUUCUAUGUUUCUUGUCACAUACAAUGAAAGAAGAACAUAGAAAAAUGUUGCCUAUUUAUUUCCCAAUCAUCAUUCUAACAGGCCGAAUUAGCCCAGGCCCAAACAUUAAUAAAUGUCCAGAUUACAAAAUAACCAACCAAAAAUUAAAAGCCCAAAUAAUAAAAUAAAACCCAUUACAUUAACCCAAAACUCCAGCCCAAUUACAUUGAAGCCAAAAAAAUAGUUUUUAGAAACCCCUAGGGUUUCUGGAACAAUCCGCGCCGCUCCUCCAUCCGCUUCUCCACGCACGCUGCACCUUUCCACGUGCGCCUCCAGCUGGCAGUGUACCUCCAAUGCAACAAACAAAGCAACAAGCAGCAAAAGAAAUGGAAAAACAACAAAAAAAAAAGAAGGAGCAACAAUGUAUAACAGAUUGAUAACAAAUAAUAGAAAAAAUAGCAGUAAAUAGGAAAAAAAAUUAAAAAAUAAUGAGGGUAAUUUCAUUUUUUUCUCUGUUUUGGCUAUAAAGAGAGCCGGUCAAAAUCUCUAAAGGGGGAUUUAGAAUCAAUCAGAAAACAAGUAUUUUGUACCAACAAUUAGAGAAAAAAAAUACAAAAAUAGGGAUUGAAGGUUUUUUUUUUCUUUCGUUUCGAUUUAUUUAAAAUAGCAUAGAAAAUAAAAAGAAGGCUUACCUUGCGACGCCUUCAGAUCCUCUCGAAAAGGGGCUAAAAGGCCCUAUGUGGCACAGAUUUGACCACUGUUCACGGUGGAACCGCAGCGGAGGCGCAGAGGAUUGGCAUCAAUUUAGGCAGGGUUUGAAACCCUAGCAGAGAAAAAAUUAGGGUUGAUAGAUUUUUUUUAAAAAAAUGGCAAAAUGUUGUUUUUAAAAAAUUUUGUUUUAAAAAAAUUGUUGCUUUUAUAAAGGGUGUAAAACGGCGUCGUUUAGGGCAUGUUUCGAUGGCCCCAAAACGGCGCCUUAUAAGGCAACCCCCGACGACCCGACCUGCUCCAUGGGGGAUCCGCGUGGUUUUUGUUAAAUGGGUUAUGUCUAACCCUGGCCCUUCUACUUUUUAUACUUGUUUUAAUUUGAUCCUCUUUUUAUUUAUUUUUAUUUCUUUAAAUUAAGCCUGAUAAUUUUUUUCCAUUACAUUUUAAUCCUUAAUGAAACGGCGCGUUUUAGAGGAGAAGGGAAAAUUACCCUUCUAGUCCCUUCUUGUUAUUCGAGUGUUCAGAAGGGUCCUUUUUUGUUUAUUUUUUAUUUGCCCCAAAAUUUUGUUUUAAAGCUUAAUUUAGUCCUAUUUUGUUAUUUUAGCUAUUUUAUUAUUAGAUUAAUUAAUUUAAUAUUAUUAUUACUGCUAUUAUUUUACCCCUAUUAGUUAUAUAUUUAUUAUUAUAACUAUAUCAUUAAAUCAAUUAGUUUUUACAUUAUUAUUUCCAUUCUGUUUUUUAUUUACUUACUUAAAUACUUUAAAUGCAUUUAUUUUAUUUCUUAUUUUUUUAUGAAAUUUCAAAACUUUAGACUAUUUUUUUGUUACUAUAACCCUAAUUUCAUUCAUUUUAUAAUAGUUUUUUUUUAAAAUAUUUCUUAGAUUAAUUCCCUCGAUGUUAUUUUGUAUAUUUAUUUAUCUUUUUAAAUUUUCGAUAUUGUCUUAUUGUAUUAUUGUUGUUACUAUCAUUAUUCAUUAUUAUUGUUGAUUUUAUUCUUCUUUGAUUAAUGUUUAUGUUAGAGUAAUAGGUGUUAUGUGAUCAUUGUUAUUAUAUGUUAUAAUUUGUUGACACUCGUAUUGUAGUCAUUCGUCAGCUUAAUAUUUGAGUAACAUUUUAAAUAUUACAUUAAUUUUGACCCAAAUGCAUAAUUUUUUAAUAAGUAAUAUUUCGUAUUGUGGAAUUUGAGAGAUCAUUCCCUAACUUACGGGGUCUCGAUUUUUUUGAUAAAUCUGAAUAUAAGAACUAUUUUAAAAAAAUACGUUUUAAAAUUAUCUCGGGAAUUUAAAAAGAAGCGUGUUCUAACUUACGGAAUAUGAUCUUUUUUAAAAAUCGAGAUAAUCAAAUAUCUUUCAAAUAAAUAAACUUUUCGUGUUUAUUCUCGUUUUAGGAUUUAAGAUAUUGUGUCCUAACUCACGGGACACAAUUCUUUUUCUCGAUUAACGUGAAAUACGCCCUUUUUAAUUUUAUCUUUUUAAGUGAUUUUAACAAAAGGAUUGUAUUUUAAAUCUCUUCAAAAUUUUCAAUUUUUCGACAUUGAGACAUUAACUAAUCAAUUAGGUACCAAUUUUGGGCGUUACAAGGGUGUUAACCCUUCCUUGUACAUAACCGACUCCCGAACCUAUUUUUCUGAAUAUUAUAGGCCAAAAUUGUUUUAAUAAAUUAAACCCUUAAGAGGUGACUCGAUCACAGCUCAUAAAAAUUAUCGGUGGCGACCCUUGUUUUAAAAAAGGUGGUUUCAACAGCUUGGCGACUCCGCUGGGGACAAAAAUAAGAGUCAAGCCGCGAGUUGAUUAUUUCUUAUCUUUUUGUCAGAAAUUGUGAAUUCGAUUUAAAUUUAUGAUCUUUUCAUUGCAUUUUAUGGUCUGCAUCAUUUUUAUAUGCUUGCUUUACUACUUCGAGUCUUUUAAUCUUCGCAUAUUGUAUUGCAUAACCGUUCGGUUAUACCCUUUUAAGCGGGAGUGAGAAAUUAUUCUUUCGUGAGGUUUUCACCUUCGUAUAGGAUAGUGGAUUACUUUCAGGAUACAUCCAUACCUAUGUCUUCGUGAGAUUCUCAUCUCCGUAUAGUCAUAGGGAAAUGUAUUCCCCUGAACUGAACUCAGUCCGUAUGAGCCUAUAAUGGGUGAGGAUUGAGGAAUCUGCUGGUUCAGGUACCCUUUCUUUAGAACUAAACCGCAUGUAGUGAGCCCUAAGAGCAUACCCUAGGUAGAACCACUCCAAACCCCUAGUGGUCACCCAAAUAGGUGCUCUAUUUAUUUUUGCUUGCUUGUUUUUGCCUUGUACUAACCUAUUUGUUAUGGUUAUGAGUGCAUUGCAUUUUUAUCAUAAAAAAGAUGUGUUGAUUCACGUUCAGUUGCUAAAUAGAGAGCUUGUCAUGGAAAACGAAUUUCUUGAUAAAGUGGAAGACAAUGCGGUUGUCCGGAUAUGGUCCAAGAAAAUGUGAAGAAAGAAGGGUGAUAGUCUAAUGGAGGACUACACGACCUUGCUUCGUUGCCUGAUGAUUCAAGUUGACAAAGAUUAUUCGAGAGUCUUCAAUGUCCCGACCUUUUUAAAGAAGCUAACGAGCGUCACGAGGAUGAGCGAGUAAUGAGUUGCGGCCCGGAUCAAGCAAAAAAAAGAUAGAGGAGACACCCUUUUUGAAGAGUUCACGAGAUUUAUCUUAACAUCUAGACGAAGAAAAAGAUCAAUCUCUUUGCCUAGAGUAUGAGGGCAAAGCCGUAUAUAUAUCCGCUUUAUGUAAAUAAAUUUGUUUUCUAGUAAAGUUUUUCUAAUAGAAUUGAAUCAGAAUCAACGUCUCUUUUUGCAUUCAUUCCAUUCAUCUGCAUUGCAUUUCAUUGCAUCUAGAAUUUCACAAAAGGACCCUAAUUAAUCGAAAUUGUUAUAGCUACCUUGAAAAACUAACGAAAAUUUACCAAUUAAAUAUUCCUAUGGUACCCAUUGCAAAACUAAAGUAAUGGAUCAAAUAUUAGAAAGAUUAGAACAAAUGCUGAAGGAUAAACAUAACUGCUUUGGCUUAGGGUACAAGCCAGAUACAAGACAAAGAAGAAAUAGGAAAGGAGAACACGUUUGAGCGGGGAUGAGGUCAAAUGGGAGGGAUUAUUCAUCCCAGGCGAAGAAUGCCAAGAGAAGAAAAUAUUGAAAACAUGUUGGGAAACGUUCACAUCAAUGCCAUAUACGAAGAAGCAAUUGAAGGAGUGACCUUGUUAGAUAUCCGCCCUUAUGAACCUAAGAGUGUGCUAAACAAUUGGACUGCAGAAGAAAUUCUUGUAGUGUUUAGAGCUUACUCAUAGUAAUGUUCAGAACACACUUGUUGCUUUUAGCCUAGAAGUGAUAAGAAUCCCUCUGUGAAAUAGGCUCAUGUAUAAAAAUCAUUAUUUUAAUGAAGUACAUCUUUGCAUUCAUUUUGAGCAAAUAUUCUUUUAUUCUUUUCAUACGAGUAAUUAUUUUGGAUUCUUUAAUUCUUUUGGGAUUUUCUUCCAAAAUCAUUCUUUUAUUACAUCCAUAAUCAUACUGUACAAAUAAUGUAAUAGCCUGAAUUUUCAGUGGUGUCGGAAUGGUGAUUCAAGAUCACUAAGUCUGACAAAUGAGUAGAAAAUAUUAUUAAUUUAGUAAGAAUAAGUAAAUGUGAAGUUAGGAAAAUUUUUGAAAUAGUGAAUAGUGUACUAGGAAUAAAUAUUAAAAUAAUUAAAAUAAAAAAUGAGGUAUCGAGACCUCGAAGAUUUUAAACCAAGCCAUAAGUACUUUUAGAAGUAUUUUUAGAGUGUCAUUGAGUUGGUAUUAAAGUUUCGUUAGAAAAUUUUAACGCUCGGAUAGUUAAUUAACCAAAAAGGACUAAAUUGAAAAUAGUGUAAAAUUUGUUAAAUUGUGAUUAAAUAGCUUAAGUGAUUAAAAAGGAGGGAUUUAAAAGGCAAUUAGGCCCAAAUUAUAUGGGCUGGACGGUUGGGUAAGAAAAAUCAGCAGAAUGUAAGGAGAAAACAGGGGCAAAAUUGGAAACUUAACAAAUUAAACAUAUAAAACAAAGACAAAAGUGAAAAAUCUAGAGAUCUGUUCACAAUUUAUCAGCAAAAAUGCCAUAGGAGGUCUGAAAGAAGCUGGUUUUUCAUAUAUUUGAAUCAUGUAAGUUUAAUUCUUGAUUAUUUCUUCUAAUUUUUGUGAUUUUGAUACUUUUACAAUUAGGUCCAACUAAUUAUUUCAUUAGUUUUUGAUUUCAUGGCUGAUUUUGAAAGUUACCAUUGAUGAGUGUUGGAUUUUUAUGAUGAAUAAACAUGGAAUUAAAGCUUUAAUUUUGUUAUAUGAUGAUUUUAUUAAGUAAUUUUGAUAGAAAUUGAUUUUUGGGACCUAAUUGUGAAAAAGUUUGGAAUUAGGGUUUGGUGUUGCGGUUUUGAAUAUGAAAGGCUAUGUAGUAGUCUAAAAUAGUUGGAAAAGGUGUUAAUUGAGAAAAAUUAGAUCAAUUGAGGGGUUAAUUGAGUAGGACCAAAUUGUAAAAACUGUAAAGUUUGAGGUAAAAGUGUAAUUUCGAAAAUUUAAGGGCAUAAAUUGUGAAGUGAAUUAGAAUAGAAUUAUAUGCUGAUGAAUGAAUAAAUUUGUAUUUUAGAUCGAGAACCCGAAGCAAGCCGAGGAAAAGAAAAAGUAGUUGAUUAGUCCCUGAACUUUUACAAAUUCUGCAAAUCGACCCAGGUAAGUUCAUAUGGCUGAAAUUUAAUGAUUAAAUGUUAAUUUCAUGAAUUAUGUAAUGUAUGAUGAAAUGUAUUUAGUGUUGAAAUGAGAGUAAAAUAAAAAUGCGAAAAUCGAAUAAAUGAUCAAAUUAAGCGGAACGCCGGAUUUGAGUACUUCUGAUCAAGAGACAAAGUGAUAAGUGGUAGCUUUAGCUACACUUAUCUGAUCAAGUGAAAAAGUGAUAAGUGCUACACUUAUCUGAUCAAGAGACAAAGUGAUAAGUGGUAGCUUUAGCUCACUUAUCUGAUCAAGUGAAAAAGUGAUAAGUGCUAUACUUAUCUGAUCAAGUGACAAAGUGAUAAGUGGUAGCUUAGCUACACUUAUCUGAUCAGGGCCAAAUGAUAAGUGAUCAUACGUAAGACCAUAGUUAUACUAUGGCCAAGUGAAAGUGAAGUACUCAAUUUUCCGUAACCGUUCCUUAAUUUUGAUCAAGGAUGGUAAGUGACAAAUAGGCCCAAAGAAAUUAUGGUAAAAGAAUAAGUAGUAGUGAGUUUAUACCAAGGAACUCUCCAAAGAUUGUGGUUGACAAGUAAACUUAGUAAUGGUGUAUAUUGUAUAAGUGUACAAAUGUUUGGUAAGAUUUAUGUUUGUGCCUAUGAACUUACUAAGCUUUUCUAUAAGCUUACAUGUGUGUGUUUAUUGUUUUUCUAGAUUAACGUAUUUAUACAUUCGGAGGAUCGGAUCUACUUCGAGAAUCACACUAUCCAGAUAUACUCCGGUAGAUUUUGUUAAACAACUUUUUGGAUUUAUAUGGCAUGUACAGAGAAUUGAAGUAAAAAGUAAUAGAAUGAAUGACUGAGUAUGCAAAGUAAAUUUGAAUGUGAUGGUUGUGUUAGAUAUUGAAAAAUACAUGUUUUUAGUUUGAAAUGGUUGAUUGGCUGAACUUCGUUAGUAUUCAAGUGAAGUAGUUGAAAUACUGGAAUUGGUUGUGAUUUGAAAUUUGCAGGGAAGGUUAGAUAAAUAUAAAGGGGUUAUAUUGAUUUUUUUUUUAAAUUUCAAUGGAAUAAUUUUUGGACAGCAGCAUUGAUGUAACUUUUAAAAAUCACCAAAAAUAGUGGAAAUAGAAUUAGAAGUUGAAUGAGAUAUGAAAUUAAAUCUGAAUGAGUCUAAUUUCACAUGAAAGAAGUAGAAUAAGAAAAAGAGUUAUAUAUUUUUAGAUAUUUGAAUUUUAGUGAAACAGGGCAAGAAUGUUUUUGAAGUCCCCUGUUCUGACUUUAGAAAUUUAGUAAAAAUUGUACAAAAGGAAUUAUGAAUUAUAAUUUAUAUGUUUAAAUUCCGUAAUGAGUAUAUUUUAAGUAGAAAUAAUUGGAACCACCAUAUGAAGUCUUUGCAAUGAGAUAAUUGAAUUUUAGUGACAAGAGGUCAGGAUAGUCAAUUAGUGAAAUAGGGGAGACUUCAACUAAUAAACUGUAUUAAUUUGCUAAACCAAAAAUUCUGAAAAAUUUAUGGUGAAUAUACAUAUGAGUCUAGUUUGAGGGAAAAUUUACGGAUCUAAAUUUUUAGUUUCGUAUCUUGAGUUAUAAUUAUUUUAGUGACUACUGCGCAUGUGGACAGCUUUGUUGUGAAUGGUGAAAUUAAUUUUUAAAGUAAAUUUUUAUGCCCCGAACUUUUAAGUUCAGUCAAGUAACGCCUUAUGCUCGACUCCGGCAACCGUCUUGGGUAAGGGGUGUUAUAAAUAAUUAUUCUUAAAUUCAUACAUUCUUUGUAUAUUAUUUUGUACCUACAAUAGGUCCCUAGAUAUUAACAACAUGAGUGACGUUGCUACAGACUCAGAAUUUCCUUUUAAACAAGACAUGUGUUUAGAGGGAUCCCAUGGCUUUGAAGAUGACGUAGACUGUGGCUUAUCUCUGAAUUUGUUAAGGAUGGUAAAACAAGAGGAGAAGCAAAUCCUACCUCACAAGGAAUCAAUGGAAAUUGUGAGCUUAGAAGGGGGAAAAGAGGUGAAGAUUGAGACUAACAUUGCCACAAAGACAAAGCAUGACCUCGUUGAGUUACUCCAAGAAUUUAAAGAUGUCUUCGCAUGGUCAUACCAGGAUACUCCCGGGUUAAGUACUGGCAUUGUAGUACACUACCUUCUUAUAAAAGAAGAUUGCAAGCCAGUUUAGCAGAAACUCUGAAGGAUGAGGCCUGAUAUUGUGCUAAAAAUAAAAGAAGAAGUUAAAAAGCAAUUUGAUGUUGGGUUCUUACAAGUGGUUAAAUAUUCAGAAUGAGUAGCCAACAUCGUCUCAGUCUCUAAAAAAGAUGGGAAAGUACGAAUGUGCAUAGAUUACAGAGACAUGAACAAGGCCAGCCAAAAAGAAAAUUUCCCAUUGCCUCACAUUGACACUUUGGUGGAUAAUACAGUAGGCUACUCACUGUUUUCCUUCAUGGACGACUUCUCUGGAUACAACCAGAUAAAGAUGCAUCCCAAAAACAUGGGAAAGACUACAUUCGUGACCCUAUGGGGAAUGUUUUGCUAUAAAAUGAUGUCAUUCGGAUUAAAGAAUGUGGGAGCGACGUAUCAAAGGGAAUGGUAACCUUGUUUCAUGACAUGAUGUACAAGUAAAUCGAGGUUUAUGUUGACGAUAUGAUUGCAAAAUCCAGAACAGAAGAGGAACAUGUGUAGGCCCUAAGAAAAUUAUUCUUAAGACUGAGAAAGUUCCAGCUCAAGCUUUCCAACGAAAUGCACAUUCAGAGCUAGGUUAGGAAAGCUGUUAGGCUUCACAGUUAGUGAAAAAGGAAUCGAGAUCAACCCAGAUAAAGUCAAUGCGAUACGAGAUUUACCUCUACCAUGCACUCAGAAGGAAGCUCGAGGUUUCCUAGGAAGACUGAAUUACAUUGCUCGAUACAUUUCACAACUAACCGAAAAAUGUGACACCAUAUUAAAAUAAAAAUAGAUUAAAUUGUAAGUAAAACAUAAUUUAAACAUAUGAAUACAUCAAAUUAAUAAUACUAAAUGAAUACAGUUAUUUAUGAUGAUGUUGUUGCCAAUUCCUAAUUUGGUGUCUAGUUAAUUUGUGACAUCAUAAAUUUAAGUGAUAAAUUUAAGGUUUUAUGUAUUGAUGUGGAUUCAAAUAUCACCAUAAUUUUUGUAAAUAAAAAACUAAUAAGAUAACUUAUAUUAAGUACGAAAGGGUAUUUUUAUAAUUUCUCUAAUCGAGUUGGUGCCCGGUUGACUCAUGACACUAACUCAAUCAGAAGCUUUAAUAAUAAUAUAGAUAUUCAUGUUAAAAAAACAAAAAAAAAGUACUUUAGUUCCAAAUAAUUAUAUAACAAGUAAAUUUAUAAUUGAUGAAUAAAUUUAUAAAUAAUAUAUUUAUAUGAUCUAAUAUAUUAUAUUUAUAUUAAUUAUAUAUCAUCUACAAACUUUGAAGAUCAAUUUAUUAAGUAAAAAUGAAAUUGUUAACACUAAAUCAAUUUUUAGAUUUUGUAUAGAUGAUUUAGUGAUGAUAAAAACAUUAUUAACACUAUUUUUUAAUUAACAAAAAAUUAGUGAUAUAUUUAAAUUAUAUUUAUCAUUUAUUAUUUUUAAUAAUAUUUUUUAAUUAUAUGAAGUAAAAUUAUAUUGUAUACUAAAUAUGGUACAUAUACUCUAAUUAUAACUUGAAAUUUUAUUAUAUAAAUUAAUAUAAAUUUGAAUAACAAAAUAAAAAAAAACUAAUUAGAAUAAUUUUAAAAAACAUUAUUUAAAAGUAGUUAAAAAUCACGUGCAACAGGUGAGAUCAAUGGUCUUUAGAGAAGAAAUGUUGAAGAUCAAAGUUGGAAUCUGGCCUAUAAGGCCUUUAAUUGCUUUAAUAUUAAGCAGUUCCAAACCAAGAAGAUUACCGAUUUCCUCAGGAAUUUGACCUGCACACAUGGUCGAAAAAUCAAUGUGUCAAACUACCUAUUUUGUUAGCAUAAGUCAAAGAGGUUUUCUUUUCUAUUCUACAUAAUUUGCAGAUGUUAGAUUUUAAUAUUUUUAAGCAUAUUUGUUUUCAUCAAAUUAACUAUUUUGAACUAUUUUGCCUUGAAUGAAAUAAAAUGCUCUUACUUUUGUUAUCUAUUACUAAUCAAACUCUUUUAUAAAAAAAAUACUUUAAACUAAAGAAACCAAGAAAAUUCAAUACCUUCUAGGUUAUUCAACCCCAAAUAUAAUUCUUUGAGUCGUGUCGGAUUUCCAAUACUUCUUGGAAUGAUCCCCAUCAAUUGAUUAUAGGAAAAUGACAAAAUUUUAAGGUUGUUGCAUUUGCUUAUACUUGACGGAAUGUUACCAUAUAAUUCAUUCCGACUCAAGUAAAGCCCUUCAAGCUUGGAAAGAUGUGACACAUAUCAUUAGGCAAGCUACCUGAUAGGCUAUUGUUGGAGAGAUCAAUGGCCUUCAGAGAAGAAAUGUUGAAGAUCGAAGUUGGAAUCUGACCUGUAAGGCCUUUAAUUGCUUUAAUAUUAAGCAGUUCCAAACCAAGAAGAUUACCGAUUUCCUCAAGAAUUUGACCUGCACACAUGGUCGAAAAAUCAAUGUGUCAAACUACCUAUUUUGUUAGCAUAAGUCAAAGAGGUUUUCUUUUCUGUUCUAUAGUAAUUUGGUGAUGUUAGAUUUUAAUAUAAUUCAGCACAUGUUUUUCAUCAAAUGAAAUAAAAAGUUUUUCCUUUUGUUAUCUAUUACAAAUCAAGCUCUUUUAUUAAAAAAAUACUUUAAAUUCAAGAAAUCAAGGAAAUUAAUUACCUUCUAAAUUAUUAAACCCCAAAUAUAAUUCCUGGAGUCGUGUUAGAUUUCCAAUACUUCUUGGAAUGAUCCCCAUAAAUUGAUUAUGGGGCAACAACAAAUUUUUAAGGAUGUUUCAUUUGCCUAUGCUUGACGGAAUGUUACCAGAUAACUCAUUGCUAUGCAAGUGAAGCCCUUCAAGCUCGGGAAGAUGUUGACACAUAUCAUUAGGCAAACUACCUAAUAGGCUAUUCCUGGAGAGAGCAAUAGUCUUGAGAGAAAAAUGUUGAAGAUCGAAGUCGGAAUCUGAUCUGUAAGGCCUUUAAUUGCUUGAAUAUUAAGCAUUUCCAAACUAAAAAGAUUACCGAUUUCUUCAGGAAUUUGACCUGCAGACAUAGUCGAAACAUCAAGGUGUUAAAUUUCCUAUUUUGUUAGUGUAAAUCAAAGAGGCUUUUUAUUUUUUUUCGUUAUGAAAUAAUAUGGAUAUGUUCGAUUCUAAUCAUAUUUAAGUAUAUAUUAGUUCUUGAAAGAAUGAGUUCUUAUUUUUGGUAUUUAUAUUGCAAAUAUAUAUUUUUUUAAAUUUAAAAGAAGGGAGGGGGCAAAUGUGUUUAAACUAAAGACAUCAAGGAAAAGGCAUACCAAGUAUAAUUGUUUAAGUUGUGUCAAAUUCCCAAUGCUUUUUGGAAUGAUCCCACUAAAUUGAUUAAUAGACAAUUCCAAAAUUUGAAGGUUGCAGCAUUUGUCUAUACUUGAUGGAAUAGAACUUGAUAAUUCAUUUCUACUCAAGUAAAGCUCUUUCAGCUUGGGAAGAUGGACACACAAAUCAUCGGGCAAGCCACCAGAAAGACUAUUAUCACAAAAAUGAAUCCUUUUCAAAGAAGAAAUGUUAAAGAUGGAAGAUGGAACCUGGCCAGAUAAUUGAUUGAAUCCCAAGUUCAAGAUCUCUAGAUUGGACAAGUUGACAAGUGUUUGAGGGAUCGUGCCUGUGAAGUUAUUAUUUCUCAUUUCCAACCUUUGAACUCUGUGCAAGUUCCCAAGCCAUGGUGGAAUUUCCCCAUUAAGACGGUUGUAGCUUAAUCGAAUGAUCCUCAAACGAUGCAAUUGGCCUAAUUCUUUAGCCAGAUGGCCGUAGAAAUUGUUGUUGCUCAAGUCGAUAGAAAAUAGAAAUGAAAGAUUUCCAAGGUGUGGAGGGAUAGUACCCCUAAGAUUCAUGUUUGUAAGAUUAAUCAAAGCUACAACUCUUUCAUGGAUGAUGCCACAAGAAACACCAACCCACUUACAGACAGAGGUAGAGUUCGUCCAAUUGUUUGCCAACACAUUUUGAGGAUCGACAAUGCGAUCUUUAAACUCAAAGAGUGCAAACUGAUCGGAGUUGAGAUUCCGGACUGUCAUAGCCAAGGAAACAAUAGAACAUUGUAUGAAUAAAAGUGAAAGAAGAUGAAAGCAAGUGUUGUAGUUCAUGAUGGCAAGACGAAAUAAGCCAGGAAAAGGGAAGUUGAAUUGAUGAAGAAAUAGCCAGCCAACAUGCUUAAAUAGGCUUCAACCCUUGCACACUUCUCAUACAUAAAGUUCGCUGCCAUUACAACAAGAAAACUCAUAUCUCCAUUCGUACCUAUCCAUACUUUAUUUGACUAACUUUUCCCUAACAAGUGUUCAGUAAGGAGAUAAAUCAGUUUGGAGCUAUUCACCGGCUUCUCCAAUCUUGGUUUCAAACUCCUAACCCAUCAAUUCACUUUAAUUGAAACGAUAUACACGAGUCUUUCGGCUUAUAUUUUUAAUUUAAUUUUUGUUACUUUUCAUAAUAUUUUUUGAGAAAUCCAAAUAUUCCAGUCUGAAAUUUCUUCAUUGCCACGUCUAUCUCCUGGGUAAGUCCGUGGUUAGGCAGCCCACUUUGGGAGCAGGAUUGUAAUUGUAAUUCUAUCCGACUCAUUUUACUAUUUAGAAAUAUAAAAGUAAUAUUAUAUUAUUUUUUAUAUUUUUAUAAAUUUAAUUUUAAUUAUAAUUUUUAAACAAUAAAACGAGUCAUUUGUAUUUGCCUAGUCUAAAUUGAAUCAGGAGUCAAAAAAAUUUUAAUCAUAAUUUACUAUUAUUUUAAUUAAUUAAAAUUUAACCUACUACAACUAGUAGUUGCAGAAAAAAUGUCAUUCCUUUAGAAAAACGAAAAUCCUUUAGAAAAAUGAGAACUUAUGAAGCAUUCAAUAAGAGUCAUUGGAAUAAAUGGUAACGAAAUCAUAAUUCAAUAUAAAGCUAAAAAAUGUACCAAUCUAUAUAAAUAAUGUAAGAUUUGUGAUACCUAAAUUAUUAUAUUUUCCAUAAAUAUAUGAAGAUAUUUUAUUAGGAAAUAAUUUUAUAUAUAAAAUUUUUUAUUUUCUUUUGAUAGAAAUUUAAUUAUGUUAUCUGUAGAAAAAAAUAUUUAUAGAAAUAUUAUUAGUAGAAAAUCAUAAAUUUGUGUGUGGCAAAAAAAAUUCACCACCAAGAAAGGGGCAAAUUAAACAACUUGAAACAAGUCAUUGGUUGUUUAAAAUAUUAGAUAAUAAUUUCAGUGAAGAAUCAUUAAAAUUAUGACAAAAUAACCCUAGAUAUUGUAGUAUUAAAUUGGAAAAUCUCAAUAAUAUUAUUAGAGUAAAACCUAUGAUCUAUCUAAACAAGAUAUAGAAGAUUUUGAUAUACAAAUUAAGGUUAGAAAUCAUGCGGAAAUAAAAAAGAAAAAAAAGCUAGUAUGGUCAUUAAUUAUAAAAGAUUAAAUCAAAAUAUUAUUUUUUUAUAGUUACUUGAAUUAAUCAGGCUAAACAAACAAAAUAUUUUAGUAAAUUUGACUGCAAAUCAGGAUUCUAGCAAAUCAUGAUAACAGAAAAGUCCAAACCUUUAACGGCUUUUAGUGCACCCAAUGGACAUUACCAAUGGAAAGUGAUGUCAUUUCAAUUAUGUGAUGCACCACAAAUCUUCCAAAGACGAAUGGAUUUUAUAUUUAAUAAAUAUAAAAAAAUUCUAUGUAGUCUACAUAGAUGAUAUUUUUUAUAUUUUUAGAUACACUAGAAUUACAUAAGAAACAUUUAAAUAUUAUUUCUUAAGAAUUCAUAAAAUAUAGAAUCAUAUUAAACCCUAAAAAUAUAGAGUUAGAAAAAAGAGAGAGAAUUUUUAUAAUAGUGGAAAUAAAAAAUUGUCCUCAAAAGAUUGAAGAAAAAAAGAACUUCCAACAAUUUCUAAUAUAUUCCUCCCAAAUUUUCAGUUUCAAUUUUAUUACAGAAUUUCUUUGCCGACAAUAAGAAAUUAAGAGCGCUCUUUAAGUUGAAUAUAGUCCGUCAGAUAUGGCUAUCUAUAACAUGGAACCUUUGGUUUUCAAGCUGAAUAGGAGAAUUGAUUCACUUGAUAAGUAUGAAAAAUUGAAACUGCUAAAUUUAAGUGCACUAACUCUGGAUAUCAUCAUUAUUUUUCUGUACAUUAAAGUACCUGUUUGAUAUGCGAUUUCUGCCUCAAACUAUCAACAUCUUUAACAUCCUUUUGCUAUAGUUAGCAUGGGUACUUCCUUUUAGAUUAACAGUUAGGUUUGAACUGUGAAUUAGAUUUCUGUGGCUGCUGGGAUUGAAGAAGUUAGUAUGCGAAUGACAUUGGACAAAUUUGGCAAAGUCUUCUCCAUCAGUGAAGAAAACCCCUUGGCGUAUGAAAAAUGUUCACCAUCUUAGACAUUUGUUUUCUUAUUGUAAGAAUAUUUUUAACAUUGUAACUUUUAACAUUAUUGUAAGAAUAUUUUGAAUUAUACUUCAGUUAUCAAUUUAUAUCAUAUAUCUUUUGUUGAAUUUGAAGUAUAAUUUAUAUUUGCUGUUUUUGGUUAGAUUUCAUGCUAUAGGAAGGGUUGUAUAUGGAUAGAAAUUGAAUGUUACAAAUCUGCCAAAGUUAGUGGCGUUUUUUCAUAAGAGCUGCUAAAGAAUGCUAUUUUUGGCGGUGUUUGUAAUAAAAGAGCCGCUAAAGGUCAUGUUCUUUAGCGAUGUUUGUGGGUAAAGCGCCGCUAAAGAUCAUGUUCUGUAGCUGUGUUUGUGGAUAAAGCGCCGCUAAAGAACAUGACCUUUAGCAGCGUAUUUUCACAUAAACGCCGCAAAAUUUAGCGGCUUUGUCUAUAGCGACUUUUUUUGCAGCGCUUUAAGUUUUAGCGGCGCUUUUAGGCCUAAAAAAGGGCCGCUAAAAGCCUGUUUUGCUGUAGUGAGCAUAUUUACAUUUUCGUCCCAAUUUCAACUAACACCCCAUCUAUUUCCCACUUCCCUUUUUCGGGCAAUUUCAACUAACACCUUCAUAUCAAACAUAACUAUUUUUCAAUUUUUCUUCUUUAUUUCAUUAAUAAAAUUAUCAAUCUAUUUGUUUUUAAAUAUAUAAUUUCAUUAAUAUUUUUUAAAUUAUAAUAUAAGAGUUGUUGUUUAUUUAUAGUUUUAUUACAUUAUUUACUCUCUCUUUUCUAUCAAGUUUUUUAAAUUAUAAUAUAAGAUUUAUUUUAUCAAUUUGUGGCUUAUCCAGUAUUCAUCUAUUUUAAUAAUAACUUGAGUUCCAGUCAUUAUCAUACCAGAAAGAGUUCCAUUUAUUCUUUAUCGUAAAUUUUAUAAAAAAAUAUACAUUUUAUUAUAAUACUAUAUGUGUUACGAAUAAUAUUUUAUUGUGGAUGCCCAUAAUUUUCAAAGUUGUAACCUCUAAUGUAGUAACCUUAAUGAAAUUAUGAGGCUUUUAUAUUGUAAUCAAGCCUCUAUUUAUUCUUUGUAACUUAAACAGAAGCAUAUUUUCUAUUAUAUUGAUAUUUUUUAUAGAUAUAUAUAUAUAUAUAAGGAAUCAAAUAAAAAGUUAUUUACCUUUCUAUUAUAUUGAUAUUUUCUAUUUGAUUUGUUCUUUUCUUUCACUAUUCCAUAAUAUAUUAUCAGUACGAUUUUAACCAAGAGUAACAUGUUAUUAGAUUGUGUCAAAAUUUUGUUGAGAAUCAUUAGAUUGUUUCCUUUUUCUUCUAUUUAGCCCCAAAUUGCACCCCUACACAAAAUUCAACAAAAACAUGGAAAAAUUAGUGGUGCACUCUCAUAAAUUAACCAAUUUAAUUACAUAAAAUAUGUAACUUUAGCAUUUUAUCAAUCAUGUUCUUUAGCGGCAUUUGUGGGUAAAGCGCCGCUAAAGGUCAUAUUCUUUAGCAGCGUUUGUGAUAAAAGUGCCACUAAAUAUCAUGUUCUUUAGCGGCGUUUGUGGAUAAAGCGCCGCUAAAGAACAUGACGUUUAGCAGCAUUUUUUUACAUAAACGUUGUAAAAUUUAGCGGCGUUGUCUAUAGCGACGUUUUUUGCGGUGCUUUCAAAUAGUUUUAGCGGCGCUUGUAGGCCUAAAAAAAUGCCGCUAAAAGUCUGUUUUGCUGUAUGAGCAUAUUUACAUUUUCGUCCCAAUUUCAACUAACACCCCAUCUAUUUCCCACUUCCCUUUUUCAGCCAAUUUCAACUAACACCUUCAUUUCAAACGUAAUUGUUUUUCGAUUUUUCCUCUUUAUUUCAUUAAUAAAAUUAUCAAUCUAUUUGUAUUUUAAAUAUAUAAUUUUAUUAAUAUUUUUUAAUUAUAAUAUAAGAGUUUUUGUUUAUUUAUAGUUUUAUUAUAUUAUUUACUCUCUUUUUUCUAUCAAGCUUUUUAAAUUAUAAUAUAAGAUUUAUUUUAUCAAAUGGUGGCUUAUCGAGUAUUCAUCUAUUUUAAUAAUAACUUGAGUUCCAAUCAUUAUCAUACCAGAAAGAGUUCCAUUUAUUCUUUAUCGUAAAUUUUAUAAAAAAAUAUAUAUUUUAUUAUAAUACUAUAUGUGUUAGGAAUAAUAUUUUAUUGUGGAUGCCCAUAAUUUUCAAAGUUGUAACCUCUAAUGUAGUAACCUCAAUGAAAUUAUGAGGCUUUUAUAUUGUAAUCAAGCCUCUAUUUAUUCUUUGUAACUUAAACAGAAGCAUAUUUUCUAUUAUAUUGAUAUUUUUUUAUAGAGAUAUAUACAUAAGGAAUCAAAUAAAAAGUUAUUUACCUUUCUAUUAUAUUGAUAUUUUCUAUUUGAUUUGUUCUUUUCUUUCACUAUUCCAUAAUAUAUUAUCAGUACGAUUUUAAUCAAGAGUAACAUUGUAUUAGAUUGUGUCAAAAUUUUGUUGGACUUCAAGUAUUGGAAUUUAAUUGUUUAAGUUAAGAAUCAUUAGAAUCAAUGGCUAUUUGAGAUAUGCUUGAGGAUGAUCUCAUUCUAUUCAUCACAAAGGUGGAGGUUAGAAAAUCUUUAUGUUUAAACAUUUAUAGCUUUAAAGUUAUUUUAACCUCUUAUUGUGACCUUAUAAUAUUUUGUAAUUUUUUGUAUUAUGGUAUAUAAAAAAAAUCUAACCAUAGUGAUUGAUUAGUAAUAUGAAUUUGUUAUUUGUUAUGUUUAAUAUAUAUUUUAUUUAUACUUAUUCAUUUUAUUUUUAUAUGAGUAAAUGAAGUGUUUGAAGAUUCGAAAUUUUUAUCAUCCAAGUUGAAAAUAAGUGCAAAAGUGUACAUUAUUUAAAAUAAAUUACGCAUUCAUUAAUGUUAUAUGAUAAAAUCAUUACAUGUUCUAAAGAACUAAUAUUGCAUCAAACUGUAAAAAGCUCUUGAAGAGUUAAUAUUUUACCUCCUUGUGAUACAAAAUCAUAUACAAUAUGAUAUUAUUUUUCAAAUCGAGUAGAUAUAUGUUGAGGGAAAUCUUUAUGUGGUUUACAUUAAAACCAUGGAUAGAAAUGACAUGAGAUACUCGUGUAUUUUUAUUAUAAAUAUUCCUUGAAGGAAGACACUUCACUUGUAUGAUUGACAUAUGAGAUAGUGGCAAGAAGUUCAUAGUGUUGGUAUGGUCGUCUAGAUCAUCUCAAAUCAAUAAUGAUGCAAAAUAAUUUGAAGAGAAUUUAUAUGAUUUUAUUGAAGAAUGAGAAGAUAUUUUCAUUUUGAUAAUUGUCAUCAAUACUAGUUCUUUGGAAAAAAAAUAUUGAACUAACAUAAAGUUAGAGGUUGGUUGCAUUUUUUGAUGAUAUCCAAAUAAUAUAUGAGCUCAUGUAUCACAUGUAUGCAACCCAAAGUUUACAGUAUUAUUUCUUGAAAUAAUUUGAUUCUACACAAUCUCUAUAGUAUGCAAUUUGUGCUAACAACGUUGGUGCAUUAUAUCCUAAGCUUGAUUUUCGUAGUUUUAGCUGAGAUAAUAUUAAGUUGUCUAUGCCUAUAUAUGUUAUACUUAAUGGUUAGCAAAAUUGUGCCUCCAUUUAAUUGCUUAACCAUUAAUAUAAGAAUAACUUUAAAAUAAGCAUGUAAUUUUAUUUGCAUAGAGUCAACAUGUAAGAAACAUUUGCCCCAUGAGAAUUGGCUUUCAUUUAUAAGCCAAUAGGUUUCAUAUGACUAUUUGGAUGUAAAAUAUCUAUUUUAUAUUCCACCAUAAUGCACUAAGAUGGUCCAUCAAGUAUGAAGUUGAGAAAAUUUAGAAUUUUUAUUUGAUGGUAAAAGUUGAAAAGAGAUAUAUACUUAUAAUUUUGAAAAAAAUAGUCAUGUUGCAAAUUUUUCUCAAUAUUAGGGGGAGACAAGUUGGACAAAUAAGGAUAAUUAUGUCAUCACUUUUUGUGAUCCCUCACUAAUAUUAUGUGCACAAAGUUUGAAGGAAAAAAGUAUUUGCUAGACAUGUUUAGUGAUGACACUUAGAGAUUGUAUAUACUAGAUGAUACAUAUACCAGCUAAAAUGUUCCAAAUAAUUAUGAGUCCUAGAAGGACAUAGUGAUAAAAAUAAUUUUUGGGCACGCUAGAAGGAUAAAAAACUAGUUCAUUCUAUAAAUCAAAAAAUUCUUGAAAGAAAAGAGUAAGAAAUGAAGCUGGCCACACAUUAAAGGAAACGAGUACUCAUGAAGAGACCUAAGGCAUAACUUUUAAUAAAACCCCAAAAGAGGUUCAAUACAUGGAAUUAUGAAUAUAAUAAGAUAUCUCGAUUAGUUAUAUCAUAACUAAAGAUGAUGGGGUUGAUAAAAGGAAAUUGUUGUUAACAACGAUAAUCUAAGUAGAACAUUUCAAUAUUAUGGUAAAAUGAGUAUUUUGAAUGAAAAUAUACUUGAAAGUAUUUAGAUGGGAACAACUCAUCAAAAUAAAUAGACGUUUCUAUUAUAACUUAUGAAAUGUGUCUCGGACAUGAAGUCCAAACAUUCGACAGGUGUAAAGCCAAGUGGAGUAUAUGUUAGCAUAAUAGUGAAAAAAUACAAAUCAUAAUAUAUAAAAUUGACUUGUAAGACAAACUUUCCCAAGACACUUGAUUUUGAUUAUGAAAAAUGAUUAAUUUGUGAUCUUAUCAAUUGAACAUACUUUGUAUAAUCAACAAAUUAUUAAUUAACCUCAUUUAACCAAUUUCCUUCAACACAUUUCAAAUCAAAUUAAUGUGUUGAGCACGCCCUUAACCCUUUUUCUUGAUUCAUUGCAUAGUCUAUUUCCAAGUACCAUAAUCAUCAACAUUUCAAUAUAUAAAGUCAUAACAUAAUGAAUCAUAGUUAGAAUUUUUUUUACCCUAUUAACCAAGUAUGGAACAAAAAUAAAAACCUAAUUUGUCAAGCUCAUUCAAUCAGCUUAUAUAUUAUAAGAAGAGCCUAAGUAUAAAUCCUAUACAUGAUUUCAAAUUCAACUAUUUAUAUUUGAGAUUCAAUUUAAAAUUCAUACUGAAAUUAUCAAAUUAACUCGUAAGCUACUCACGCUAAACAUUAAGGUACUCGAAUUCAAGUGGCUAGAUAUCAUAAACACUUUUAGCUUGUAAAACUAUUUCUAAGGGUCAGCCCAGAAUCAUGGUUGAACCCAAAAUCUGGUAACAAAAAUUUAAUUGAGCCAUCAGCCUAAAACAAAAAAGGCUUAAAAGGUUGGCACCCGAACAAUCAAAGAUAAACACCACCAUAUGCCACUCCCUGAAUCCGAUACAUACAAUAACACCCUUCACCACUUUUAUUCUUCUCCUUUUUUUUAACCUCAAUUUGGAUGGUCGCAUUUCUCUUUUUAGUGCUUUAUAGGGUUUGGGCUUUCAGAAUCCUCAGAGAUGCAAUUCAUGGAUCCCUCUAAGAAAUGCAAGCUUGAUGAAAAUGGUAUUAUUUCAACGGCAUCAGAACCUGACCCAAUCACCAAACUAACCCCACAAGAUGGCCGCAAGCUAAUCGAGCAAUUUAUCGUCGAUCAACUCCUUGACGUCCUCCAAGAUGCUGUUUGUUGUCACCUUGAUGUUCUUUCCGCCGUACACUCUAUUGCCGAUCAAGAUCCAUCUCAAAGGAAGCUUUUCAUCCGUGGUUGGGUUGGGAUACUACAACCCAACCCAACCCACAUUAGCAUACUACCAUGCGGUAACUUCUAGUGAUUUCUGUCUGUAACAUUAGACAGGUUAACAGUUAAAUCGUUCAACUGAAAGAUUUCUUUGAAGGAAGAGGUCAAUUGAUUUUUUUUGGAAUCAUUGUGUACUCAGUUGCAUUUAAGACGGGUAUCAUUCAUAAAGUAUAUAUCUACAUCAAGAAUGGUAGCCUCUUAUAUUAUAUUCAUGUAUUUAUUUUGCAUCUUUAAUUAUAAUAGGAUUUUUUUUGUUUAUUUAUAGUUUUAAUUAUAAUAUUUUUUAAAUAUGCCAAAGUAAAUUAUGUACCAAUUUUAAACUUCUCCUAGGUAAUUUAACGUAAGGGCAUUUAUGUUAUUUUACCACUUAUGAUAAAACUAACCUAAUUUUAGAUCUAAGUGUUUACCAACCUUCUUUUAGUCAAAUUAUGCAAGCCUAAAAUUUUUAGCUUAAUUUGAGUUUGUUUACUAUGUCUAAUUCAAGUUUUAUUAUUAAGAACUAAAUUGUAACUUAAACAAAUUAGAAUACCAAUUUAAAGAGACAAAAAUUCAAAGCCCCAAAACCCACACGGGCAUGUGGGUAAGUGACACAGGCGUGUGGAAACUGGAGCUAUCACACACGGGUGAGUGGGACUGAAAAAUAUGAAAUAAAUUAAUCCAUUUAAAUUUCCAACAACCAUGCUAUACUACCAAACCAAAUAAUGUUAGAAGCUUUGAAUAGGGGCGAAUCUUAAAAAAAAUAGAAGAAUUAGAAUUAAAUUAUAAAAUUUUGAGAAGUUGUCAUGUAUUAAUUUAUUAUUUUUUAAAGGGUCUUAAUAGAUUUUUUUUCCCCAUUUUGGUUUGGCCAAUACCCCUGUCUGCCUCUUUCAAUUUGCUUCAACCCUUAGCCCAAUAUUCGAUUUGUUGUGGAAGUUUGACGCAUAAAAAUUCCUUUUUUAGAGGUUUAAAUUAUAAAUUUUUAUUAACAAAAUAUAAAAGAAAAAAACAUGUGUAGACAAGCCAAGAAACCUUUGGGAUCAUACAGGUGAUUUUGAGAUGUUCAUGGUUAUUUUGGUGGAGAGGGUAAAAAAGAAACAAAUGAUUCAUUAUAUAUGAUAUAAUUAUGAAAUUCAAGCCAUAUAUUGUAUGUUUCAUCCAUACAAAUUUCUUGUAGCAUUAAAUGACUCGUAGGCUUGCUGAAUUUCUUUGAAAGGCCCAAAGGCAAUUUAACAUUCACAAAAUAAUCUCUAAAUAGUGUAAAGACAAAUCAAAUCCACAGUAGCAUUAGAGUUGAUUAAGCUAAGCAUUGGCAAAUAUUACUUUGAUUUUGCAUGCAAUAUUGGCAAAACCCCCUCUUACAUUAGAAAAACAACAUAAUCCAUGAAACAUUGAUAGCCCAAUACAAAUUUCAUCGAGAAAAAAGUCUCUUUGUUUUGUAGAACAUGAUAGUAAAGAUGUGGAGUUUCGUUCUUCUUAUUGGCCUCCUUUAGUUUUCCUUGAUCAACAACCACUAGCCAAAAACACAAUUAGAUUAGAUUAUGAAUGAUACUUUCAACUAUGACAAUAUUAAAUACAAACCACUCUAAAUAACUCUAAAUAAAUGGAAAGCAGCAAAUUACCAGACGAGGCAAGCUAGCUCAAUUAAGACCAUUGUGUUAUACUUGUCUCUGAAUUGAAAAAUUUAGAAGGAAAUAAAGAGAAAGACUUAGAAAAUACUUGAAAACAGAAAAAAAAAUUAUGUCAUUUAAAAUAAAAAAUUUCUAUUCAAGCCAUUUAAAAUUUGUAAGAUUUUUAAAAUUUUAAAAUGAUAAAGGUAAAAUUGUACUUUGGCACCCCAAAAAUGAUAAAACUUUGAUUUAAUUAUUUAAAAAUUAUAAAAAUAUAGGCUAUUAAAAUGGUGAAAUUAUAUUUUUACUAUAGUAAAAAUUACAAUUUAAUUUCACCCCUAAAAGGAUUUUCUGGCUUCGCACCUAAUAAAAUCUUUGGCAAAAGACUAAAAUAAAAUUAUACCAUGAAUGGAAAAAGAAACUAAUAAAAUCCAAUCUAACAAAGAAAAUAACUUGAUGUCCAAAAGCUACCAUAAACCGUAAUUCAUGGGAAGGCUUGUUGCUUAUUUUAUUGGUUUCCAUUUUGAAAGAAGUUUGAAUUUUGAAGAGAGCCUACUACGUGAAAGCAAAAGAAAAAAAAAUAGUUUAUAUGAUUAAAAUUCCAGAAUAGAUUAAAAAUGUUGAAUUAAAGAUAAAAUUAAGUGUGAAUUAAUAACCACAAGUGUACUCUUUACUCACCAUCUCUGUUAAAAAUGUUGGAUGUUGUUUAGCAACCUUUGUUUGAUUUUCUUCAGCUCAACCACAACAUCUUUCAUAUCUUUUCUUUCUUCUGGUAACUCAGCUGAACAAUUCAAAGCCAACUCCAUGAUAGAUGAAAUACAAUUUGCUUUAACAACAAUGUACUCAUCCUCUCUUCUUAAUAAAUCAACAUCUGCAAUUUCUAUCGCUCCUUUAGGCAAUGAUCUUUCCAUCCAAUGCCUUAUACUCUCUUCUUCAACAAAAACCUUAUCAGUUGGCUUUUUCUUUGUGAAAGUUUCUAUAAGGACGAUCCCAUAACUAUAGACGUCAGAUUUUAUAGAAACAAUUCCUGCUGAUCCAAAUUCUGCAUUUCAAGUAUAAUUAGAACAUCAUUCAUCCUCAAUUAUUUCUAAAACGCUUAUUCAAAUAUCUAUCCACAUACACGUGAAACAAGAAUAUAAAAUACAAAUUAGGAAAAUAAUCAUACAAAAAUAAAAAAAAGAAUUCACCUGGUGCCAUAUACCCAAUAGUUGCAAGAGUCAUGGUUUGCUUCAUUACUUCACCUUCUCCCAACAAUUUGGCAACGCCAAAAUCUCCAACAUGUGCAACCAUGUCUUCAUCUAGUAAAAUAUUGCUUGGUUUUAUGUCACAAUGAAUUAUAGGUGUUGGAUGUCCAUUGUGGAGGUGUUCUAUAGCUACCGCAACAUCUAUCAUUAUGUCGACCCUUUGUAUGAUACCAAGGAAACAAUUUUCAGAAUGUAACCAUUUCUCAAGGUUUCCAUUAGACAUGUAAUCAAGCACCAAGGCUUUGAAGUCAACACUUGAGCAGUAAGUAAUGACCUUCACAAUAUUACGAUGAACUAUAUUAAGCAUAGCAUCACAUUCAAUGUCAAAACUCCUAAAUGCUCCCUCUGUUUGCAAAUUGAAAACUUUUAUUGCAACUUCCAUUCCAUCUGAAAGCCUCCCUUUAUAUACAUAUCCAAAACUCCCUGAACCAAGCGUAUUGCUUUCCUCAAAUCCAUUAGUUGCUCGUGAAAGUUCAGCAUGUGAAAUUCUUCUCAGUGUCUUCAAAGACAACAAAUCAUCUUUAACUGGUAGAGCUGUACUCCUUUGGCAUCUUCUAUACAUAAUAGUUAAGACUAUUAGUACUAGGACAAUACCAAUUGUUGGUAAACCAUACCUAAAAGCAUGCAAUAUAAUCAUUUGGGAGUUUUUGUGGAUGUCAUUUUUGCAAGGUGGGACUAGCAAUCUAGGUGGACCACAAAGUGCACAAUUAUUCAUGAAUGAUGUGCUAGAAAAGUUUGAAAAACAUCCUUUGCUGGGAAUUUCCCCUUCAAGUCUAUUGAAAGACACAUUAAAAUACUUUAGAUAUAAAAGCUUUUCCAAAGAUUUGGGAAUGACUCCAGAGAGAUUGUUAUUGCAUAAAUCCAAGAAUUCCAAACUAAUCAACCCAUCAAAUGAUUCAGGGAUAUGACCAUGUAGUAUAUUAUUUGAUAAAUCUAAUGAAACCAAAGUUUGAAGACCCCCAAAUGUGGAUAAGAUAUCGCCCAUGAGAAGAUUCCUUGAUAAAUUUAGUCUCAGUAGACUCCUAAAGUUUCCAACAUCAAUAGCAUGCGAAUUGUGAAGAUGGUUUGAUGAUAAAUCUAUUUCUAAGAUAUCUUUAAGAUUCCAUAAAGUUGAGGGUAUUGCGGAACUCAAUUUGUUGGAAUCUAACCAAAGAUAUCUCAAAGCAGAAAUAUUACCUAAACAAGAGGGUAUGGAUCCAUGCAGCUUAUUCAACCCUAAAUACAUCUUGAAUAGUCUCUCCAAACCACAGAGGCUUUCUGGGAUAGGCCCUUCUAAUUUAUUAGAGGAAAGAAAUAGACCUUGGAGAUUUAUCAUUCCUCCUAUUGAUGCUGGAAUCAAUCCACUUAAUUUAUUAUAGCCAAGUUGUAAAACCAACAUGUUGCUUAAGUUACCUAUUUCCAUAGGAAUAAUGCCUUGAAGCUCACACUCUGUGGCACGAAAGUAUUGAAGGGAUUUUGAAAGGUUCCCGAAAUAAGUAGGAAGAACGCCACUCAAUGGAUUUCCUGAAACAAUUAUUCUUUUCAAAUGCUUGCAAUUCGUCAAAGAAGAAAGAAAGCUCCACUCAUGAUCAGUAGCAGAUCCUGUGAUCAAAUUAUUGUUUACGAUUCCGAACCAUUCAAGGUGUCUUAAGCUGCCAAGCAUUUUAGGGAUUGGGCCAGAGAAUAAGUUUUCUGACAAGGAUAGAAUCUUAAGCAUGGAAGCAUUGGAGAUAGAGUUGGGAAUGUUUCCGCUAAGUUUAUUUCCCCACAGUAAAAGAAUCUGAAGCUUUGGAGCAUUGGUAAUGGGUGGUAAAUUACCUGUAAAAUAGCAUCUUUUAGAAAACAUAUUCAUUGAAUACCAAAUUCACAAAAUAUAUAAUACAUUAAAAUAAAAACUGUAAAACUUUAAAUCAAUUAAGAAUAAAAUUUUGGCAUGGAAAAAUGUGAUGAAAUCAAUUAGAAAGUUGAGACAUAAUAAGAAGUUUUGAGUAGUAAUUAGUCCUUGUGAUUUGUAUAGACAAAACAUAUAAUACACUGAUAAUUUUUUUAAAAUAUUGUAAAACCUGAAAUAAAAUAAAAAAUAAAAGUUUGGCACAAGAAUGUGGCAUCUAAUCAUUCUUAAAAAUAAGACUAACAUUAAAUAAUAAUUAGUUAUGAUUUGAGAAACAAAAAUGUUAAAGAUGUAAACUGGUAUGAUUUUUAUCUAUUGGGUUAAUUAUUUAUUUUUAUUAAAUUAUAUAUAGUGUAAAAUUUAAAGAUUAUUAUUUGCUCAAAAUUUUUGUAUUUUUCGUAUAUUUGAAAUUUAAUCUUUAUAUUUUUUUAUUUUCUGUGAUUUAGUCUCUCUACUUUUUAAAUUGAAAAUUUUAAGUUUAUUUAUUAACACUGUUAAAAAGUUUUUGUGUUAGUAUGGCAUUUUGAAAAAUAAAAUAAACUUGAUAUCUAUGUUUUUAAUUAUUCCAAAUACUGUUUUACUAUUCCAAGAUAAAUUAUUUGUGUCUAGACCAAUAUCUGAAGAACUAUUGUUGCAUGUUUAAUUAUUCUAAAGAAUUGUUGAUUGAGUCUUAGUUGAAGUGCACUAUUCUCCUAUUUAUGAAUUGGGGAGUUGAUAAAGUACUAAAUUUUGAUAUAUUUUAAAAAAUUAAAAAUUUAUUAAAAUAUUUUUAUAAAAAUUGAUUGUACCAAAAUAUACAAUUUUAAUAUCAAAUUUUUAAUUUUUUAAAAAUAUUAGCGAAUAUAUACUUUAUUUCAAGUUACACAAUUUUUACUAGUUUUUAACUUUUUUUUUAAAUUUUUAUCGUCUUUUAUAAUUUCAUAUAAUUUUUUAUAAUUUUUUACAAUAUUUACAAUUUCUAACAAUUUUUAAUAAUUUUAUUAUUUAUUAUAAAUUUAAAAAUUAACAAAUUUUUAUUUUUUUAAAACAAUUAUAUAUUUAUAAUGUAGUUAUUUUUUUAUAAUUUUUUUUGAAAUUUAAAGAUUUUUUUGGUUUUUUCUAGAUGAUGAUGCCAUCAUGAUGUCAUCAUAUGCCACAUGGCAAUUUAUAAUUAGUUGACUAUCUCAAUCUAUUUUUUUAACGUCCAAUGGACUAAAACAAGAACACCUGAUAAUGUUAGAGACUACACUAGGAAUGUUUGAUAAUAUUAGGUACUAAAGUGGGCAAAAAAAAUUAAGGACUAUAUUAAAAAUAUAUCUAUAAUAUAUAUAAAUGCAUGGAUUUUGAGAAACUUUUGAAAUGACAAAUAUAUAGUCUUUGUUUUUUUUUACUAUAUUAUUGAAUUUUUUAUUUUAAAUAUUUUUUUAUUACUUUUAAGAUUUAUCAUAUGUAUGGAUAAAAAUUUUGGUUUUACUAAAAUAUUUGGUUAAAUAAAUUCACUUUAUAAAAAAAUUUAGCAUCCUUAUAAAUAACAAUUUUGAUUCCAUUAAAAAAAUUAUUUAAUAAUAUAUAAUAAAAAUUUAAAAUUUAUAUUGAAUCACUUUAUACUUAAAUUAUUAUUAGAAACUUUAUCAUACACAUAUGUGUAUGAGAACCACGUUUUCAGAACUUAAAUUUGUGUUCUAAAAUAACUUAUGAUAAAUAAUUAAAUGUAUAAUUUGAAAUUAUAUUGAAAUAAAAAUAGAUUAAAUUGUAAGUAAAACAUAUAUAAUUUAAACAUAUGAAUACAUCAAAUUAAAAAUACUAAAUGAAUACAUUUAUUUAUGAUGAUGUUGUUGUCAAUUCAUAAGUUGGUGUCGAGUUAAUUUGUGACAUCAUAAUUUUAAGUGAUAAAUUUAAGGUUUUAUGUAUUGAUGUCGAUUCAAAUAUCACCAUAAUUUUUUUAAAUAAAAAACUAAAGCACCCUCAAAUAAUAUAACUUAUAUUAAAUAUGAAAGGGUAUUUUUGUAAUUUCUCUAACGAGUUGGUGCCCGGUUGACUCAUGACACCAACUCAAUCAAAAGCUUCAAUAAUAAUAUAGAUAUUCACGUUUAAAAAAAGUACUUUAGUUCGAAAUAAUUAUAUAACAAGUAAUUUUAUAAUUGAUGAAUAAUUUUAUAAAAAUAUAUUUAUAUAAUCUAAUAUAUUAUAUUUAUAUUAAUUAUAUAUCAUCUACAAACUUUGAAGAUCAAUUUAUUAAGUAUCAGGAAAAGAAAAAAUGAAAUUGAAUUAACACUAAAUCAAUUUUUAGAUUUUGUACAGAUGAUUUAAUGAUGAUAAAAACAUUAUUAGCACUAUUUUUGAAUUAACAAAAAAUUAGUGAUAUAUUUUAAUUAUAUUUUUUAUUUUUUAUUUUUAAUAAUAUUUUUUUAAUUAUAUGAAGUAAAAUUAUAUUGUAUACUAAAUAUGGUACAUAUACUUUAAUUAAAACUUGAAAAAUUAUUAUAUAAAUUAAUAUAUUUUAAUUAUAUUCAACCAUUUGAAUAACAAAAUUAAAAAAAACUAAUUAGAAUUAUUUACUUUUUAAAGUUUAAUGGAAAAUAAAAAAUUAAAAAUAAAUCAAUUCAUAUAAAUCUUAUUGUUUAUUAUCAGAUUAAAAUGAUAAAAGUAUAUGACAUACAUAGAAGAAACAAAUUCAACACAAUGUUUUUGGAGUUUGGAAAAAAUUAAAGUGAAAAACAUACCUUCUAAUUUGUUGUUAAAUAGAUCUAUUUCUUCGAGCGUAGUUGAAUUAAAAAUACUUGAUGGAAUCUGACCUGCACACAUAGUCGAAAAUUGAAGUGAAAUCAAACUCUUUUGUGAAAAAAAUAUUACCAGAUAAUUCAUUCCAACCCAGGUAAAGCCCUUCAAGCUUGGGAAGAUGUUGACACAUAUCAUUAAGCAAACUACCUGAUAGGCUAUUGUUGGAGAGAUCAAUGGUCUUCAGAGAAGAAAUGUUGAAGAUCGAAGUUGGAAUCUGACCUGUAAGGCCUUUAAUUGCUUUAAUACUAAGCAUCUCCAAACCAAGAAGAUUACCGAUUUCCUCGGGAAUUUGACCUGCACACAUAGUCAAAAAAUCAAGGUGUCAAACUAUCUAUUUUGUUAGCAUAAGUCAAAGAGGUUUUCUUUUCUGUUCUACAGUAAUUUGAAGAUGUUAGAUUUUAAUAUAUUUCAGCAUAUGUUUUUCAUCAAAUGAAAUAAAAAGUUUUUCCUUUUUAUUAUCUAUUACAAGUCAAACUCUUUUAUAAAAAAAAAUACUUUAAAUUCAAGAAAUCAAGGAAAUUGAUUACCUUCUAGAUUAUUAAACCGCAAAUAUAAUUCCAGGAGUCGUGUUAGAUUUCCAAUACUUCUUGGAAUGAUCCCCGUCAAUUGAUUCAAGGACAAGGACAAAUUUUUAAGGUUGCUGCAUUUUCCCAUACUUGACGGAAUGUUACCAGAUAACUCGUUGCUAUGCAAGUAAAGCACUUCAAGCUUGGGAAGAUGUUGACACAUAUCAUUAGGCAAACUACCUGAUAGGCUAUUGUUGGAGAGAACAAUGGUCUUCAGAGCAGAAAUGUUGAAGAUCGAAGUUGGAAUCUGACCUGUAAGGCCUUUAAUUGCUUGAAUAUUAAGCAUUUCCAAACCAAGAAGAUUACCGAUUUCCUCAGGAAUUUGACCUGCACACAUGGUCGAAAAAUCAAGGUGUCAAACUACCUAUUUUGUUAGCAUAAGUCAAAGAGGUUUUCUUUUCUGUUCUACAGUAAUUUGAAGAUGUUAGAUUUUAAUAUAUUUCAGCAUAUGUUUUUCAUCAAAUGAAAUAAAAAGUUUUUCCUUUUUAUUAUCUAUUACAAGUCAAACUCUUUUAUAAAAAAAAUACUUUAAAUUCAAGAAAUCAAGGAAAUUGAUUACCUUCUAGAUUAUUAAACCCCAAAUAUAAUUCCAGGAGUCGUGUUAGAUUUCCAAUACUUCUUGGAAUGAUCCCCGUCAAUUGAUUCAAGGACAAGGACAAAUUUUUAAGGUUGCUGCAUUUUCCCAUACUUGACGGAAUGUUACUAGAUAACUCGUUGCUAUGCAAGUAAAGCACUUCAAGCUUGGGAAGAUGUUGACACAUAUCAUUAGGCAAACUAUCUGAUAGGCUAUUGUUGGAGAGAACAAUGGUCUUCAGAGCAGAAAUGUUGAAGAUCGAAGUUGGAAUCUGACCUGUAAGGCCUUUAAUUGCUUGAAUAUUAAGCAUUUCCAAACCAAGAAGAUUACCGAUUUCCUCAGGAAUUUGACCUGCACACAUGGUCGAAAAAUCAAGGUGUCAAACUACCUAUUUUGUUAGCAUAAGUCAAAGAGGUUUUCUUUUCUGUUCUACAGUAAUUUGAAGAUGUUAGAUUUUAAUAUAUUUCAGCAUAUGUUUUUCAUCAAAUGAAAUAAAAAGUUUUUCCUUUUUAUUAUCUAUUACAAGUCAAACUCUUUUAUAAAAAAAAUACUUUAAAUUCAAGAAAUCAAGGAAAUUGAUUACCUUCUAGAUUAUUAAACCCCAAAUAUAAUUCCAGGAGUCGUGUUAGAUUUCCAAUACUUCUUGGAAUGAUCCCCAUAAAUUGAUUAUAGGAGAAGGACAAUUUUUUUAAGUUGCUGCAUUUGCCCAUACUUGACGGAAUGUUACUAGAUAAAUCAUUCCGACUCAGGUGAAGCCCUUCAAGCUUGGGAAGAUAUUGACACAUAUCAUUAGGCAAACUACCUGAUAGGCUAUUGCUGGAGAUAUCAAUAAUCUUCAGAGAAGAAAUCUUUAAGAUGGAAGAUGGAACCUGACCAGAUAAUUGAUUGAAUCCCAAGUUUAAGAUCACUAGAUUAGACAUGUUAACAAGUGUUUCAGGGAUUGUGCCUGUAAAGUUAUUAUUUUUCAUUUUUAGCCUUCGAACUCUCUGUAAGUUCCCAAGCCAUGAUGGAAUUUCCCCAUUCAGACGGUUGUAGCUUAAUUGAAGGAUCCUCAAACGAUGCAAUUGGCCCAAUUCUUUAGGGAGAUGGCCAUAGAAAUGGUUGCUACUCAAGUCGAGAGAGAGUAGAAAUGAAAGAUUUCCAAGGUGUGGAGGGAUAGUACCCCUAAGAUUCAUGCUUGUAAGAUUCAAAGCUAUAACUCUUUUAUGGAGGAUGCCACAAGAAACACCAGUCCAAUUGCAAACAGAGGUUGAGGCCAUCCAAUUGUCUGCCAAGACAUUUUGAGGAUCGGCAAUGCGAUCCUUAAACUCGAGAAGUGCAAAUUGAUCGGAGUUGAGAUUCUUGGCUGUCAUAGCCAAGCAAAGUACGGAACAUGAUAUGAAUAAAGCUAAGAGAAGAUGAAAGCAAGUUUUGUAGUUCAUGAUUGCAAGACGGAAUAAGGCAAGAAAAUAAAAAAAGUAGGAAAAGGGAAGUUGAGUUGAUAAAAUAGUUUGGAUGAUGAAGAAAAGCCCAGAGAGCAUACUUUAAUAUGUUUCAACCCUCGCACACUUGAUAAACUUGAUAAAUAUAUUUUGAUCUAAUAAAUGUAAAAAACUUUUUAAACAAAAUAAGGUUGAAAUAAUCUAUUUGUCCUUAUACUUUGAUAAAAUUUGAGAUUUAGUCCUUAUACUUAAAAGGAUAAAAGUGUUGUAGUUCUUGUUGUUUUUAUUUAAAAAUCUUAGUCCUAUCGUUAAUUUUUUGGGUCAAAAUUUGUCAACUGUACAUAUUAAUUAGGUUUCCCUUAUAUGUUGUUGUAUAUGACUAACACAAAAUAAGCAAGUUGACAAAUUAUGACAAAAAUAAUCAAAGAUGAUAAUAAUUUAAUUAAAAUUUUCAAAUUGAAUUAAUAACCUUUAACAUAUAAGGAAUGGAUAUCAAAUAUUUAUAGGAAAAAAGGGACUAACAACAUAUUUUAACCACAAAAUAAUAUGAGUGAUUAGAAUGAAUCUAAAAGAGACUAACAACAUAUUGAUAACUUUGAAAUCUCCUUCGAUCAUCCUUUUUCUACGUAGAAAAUGAAAAUUAAUUAGCAUCUAAAGUGUCAAUUAAUGAAACCUUCAAAAGAAAAUGUGAAAGUGAUUUAUCAAAAAAUAAUAUUUUAACUUAUAAAAUAUUUAAUUACAUUUAGUAAUUUAUCAAUCAAAAUUUAAUUAACAUCCAUCAAUACUUCAUACAUAAGUAAAUUUACCAUUUAACUCAGAUUUAACUUUGCAAGUAAACUUAAAAUUUUAUUUAAUUUUGUCACUAAAUUUAAUUUGUUCAAUAUAGAUUUUGGUGACUUAAAACAAAAUUAAUAAAAAAUUAUAUUCUUUCAGACAUCUUUUUAAUGUUUAAUAAUAAAAUAAUUUAUAAAAUAUACUUUCAUUGGACACAAGCAAGGCGAUGAACCACUGACCAAAUUAAUUUGGAUAUAUCUUUUUUCCAAAUAAAGUGAAUUUACGAGUUUUGUUUUUUUUUUAAUAUUUUUGUGGAUAUCAAGUGAUACCAAAAAUUAUUUCACUAAGAAAUUUUAAUUCACUUGAAAAGUUAGUGUUUUAUUUCAAGGGGUCAUAAUUAUAAAUUUUAAAUUUUUUGACAAUUGUGUAAUUAAUAAAUACCAAUUUUGACUGUUGUAGGGCUAGUACAAUCUCCCUUACGCAUAACCGACUCUUGAACCUACUAUUUUCUCUAGAAUUUAACGCAGACCUUAAAUUUAUCUUUUAAAAAGAAUUUUAAAAUCUCUAUAUAAAAGGUGUAAAAAUAUAUAUUUUAUUAAUUACUAUAUAUUAUUUUAUUUUCAGAAUAAUAAAUAGUUUAAAAUAUGCUGCUAGUCCCUAUAGUUUAAAAGUUAAAAAGUUUUUGGCAUCUUGAGUGCAUCAAAUUUCUCCUUUUAUUAUUAAAUGUUUUAUUUUAGUUACUCUAAUUAAAUAUAUCCAAAUUGUAAUAGAGUUAAUAUUUAUUAUAUAAAAAAAUAUUUUAAUUUUUUUUCAAUUGUAGUUUAAUUCUAGUAGAAAUAUUUCAUUUAUAAAAUCAUAAAACUUUAAAAUAUUAACUUUGUUAAAUAAAAAAUGAUUUUUUUAAACUGUAAAUUUUGACUUUAUUAACCCAAAUGGGUCUUUAGGGUUAAACUUCAGUAAUUGACGAGCUCUUCCACAAACUGUGGAUGAUUUGGGGAUAAAAACUUCAAUAAUUCUAGAGUUAAAGUGUAAAUUUACUACUAUAUUAUAAGUAAAUAUUGAAAUUUAUCACUAAAUUUUAAUUGAUACUUGUCAUUACACUUUGAAAAUAUAAGUAAAUUUAUCAUUUAACUCAUAUGUGAUUGAAGUUUGCAAGUAAACUUAAAAUUUUAUUUAAUUUUGUCACUAAAUUUGAUUUAUUUAAUUAUAUUUACAACUCAAUAUAGAUUUGGUGACUUAAAACAAAAUUAAUAAAAAAACUAUUCUUUCAGAUAACUUUUAAUGUUAACUAAUAAGUUGAUUUAUAAAAUAUACUUUCAUUGGACACAAGCAUCCAAGGCGGUGAACAAACCACUGGUCAAAUUAAUUUGGAGAUAUCCUUUUUGCGUUUUUCUUUUUUUUUAAAAAUAUUUUUAAUAUUUUUGUGGAUAUCUCCAAAUACCAAAAAUUAUUUCACUAAGGAAUUAAUUAGUAUUUUAAGGGUUCACAAUUAAACUUUAGACUUUUUAUUUUUAAAUUUGGAAUUUUUUGACAAUUGCAUAAUUAACAAGUACUAAUUUAGAGUGUUGCAGGAUUAUUACAACCUUCCCUACACGUAACAGACUCUUGAACCUACUUUUUUCUCUAGAACUCAAUGCAAACCUCAAAUUUAUCUUUUUAAAAGAAUUUUAAAAUAUCUAUAUAAAAGGUGAUUUUUUUACCGAUCACACUUAACAAAAUUUUAAAAAUUAUUAAUUUCUUUUUGAAAUUUAAAGUGAUCUAAAACUAUAUUUUUAAGUGCUUUAGACCAUGCGGUGCUGAUUUCUUUAUUGUAUUAAAUGCUUGCAAUCACUCCUUGUAUCUUAUACUUGAGUUGUAACAAAACCAAUUGUCACGUGUCAUAAUGUUCUACUGAUGCUGAAACUGAAGUUUUUGUUAUAUUAAUAGAGCUUGUCCUUCAACGCGUAUAACAAGUGUUUGUUAUUUUUUCCUUCAAAUUGUAUGAUCUCAUUCAUUAAAUAAAUUAAUGAAUUUCCCUUUAAAAAAUAUAAUUUUAAAAAUUAAAUACUUUAUAAGAUAUUUAAAACUAUUUAAAAAAUUGUAAGCGUUAAAACAAUCAACAAGAUAUAUUUUUCUUUAAAAAAUCAAUAAAAAUAUGUUUAAAAUUUUAUAUGAAAUUAAAAAUUUUUUAACAAUAAUAUAUUUUAAAAUUAUUUACACCUUUUUUUAUAUAUUUUUCCUAACAUAUCGUUAUUUUCAACACUAUCGUAAUCCUAUUUUGAUAAUUCCCUUUCCAUACAUCCUUUUUCUACAUAGAAUUUCAAAAGAAAAUGUGAAUUAAUGCAGACUUGAGAAGACCUAGAGGUAAGUCACCCAAUGAAACUGACCUAAACCGACUUAUGGACCAAUCAAACAAUAAUUUUGUAUCUCAUAAUAUAUUUAAUUACAUUAAUUAGCUUAUCAAUCAAAACUUAAUUAAAAUCCAUCAAUAAAGUUGCUGAUUGUAUGGCUAAGGCAUAUGGAGGCAUAAUUGAGCAGCUGGUUAUCUUGGAAGAUCCUUCGCGUUAUGUAAGAUAUUGGCUUGAAGGAGAUAUUAGACAGUCGUUGGUCACUGAUGAUAAAUUUCAUUUGGAUUGAAGCAGGCUUAAUUUUCUAAGUUUAUGUUCAACCAGAAAAAAAAUCUAAAUUGUAAUAGAAUUAACAUUUAGUGUAUAAAAAAUAUCUUAAAAAUUAUUUUUUCAAUUGCAAUUCAAUUCCACAAAUACUGACGAUGAACCCUGAAACGGACAUGAAAAUUACAAAAAGAAAAAAAGCACAUCUAUUAUCAAACCAGCAAUCCAUGCCUAAACUGAGAGAGAUGAACCCUAUGAUAGAUUGUGACACCCCAAAGUCGACCGGGAUAGAUCGGCCCGAAUUCGAAGCAUUACAUUAGCCACCUAAAUGACUCUCUAGCUAACGACCACCCAAGACACACCCCGACCUUAUAACACCUCAAUCUUAUCUAAUUAUUAGUUAUUUAUUAAUACCAAAGUAAAUUAUGAGCCAAUUUUAAACUUUUCCUAGGUAAUUUAACCUACGGGCAUUUACGUUAUUUUACCACCUAUGGUAAAACUAACCCGAUUUUAGAUCUAAGUGUUUACUGGCCUUCUUUUAGUCAAAUUAUGCAAGGUUAAAAUUUUUAGGUGAUUUUGAGUUCAUUUACUAUGUCUAAUUCAAGUUUUAUUAUUUAGGACUAAAUUGUAACUUAAACAAAUUUGAAUACCAAUUUAAAGAGACAAAAAUUUAAAACCCCCAAAACCACACGAGCAUGUAGGUAAAUGACACGGGAGUGUGGAAACUGGAGCAAUCACACACAGGCGUGUGGGAUUGAAAAAUAUGAAAUAAAUUAAUUAUGGUGUUAAAUUCUUCCAUCAAUUGUACAUAAUUUUGAUUGGUAUAGUAAUAAAUUUAGCCUUCAAUGUUUAAAUAUUUUGUCAUUUUGGCCUUAAUUUUAAAAAAAAAUUCAAGAAAUUCAACCUCAACAUUCACAUAUUUACACAAACGUUGCGGGAAAUUUUUGUUAAAUUAAGACCAAAUUGCAAGUAUAAAUUUUGAGGGCUAAAUUUAUUAUUAUACCAACAAAAACCAUGUACAUUUUAUGGAAAAUUAACAUCCUGAUUAAUUAUUCUUAGUAGCUCACUUUCAAAAUUAAUAGGGACUAAAUUGCUCUGAUUUUUUAAGGGUGACCAAUUUCUUCAAUUUGGAAAUUGAGAGAGACUAUUCAGAUAUUUUACAUAUUUUUUAUAAAUAUAUUUUUUUAAUAUAAAAUAUAGUUGUUCACACACAUCGUGAGUAUGAUAAAAUAUUUUUAUUGUUGAUUGAAUUGGUGUCAAAAAUUAACUCGAGACCAACUCAAGAUUAAGAAUAACAAUAUGAUAAAUAAUUUAUUUAUUUAAUAUUCUGAAUUUAAAAUAUUGAUGUAAAUUUUAAGACAUGCAUGUCUUGUAGAAUUGAGAUUAUACUUUUUGAGUAUUGAGUCAGUUUUCCACAAUUGUGGGUCUCUAUUUGAGCAACACAAUUUCAACAUUUCUUCAUCUCGCUUAAUCCAAAUGCAUUUAGGAUUUUUUUUUUUAUAUCAUUGUUUCAAAAACGAUAAAAAAAAAAGUGGACAUUGAAUUUUCUGUUUCACAUUCAAUUUUUGGAGAAGUAGAAUUUUCUAACUUAUUUUCCAUCAACUUCACUUCAAUUUUCAAUCACAAUCUAUUGCAUUCAAGAGCACCACAUCAUUUUGGAUGAAACAAACCUCUCAAUUUUAAGAUAAACGGAAUCUAUUGCAUUCAAGAGCACCACAUCUUUUUGGAUGAAACAAAGCUCUCAAUUUUAAGAUAAACGGGUCUUUAGGGUUAUUAAUUAAGGGCAUUUUCCACAAUUGGCAUCGUUAUUUGCGGGUGAUUCGGGGAUAAUAACAUCAACAUUUCUGUAUCACAUUUAAUUCAAUUCCACAUUUAAGUUUUAAUUUUUAGAGAGAUGAUUGGGUUACAACAAUGGUUUGAAGUGAAGAUAUUUCAAAAGAAGGCAAAUAUAUCAAUUUUUUAAGGGGUCUUUGGAGUUAUAUGUGACUUUAGCAUUAUUGACCGACUUUUUUAUAGUUAAUCUUUUAUAAUAAGUUAAUUAUAUCAAUUUUAAUAACAUCGACAUGUUUUUUAGUAGGGUCGAUCAAAACCCAAUUAAAACCUUUCAUCACUGCAAAAAUGAAAAUAAUAGAAAUGAAAGACUAGCCAUUGUAUGAGAUUUAUAAUUGUAACUGUCAACGAAAUUGGGAGAAAUUUUUAAAUUUUAUGAAAUUUUAAAAUUAAACUGUCAAUAAUAGAAAAUUGCCUGAGUGACUUGGGAUAAGAGCUUGAACAUUUCUGGAUCACAUUACAUUUAAGAUGGGUCUUUAAGGUUAUACUUUAGUUUUUGAGAACAUUUUCCACAAUUUGCCAUCGUUAUUUGUGGGGUAAGUGGUUGAACACUUCUGGAUCACAUUGCAUUUAGGACGGGUAUCAUUCAUAGACUGACUUUUCUAUAAUUAGUCCUUGCUUUACUUUAGGUGGAUUCUUCCAACUAGUCCAAGAAUUAUUGUACAGUUACAUUUAAUCUUUUUAAAUGAGACAAACAUUUCAAAUUUGUCGUUACUAUUUGUGAGUAAUUUGGGGGUAAGAAGUUUAACACUUCUGGAUGUCUUAUAGAAUUGUGAUUAUACUUUUUGAGUAUUGACUCAGUUGUCCACAAUUGUGGGUCUCUAUUUGAGCAAAACAAUUUCAACAUUUCUCCAUCUCGUUUAAUCCAAAUGCAUUUAUGCAUUUCUUAUAUCAUUGAAUUUGCUGUUUCACAUUCAAAAAUUGGACAAGUAGAAUUUUCUAACCUAUUUUCCGUUAACUUCACUUGAAUUUUCAAUCACAAUCAAUUGCAUUCAAGAGCACCACAUCUUUUUGGAUAAAACAAAACUUUCAAUUUUAAGGUAAACGGGUCUUUAGGGUUAUACGGGGGCCUUUUCCACAAUUGCCAUCAUUAUUUGCGGGUGAUUUUGGGAUAAUAACUCGAAUAUUUCUGGAUCACAUUUAAUUCAAUUUUUAAAUUUUAGAGAGAUGUUUGGGUUACAACAAUUUUCAUCAUUAAGUUUAAUAGAACAUUUGGGAGGAAAAAGAGCAAAAAAAUGAGCGAAAACCGAAAAAUGGGGGCAAAGUAUAGGACCCACACUAGCUGACCUAUUCCACUUGACUGUGCAUCAAUUUCGUAGAUUUGCACUUUGACCUACAAAAAAAUACGAAUUUUAGGCUUUUCGGGCAUUCUAAGAUGUACAUAUGACAAAAAUAAAAAGAUAUAAGAGAACCUUUUAGAAUAUUCAAGAAAACAACUCCAAAGACACCACUAAAGCCGACUCUGAAGCAAAUUUUCAUUAAGAUGGAAGAUUCCUAAUUGACCACUAAAGCCGACUCUAAAGCAGACUUUCAUUAAAAUGGAAGAUUCCUAAUUGAUUUCUUAGGAGAUUAUCAUGAGUUUCUUUAUUCCUUUCAAUUAUACUACCCUUUGGAUGUUUUUAUUUUUAAUCAUGAACUAAUUUUCUAAAUACCUAAGAGAGAUAAACCCUAUGAUAGAUUGUGACACCCCAAAGCUGACCUGGACAACCGACCCAAAUUCGAAACAUUACAUUAGCCAUCUAAGUGACUUUCUAGCUAACGACCAGCCAAGACACACCCUAACCUUAUUGUACAAGCCCAAUUUUGACCAAGACCAAACCAAAUAAAUUAACAGUCCAUAAGAGUCCAAAUUACAACUAGCCUGAUAUGGCCCAAAUAAAAAACAACAACCCAAGCCCAAACCCAACCCUCGUAGCCCAAAGCCCACAAACUAAAAAAUUUCAGCAGAAAAAAGAAAGUUGCUAACCCUACGCGCCAUGCCUGGGUCCUCUGCCACUGACCGCAUGCCUCUGCCACCGUAUCUCACAGCCUCUGCCACGCCUCUGCUGCCUACAAGAAACCAACAAAGCACAAAAUGACAACAGCAAUAGAGGUCAAAUCGAAAAACAACAAAAAAUAGAUUACGAAUCAUUUAGAUUGGCUAUAAAGGCCGAAAUAUUAACCUUGUAAUGCUUCUUCUUUUUUUUUGACGAACAUUAGAAAAAUAAAAAACAGAAAACAAGUUUAGAAGGUAGAUUUUUUUCAUUUUCAAAUUUGCAUUUCUUUUCCCUGUGUAUUUUCUUUUCUUCUAUUUUUUUUUACAUGCAACUAGUAAGAACAAAGAAAGAGAAAGAAAAACCUCGCCUGGAAUAGCCCCUCAAGUCCGGUCGUCGAAGGCCCUUUUCCUGUUGUCAAAAUCGAACCUAAAAAGGGGGCUAGGGUGCCCUCUCCUGGUCUUUUAGGGCAACAUCGGCCACCAGUCAGGUGGCACUACGGCGGCGCUCACGGCCAAAACCGUAGGCCGAGCGGGGUGGGGGUUUGAGAGAGGGAGCUCUCUGAAAUUUUUUUAAACAAAUGGGAUGAAACUGAUUUUCUUUGGGUUUUUUUUUAUUUCAUACUAAGUAUGAAACGGCGACGUUUUGGGCUUAAGCAGCCAUGGCCAAAACGACGCCAUUUUACGUCGUUUCCCCUAUACCCACGCGCGCGACCCGACCCACCAGGGGAUCCGCAUGUUUUUGCUCUGAGGGGAUAUUUGCGCAAUCUGCCCCUACGCCUUUUUGACGUAUUCAAUUCGGUUUUUUAUUAUUUUUUAUUUUAGCCAUGUAUUUUUGCUUCCGAUUCAAGUUGGUCCUUAGACCAUGUGUUGUUCCACAGUUAAAACGCCGCACUUUAGGAUUGGGGAAUAUUUCCCUGAAAGUCCCUCGCGCUUUGAGUGCGUUUCAUUUCGGUCCCGAGCCACCCCUUUUAUUUAUUUGCAAUUUAGACCGCGAGUUCUAAUCCGAUUUCAAUUUAAUCCUUAUUCCAUGUAAUUAUUUUAUUUUCUUUUUCUUUAAAAAUUAAUUUUUUUAUUUAUAAAAAGGACCUCUUUUAUUAUUAUUAUUUAUUUUAAGUUUUACAUAUAUUAUUUAUUUUAAAUGUUUUGCCUAAUAUUUACUUAAUUUUUUUAUUAUAUUAUUUUUUUAAACUACUAUAUAUAUUGCCUCUUAGAAUUUAUAUAUAUAUAUAUUAUUUUAAUAAAAAAUAAAGAAUACUGUUUUUAAUUAUUUUAAACUAUCUUAGUAUUUUUUUUUUCAUUUUAAAGUUUUAUAUUGUUUGUUUGAGACAUUUUGCCAUACAUUUCGAGUUCAUCUCAUAAGUUAUUUGUCUUAUACUAUUACCUACAUAAAAUUGUUCUUUAUUAUUUCAUUUCGUUUGCUUGGACUAUUAAUAUUGAUAUGUUAAAAUGUUGCACGUGGUGUGAUUAUUAUCAUUAUGUACGUUGUAAUUAGUUUAUUUUUUUCGCAUUAUUGCCAUUAUGUGUAUUAUUCCGUUUACUCGUAUUUCCAUGCUAUGGUAAUUCAUUCGUAUAUCAUGUUGUUCGAAAAUUAUUUCACCAUAUUAUAAAUUGUCACCCCAUCAACGCAACCCUUUUGUUCACGCAUUAUUUCAAACAUUACAUUUUUUACCCAAACAUGCAAAAAUGAAAUUUUCAAAUAAGGCAAUAUUUUGUGUAUUGGCGAUUCGAGAAAAUUGUAUCCUAACUUACGGGGUUUCAGUCUUUCUCAUUAAAACUAAUAGCAAAAUACCAUUUUUAAAAUAUCAAAAAAAUGAUGAAAGGAACCUAAAUAAGGCAAUAUUUUGCGUUUGGAAAUUCGAGAAAAUGUACCCUAACGUGCUAGGUUUCGAUUCUUUCGUUUAACCAAAUAGCCAAAUAUUCUCUUAAAAUUUCAAAGUAUGGGUUUUGGAACUGUCGAAACCACUUUUUUUGAAAAACAAAAAAAUUAGUUGUCGACUUUAACAACGAGAAUUGGAGUCAGAGUCGCCACUGAUCUUUUAAUGAGGUGUGAUCGGAUCACCUUGAAAACAAUUUUAGGUCUGCGAAUUUUGAGAAAAUUGAUUCGGGAGUCGGUUACACACGAGGAAGGGUUAGCACCCAUGUAACGCCCAAAAUUGGUACCGAAUUGAUUGUUUAAUGUCUUAGUGUCGAGAAUUUGAAAAGAUUUUAAAAUACAAUCCUUUGAAAAGAAAAUUUGAAUAAGAUGAAUUGGAUGAUGAGACUCACUUAUUUCAAAGAAAUAAAUUGUCACACUCAGUAAGUUAGAAUGCAACAUUUUAAAUCCUCAAAAUUAAGUUUAUCUUUUGACUUUUAAAACCUAUGCAUUUUGAGAAGGAUAUCCGAUUAUUUGGGUCAAAUGAAAAAAUCAAAACCCAAUAAGUUAGGGUUCGAUUUCACAAAAUUCCUAAAUAUCGAAUAUUGCCUUAAUUUUCAUAUAUUAGAAAAAUCCUCGCCUUGAGAAAACAACAUGUCAUAUCCAAUGCGUUAGGACACAACGCAUCGAAUUCCCGAGAAUGAGCUUUUUGUUUAUGUGUUUUAAUUAAAGAAUAAUCUCGAUUAUUUAGAUUCGAUGAGGAAAAUUGGAACCCAAUACGUUAGGGCUCAAUUCUUUCAAAAAUCUCAAAUUCCGAGUGUCGCGUUAUUUUAACAAAACUUUUUGAAUAAAAAUGCUCUCAAUAUUUGAAUGAUAUUAAACGUAAUAUUUUGACAAAUAAAAACCAUGAAAUAAUAACGUACAACGCGAAAUGGUGAUUCAUAAAUUAAUGUACGCUAAUGAACGACAAAGAAUCGAUAGAUACGAGCAAGCAAUACAAUACACGUAAGAGCAAUUAUCUCACAUCAUAUACAAAUAAUAACUUUAAUAUUCAAAAGCUAAUGAACUAAAAACUAAUCUUAAACGAAGCUCCAAGCGAAUUAAUACAAAAAUAUGCAACAAGAUUUGAAGAAUAAAAUAACAUGAAGGAAGGGAAAAUAUAUUUAAAAUAAAUCAUAUAUAUAUAUAUAGAAAUUUGAAGUAAAUUAAAAAUAAGGUUAAAAAUAAAUACUACAUAAAAUAAUAGUAUCCAAAUAAAUUUUAAAACAAAUAUCAUAUAAGAAGAAAAUCAAAUACAUAAAAUAAUAUACAUAUAUUAAUUUAAGAUAAGUAAUAUAUAGGGAGUGAAAAGCUUCAUGUAAGUAAUAAUAUAUGCUAAUAUGCAAAAAGUGAAAUAAACUAAAUAUAUGCGGAUAUUUAAAAGAAGUAAAGUAUCUAUAUAUAGCAAUAGGUAUAAAAAAUAUAUAUAGUUUAAAAUUAAAUAAUAUAUACAUUACGUACAUACAUAUAUGUAUAAUAAAAAUAGUUUAAAAAUAGUAACAAAUAAUAAUGAUAAGUAAUAUAUAUAAAUAGGUAAAUAGAAAUGUAAUCAAAUAUAAUAAUGAUAACAAUAAUAAAUAGUAAUAAAAAUAAUAAUAGUAAAUUAAUUAAUAGCAAAAAAUAUCAAUUAGGACUAAAUUGGAAUGAAAAUAGAAAUUUUGGGGCCAAUCCGCAAUAAAUAAAAACAAAAAGGGGCCGAAUUGGGUGCGCGAGGAACAAUGAGGGAGUAAAGCGGAAACUCCAAAACGCUGCAUUGCGGCAUGGACUAAAAUAAAACGAAAAUCAAAUUAAAGGGCGAAAAUUAAAAAGAAAAGAAUCGAUUCGAACAUGCCACAAAAGAGAGAGGACCAUUUGCGCAAAUCUCCCAACAGAGGCCAAAACGCGCGGAUCCUUCCCCGGGUCGGGUCACCGCACGGGUCAUGAGCUACCAAACGGUGUCAUUUUUGACGUAUGGAUAACGUAAAACGGUGUCGUAUUACACUAUUAUUUAAACAAGGUUUUAAAUAAAAAAACAAAAAAAGACAAAUGCUGCCUACGUUUUAAAAAAAAACUGCUUGUUCUUUGCUAGGGUUUUGCCCUAGCUUCUGCGCCGCUCGAACGUACUGCCGUUCAGAAACUUACAAUCCUCGUCCAAACUCCAAUCGCAAUGAAGCGAACAAGGGUGCGACGGCCACCCUAAAGGUAAAUCUUCACUUCUCUUUUCUCUUUUAUUAUUUUCGCAUAAAAACGAAGCGAAUAAGUAAAAUAAAAUAAAAUAAAUAUGAGAAUCACCUUAAAAAACAAUGAUAUUCGAUUUCUUUUUUCUCUUUUUUGUAUUUAGUAUUCGUAACCGUUUACAGAUUUGGUUGGCUCUUUUUAUAGAUGAAAUUAGUGAGAAAGAGAAAAAAAAUCGAAGAAUAUUUUUUUUACAUUUUUCCUUAUUUACUGCUAUCUUCUCUUAUUUGCUAUCGAUUUCUGCUCUUUUUGUUUGCUUGUCCUUCUUGCAGUUAUGGCAUACGGAGGGUGGACGUGGUGGCCACAAAGGCGCGCGUGAGGCGUGGCUCGACUGCUCGGCUGAAGUUGUAUCAGAAACCGCUAGGGUUUUCUGAUUCCUUCUUUGUUUUGGGCUCAUUGGACUAAAAGUUUUUAGGCUAGUGGGCUAGGUUAAAUUUAGGUUUUGGGUUAUACUUCAUUUAUUGAGGGCCUUUUUAACAAUUGCCAUCAUUAUUCGCGGGUGAUUUGGGGAUAAUAACUUGAACAUUUCAGGAUCACAUUCAAUUCAAUUUUUAAAUUUUAGAGAGAUGUUUGGGUUACAACAAUUGCCAUCAUUAUGUUUAAUAGAACACUUGGGAGGAAAAGGAACAAAAAAAUGAGCGAAAACCGAAAAAUGGGGGCAAACUAUAGGACCCACACGGGCUGACCUAUUCCACUUGACUUUGUGACCCUCACGGUCGCGUGGCAAACCACGUCAAUUUCAUAGAUUUGCACUUUGAACUGCGAAAAAAUACGAAUUUUAGGCUUUUCGAGCAUUCUAAGAUGCAUAUAUGACACAAAUAAGGAGAUAGGAGAGAACCUUCCUAGAAUAUUCAAGAAAACAACUCCAAAGACACCACUAAAGCCGACUCUGAAGCAAAUUUUCAUUAAGAUGGAAGAUUUCUAAUUGAUUUCUUAGGAGAUUAUCAUGAGUUUCUUUAUUCAUUUCAGUUAUACUGCCCUUUGAAUGUUUUUAUUUUUAAUCAUGAACUAAAUUUCUAAAUACCUAAGAGAGAUGAACCCUAUGAUAGAUUGUAACACCCCAAAGCCGACUGGCACAGACCGGCCCAAAUUCGAAACAUUACAUUAGCCACCUAAGUAACUUUCUAGCUAACGACCACCCAAGACACACCCUAACCUUGUAACACCUCAAUCUUAUCUAAUUAUUAGUUAUUUAUUAAUGGCAAAGUAAAUUAUAAGCCAAUUUUGAACUUUUUCUAGGUAAUUUAACCUAAGAGCAUUUAAGUCAUUUUACCACCUAUGGUAAAACUAACCCUGUAAUAGCCAAUUUUGGAUGGCCCGAUAAUAAAAAGUCCAAAAAUCAAAGUCCACAUAGUUGAAUUACAUAAAUUGACCCAAUACACAAACCAAAACUAAACAUCUAGCCCGAAUAGCCCAAUAACCAAAAAAAUAAUAAGCCCAAAACCCCAGGCCCAAUAAACUCUGACCUGAUUUGAAGAACACUCCAGAAACCCUAAGGGUUCCUGGAACCUUUCAGCCACCACAGCAACCAGGGCCCUUCCUCGCAUGUGUAGCGCCUCCGCGCACGUGCGCCUCCUCUAGCUGGCUCCUGCAACAGAACACACGAGCAGCAACAACAAGUAAAGCAAGGGAAAAAUAGAAUAACAGCAAAAAAGAAUAAAAUAAUAGAAAAAAAGAUGUAAAAUAAUUUCUGUAAUUUUUAUUAUUCGGCUAUAUAAAGUCAUUGGUGAUACUGUAAAAAAGGAUUACGGAUUCAAAAGAAAAGAAAAAAAAUCAAAUAGCAUUAUAUUUUUAAUGUUGUUUCUGAUUUCUACUUCUUUUUUCUUUUUCCUUUGAUUUGUUUAUAUUUGCUGAUUAAAAGAUAAAAAAAGGGGAAGUUCUUACUUACAUAUUGCCCUGCCGGAGCCUUCAUCCCUUCUGUUUCAAAUCGGAAUUGGGUGGGCAAUGGUCUAAUUGAAAACGGCACACAGAGGGUAGAUUUUAGGGAAAUAGUCAUUUUCACUUAAUUAACCAUGCAAACAUCAAAAUUUCUCAAUGAAAUUUUACUACGACCUUAAUAAAAUCCUGUAGACAGUAAAUAAAUAAUAAAAUAUUAAUUUACUUGUCAAAAUUGUGGUCUCAAAACCAUUGUUCUGAUAUAACUGAAAACGUGCUGUUACCACUCUCCCCCUAAAGGAAUUUUUGUCCCCGAAAAUCUAACUAGAAAAUAAGUUCUGGUAUUGUACUUUCAUAGCUUCUUCUGGUUCCCAGGUAGCCUCUUCUAUUUUGUGACGUUUCCAAAAAAAUUUAACUAAAUCUGUACUUUUAUUUCUCAAUUCUUUAACUUCCUAAGCUAAAAUUCUAAUUGGUUCUUCACUGUACGUCAUACCUAGCUGGUUAUCAACAUCUGCUGGUGAAAUCACGUGUGAAGGAUCUGAUUGAUAUCAUCGUAAUAUUGAUACAUGAAAUAAAUUAUGAAUAUUCUCUAACUUUGACAUCAAAGCCAAUUGAUAAGCUACUGGUCCAAUCCUCUUAAUGAUCUUAUAUGGACCGAUAAAUCGCAGACUAAGCUUUUCUUUUCGACAAAAAUGGAGAACUUUUCUCCAAGGCGGUACUUUUAGAAAUACUUAGUCCUCGACUUGAAACUCUAUAUCUUUUUUUGUUCAAAUCUGCAUAAGAUUUCUGACGAUCAGAAGUAGCUUCAAAUUGUCACGUAUCACUUAACCUUUACUUUGGUUUCUCAAAUCAAAUCAACACUGAAUAACUUUUUCUUGAUCAGCUCCAAUAUAACAGAGUUCGACAUUUCUGACUAUAUAAAGGUUCAUAUGGUGCCAUUUUAAUGCUCACCUAAUAACUGUUAUUGUAUGGAAAUUCAACCAAUAGUAGAAAUCUCUUCUAGUUACCUUCAAACUCUAAAAUACAACAUCGGAGCAUGUCUUCAAGUAUCUAAAUUACUGGCCAAGACUGGCCAUUAGUUUGUGGAUGAAAUGCUGUAUUGAAAUGCAGUCGAGUAUCCAGAGCUUCAUGUAACUUACCCUAGAAUCUAGAAGUAAAUUGUGGAUUUCUAUCAGAGAUAAUGGAUACCGGCACACCUUGUAAUUUGACAAUCUCAAAAACAUACAAUUCUACCAACUUCUGAAAUGAAAAAUCCAUACGCACUGGAAUGAAAUGUGUGAAUUUCAUCAAAUGAUCUACAAUAACCCAAACAACAUCUUUUUUUCUCAAAGAUAGAGGCAAUCCUGAUACAAAAUCCAUUGUAACAUGUUAGACUUUUGUUAGGUAACUAAUGGAAGAGUGAUAAAAAUAUUUAAAUUUGAAAAUUUGAGUUGCUAAAAAGAAAAGUUCAUAAUUAGGUGAUCAAAAUAGAAUGAAUUGAAUAGUUGUGAGACUAUUCUUGUACUUUACCCUUUAAUUACUUUUUUUUAUGGAUAUGUAUUAUUAAUUUUAAAUUUAUAAUAAUGCAUUGCUAAAUAAUUGCAAAAAAAAAUUAUAGACAUUAAUUUUUUGGAGAGGAUAGGCAUCUCUAAAUAAUGAUUAUUUAGAGUUGAAAAUUGUCCAUAAAUAUUUUUGGCAAUUUGUUUUUGAGGUGUAUGGUUGAUAAAGUAUGAUCGAUAGAUUAUGAAGUGAAGCUAAAUGUGUGUUUGACUGGGUGAAAUGUAACACCUUAAACUCAGCCUAGACGUUACGACCAGAUCAGGAAGUGUUACGUAAUUGUUUGAAAAUUCAGUUCUCAUAUAAUUUUGGAAUCCGUUUUGAAUUCUUAAAAUUUCAAAUUAUUUGAAAACAUUCUUUGUCUAGCUAUUUUGUUGAAAACACUAUUUGCUUAUAUUAUAAAACUCAUAAUUUUGCAGCGGAAAAUUCUUUAGCAUUUUUUUUAAAAUGCUAUCCUUAUUUCUUGAAAUUCAUUACUUUUGUAGGAAAUAAAAGUGAUUUUUAUUGAUAAAAUAUUUUAACGACAUUUUAUGUAAAUCGAAAAUAAAAACCUCAAAAACAAAUCAGAACAGUCAAAAAGUCCAAAAUUUACAAAACACCAAAAUUCCCAAAUUUUAAAUAAUUAAAAUAAAUGCAAUAUCUUUUAUAACCGAGCUACCCUCGCACCGACCCGCCUAAGUUUGAGGAUUACUUGAAAGUAUCAUUUAAACAGAAAGUGAGUUUAUGAAACUCAGUGUAAAACAAUUAACUUAAAACAGUUAAAGCAUAUCAAACAAAUUUAACAGUAUCAAAGUCUUAACAAAACAAUACAGAUACAUAUUUAUUUUUCCUACCCCCAUCUGCUACACACCAUCUCCGACCAUCCCAACACACCAUAUGGGGUAUAAAACACCCAUCUAACCCUACACAUCACUUAGUGUCGUUUAAGAAACUUACAGAAGAAUCGUAGUUGCACUACCAGAUAAAUAGGUGAAUUAUCACCUUUUCAAAUAUACUUCCUCCACAUAGUAAAACCCAUCAUAAUAACAGAUACAGUACAUAUCAAUAAUCAGUAAUAAGCAUAACACAUACAUAUAGCAUCGAUGCAUAACAUAUAUAUAGUACUUUUACCAGUUUUCCUAUAGCCCAUUACAUAAUUUACUCGUCAUAUGCAGCUUCAGAUACAGAACAAAUAUCAAAAUUCAUGCGAACAGAUGACUAACUUUUUAUAUUUUUUAGUCCAUUUAAGCACAUAUUGACCCCAUGGAAGACCCAUAGUCGAUCUAAGUGACGUGAACGGUCCUGAGGAAAGUUUUAGAAUGUUGGGCCCAUACGCCCUGUGUAGCCUACAUGGCCCAAAUUGCUCAAACCGUGUGUCACACACGGUCCAACACAUGGCCUGUCACACAACCAUGUGUUGCACAUGGCCUACCAUAGGACCUAACACAUGACCGUGUGGCUCUGUUCGCUGAUUUUCAAGUUUCUCGUUACACUUCUGAUUCUAUUUUAACACGAAAGCAGCCACAAGAUAACCAUUACCUAAUACGAAAACCAAAUCACCAAAUGAGACAAUUUUUCUCAAACCCGAUUUACAAAAUCAAUUUUACCAAUAACAAAGUUAAUGAUGAAAUUCAGUCCAAAUCUCCAACCUUGAUUCUUACCCUCAAGAAAAAGUAGUCCAAAUAACGAUUCUAAGUCGUCGAGUAACUAAUCGCCUUGUGAACUACACCUAAAACCAAAACAAUUGAUUAACAUCGAUAAAUCACACCAACCAGAACUCAACAUAAUCGAAGCUAACGAAGGCAAGAUUCCAUAACAGAAGAGAAGUAGGCAAUACUUAUGCACGAAUCAAAUUACACUUAACAUAGCAGAGUAUCCACCACCGAUUUGGAAAGGCAUAAAGAACAACAUUCAAGAAUGAACAAAAGAUUGAGAAAAGAACAAGAGCAGGAAAAAGAAACGAAAAUUGAGGGCCUUCUCUACUAAAAUCCACGUGAAAGAAAAGAAAGUAAUAAAGAAAAAAAAAUAGAACCAGAAAGCAAAAAAAUCGAGAACAUGUAAACAAAUGGGAGCAAAAAUUGGGGAUUGAAAUUAUUUUAAUCAAUUAAUUCCCUGCCAUUUAAAAAAACAAUAAAAUAAAAUAAAUAUCUUAAUAACCACCCACUAAACUUAGAUAAGUACCCAGAUUCUUUUCAAGAAUUUGAAUUUAAUCUAAACUUAUCCACUUGAAUAACACAAAGCAUAAAAUAUUUCGCUUGCUUGCAUGGAAGCUUGAAUACAUGACCAAUGAGUACUCAAGAAUUUAACCACUAAACCAGUAAAUUUAUUCUUGUCAUAGAUUUAAUGAUAAUAAUAUUUAAGCUGGAUAAACAGAGAUAGACUUAGAAACAAAAAUAAUUGAAAUUUUCUAAAGAAGUGCAACUUAAACCCAAGACCUCAAACUCACAAGACACUUCACCACUAAAACAAACACUUUCUAAUGACAAAUUUUAUCAAAUUAUGUAUACGAAAUUUGGGGUGUUACACGGAAAGUGGAGGGAUGGGAGGAAGGAGUGAACAAGUGGAAAAAAAAUAAAUUUUGAGUAUGCUUAAUUGAAAAGAAAGUGAGAGGAAAGAAGAUAAGAGAAAUGAUCAUUUUCCAUUCCAAUGAAUAAAAAUGAAUCAUUCCAAAUUGGAAAGAUGAGAUGAAAGAAAAUGAGAAAUAUGUGUAUGAUAGUUUAAAAGAAUGUAUUUUUGAAAUGAUUUAUUUUCUUUCAUUUCAUUUUUUCAACUCUACCAAACAAUGAAUGGAACUGGAGUAAAAAUUAAAAGUAGAAAACUAGAAGAAUGAAAAAAUAAUUUUUAUUUUUAUUUUUCUAUUUUUCCUACCAAACACAUCUAUGAAAUUUUCCACCCGUUAAAUCUUCCAUUCUUUCAAUUUUUGUUACAGUCUAGAAAGCAAAACUUUAAUGUUGAAAAUUUAAUUCCAUAGCAGAUAGAUUACGAAGUGAAACUAAACGCUAAAAUGAUUAUAUUAUGAAUAUGAAAUCUCCAUUAAUUCUGAAACUGUAUUACCAAUGGAGAAGUAUUGAUUUCUAAUUGUAAAAAUGUGAAGAGAACAGGUUUACUUUUACAAGUAAGAAUUUUUUGAGCAUCCUUCAUAUUUUUACAAUUAAAAGCCAACUCCAUAGUCAAUUUGCUUUGAGAAUGAACUGUGUAUCUUCAAGACUUCCAGCUUCAGUACAGAUUAAGUUGAGCAUUGGAUGAACUUGCCAAGGCUUCUCAGACCAUUGCACUUCUUCCACUAUAUUCAGCAUUUCUUGAAAAUAUUCAUGCAACACUAUUGGUAACAUGGAUUUCUGACAUUAGAAAAGUAGCAAAAUUUGUGGAACUUUGAUAGCCCCAUUGACAAUAAGGAAUGAUGGGUUCCAUUCUUCUUAUUAAUCUCCCUUUUUUCCCCUUGAUUAAGCACUGGUUAUUUGAAAGCAAAACACAUAGUUGGAUUAGAUUGUAAAAUUAGCACCUAAAAACAUAAUUUUCAUUUUAGCACAGGGUGAUUUAGAUGAAACAACUCUAAUUUUUAAAACAAAUGCUGAACACACAUUAACUGAAAGGAACAAACCUGAAGAGGCAAGGAAGCUCAACCAAGACCACUGUGAUCUAUUUGUCUCAACAUUAAACAAUUAAAGAAGAUUAGAUAGAAACUUAGAGAACACUUCCAAAGAUAUAAGCUUUCUUCAAUUCAUCAAACGAUUACAUAAAUUUCUUAAAUUGCAAUCAAACAUAACAAACCUUAUACUUGACUAAAAGUAAACCAGCUUCCCCAUCAUUUAGGCUUCUCUACCAAGCAAUGUUUCAAAUGUUAUAAGGCUCAGCAUGGAACUCAUGGAUAGGUUUUAGGAGGCCUCUCUGAUACAGAAACAAUAUGAAGUGCAUUAACAGAUCAACAACUCCUAUUGGUAGGAAAUUCAAACAUCCUUAGUUUAAGAAAAUUACAUUUUAAUAGAUCAAAUUCAGUAUAGAAUAUCUUUACCUUGUUCUUAGCUUGGCGCCUUUGACUUGUCAGCCAUCUUACAAUACGAUUCAAUUGCUUUAACUCACCCUCUGGGGUUCGAUACCUCAAAAACUUUUAACGCCAAUGACAAGAUAACAAAUAAUUUAACAAGUAAAUGAAAUUGAAAUGCAUACCUUAAAACUCCUUUUUGGUACAAAAGUAAAAACACAUUUUACAGAAAAGAAAGCAAGGAAAAAUCCAAAUAUAGAAGUACAACAAUGUUGAAAUCCCAAGAAAAGAUAAAAGAACAUAAAAAUUAACAAACACAAGCAACUAAGUAGACAAAUAAUCAGUCUAACACAUAGAAAUAACUUAAUCCCUCAAUGCUAUCAUAGAGUGAAAUUGUUGGAAGGGUCUGCUUCUGCUGUUAGUUCUGCUGUUGAGAGACUUGCAAAGAGAUAUCCUAGUACACAAGGGCAAAUGAGUGAGCAAAGAGUUUACGUAUUAUAUAUAGAACAUGAUUCAUCGAGGAUGAAUCUUAUAUAUAUAUAUGGUUAAAAUACAAAAAUGAAAUUAAAUAUGGAGUUAAACACAUACCAAAAGUAAGUUAAUAACCACAAGCAUACUCAUCGUUCGAUGAUGUUUAGAAACCUUUGUUUGAUCUUCUUUAGCUCAAACACAACAUCCUUCAUAUCUUUUCUUUCUUCUGGCAACUCAGCUGAACAAUCCAAAGCUAACUCCAUGAUAGAAGAAAUACAAUUUGUGUUGGUGCAAGAGGCAGCAGCAAGCUGAUUUCAGCUUUGCUUAAACAGCAAGUCUCGAGGCUUGCAGCAGAAACAAUCAAGGAAGAAAAACUUACAAUGGAAAACAGAAAAGAAAGAGAGAGAUUUGAAUGAAAAUGAGCUAAAUUUUCAUUAACAUUUUUAAGAAGGCAUGAUGCCAAUACAUAUAAGGGAUUACAAUAGCAAAACAAACAAGUUACCACCUAAUAACUUACCUAACACCACAAAUUUGCCUAGUAACUUGGUAAACUUGUUUGAAUACAUAAACAGCUACCUAAACUUGUCAUUCAUGACUUAAUUACAUCAAAAUGCAGCUACCAACUAAGUUUGAUCCUAACUAAAUACAAAACAUUCAUUUAAAGAAACUAAAUGAAUAGCUUCAGCUUGCUGCACCAAUUUGCUGUUGAAGCACGUUCCCUGCAUGGCCACCUUUGCUGCUGCAUGGGAGCUGACUUCAACACUCCUCCUCAGCUUUUAUGCAGCAGACUCCUAGUUCCCUCUUUAGGCUUAGAAAUCUUGAUACACCAAGAGACUUUGUGAAGAUAUCAGCAAUCUGAUUUUCAGAGCUGCAAUGAAUCAGCUCAAUUUCUCGAGCUUGUUCCAUCUCCCUUAUCACAUGUAGUUUAAUAUCGAAGUGUUUUGUCCUACCAUGGAAGACAGGAUUUUUGGCAAUAGCAACUGCUGACUUGUUGUCACAAUGUAUCACAGUUGCUUCAUUCUGCUGUAGGUUUAAAUCACUCAAAAUUUUUCUCAGCCACACAGCUUGAUUAACAGCAUUAGCAGCUGCUACAUACUCAGCUUCAGCUGUUGACUGAGCCACCAUUGUUUGUUUUCUUGAGCUCCAACAAAUCAUUGCAGAGCCAAGUGUAAAAGCAUAACCAGAGGUGCUCUUCAUGUCAUCUUUUGAACCAGCCCAAUCGCUAUCUGUAUAGCCAAUCAAUUUCAACUCCUUGACCCUUUUGAAACAUAUACCAUGGUUCAAGGUACCUUUGAUAUACCUCAGAACCCUUUUUCCUGCUUUGUAAUGCUGCUGAUUACAGCAAUGCAUGAAUCGUGACAGCAUGCUCACAGCAAAUAGAAUAUCAGGUCUUGUUGCUGUCAAAUACAACAAACAGCCAAUAAGGCUUCUAUAAUCUGUUUCACAGACAGAUUCAUGUUCCUCUUGGCUCGAUAGCUUCAUGCCAAUAGCCAUUGGUGUGCUCAUUGGUUUACAAUUCUCCAUUGAGAAUUUAGCCAGCACUUUCAAGGCAAAUGUCUUUUGUUUCAAGAGGAUUCCUCCUUCUACUUGAUUGACUUCUAAGACAAGGGCUCUAGAUACCAAUAAUUUGCUUUAAUAACAAAAUUAUCAUCCUCUCUUCUUAAUAAAUCAGCAUCCACAAUGUCUAUCAUUCCUUCAGAUAAUAAUCUUUUCACCCAAUGCCUUAUGGUCAUUUCAUCACCAAAAAUUUCAUCUGUUGGCCUUUUCCUAGUGAAAGUUUCUAUGAGGACAAUUCCAUAACUAUAGAUGUCACAUUUUAUAGAAACAAUUCCCGUUGAUCCAAAUUCUGCAUUUUAAGCAUAAGUAAUCCUGGAUUAUUUCUAAUAUGUUUACCACUAUAUAUAGACAUACACAAAAAAUAAUCAUUAAUUAAAAAAACUCAAAAAUUCACCUGGUGCCAUAUAACCAAUAGUUGCAAGAGUCAUGGUUUGCUUCACUACAUCACCUUCUCCCAACAAUUUCGCAAUGCCAAAAUCUCCCACAUGAGCAACCAUGUCUUCAUCUAGUAGAAUAUUGCUUGGUUUUAGGUCACAAUGAAUUACAGGUGUUGGAUGUCCAGUGUGGAGAUAUUUUAGAGCAGCCGCAACAUCUACCAUUGUGUUGAUCCUUUGUAUGAUAUCAAGGAAACAACUGUUUGAAUGUAACCAUUUCUCAAGAUUUCCAUUAGACAUGAAAUCAAGCACCAAGGCUUUGAAGUCAACAUUGGAGCAGCAAGUAAUGACCUUGACAAGAUUACGAUGAACUAUGUUACGCAUAGCUUCACAUUCAAUGUCAAAGCUCCUAAAUGCUCCUUCUAUUUGCAAAUUGAAAACUUUUAUUGCAACUUCCAUUCCAUCCGAAAGCCUCCCUUUAUAUACAUAUCCAAAACUUCCUGAACCAAGCAUAUUGUGCUCCUCAAAUCCACUAGUUGCCCGUGAAAGUUCGGCAUGUGAAAUUCUUCUCCAUGUUCCCAAACAUAGUGAAUCAUCCGUAAUUGGUAGAGUUGUACUCCUAAUUCGGAAUCUUCUAUAUAUAAUAACUAAGACUAGUAGUAACAUGACAAUACAAAUUAUUGGUAAACCGUACCUUAAAUCAUGCAAUACACCCAUCUUGGAAUUUUUGCGGAUGUCAUUUUUGCAAGGUGGGACUAGCAAUCUUGGUGGACCACAAAGUGCAUAAUUCUUCAUGAAUGAUGUGCUUGGAAAGUUUGGAAAACAUCCUUUGCUAGGAAUUUCCCCUUCAAGUCUAUUGAAGGACACAUUAAAAUACUUUAGAUAUAAAAGCUUUUCCAAAGAUUUGGGAAUAACUCCAGAGAGAUUGUUAUUGCACAAAUUCAAAAAUGUCAAACUAAUCAAACCACCAAAUGAUUCGGGGAUAUGACCAUGUAUAUUAUUUGAUAAAUCUAAGAAAACCAAAGUUUCAAGACCCCCAAAUGUGGACAAGAUAUCUCCUGUGAAAAGAUUCCUUGAUAAAUUUAGUUUCAGCAGACUCCUCAAAUAUCCAACAUCAAGAGCAUGUGAACCGUUAAGGUAAUUUGAUGAUAAAUCUACUUCUAAGAUAUCUUUAAGUUUCCACAAAGUUGAGGGUAUUGCCGAACUCAAUUUGUUGGAAUUUAAAUAAAGAUAUCUCAAAGAAGUAAUAUUACCCAAACAAGAGGGUAUGGAUCCAUCCAGCUUAUUCAACCCUAAAAACAUCUCGUAUAGUCUCUCCAAACCACAGAGGCUUUUUAAGAUAGGUCCUCCUAAUUUAUUAGAGUAAAGAUCUAGACCUUGGAGAUUUUUCAUUCCUCCAAUUGAUGUCGGAAUAAAACCACUUAAUUUAUUAUGGCCAAGUUGUAAAAGUAAUAGGUUGCUUAAGUUACCUAUUUCUAUUGGAAUAUUGCCUUUAAGCUCACAAUCAGUAGCGUAAAAGUAUAUAAGGGAUGCUGAAAGGUUCCCAAUAUUAGUAGGAAGAGUGCUAUUCAAAGCAUUUUCUAAAAUAUCUACUCUUGUCAAAUUCUUGCAAUUUGUCAAAGAAGAAAGAAAGGCCCACUCAUGAUUUAUAGUAGAUCCCAUGGUCAAAUAGUUGUUUGUUAUUCGGAACCAUUCAAGGUGUCGUAAGUUACCAAACGUUUCAGGAAUUGGGCCAGAGAAGAAGUUAUCUCCCAAGUCUAGAACCUUAAGCAUGGAAGCAUUCAAGAUAGAGUUGGGAAUGUUUCCGAGAAGUUUAUUUCGACGCAACGAAAGAAAAUUCAGCUUUGGAGCCUCGAUCAUGGGUGGCAAGGUACCUGUAAAAGUUUCAUCUUUUAGUGUAUAUAUAUAUUCUCAUUCAAUACCAAAUUCUCGAUAUAUAUAUUACACAAAUACAUUUUUAAAAGGAAAAAUGUAAAACUUCAAAUCAAAUAAAAAUAAAAUUUUCACAUGGAAAAAUGCAAUUAAAUCAAUCUUAAAAAUGACACAUAAUAAGAAGUUCUGAAUAGUAAUUAGUCACUUAUGAUUUGUAUUAAAUAAUAAAAAUAAAUAAAACCAUUUUUAAUAAAGGGUGCAUAAAAAAUUAAAAUAAAAUUUUGAUUAAUUGAUAAAUUUAAGGUUUUAUUAUUGAUGUGAGUUCAAAUCUCACCAUAAUUUUUUUUUACUUUUUUUAAAUAAAAAGUAUUAAAUACCUUUAAAUAAUAAAAUUUAUUUUAAAUACAAAAGGAUAUUAUUAUAAUUGCUCUAAUCGAGUUUGUGCUUGGUUAACUCAUGACACUUAACCAAGCACCAACUUAAUUAGAAACUUAAAUUACAACAUAGAUAUUCACAUGCACCAAAAAAAGUAAAAAAAAAAAUUAGUUUCUAAUAACAAAUUUUAAUGAUUUAUAUAACAAGUAACUUUCUAAUUCACAUAAUUUUUUUAUAAAUAAUAUAUUUAUAUAAUCUAAUCUAUUAUAUUUAUAUUAAUUAUAUAUCAUCAAUGAAUCAUCAGUAAAUUUUUAUGAUCAAUUUACUGAUUAUUAAGUAAGAGUAAAAAAUUAAAUUAAAUAAUGAAAAACUAUUUUUUACAUUUGGUACAUAUGCUUUAUGAUGAUAAUUAAAAAAAAGUAUUAACACUAUUUCUGAAUUAACAAAAAUAAUUAAUAUAUUUUAAUUAUAUUUAUUAUUUAUUAUUUUGAAUAAUAUUGCUUUUUUUAAUUACAUGAAAUAAAAACAUAUUAUAUAUUAAAUAUGAUACAUAUGCUUUAAUUAUGGCUUAAAUUUUAUUAAUAUAUUUGAACUAUUAAAUAAACUAAAAUAUUUUAAUUAUGUUUAGCCGUGUGAAUAAAAAACUAAUUAAAAAAUUAUUUAAAAAAUUAAAUGUGUAAAAUCAAGUGGAAUAUCAUAAUCUAUGUAUAUGAAUGUAUAAUGUGAGAAAUGAUUAUAUGAAAUUGAGAUAUCAUGCCAUUUGUGUUUCUAGUAAUUUAAUGUCAUUUCAUUAUUUUCAUCUUAAAUUUCAGCAUAUCAUGUUGGAUUUGAUUUUUUUUUUCAAGAGAAAAAUGUUGAAAUGACAUUAAAUCAUUAAAUUAUUAAAAAUGAAUACAAAUGACAUGGUAUCCCAGUUUCAUACAAUCCCUUUUCAUGUAUAUGUAAUAUGUGGUUGUUUCAAUUUUUAAAAUAAAAUAUAUUUUCCACAUUGGUUUCUUUUCUUCCAAAGAUUAAGUAUUUCUAAUAUUUUUAUAUUUGUUGCUUAUAUAAAAUAGAUUAGUUUAUGCAAUAAAAAUUUAAUUACUUUUUUUAAGCUUAAUGGAAAUUAAAAGUUUUAAAAUAAAUCAAUUCAAAUAAAUUUUAUUGUUUAUUAUCAAAUUAAUAAAUUUUAAUGAAGUAUAUGAUCAAAAAAGGAGAACAAAUGAAAGUGAAAAACAUACCUUCCAAAUUGUUGUCAUAUAGAUAUAUUCCUUCGAGCAUAGUUUAAUUAAGGGUCAGUUCUUCAUUACUUUUGAAAAGUGUUUUUGAAAAGUUUAGUUUCAAAUUUGAGUGUUUAGCAUUGCUGUCAAAAAGUAGUUUUCGGAAAUAAAAUGUCCAUUUUAGACAUGUUAUUAUCAAGUAACAAAUAUGCAUUUAAAUAAUAUUUAAAUUAGUUAAUAUUAUUAUAUUUUAGUAAGAAUAUAAAAAAAUAUUAUAACUUGUUGUUAAUAUUUUAAUAUAUGAAAUAUAAAUUUUAAAUAUUUUUAAGAAAUAAAUAUUAAUUAUUUAUAAAAUUUAAUUAGAAUAUAUAAACUAUAUUUUAAAUAUUUAAAUACAACCAUUAAAUAUUUGUAAUUAGUAUUUUAAAAAAUAUUUUUUAUUUUUAAUUAAUGAUUUUAACACAUUUGUAAUUAAGCACCAAGAAAAAAAAGGAAAAUACUAUGUUAUUGGAGGGUUGAAAAAGUAAUUAAGCACCAAAAGUGCUUUUGAGGAAGGAAAAGCUAAAAUUUUUAGCUUCUCCUUCUCAACUCCUUUUGAGAAGUGCUUUUCAAAAGUACUUAUGAAAAGCUAAAAAUGAGACUAACACUGAAUAAUAAUUAGUUAUGAUUUGGGAAACAAAAAUGUUAAAGCCAUUAUUUAUCUUUAUUAAAUUAUAGUGUAAAAUUUAAAGAUUAUUAUCUUCUCAAUUUUUUUUUUAUUUUUCGUAUAUUUGAAAUUUAAUCUUUAUAUUUUUUAUUUUCUAUGAUUUAGUCUCUCUACUUUUUGAAUUGAAAAUUUUAGGUUCAUUUAUUAAUACAGUAAAAAAAGUUUUUGUGUUAGUAUGGCAUUUUGAAAAAUAAAAUAAACUUGAUAUCUAUGUUUUUAAUUAUUCCAAAUAUUGUUUUAUUAUUUCAAGAUAAAUUAUUUGUGUCUAGACCAAUUUCUUAAGAACUAUUGUUGCAUGUUUAAUUAUUCAAAAGAAUUGUUGAUUGAGUCUUAGCUUGAUUGGCAUGUGCAUUGUUACCAAUGUAGGAGAAUGUGGGUUCAAGUAUGUUGAAGUGUAUUAUUCUCUUGUUUAUAAAUUGGGGAGUUGGUUAAGUAUUAAAUUUUGAUAUAUUUUAAAAUAUUAAAAAUUUUUUAAAAUAUUUUUUAAAAAAAUUGAUUGUACCACAAUAUACAAUUUUAAUAUAAAUUUUUUAAUUUUUAAAAAAAAAUAUUAGCGACUAUAUACCUUAUUUCAAGUUACACAGUUUUUACUAGUUUUUAACUUUUUUUAAAAAAAAUUUAUCGUCUUUUAUAAUUUCUAAUAAUUUUUUAUAUUUUUGCAAUAUUUAAAAAUUUCUACCAAUUUUUAAUAAUUUUAUUAUUUUUUUAUUUUUACACAAUUAUAUAUUUAUAAUGUAGUUAUUUUUUUAUAUAACUUUACUUGAAAUUUUAAAGAUUUUUUUGGUUUUUUUCUAGAUGAUGAUGCCAUCAUGAUGUCAUCAUAUACCACAUGGCAAUUUAUGAUUAGUUGGAUAUCUCAAUCUAAUUUUUAAUGUCGAAUGGACUAAACUAAGAACACCUGAUAAUGUUAGAGACUAUACUAGCAAUGUUUGAUAAUAUUAGGUACUAAAGUGAGCAAAUAAAUAUUAAGGACCAAAGUAAAAAAAAAAAAAAGCAAUAUGUUGUAGGGAAUAAACUGUGCAUUAAGCCAUUAAAAAUAUAUCUAUAAUAUAUUUAAAUGCAUGGAUUUUGAGAAGCUUUUGAACUGAUAAUUAUAUAGUCUUUGUUGUUUACUAUAUUAUUGAAUUUGUUAUUUUAAAUAUUUUUUUUACUUUUAAGAUUUAUCUAAGAAUUUUGGUUUUACUAAAAUAUUUGGUUAAGUAAAUUCACUUCAUAAGAAAAUUUAGCAUCCUUAUAAAUAACAAUUUUGAUUCUAUUAAAAAUAUUAUUUUAAAAAAUAUAUAACAAUAAAUUAAAAUUUAUAUUGAAUUACUUUAUACUUCAAUUAUUAUUAGAAACUUUAUCAUACACAUACGUGUAUGAGAAUCACGUAUUUAGAACAUAAAUUUAUGUUUUAAAAUAACUUAUGAUAAAUAAUGAAAUGUAUAAUUUGAAACUAUUUAAUAAUAACACAUGGCAUAUCUACCAUAUUAAAAUAAAAAUAGAUUAAAUUGUAAGUAAAACAUAAUUUAAACAUAUGAAUACAUCUAAUUAAGAAUACUAAAUGAAUACAGUUAUUUAUGAUGAUGUUGUUGUCGAUUCCUAAGUUGGUGUCGAGUUAAUUUGUAACAUCAUCAAUUUCAGUGAUAAAUUUAAGGUUUUAUGUAUUGAUGUGGAUUCAAAUAUCACCAAUUUUUUAAAUAAAAUUUAAAAUAAAUAUAUUUUCCACAUUGGUUUCUUUUCUUCUACCGACAAAGGAUUUCUAAUGAUUUUAAAAAAAAUUUUUCUUAUAUAAAAUAGAUUAGUUUAUGUAAUAAAAAAUAAUUUCUUUUUUAAAGUUUAAUGGAAAUUAAAAAAAAUCAAUUCAUAUAAAUCUUAUUGUUUAUUAUCAAAUUCAACACAAUGUUUUUGGAGUUUGGAAAAAAUUAAAGUGAAAAACAUACCUUUUAAUUUGUUGUUAAAUUAAAAAAUUAAAAAUAAAUCAAUUCAUAUAAAUUUUAUUGUUUAUUAUUAGAUUAAAAUGAUAAAAGUAUAUGACAUAAAUAGAAGAAACAAAUUCAACACAAUGUUUAUGGAGUUUGGAAAAUAUUAAAGUGAAAACCAUACCUUCUAAUUUGUUGUCAAAUAGAACUAUUACUUCGAGCGUAGUUGAAUUAAAAAUACUUGAUGGAAUCUUACCUGCACACAUAGUCGAAAAAUCAAGGUGUCAAACUGCCUAUUUUGUUAGCAUAAGUUAAAGAGGUGUUCUUUUCUGUUCUACAGUAAUUUGGAGAUGUUACAUUUUAAUAUAUUUCAGCAUAUGUUUUUCAUCAAAUGAAAUAAAAACUUUUUCCUUCUGUAAUCUAUUACAAAUCGAACUAUUUUAUUAAAAAAAUACUUUGAAUUCAAGAUAUCAAAGAAAUUGAUUACCUUCUAGAUUAUUAAAUCCCAAAUAUAAUUCUCUGAGUUGUGUCAGAUUUCCAAUACUUCUUGGAAUGAUCCCCGUCAAUUGAUUCAAGGACAAGGACAAAAUUUUAAGGUUGCUGCACUUGCCCAUACUUGACGGAAUGUUACCAGAUAACUCAUUUCUAUCUAAGUAAAGCCCUUCAAGCUUGGGAAGAUGUUGACACAUAUCAUUAUGAAAACUACCUGAUAGGCUAUUGUUGGAGAGAACAAUGGUCUUCAGAGAAGAAAUGUUGAAGAUCGAAGUUGGAAUCUGACUUGUAAGGCCUUUAAUUGCUUGAAUAUUAAGCAAUUCCAAACCAUGAAGAUUACCGAUUUCCUCAGGAAUUUGACCUGCACACAUAGUCGAAAAAUCAAGGUGUCAAACUACUUAUUUUGUUAGCAUAAGUCAAAGAGGUUUUCUUUUCUGUUCUACAAUAAUUUGGAGAUGUUACAUUUUAAUAUAUUUCAGAAUAUGUUUUUCAUCAAAUGAAAUAAAAACUUUUUCCUUCUGUAAUCUAUUACAAAUCAAACUAUUUUAUUAAAAAAAUACUUUGAAUUCAAGAUAUCAAAGAAAUUGAUUACCUUCUAGAUUAUUAAAUCCCAAAUAUAAUUCUCUGAGUUGUGUUAGAUUUCCAAUACUUCUUGGAAUGAUCCCCGUCAAUUGAUUCAAGGACAAGGACAAAAUUUUAAGGUUGCUGCACUUGCCCAUACUUGACGGAAUGUUACCAGAUAACUCAUUUCUAUCCAAGUAAAGCCCUUCAAGCUUGGGAAGAUGUUGACACAUAUCAUUAUGAAAACUACCUGAUAGGCUAUUGUUGGAGAGAACAAUGGUCUUCAGAGAAGAAAUGUUGAAGAUCGAAGUUGGAAUCUGACUUGUAAGGCCUUUAAUUGCUUGAAUAUUAAGCAAUUCCAAACCAUGAAGAUUACCGAUUUCCUCAGGAAUUUGACCUGCACACAUAGUCGAAAAAUCAAGGUGUCAAACUACUUAUUUUGUUAGCAUAAGUCAAAGAGGUUUUCUUUUCUGUUCUACAAUAAUUUGGAGAUGUUACAUUUUAAUAUAUUUCAGAAUAUGUUUUUCAUCAAAUGAAAUAAAAACUUUUUCCUUCUGUAAUCUAUUACAAAUCAAACUAUUUUAUUAAAAAAAUACUUUGAAUUCAAGAUAUCAAAGAAAUUGAUUACCUUCUAGAUUAUUAAAUCCCAAAUAUAAUUCUCUGAGUUGUGUUAGAUUUCCAAUACUUCUUGGAAUGAUCCCCGUCAAUUGAUUCAAGGACAAGGACAAAAUUUUAAGGUUGCUGCACUUGCCCAUACUUGACGGAAUGUUACCAGAUAACUCAUUUCUAUCCAAGUAAAGCCCUUCAAGCUUGGGAAGAUGUUGACACAUAUCAUUAUGAAAACUACCUGAUAGGCUAUUGUUGGAGAGAACAAUGGUCUUCAGAGAAGAAAUGUUGAAGAUCGAAGUUGGAAUCUGACUUGUAAGGCCUUUAAUUGCUUGAAUAUUAAGCAAUUCCAAACCAUGAAGAUUACCGAUUUCCUCAGGAAUUUGACCUGCACACAUAGUCGAAAAAUCAAGGUGUCAAACUACUUAUUUUGUUAGCAUAAGUCAAAGAGGUUUUCUUUUCUGUUCUACAAUAAUUUGGAGAUGUUACAUUUUAAUAUAUUUCAAAAUAUGUUUUUCAUCAAAUGAAAUAAAAACUUUUUCCUUCUGUAAUCUAUUACAAAUCAAACUAUUUUAUUAAAAAAAUACUUUGAAUUCAAGAUAUCAAAGAAAUUGAUUACCUUCUAGAUUAUUAAAUCCCAAAUAUAAUUCUCUGAGUUGUGUCAGAUUUCCAAUACUUCUUGGAAUGAUCCCCGUCAAUUGAUUCAAGGACAAGGACAAAAUUUUAAGGUUGCUGCACUUGCCCAUACUUGACGGAAUGUUACUAGAUAAUUCAUUUCUAUCCAAGUAAAGCCCUUCAAGCUUGGGAAGAUGUUGACACAUAUCAUUAUGAAAACUACCUAAUAGGCUAUUGCUGGAGAGAACAAUGGUCUUCAGAGAAGAUAUCUUGAAGAUGGAAGAUGGAACCUGACCAGAUAAUUGAUUGAGUCCCAAGUUCAAGAUCUCUAGAUUAGAUAUGUUAACAAGUGUUUCAAGGAUUGUGCCUGUAAAGUAAUUAUUUUUCAUUUGCAGCCUUUGAACUCUCUGUAAGUUCCCAAGCCAUGAUGGAAUUUCCCCAUUCAGACGGUUGUAGCUUAAUUGAAGGAUCCUCAAACGAUGCAAUUGGCCCAAUUCUUUAGGGAGAUGGCCAUAGAAAUGGUUGCUACUCAAGUCGAGAGAGAGUAGAAAUGAAAGAUUUCCAAGAUGUGGAGGGAUAGUACCCCUAAGAUUCAUGCUUGUAAGAUUCAAAGCUGUAACUCUUUUAUGGAGGAUGCCACAAGAGACACCAAUCCAAUUGCAAGCAGAGGUUGAGGCCGUCCAAUUGUUUGCCAAGACAUUUUGAGGACCGGCAAUGCGAUCCUUAAACUCGAGAAGUGCAAACUGAUCGGAGUUGAGAUUCCUGACCGUCAUAGCCAAGCAAAGUACGGAACAUGGUAUGAAUAAAGCUAAGAGAAUAUGAAAGCAAGUUUUGCAGUUCAUGAUUGCAAGACGGAAUAAGGCAAGAAAAUAAAAAAAGUAGGAAAAGGGAAGUUGAGUUGAUAAAAUAGUUUGGAUGAUGAAGAAAAGCCUAGAGAGCAUGCUUUAAUAUGUUUCAACCCUCGCACACUUGAUAAACUUGAUAAAAAUAUUUUGAUCUAAUAAAUGUAAAAAAAUUUAAACAAAAUAAGGUUCAAAUAAUCUAUUUGUCCUUAUAUUUUGAUAAAAUUUGAGAUUAGUCCUUAUACUUAAAAGGUUAAAAAUAAAGUUUUCUUUUUUAUUUAAAAAUCUUAGUCCUAUCGUUAAUUUUUUUUUGGUCAAAAUUUGUCAACUGUACAUAUUAAUUAGGUUUCCCUUAUAUGUCGUUGUAUAUGACUAACACAAAAUAAGCAAGUUGACAAAUUAUGACAAAAAGUAUCAAAGAUGAUAAUAAUUUGAUUAAAAUUUUUAAAUUGAAUUAAUAACCUUUAACAUAUAAGGAAUGGAUAUCAAAUUUUUAUAGGAAAAAAGGGACUAACAACAUAUUUUAACCACAAAAUAAUACGAGUGAUUAGAAUGAAUCUAAAAUUUUAUAGAAAUAAAAGAGACUAACAACAUAGUUAUAACUUUGAAAAUUAAAAUAAUACGAGUGAUUAGAAUGAAUCUAAAAUUUUAUAGAAAUAAAAGAGACUAAAACAUAUUUAUAGCAUCUAAAGUGUCAAGUAAUGAAACCGUCAAAAGAAAAUGUGAAAGUGAUUUAUCAAACAAUAAUAUUCUAACUUAUAAUAUAUUUAAUUACAUUUAGUAAUUUAUCAAUCAAAAUUUAUUUAACAUCCAUCAAUACUUCAUACAAAAUUUACCAUUUAACUCAGAUUUAACUUUGCAAGUAAACUUAAAAUUUUAUUUAAUUUUCUCACUAAAUUUAAUUUGUUCAAUAUAGAUUUUGGUGAGUUAAAACAAAAUUAAUAAAAUAUUAUAUUCUUUCAGACAUCUUUUUAAUGUUUAAUAAUAAGUUAAUUUAUAAAAUAUACUUUGAUUGGACACAAGCCUCCAAGGCGAUGAACCACUGAUCAAAUUAAUUUGGAGAUAUCUUUUUUUCCAAAUAAAGUGAAUUUACGAGUUUUGUUUUUUUAAAUAUUUUUAAUAUUUUUGUGGAUAUCAAGCGAUAUCAAACACUAUUUCACUAAAAAAUUUUAAUUCACUCGAAAAGUUAGUGUUUUAUUUCAGGGGUCAUAAUUAAUCAUUAGAUUUCUCAAUUAUAAAUUUUGAAUUUUUUGACAAUUGCGUAAUUAAUAAGUACCAAAUUUGAGUGUUGUAGGGCUAGUACAAUCUCCCUUACACAUAAUUGACUCUUGAACCUACUCUUUUCUUUAGAAUUCAACGCAGACCUCAAAUUUAUGUUUUGAAAAGAAUUUUAAAAUAUCUGUAUAAAAGGUGUAAAAAUGUAUAUUUUAUUAAUUACUAUAUAUUCUUUUAUUUUCAGAAUAAUAAAUUGUUUAAAAUAUGUUAUUAGUCCCUAUAAUUUAAAAGUAUUUGGGAUCUUGAGUGCAUCAAAUUCCUCCUUUUAUUAUUAAAUGUUUUAUUGUAGUUAACAUUUAUUAUAUAAAAAUAUUUUAAAUUUUUUUCAAUUGCAGUUUAAUUCUAGUAGAAAUAUUUCAUUUAUAAAAUCAUAAAACUUUAAAAUAUUAACUUUUUUAAAUAAAAAAUGAUUUUUUUAAACAGUAAAUGUUGACUUUAUUAACACAAAUGGGUCUUUAGGGUUAAACUUCAUAAAUUGACGAGCUCUUCUACAAACUGUGGAUGAUUUGGGGAUAAGAACUUUAAUAAUUAUGGAGUUAAAGUGUAAAUUUACCCCUAUAUUAUAAGUAAAUAUUGAAAUUUAUCACUAUAUUUUAAUUGAUACUUAUCAUUACACUUUAAAAAUAUAAGUAAAUUUACCAUUUAACUCAUAUGUGAUUGAACUUUGCAAGUAGACUUAAAAUUUUAUUUAAUUUUGUCACUAAAUUUGAUUUAUUUAAUUAAAUUUACAACUCAAUAUAGAUUUUGGUGACUUAAAACAAAAUUAAUAAAAAACUAUUCUUUCAGAUAAUUUUUAAUGUUUACUAAUAAGUUGAUUUAUAAAAUAUACUUUCAUUGGACACAAGCAUCCAAGGCGAAUAUCAACAGAUACUCAAAAUUAUUUCACUAAGGAAUUAAUUAGUAUUUUAUUUUAAGGGUUCACAAUUAAACAUUAGAUUUUUCAUUUUUAAAUUUUGAUUCUUUUGACAAUGCGUAAUUAACAAGUUGAGUUAAUAUCGAUAUUGUUGUUAGUGCAGAAGAAUGUGAGUUCAAUCAUGUUUAAACACGUUUUAUCUUCCAAUUUAAGAGUUGGAGAGGAUUCUCAAUAGUUAAAUUAUAUAAGUUUUUGUCUAUUUAAAAUUGAUUUAUAAAUAAUAUAAAUAAAAAUAUUUAAAAUAUAUAUAUUCAUAUUGAUCGGCAUUUUCAUUAUUAGACUUUUUUCCCUACAGGUAAAAGUAUUUAUGGACAGGAUGAUGUAAAAUUAUGACCUGAAUAAUUUUAAACCUUUCAUCACUGCAAAAACGAAAAUAAUAGAAAUGAAAGACUAGCCAUUGUAUGAAAUUUAAAAUUAAACUGUGAACAAUAGAAAAUUGCCCGCGUGACUUGGGAUAAGAGGUUGAACAUUUCUGGAUCACAUUACAUUUAAGAUGGGUCUUUAAGGUUAUGCUUUAGUUAUUGAGAACAUUUUCCACAAUUUCCCAUCGUUAUUUGUGGGGUAAGUGGUUGAACACUUCUAGAUCACAUUGCAUUUGGGACGGGUCUUUGGAUUUAUAUGAUACUUUAACAUAGACUGACUUUUCUAUAAUUAGUCCUUGCUUUACUUUGGGUGGAUUCUUCCAACUGUCCAAGAAUUAUUGUACAAUUACAAUUAAUCUUUUUAAAUGAGACAAAAAUUUCAAAUUUGUCAUUACUAUUUGUGAGUGAUUUAGGGGUAAGAAGUUUAACACUUCUGGAUGUGUUAUAGAAUUGUGAUUAUACUUUUUGAGUAUUGACUCAGUUUUCCACAAUUGUGGGUCUCUCUUUGAGCAAAACAAUUUGAACAAUUCUUCAUCUCGUUUAAUCCAAAUACAUUUAUGCAUGUCUUAUAUCAUUGAAUUUGCUGUUUCACAUUUAAUUUUUGGACAAGUAGAACUUUCUAACCUAUUUUCCAUCAACUUCACUUGAAUUUUCACUCACAAUCAAUUGCAUUCAAGAGCACCACAUCUUUUUGGAUGAAACAAAACUUUCAAUUUUAAGAUAAACGGGUCUUUAAGGUUAUACUUCAUUUAUUGAGGGCCUUUUCCACAAUUGCCAUCAUUAUUUGCGGGUGAUUUGGGGAUAAUAACUUGAACAUUUCUCGAUCACAUUUAAUUCAAUUUUUAAAUUUUAGAGAGAUGUUUAGGUUACAACAAUUGCCAUCAUUCUGUUUAAUAGAACAUUUGGGAGGAAAAGGAGAAAAAAUUAGCGAAAACCGAAAAAUGGGGGCAAACUAUAGGAACCACACGGGCUUACCUAUUCCACACGACUGUGUGACCCAUACGGUCGUGUGGCAAGCCAUGUCAAUUUCAUAAGUUUGCACUCUGAACUGCGAAAAAAAUAUAAAUUUUAGGUUUUUCGGGCAUUCUAAGACAUAUAUAUGACAAAAAUAAGAAGAUAGGAGAGAACCUUCCUAGAAUAUUCAAGAAAACAACUCCAAAGACACCACUAAAGCCGACUCUGAAGUAUAUUUUCAUUAAGAUUGAAGAUUUCUAAUUGAUUUCUUAGGAGAUUAUCAUGAGUUCUUUUAUUUCUUUCAGUUAUACUGCCCUUUGGAUGUUUUUAUUUCUAAGCAUGAACUAAUUUUCUAAAUACCUAAGAGAGAUGAACCCUAUGAUAGAUUAUGACACCCCAAAGCUGGCAGGGAUAGACUGGCCCAAAUUCAAAGCAUUACAUUUGCCACCUAAGUAACUCUUUAGCUAACGACCACCCAAGACACACCCGAACCUUAUAACACCUCAAUCUUAUCUAAUUAUUAGUUAUUUAUUAAUGCCGAAGUAAAUUAUGAGCCAAUUUUAAACUUUUCCUAGGUAAUUUAACCUAAGGGCAUUUAUGUCAUUUUACCACAUAUGGUAAAACUAACCCCAUUUUAGAUAUCACUGUUCAAACCCAUGAGUUUUGUUUUCUUUUUUGUAAAAAAAUAUAUCAAGAGAUACCAAAAAUUAUUUUACUAAGAAAUUUUAAUUCACUCAAAAAGCAAGUGUUUUAUUUCAAGGGAUCACAAUUAAACAUUAGAUUUCUCAUUUUAAUUUUUUUUAAUAACUAAGUAAUUAACGAGUACCAAUUUUGGGUGUUGUAGGGGUGCUAUAACUUUUCCUAUACGUAAUCGACUCUUGAACUCACCUUUUUUUCCUCUAGAAUUCAAUCUUUUUAAAAGAAUUUUAAAAUCUCUUUAUAAAAGACGAUUUUUUUAGGUGACCAAUCACACUUAACAAAAAAAAUCGGUGGCAACUCCUUUCCGAUAAAUGUAAAAAACUUUUUGAACAAAAUAAGGUUGAAAUAAUCUAAUUGUCAUUAUACUUUGAUAAAAUUUGAGUUUUAGUCCUUAAACUUAAAAGUUUAAAAAUUAAUUCUUGUUUUUAUUUAAAAAUUUGAGUUUUUAAAAAUUAAUUAGGUUUAUCUUAUAUAUCGUGGUAUAUGACUAACAUAAAAUAAACAAGUUGACAAAUUCUGACAAAAAAAUAUCAAAGAUGAUAAUAAUUUAAUUAAAAUUUUUAAAUUAAAAAAAUAAGGAAUUAAAUUUAUAACUUUCAAAGUAUAAGGAAUGAACUUAUUGAAAUACAAGAACUAACAACAUAUUUUAAAAUAUUACUAGUAAAUUAUAUAUCUACAACAAGAAUUGUAACCUCUUAUAUUAUACUCUUGUAUCUACUUUGCAUCUUUCAUUAUAAUAUGAUUUAUUAAUUUUAAUAUUUUUAUAGAAUAAUAUGCUUUAAACUAUUUUUUUGUAUCAUUUAUAAAAAUUAUAAUAAACUUACAAAAUGAUUUAAUGAUAUUUAAUUAUUAAUAGAAAAAAAUGAUAUCAUAUAUAUUCUAUAUAUAUUAAGAUUCCGAAUCAUUAAUUAUAUAUCUACACAUUAUAAUAAAUUCAUCUUUCAAAAUUUUCCUUAUAAUUAAAUCAUAAAUUAUAUUUAUAAUAUUAUAAAUAUAUUAUAUCAUAAAUAUUCUUUCAAAUAGUUUUAAAUGUUUAAUAAUAAGUUAACUUAUAAAAUAUUCUUUUAGUAAAUUAACGUGAUGAGAUCGUUAGGUGUUUGGAUUUGGUGAAGGGGGAUGAAGAGAAAAGGGAUGGAAGUGAAUAAAAAUGUUGAGAAAUGGAAAGGAUUAGCGAGGGAAGCCGCCAUGAAAGGUGGUUCAAUUGAUAUAUAUGGACCUUCAAGCUUUUGUGGAUGAUGUUACUCAAGGUUGUUUCAAGUAAAUUUAAAAAUGUUUUUUAAAAUUAUUUUUUUGUUAAAAAAUUUGUUUAUUUUUUAUGUGGCAUGCCACAUUAUCAUACUAUCAUGUGACAGCUCCUGGUGAUUUCUGUCCAUAACAUUAGUCAAAUCAAUUGUUAAAUCGUUCAACUCAGAGUUUUUGUUAAAUGAAGAGGUCAAUUGAUUUUUUUUGGAAUCAUUGAGUACUCAAUUGGUGCACUUUUUCAUAAAGGCUAAAUUAAUUUUUUUAAUUUGUUAUUGUUGAGGGCUAUAGCAAUAAAAAAAAUUGAGGUAAAAUGAAAAAAAAUGUUAGAGCUAAAUUUGUCAUUAUGCCUAAAAUGUAAAAUCAAAAUUUUUUGAAAAUGAAAAAAAAAUGGAAAAUCACAAAUUCUGUCGCAUAUGUUUGCUUAAAAUUAUAGUUUUGGUCACCAAUCUUUUGAAGUAAAUAUAUGGUCACCAAUAUUAUCCAUUUGUUACUUUGUAAUAACUUACCUUAAAGUUAUACCCCAAGAAAGGAUUAAAUGACAUUGGAAUACCAUAAAACUUGUAUCUUUUUUUAUUCAUCUAAUACCAAUUUAACAUUUUCAUUUUAAAAAAUUGACAUAUUAUUUCGAAUUUUAUCUUUUUCAAGAUGAAAAUAUUGAAAUGAUGUUAAAUUAUUAGAAAGAGAUACAAGUUUCAUGGUAUCUCAAAUUCAUUUAAUCUUUCUCUCUCUAAAAAAGCUGAUGUAACACAUUAAUGACAUCAUUUCAAACAAAGUUUUAGGUCAAAUUUUUCAUCUAGUCAUUGUAAUUGUUUUUAGGUGAAUUUCAUUAUUAUUCUUUUAUUUUCUUUGGCUUAAAUACACAUUUACCCCUAAUUUUAUCACAUUCUCCUUAAUUGGUAUUUAUGGUUUAGAAAAUUUUACAAAUAUAUUAUUUUUUAAGAAAUUAUAAGAAGAUUACAAAAAUUCCAAAAUAAUAUAAAAAAGCUAAGGAAAACCUAGAAAUUCAAAAAAAAAAAAACGUGGACAUUGAAUUUGCUGUUUCACAUUCAAUUUUUGGAGAAGUAGAAUUUUCUAACUUAUUUUCCAUCAACUUCACUUCAAUUUUCAAUCACAAUCUAUUGCAUUCAAGAGCACCACAUCUUUUGGGAUGAAACAAACCUCUCAAUUUUAAGAUAAACGGAAUCAAUUGCAUUCAAGAGCACCACGUCUUUUUGGAUGAAACAAAGCUCUCAAUUUUAGGAUAAACGGGUCUUUAGGGUUAUAAAUUGAGGUCCUUUUCCACAAUUGCGGGUGAUUCGUUGAUAAUAACCUCAACAUUUCUGUAUCACAUUUAAUUCAAUUCCACAUUCAAUUUUUAGUUUUUAGAGAGAUGAUUGGGUUACAACAAUGGUUUGAAGUGAAGAUAUUUCAAAACAAGAUGAAUACUCUACCAAUAGUCAUAAUUUAAAAUGCAGGUUAUGUUUCAUUUCAGCUAAGUUAAAUGUUAAGAUUGAGGUUAAACCUUUUAGAGGUUGCUCGCAAAAGGAUCAAACCUUUAUAAAAUUGUUUAAAUGAAGGUCAAACCUCUUAAAAUAGACAAAUAAGGGCCUAACCUUUUAAAAGGUGUUCAAAUAAGGGUUUCUCAAAUUUUGUAUAUCAGGUUAUGUAUUUUACUCUAAACACAUCGACAUUUACCUAUUUUUUCUAUAAAUUGGGUUGAAGUGCAUGAAAAAACCUUAUUUAAGCACUUCUGUAAAGGUUAAACUCUUAUUUGACUAUUUUGAAAGGUUUGAUCCUUAUAUAACAACCUCUAAAAGAUUGAGCACUAAUUUGACAAGAUUGAGAAAUACCUAAAUUUGUUUUCAUGAAUCAAGAAAAUAAAAAAGAAAUGUUGAGAAAUAUUUUAGAGAUUCUUAGCUUUGACAAGUUCCCUCCAUCAUCUUCCUGCCUCCAGUCCCACCUCUUCUCUUAUGCUCCUCCCAGCUUCUUGCUUUUUGUGUGUUGAAAAUUCAAAGGAACAAAAUAUCAACCUACAUUGCCAGAACUUUACUUUCUAGCCUGUCGAUCCGAUCCAAUGAAAGAAGAACAAAGAGUCUCAAGAUCUGUCAACUUUAUUUCAUUUUCAUUUUCUUUGUCAUUUUCUAUGUUUCAUGUCGAAUACAAUGAAAGAACAUAGAAAAAUGUUGCCUAUUUAUUUCCCAAUCAUCAUGAAAUUACUUGCCAUAGACUUAGAAUUUUCUCACCAAUUUUCAAGCAAUCUGACAUGAUUUCUCAAUCACAAUUAAUUGAAUUCAAGAUCUUUUUAGAUGACACAAACAUUUCAAUUUUAACACAAACCAAUAUUUAGGUUGUACUUCAGUGCUUGACAAGCACUUUCACAUUUGUGGGAUAAGAACUCUUAACAUUUUAGGAUCACAUUUAAUUCAAUUGCAUUUAAGACCUCACGAUUUUAUUCUAUAAUUUCAGUCUUAUCAGCCUUUUCGGAAACAAUAAAACGUCGACAUUAAAUUUGUUGUUGAUGCAUUCAAUUUUUUGAGGGGUCUUUGGAGUUAUAUGUGACUUUAGCAUUGACUGACUUUUUUAUAAUUAAUCUUUUAUAAUAUAUCAAUUUUAAUAACAACGACAUGUUUUUUAGUAGGGUCGAGCAAAACCCAAUUAAAACCGAUGAUAUUGGCUUAGUUGACUCGGUCAAGUCCAUUAGAUUGAUAAAAUCAAUUUUAAAAUCAGUUAUAAUGGAUUAAGGUAAUUAAUUAUCGAGUAAUGAAAUACAUAAUCAAAUCAAUUGAUUUUGUUAGAAACUAAAAGAAAAUGAGAUAAGAUGAAAACUGAUUGCCCUUUAUUAAAAUUAACGAAUCCGCCUUUUACGUAUUAGAUAAUACGAACAUCACAUAUAUAAUAAGAAAAAUUACGUAUGAUUAUUUAUUAUCAUAAAAGGUUAGUUUAAAUUUAAAAUAAUCUAAUAUGUUUAUUGAACUUCAACUAUUAAAUAAAGUAUAAGCUAAAUAAGUAUAAAUAUUCUAGAAACCAUUUCUAACUGAUGAUAGGCUAAUUCGAUUAAUUUAUAAAAACUACAUAGUAGGGUUAUAGUCCUCAAACUACACCUAAUUUAAUAACAUUUAUAGUUUUUUUUUAGCCUUAAACAUUUAUAGUUUUUUGUUAAUUUGGUCCUUACUCUUUAAAAUUACAUAAAAAUUGCAAAAAAAAAAUUAAAAUUAAUUUUUUUUCAUAAUUUUAAUAACAUUUAUAGUUUUUUUUUGUGUGUGUGGUUUGGUAACUUAUCAACUCGACUCUCACUUGUAACCAACUUUUCUAACCUUUUUCGUACCCUUAACCUAAGUCCCGUUACAACUUUCUAAAGACCUCUUUAUUAGUGUAUCAUGUCGGUUUGUUUUAUAAUGGUGGAGAUUUGUUUUUUGUAGUGGCACGAUUGCCAGAACUUUACUUUCUAGCCUAUCGAUCCGAUCAAAUGAAAGAAGAACAAAGAGUCUUAAGAUCUGUCAACUUUAUUUCAUUUUCAUUUUCUUUGUCAUUUUCUAUGUUUCUUGUCAAAUACAAUGAAAAAAGAACAUAGAAAAAUGUUGCAUAUUUAUUUCCCAUUCAUCACUCUAACAGGCCCAAUUAGCCCAGGCCCAAACAUUAAUAAAAUGUCUAGAUUACAAAAUAAUCAACUAAAAAUUAAAAGCUCAAAAAAUAAAAUAAAACCCAUUAUAUUAACCCAAAACCCCAGCCCAAUUACAUUGAAACCCAAAAAAAAAAUAGUUUUCAGAAACCCUAAGGUUUCAGAAGCCCCUCAAUGUUAUUUUGUAUAUCUAUUUAUCUUUUUAAAUUUUCGAUAUUGUCUUGUUUUGUUUUUGUAUUAUUGUUGUUACCAUCAUUAUUCAUUAUUAUUAUUGUUGAUUUUAUUGUUCUUUGAUUAAUGUUAAUGUUAGAGUAAUAGAUGUUAUGUGAUCAUUGUUAUUAUAUGUUAUAAUUUGUUUACACUCGUAUUGUAGUCAUUUGUCAGCUUAAUAUUUUGAGUAAUAUUUUAAAUAUUACAUUAAUUUCGACCCAAAUGCAUAAUUUUUUAAUAAGUAAUAUUUUAUAUUUUGAAAUUUGAGAGAUCAUUCCCUAACUUACGGGGUCUCGAUUUUUUCGAUAAAUCUGAAUAUACUAACUAUUUUCAAAAAAUAUGUUUUAAAAUUAUCUCGGGAAUUUAAAAAGGAGCGUGUUCUAACUUACUGAAUAUGAUCUUUUUUUUUAAAAUCGAGAUAAUCAAAUAACUUUCAAAUAAAUAAAUUUUCAAUGUUUAUUCUCAUAUCAGGAUUUAAAAUAUUAUGUCCUAACUCACGGGAUACAAUUCUUUUUCUCGAUUAACAUGAAAUAUGCCCGUUUUAAUUUUAUUUUUUAAGUGAUUUUAACAAAAGGAUUGUAUUUUAAAUCUCUUCAAAAUUUUCAAUUUUUCGACAUUGAGACAUUAACUAAUCAAUUAGGUACCAAUUUUGGGCGUUACGAGGGUGCUAACCCUUCCUCGUACGUAACCGACUCCCGAACCUAUUUUUCUGAAUAUUGAAGGCCAAAAUUGUUUUAAUAAAUUAAACCCUUAAGACGUGACCCCAUCACACCUCAUAAAAAUUAUCGGUGGCGACUCUCGUUUGCGUUUUUGUUUUCGUUUUCAAAAUAAAAGUCGACCCCUUGUUUUAAAAAAGGUGGUUCGAUAGCUUGGCGACUCCGUUGAGGAAAAAAAUAAGAGAGUCAAGCCACGAGUUGAUUAUUUCUUAUUUUUUUGUCAGAAAUUGUGAAUUCGAUUUAAAUUUACGAUCUUUUCAUUGCAUUUUAUGGUCUGCAUCAGUUUGAUAUGCUUGCUUUACUGGUUCGAGUCUUUUAAUCUCCGCAUAUUGCAUUGCAUAACCGUUCGGUUAUACCCUUUUAAGUGGGAGUGAGAAACUAUUCAUUUGUGAGAUUUUUACCUCCGUAUAGGAUAGUGGAUUACUUUCGGGAUACAUCCGUACCUAUGUCUUCGUGAGAUUUUCAUCUCCGUAUAGUUAUAGGGAAAUGUAUUCCCCUGAACUGAACUCAGUCCGUAUGAGCCUAUAAUAGGUAAGGAUUGAGGAAUCUGCUGGUUCAGGUACCCUUUCUUUAGAACUAAACUGCAUGUAGUGAGCCCUAAGAGCAUACCGUAGGUAGAACCACUCCAAACCCCUAGUGGUCACCCAAAUAGGUGCUCUAUUUAUUUUUGCUUGCUUAUUUUUGCAUUGUACUAACCUAUUUUUUGUUAUGAUUGCAUUGCAUUUUCAUCAUAAAAAAGAUGUGUUGAUUCACGUUCAAUUGCUAAAUAGAGAGCUUGUCAUGGGAAACGGAUUUCUUGAUAAAGUGGAAGACAAUGUGGUUAUCCGGAUAUGGUCCAAGAAAAUUUGACGAAAGAAGGGUGAUAGUCUAAUGGAGGACUACACGACCUUGCUUUAUUGCCCGAGGAUUCAAGUUGACAAAGAUUAUUCGAGAGUCCUCAAUGUCCCGACCUUUUUCAAGAAGCUAACGAGUGUCACGAGGAUGAGUGAGUAAUGAGUUGCGGCCCGGAUCAAGCAAAAAAGAGAUAGAGGAGACACCCUUUUUGAAGAGUUCGCGAGAUUUAUAUUAAUAUCAAAAUGAAGAAAAAGAUCAAUGUCUUCGCCUGGAGUAUGAAAGCAAAGCUGUAUAUAUAUCCGCUUUAUGUAAAUAAAUUUUUUUUCUAGUAAAGUUUUUCUAAUAGAAUUGAAUCAGAAUCAAUGUCUUUUUUUGCAUUCAUUCCAUUCAUCUGCAUUGCAUUUCAUUGCAUCCAAAAUUUCACAAAAGGACCCUAAUUAAUCGAAAUUGUUAUAGUUACUCUGAAAACUAAUAAAAAUCUACCAAUUAAAUAUUCCUACGGUACCCGUCGCAAAACCAAAGUAAUGGAUCAAAUAUUAGAAAGAUUAGAACAAAUUCUGAAGGACAAGCAUAAUCGUUUUUGCUUAGGGUACAAGCCAGAUACAAGACAAAGAAGGAAGGAGUUAGAGAAGAAAUAGGAAAGAAUGACAGCACAUUUGAGCGAGGAUGAGGUCAAAUGGGAGCCUAUGAACUUUCCCUACAUAUCCAAAACUUUUGUAUCGGGAGGGAUUAUUCAUCCCGAGCGAAGAAUGCCAAGAGAAGAAAAUAUUGAAGAAAUGUUGGGAAACGUUCACAUCAAUGCCAUAUACGAAGAAGUAGUUGAAGGAUGGACCUUGUUAGAUAUCCGACCUUAUGAACCUGAGAGUGUGCUAAACAAUUGGACUACAGAAGAAAUUCCUGUAGUGUUUAGACCUUACUCAGAGUAAUAUUCAAAACACACUUGUUGCUUUUAGCCUAGAAGUGAUAAGAAUCCCUCUGUGAAAUAGGCUCAUGUAUAAACAUCAUUAUUUUAAUAAAGUAAAUCUUUGCAUUCAUUUUGAGCAAAUAUUCUUUUAUUCUUUCCAUACGAGUAAUUAUUUUAGAUUUUUCAUUAUUUUAGGAUUUUCUUCCAAAAAUCAUUCUUUUAUUACAUUCAUAAUCAUACUGUACAAAUAAUUAUUCUUAAAUUCAUUCAUUCUUUGUAUAUUCUUUUGUACCUAUAAUAGGUCCCUAGACAUCAACGACAUGAGUGACGCUGCUACAGACUUAGAAUUUCCUUUUAAACAAGACAUGUGUUUAGAGGGAUCCCAUGACUUUGAAGAUGACGUAGACUGUGGCUUAUCUCCGGACUUGUUAAGGAUGGUAAAACAAGAGGAGAAGCAAAUCCUACUUCACAAUGAAUCAAUGGAAAUUGUGAGCUUAGAAGGGGAAAAUAGGUGAAGAUUGGGACUGACAUUGCCACAAAUACGAAGUAAGACCUCAUUGAGUUACUCUAAGAAUUCAAAGAUAUUUUUGCAUGGUCAUACUAGGAUACGCUCGGGUUAAGUACUGACAUUGUAGUACACUGCCUUCCUAUAAAAGAAGAUUGCUAGCCAGUUCAGCAGAAACUCCAGAGGAUGAUGCCUGAUAUUGUGCUAAAAAUAAAAGAAGUCAAAAAGUAAUUUGAUGUUGGGUUCUUACAAGUGGUCAAAUAUUCAGAAUGGGUAGCCAACAUCGUCUCAGUUCCUAAAAAAAUGGGAAAGUACGAAUGUGCAUGGAUUAUAGAGACUUGAACAAGGCCAGUCGAAAAGACAAUUCCCUAUUGCCUCACGUUGACACUUUGGUGGAUAAUACAGUAGGCUACUCACUUUUUUCCUUCAUGGAUGGCUUCUCUGGAUACAAUCAGAUAAAGAUGCAUCCAAAAACAUGGGAAAGAUUACAUUCGUGACCCUGUGGGAAACGUUUUACUAUAAAGUGAUGACAUUCGGAUUAAAGAAUAUGGGAGCGACGUAUCAAAGGGUGAUGGUAACCUUGUUUCAUGACAUGAUUUACAAGGAAAUCGAGGUUUAUAUUGACGAUAUGAUUGCAAAAUCUAGAACAGAAGAGGAACAUGUGCAGGUCCUGAGAAAAUUAUUCUUAAGACUGAGAAAGUUCUAGCUCAAGCUUUCCAACGAAAUGCACUUUCGGAGCUAGGUCAGGAAAGCUAUUAGGCUUCAUAGUCAGUGAAAAAGGAAUCGAGAUCAACCCAGACAAAGUUAAGGUAAUAAGAGAUUUACCUCCACUAUGCACUCAGAAGAAAGUUUGAGGUUUCCUAGGAAGACUAAAUUACAUUGCUCAGUUUAUUUCACAACUAACCGAAAAAUGUGACCCCAUAUUUCAUCUUUUAAAGAAACAUAAUCCAGAUGUAUAGGAUGAAGAAUGUCAGGAAGUUUUUGAUAGGAUAAAGCAGUACCUAUCAAAUACUCUAGUGUUGUUACCACCUAGCCCAGAUAGGCCACUGAUAUUAUAUUUAACAGUGUUUGAUAAUUUUAUGGGAUGCAUGCUAGGCCAACAUGAUGAGACAGGAAAGAAAGAAAGGGUUAUAUACUAUCUCAGUAAGAAAUUCACUGAUUAUGAAAUAAGAUACUCGUCUAUUGAGAAAUUAUGUUGUGCCUUGAUCUGGAUAACUCGGAGGCUAAGGCAGUACAUGUUGUACCAUACGACUUGACUAAUUUCAAAGUUAGACCCUUUAAAGUAUAUGAUGGAGUCAACUACUUUGAAUGGGAGGAUGGCCAGAUGGCAGAUUUUACUUUUUGAAUUUGACAUACUUUAUGUGAGCCAGAAGGCUAUAAAAUGGAGUGCAAUAGCGGAUUUUCUAGCUAGCAGAGCCUUGGAGGAUUAUGAGCCUUUAAAUUUUGAUUUUUUGAACGAGGACUUAAUGUAUGUGGCAACCACUAAAGAAAAUGCUCAAGUGGAUCGCAUUUGGAAGCUAAAAUUUGACGGAGCCUCAAAUGCUAUGGGCAAUAAAAUUGAGGCAGUCUUAGUAUCCCCGAGCAGAGAUCAUUAUCCUAUUGCUGGCAAAUUGGAUUUUGAUUGUACAAACAAUAUAGCAGAAAAUGAAGCGUGUAUCAUGGGCAUCCGUAUAGCCAAAGAAUGUAAAAUCAAAGUGCUAAAGGUAUAUGGGGAUUCUGCAUUGGUGAUAUAUCAGCUUAAAGGAGGAUGGGAUAUAAGAGACCUCAAAUUGAUUAAUUAUCGAAAGUUGAUUCUCGAAUUGAUUGAUGAGUUUGAUGAUAUUACUUUCUCCUAUCUCCCACUAGAUGAAAACCAGAUGGCUGACACGUUGGCUACUCUAGCUUUCAUGAUCAAAGUAAACAAACUAGAAGACAUGAAGCCUAUCCAGAUGAGCAUUUAUGAGACUUUGGCUCAUUGCUACAGUAUCGAGGAAGAGGAAAAGGAUGAUCAUCCUUGGUACCAAGAUAUACUGCAAUAUGUAAAGAAUCACGAGUACCCUGAUCAGGCAACGAAGAAUGAUAAGAGGACAUUGAGAAGACUAGCCACUAACUAUGUCUUAGAUGGAGAGAUUUUAUACAAAAAGGGAAAGGAUCGGGUACUACUAAGAUGCUGGAUGCUAUAAAAGCUUAGAAAAUCUUGGAGGAAGUCCAUGAAGGUAUCUGCAAAAUGCAUGCCAAUGGUUUCACAAUAGUAAGACAGAUUAUGAGAUUCGGGUACUACUGGUCGACCAUGGAAGGAGAUUGCAUCAAUUAUGCCAAGAAGUGCCAUAAAUGUCAAAUUUAUGGAGACAAAAUACACGCACGUUCUUCACCUCUCAACGUUAUGACUUCUCUAUGGCCUUUCUCCAUGUGGGAUAUGGAUGUCAUCGGGCCAAUAUUGCCAAAGGCUUCUAAUAGGUAUCGUUUCAUCUUCAUGGUCAUUGGUUACUUCACUAAAUAGAUGGAAGCUGAUUCAUAUGCUAAUGUCAUGAAGUCAGGAGUCAGCAAGUUCUUGAGAAAGUCAGGAGUCAGCAAGCUGAUUCAUAUGCUGAUUCAUAUGCUAAUGUCACGAAGUCAGGAGUCAGAGAUAGAAAAGCAAGUACAUUGUACCUAAGUCAGAAGGGGUACAUUGAGAAAGUUCUUUACAAUUGUACCAAAGUCAGAAGGGGUACAUUGAGAAAGUUCUUUGCAAAUUCAAUAUGCAGAAUGCUAAGCCUAUUAGUACUCCUUUAGCAGCCCAUUUCAAACUAUCAUCGGCUUUGUCUCUACAAUCAAAUGAUGAGAUUGAGUACAUGUCACAUGUUUCAUACUCUAGUACAGUGGGAUCUCUCAUGUAUGCUAUAGUUUGUUCACAUCCAGAUUUAUCAUAUACAGUCAAUGCAGUUAGUAGAUACGUGGCGAAUCCUGGUAAAGAACAUUGGAAAGUAGUUUAGUGGAUUUUAAUAUACUUACAAGGUACUACUGAUGUUUGCUUACAGUUUAGAAGAACUAGAUAUGGAGUCAUUGGGUAUGUUGAUGUUGAUUUUGCUGAAGACCUUGCUAGAAGAAAAUUUCUCAUAGGUUAUAUCUUGACAAUCGGAAGUUGUGCAAUCAGUUGGAAAGCCACUUUGCAAACUACAGUUGCUUUGUCUUCCAUUGAAGUUGAGUACAUGGUGAUUACUUAGGCCUGUAAAGAAGCUAUUUAGUUGAAUAGACUCUUUAGUGAACUCAAUGAAGACCUUCAAAUCAAUACAGUAUUUUGUGACAGUCAGAGUGCCAUCUUCCUUACAAAAGAUCAAAUGUUUCAUGAGAGAACAAAACAUAUUGAUGUUCGGUAUCAUUUUGUUCAUGAUAUUAUUGCUCAUGGUGAUAUUGUUGUGAGCAAAAUUAGUACUCAUGAAAAGCCUGAUUGGUGUUUAUUGUUGAAGUUAAACCCUUAAGGGGUUUUAUGGAAGAGGCGGAAAACUUGGUCGUUAAAAGUUUACGAUGAAGAACUAGUUUAUUGAGAAUUCGUGUCAAGGUGGAGAUUGUUAGAAUUAAGUGACCUGAAUCCUUAUUUAAAUAAAAUAUAGUGGUAAAAUAAAAUAAAAGUAAAAUCUCUAUAGAACUACACUUCUUUUAUUUUAUUUUAGAAUAAGGUUUUUAAACCUUAUUAAACUCCAUCUAUUUCAUAUUGAUUAGAAUAAGGUGUUCCAAUCUUACUACACUCCUAUUAGAAUAUGGUUUUACAAGCCUAUAAAUAGACAUAGUCUACUCCUAUUGUAAUUAUUUAAAUUUGACAUAGUGAAUUUUCUUAUCCUCUGCCCAUGGUUUUUUCUCGAAAGGGUUUCCAUGUAAAAUUUGUGUGUUCUUUAUUUUUUCUCUCUUUUUUCUUUGCGAUACAUUGUUAUUACCGACGUUCUAUUUUUAAUAAUAACCAUAAUUCGAAAACAUUAAAACUUAAAUUAAAUGUCAUGCAAAAUAAAACAAGCAUCAAUCUAAAUCUCAUGCCACGAUUCAAAAUAAUUUAUUGUAGUCUUCGACAAUAAAAAAUCAUAUAAUGAACCUAAAUUUUUUUUUAAUUUAAUAAUGUGUCGAGACCUUACAGAUGUCUCGUCCGCAUCCUAUCCUAGUGGAUUAUCUGUAAGGAUGAAAAUUUAAAGGGGAGUGAGCUAUGACACUUAGUGUGAGUUCAUUCAUAAUAAAUUCAAUGCAAAUGGUUGGUAAGACACAUUAAUUAAUAUCACAUAAAGUAAUCACAGUCAAAUAAUAGUUCAGAAUGUCGAUUUUAGAAUUUAACUACCAAUAGUUUCACUGUAUUCACAGUUGUAAUUUCAGAAUAUCAAAUUUCCACAUCAUUCACAAUAUUCACAUAUAUAUAAAUAUAUCAUAACAAAAUUCCAAAUUUGUGUGCACAUGAUUUAGAAGAUGCCAUACAAUUUUGCGUUUUAAUAGAAUAAAUCCUACCCCACGUUACAUAUCAUAAUGGGAGUUCCCUUAAACUCCCUUCUCUAACACUACAAGUUGUGGAUAAACCACUACUCGUCUGUAGAUAAUAACUAUCAUUCGGCUGUGGACACAAAGCAACUCCCCACAGUUGGAUUCUAGCUUUAGCUGUGGGUUCACAGCAAAAAGUCCUGCAAAUGAAGCCUAUUUUUUCUGUAGAUUAUAUAACAUAUACCCGCAGUUUGAAUCUGCCUUUGGUUAUGGAUGCACUAUAACACCCCAAACCUGACCUGGAUGUUAUGGCUAAAUCCUGAUGAUUUACUUUAACUCAUUUGAAAACCCAGAAAUUUACUUUGAAAUCCUGUGGUUAAACUAGUGUUCACUUUCAUAAAUCGUGAAAGUAUGUGAUUAUUGAGGACAUGCUGAGCAUGUCAAAUGAAUGUGAAAAGUAUUGUGAUAUGAUUAUGUAUGAGAUUGUGUAACAUAUUGCAUAUGCAUUGGGUUCAGUUUUUUGGUUGACGGAGGAGUUUUGUGGAGUACCGUCAGUAUAUUAAGCUCGCAUUAUUCGUGGUCAGUGCACUACACCUGGAGUACCGAGGGGAUUGGCAAUUUUAUCGGAUAUUAUAUGUUAUUGGUAAUUGUAUCGCACUAUUGGGUAUUCGGCAGCUUUUCUGCAUUAUUGAUUAUUCGGUGGUUUUACCACAUCGAGCUAUGCUCAUAAUGUUUUGGAGACUGGCAGACGGGUUCUGGGGAACCCGUGGUAUGUAGCAAAUGGUAUGGGUAGGAACCUUUUUGUAUUGCAUCAUGUGCACGACAUAUUCGAAUGUUAUUGGUUUAUGCUACGCAUUGUAUUUUGUCGUAUUGAAUGGCAUUAAAAUUAAUGAUUGUCACUCGAAUGAAUUAUGACCUAUGCUCAUACACUGUUUGACAUUAAUUUGAUAAUGACUAUGAAACGAUAUGAAAUUCCUAUGAUGAUUCUGUUUUCUUCUGUUAAAGCUAAUUUGUUUCAUUAUAUUCGAUCUUUAUGUUUGUUUAAAUAAUUUUUCGACUCAGACUGAGCUUUUCAUAAGCUCACCACUAACAGUGUUUAACUUUUCAGGUAAACCUCAAAAAUAGGACUGAACUCAGCAUUCGAAGAAUCACCUUGGACCUUGAAUUAUUUUUUUAAUAAGUAUUAAUCAAUCUCUAAUGGUUUUGGUUUGUAAUUUUUAAUUAUUUCUAGUUUGUGGCUUGAUGACUUUUCUUCUGGGUUUUUUGCAUGCAUUGAUUACUCAAGCAUAAUAACCGGAUAAUACAUGAUAUCAGGCUUAAGUAAAAUUUGAUAAUGUUCCCUAGUUUUCGCUACAUUGCAAAGGAUUCAUUUUUGAAAAACAAAUCGAUAAAGGUAACUAAGUUUUCAAAAUGACUUGAAAAAUGGUUUUUUCGCUGCAUUAGUUUAACAUCAAUUUUUUUUGAAGGAGAGCGACAAGCAAAUGGUUUUUCUAAAACCACAUUAUUAACAAUAAAAUGAAUUCUAAGUAUACACAACCUAAUGAAUGAAUGCUUUUAAGCUAACUCAAAGUACAACUAUGGUUUUCUCUAAAAUGAUUUUAUUCAAGGUUUUCAGAAGUAAUGUAAGUUAGCUUAGCCAUUUCGGUGCCUCAUGUAGCCUUCUCAAUCUAGCCAUAACGUCUAGGCCAGGUUUGGGAGGUUACAGGAUUUAUAGGGAUUGUGGUAUAAAUUUUCUUUUGGACAUUCGUAAAGUGUUAUUUGGACUGAACUUUAGAAACUACAGAUUUUAUACUGAGCCUAAAUUUACGAAGUUUUUGCGUGGUUUUUACGAAAAUGAAACUAAUAUGAUUUUUUGAGACUAUGAUUUUUUUUAACACUCCAAUUUGAAAUUGUACAAGAAACGUCAAUUUGAAUUAUUUUUUAAUGUUUUUUAUGCCAAUUAAAUAUUGUUUCAAAACAUAGCUAAGUAUUAUUUAAUUUCCUAAAGAUGAAGCAAACACUGAACAAUCUAAAACUUCAAUGACUUGUUUGCAAUUUUUGUUUUUCCUUAAUUGUCUCCAGUUUGAUUCAAUUCUUGAUCUAUACGAUUAUUCCAUUCAAUUCAUCAAUAUUGAACAUUUAUACAUUAUGUCAUGUCAUGAAUGAACUUAGAUAAAUUCAUUUUUUGAUAUCCUUAAAGUUUUAUAUUUAUUUCAAUUUAGUCUCUAAAAUCGAAAUAGUCAUAACUUUAAAUUCUGAACUUUGGUUUGAAAAUCGACCUCAAUUUCAUUAUAGACUCUCUACUAUCCAUUAUUAUCAAAAUUUCACAUCAAUUUCACAAUUUAUUCACUUUAGUUAUUAUGUACAAAAUCAACAACCAAACAUCACAAUUUAGUCAUUUUUCAUAAUUUAAGCUUAAAAUCUAUCAAUUUAACACCAAUUUGUUCAAGAAAUCAACCAUGAAAGCUAUAAAAAAGACUUUAACAAUUUUGCAAAUUGGUACAUAGGUUAUUUAAAUCAAACUCUCAUUACCUCAAAAAUACUAUUUAAAUCAAACUCUCAUUACCUCAAAAAUACAAAAAAAAAAUACGAAAAUGAUUUAGAAAUGCAUACCAAUUGAGGACUGAAAGUUUGAAGCUCAAAAAUGGCUUUUUCCCUUGAGGUUUUAUGUUGAUUAGAUGAUGAAGAAGAAGAAAUAAAGAUGACAACUUGCACUAAGUCACCUUUAUAUACUUAGAUUAAAUCUUAACUAAUCAAAUUUAAUUAAUUAACCUUAAUCACAAUUAAUAAAAAAUUAGUGGAGGUUAACAUCAUCCUACACUAUUUGAUAUAACCAAAUGAUCUAUUUACCAUUUUGAACCUUUAGCUAAUUAGAAAUCUAUAGAGAUAAUACUUUUAAAAUUUAGUCUUUAUACCUUAAUUAAGCAAUUAAUAGACAAAGUUGAAGGUUUAAAAUUUAAUAUUCUAUUAUACGAACUCUAUAAAUAUUCAUAUUUAAUAUUUACGGACCCGAAUUACAAAAAUGAAAUUCUGAAAUUGUAUUUUCCAGUACCACUGAAAAUUGGACAAUUACGUAACCUAUUUGCACCAACGGGCCAAACAUGGCAAAUACUUGACAUGUAUGUUUUCAUAUCUUCAUCUAUUCUCUUCAAUAUAAUAACAUCCAAUAAUUGUAACAUCCACUGUAAUGUGCAGAAGCGCGACAUUUUCAUUCUAGAAGAAAGGUAUAAUUGAAACAAAAUUAAAAUAAAGAAUUCAAUACAAAAUCAACAGACAUUCCAGUUAAUACUUAUCAAUUAUUUGCAGCUUCACUGCUCCAAUUAAGAUGGUUUUUAGUCGAAUAUGGUAAAUGAAAUCAAUGAACACCAGCUACUUGAACGAGUGAAUCAAAGUCCUGAUAUGUGCCGGCUUAUUGGGGAAAAAAUAUAUGGGUUAGUUUUGCAGCAAUUCAUGAUCAUACAUUUUAUAACCUUUGCUUACAAUUAUUUACUAACUAAUCAUUCAAUGAAUGGAGGCCUCAAACUCAGCCACUAAACUUUAUUCUUUAUUUUUAGAUACAUAUUAUUUGAUCACUUCAUACAGCCUAUUACUCAUAUUAACUUCCAAUUUCCCUUCUUUAGGUUAGUUGCAAAUGUACAGCUUUUUCUAGAAGAAGAAAAUUGUCAAGAGCCACCUGUUCAAGAGAGGCGCAAACAGAAUGCAACAAUACCUGACCUACUUACGGCACAGCCAAGUAAUCAUGUGUUUCUAUGCUAGAUCAUUAAAUCAAUGACUACAAAUUUCAUGCCAUGGUUGUGUAUCAUUUAUGCCAUUGAUGCUGCUAUUUUCUAUUCUAAUGCAUAAUAGGGAUUUAGCGUUUUUACCGUUAAAAUUGUGUCCUUUAAUUUUGGCUCUUUUCAAUUGUUGAUCAUGUCCACCUAUGCUUUAUUUUACUACUAUUGCUUUCUUUAACGAUAGAUGAUUGAAUCGGUAGAAUUUUAUUAAUCCUCUACAUGUUUUAUCUUGACGUAUGGAUACUAAGCAUUCCUUGGAUUGUGCCCUCUUUGUUCAUUUUUUCUUUUUCUUGGAACCUUAUUACAUGUUGUACCACUCCAGUUUUUUGGAGAUUUCUUAUGCAGAGGAACCAAUGGCAAGAGACUCUAAAAAUCCUACUCUUUUUUAUACCUUCCUCACCUCUUUGUGAUAUUAUAGCUGAAAUAAAAUGUAUGCUAAUACAUGAAAUGUUUCCUCUUGCCUUUCUUUUUGUAGUACUAAAACUACAAAUAGUGUCUGCAAAACUCUUUAGAGAAAAACAAAUGUCUGUAAAUCUCUUUUCCCGUAAUCUUAUCUUUUCUUCAUUGUAAUAGUUGGACAACUUUUUGUUGAAGACAAUGUCAACUACCGGGAUAAGUUAUUGUAAGCAUCUUUUCUUUAAGUGUUUCAUAUUAAAAACAAACACUGUUAUUGUUUAUUUUGUAGUCUAAAUUAUGAUAAUUUCUGCACAAAAUUCACAUAAAUGGUUACCCUCCCGAAGCGGAGCGAGGGUGAUGCUUACUAGUUAUUAAGAAAACAGGACCUUGUAGGGCUUAACUGUUGAAUCAAGAAAGAAAUUUCUUUUAAUGCCGUUAAUUUUUUUUAAAGCUGAUUUUUUUUUACAAAUUAAAGUUUUGAUUGUAUGUUAAUUGCUUGAGGGAAGGUCGGAUACUUUAUUACCCCUAUUUUUAUUUGUUAUAUAUUUUAGCCAUAAUGAUUUUUUUGGCCCUACAACUUUACCAAAAAAAUCAUAUUAGCUUUCAUUUAGUUUUCGUCUCUUUUAACCCUUUAACUUGUAUUUUUUUGUCAAAUCACCUCAAAAUGGAUCGAAAACUUAACAUUUGUGAACUUGAUGAUGUGCAUUCACAUGAAUUGUCACAUGGAUGACAAGUCAACAUUUAUUUUUUUUAAAAAACUUAAAAAAUAUUAAAUAAAAUAUUUUUAAUAUUUUUUAAUUAUUUUUAAUUUAAAAAAGUUUUUAAAUAUUUUUAAUUUUUAAAAAUUAAUUAAACCCAGACAUGGAAAUUCACAUCUAUGUGUCACAGGCCGUGGAUUAAAGCCCGUGACCAUUGUGCAUAGAACACCCCAUUGAAGUCAACUUAUUAAACGAGGUUCAUUUGACCCGCAUGAACUGGCCCGACUCAUGGAACCCGUGGAGAAGCCCAUCUACUUGAAGCCUUGGUGGUCUAGUGAAAUACUCCAAUAAAACUAGAAUUACUAGGGUAAAUAGUGUAUAUCUUAAAUGGAUAAGAUUGUAUAGAGUUUAAAUCCUUUAUGACUCUCAAUUGCAGAUAAGCUCUAAUCUUGACCAUCGAUAUAACUCAAUCUAUAUCGUUGCUUCUAGGGAGCUCAACUAUAAGUAGAGGCCUCCCCUUCAUUUUUAUCCAUUCCAUUCAUAGUUGUGAAUAUAUUUGAGAGCAUUUACUCAAACACCUUGUGUACAUUGCUUUUAUUUGGCUAUUAUGCUCUUUUGAGCUUCUGUCUUUGAGUAUCACAUCCCAAAAUUGGGCCAAAAAGAAAUAUGGGGAAAAUUGAGUUUUAAUUUUUUUUAAACAUAUGGUAAGGGAAGUAGAAUGCCUUAAAAUUAUUUUUUGUUAGAAAACUAAUAAGAAUGAGUUUGUUGUUUUAGUGUUAAUGCCUUAGCCUACCCAUAGGUCCCAAGUUUGAAUCCCUUGGUGAGGAUUCAACCAACAUAUUUUUAUUUCCUUGUUUUUACAACACCAAAAGUGACAAAUUUUAAAAUAACCCAGCCCAAAAACUAUUUUUUUAAUUUAGUCCUUAAUUUAAAAUUUUCCCAAACCUACAUAAAUUUUUAAAACCUAUUCCAAUUAGGAAAAAUAAGCAUUAUAAAUAGACAAUUUCAAAACAAACCCUAGAAUUUCAUCUAGCAAAUUUUCAAGAAAACAUCCAUAAAAACUUUCUUUUCCAAAUAAAACUUUCAAGCUAAAGAAAUCGAAAUCUUCAAAAUCAUCCCUCAAGUAGAUCUUCAAUCUCUUCUCCAGCACUAAGGUUUCUAAGUAUUCAAAAUAGGUGUGGAAACUAAACCUAAAUCUUUGUGUAUAAUUGAAUCUAAUAGCAAGUAGAGAACCAGUAUAGACUAACCCUAGGAGAAACCCCCUGUAUGUGCAAUCAUGUAGGUGUGAGCCUAUAGAUGCAAAACCCCUUGUACAUGAAAACCCCAUGCAUGCAAACCCUUACGUGAAACCCUCCUUUCAUGCGAACCCUAUAUGAAUACCAUGUGAACCCUAGAUUAUAGUUGUGAACCCUAGGUUGUUAUGUGGAUACCCAUACUGUGAACCCAUGUGCACAAACAUAUAGGAAUAUUCAUGCGAACCCCCUUGCAUGCGAACCCUAGUUAGUAUACAUACGGGUCUCAUAUUUACAUGCAAACCACUACUGGUGCGAGUCAAUUAUAUGAUAUCACAUACGAACCCUACUAUUACAUGCAAACCUUUAUACAGUUAUAUUCGAACCUUUUUUUGUUAAAACAGGUGAGACUUGUCUAGUAUUACAUACGACCCUACAUAUACCUAAUUUGCUAACUCAUAUGUUAAAAGUAUGUGAACCUAUCUAUGCUUGUUAUGCGAACUCACAUGUUAGCAGUAUGUGAACCUAUAUAUAUCAGUUAUGCAAACUCACAUGUUAGCAGUAUACGAACCCAUAAGUCUGUUAUGCAAACUCACACGUUGGUAUGCGAACCCUAUAUACACCUUUAUGCAAACUCACACAUUAACAGUAUGCGACCCUAUAUACGCCUUCAUGCAAACUCAUAUGAUUAGCAGCAUGCGAUCUCUAUAUUUAUGCGAACCCUUGUAAUAAAAAAUAUGCGAACCUUAACUUGCGAACCCUAGGCAGGAACCCUGCACUCGCAAAGCCUUCUUCCGGACCUGUACAUAUACUAGAUAACCAAGCCUAUUAGUUUACAUUAAAUCACUGUACAUAUGAGACUGUUUGUUUACAUGCACAAGUUAUAUGUGCAUUUACUAUUCGAUACAAGAGUACAUAUCGACCUUUUGAUGAGAAUUCAAAGAUUAACGAUGAUAAUUCCAACAAUCCGUGUAAGAAUGAGUUAAAUCGAGAAUUGAUGUAAUUUAAGGUAAUAAAGUUAAUUUUUCAGUAAUAAAUGAAAAAUUGUUAUCGAAAGAAACGAUGGGUAAAAAAAUGAGAGUUUUAAAGAAAAGAGAGGAAAACUUCAAUUUAGGGUUGAAAAGGAACUAAAAAUCCAUGUGAAAUCAGGAAAAAAUAUAAAAUACCUAGGAUUAAGAAAUUUGAGGGGGUUGAAUGGUAAAAUACCCUUUUUGCUUAAAAAUGGAAAUGGGGAUUGAGUUUGGCAUGACUUGAACCUUGGAAGCAAAGGAAAAAAUUGCAAAGGCCUUACCAUUUGAAGGCUACCCACAUUUGGUAUAUUUUUACACUAUUUGAUAUAUAUCCUAGCUUAGUUUUGAUCAUAGGUUGUUAAAAAAGCAAGGGGUAAGAGUGUGGCUUCAACCUUAGUUCUCUAGUUAGUACACUAAGCUCUUAACCAUUAAGAUUAAGGCUCAUCUCUUAGUCAAUUAAUUCAUCUAACUCUAUAUAUUUUGGGAUGUUACAUCUUGAAUUAGAAAAACCCGUAAAAUGCAUGUAGACUUGUAUUGCUUGGUACUUGGCAGUAUAUAUGUUGACUUGUAUGUUGAUUAAGCUAGCUUAAUUAAGACCAAUGUGUUAGACUUGUCUAUGCAUUGAACAAUCUAAAAGAAAAUGAAGAAAAAGACUCUGAAAACACUUGAAAACAGAUGAAACUCAUAUGUCAUCGACUAGUUAAACUAUGAUCACUCAUAAUAGACCUUGUAUUUGACUUUUUGUUGAGGGAAAUUGACUCCUUCGGGAGAAGUUUCCUAAGUGUUGCUUGUCAAGCAGUCAGUGUUGCCCUAAACAACUAAAGGUAUUGUCCCCAUGUCGAGAUUUUACCCCCAGCCUCUGCAAAAUAAUCAUGAAGAAUACGUGCGAGGGAAUUCAAACACCAACCAAUGCAUGUGUUGCCUUUACCUUGCCACCAUCUUUGGGAACCCAUAAGGAUAAAAUCCCAACAAGAGAAUUGUAUCAGAGGGGUCUGUCAACACAAUGAAUGAAAUUUAAAUGCAUACCUUCUUUUUUUUUAAUGAAAGUAAAUAUCAUAUUUAAUUAGAGAAAAGCAACGAAAAAUCUAACAAUAAAAUCCUUAGCAAAAGAUUAAAACACAAUUGUACCAUAAAUUAAAUAAGAAACUAAAAAAAUUCAAAUCUAACAAAGACAGUAACUUGAUUCCUCAAAGCUACCACAAACAGUAAUUCAUAGGAAGGCCUGCUGCUCAAUUUAUAGGUUUCCAUCUUGAUUUUGCAAAAGAAGUUUGAAUUCCGAAGAGAGCCUAGUACAUGAGAGAAAAUGAUUGAGCAAAAUAAAGAAAAUUAGUUUAUUAAUUUUCAUUAUGUAUAACACAAACUUCAUGGAGACGGAUACCAACAUACUAGAUAUCUAUGAUUAAAAUGCUAGAAUAGAUUAAAAAUGUUGAAUUAAUGAUUAAAUUAAGAGUGAAUUAUUAAGCGCAAGUGUACUCAUUACUCACCAUCUUUGUUAAACAUGUUUAAUGUUGUUUAGCAUCCUUUGCUUGAUUUUCUUUAGCUCAACCAUAACAUGUUUCAUAUCUAUUCUUUCUUCUGGUAACUCAGCUGUGAUGGAUGAAAUACAAUUUGCUUUAACAACAAAGUACUCAUCCUCUCUUUUUAAUAAAUCAACAUCUGCAGUUUCUAUCACUCCUUUAGACAGUGAACUUUCCAUCCAAUGCCUUAUAGUCACUUCUUCAGCAAAAUAAUUAUCAGUUGGCUUUUUCUUCGUGAAAGUUUCUAUAAGGACAAUCGCAUAACUAUAGACAUCACAUUUUCUAGAAACAAUUCCUGCUGAUCCAAAUUUUGCAUUUCAAGCAUAAAUAUUAGAGCAUCAUUAAUCCUUAAUUAUUUCUAAAAUGUUUACUCAAAUGUACAAAUGAAACAAAAAUAUAAAAUGAAAAUCAAGAAAAUAAUCAUAAAAAGAAUUCACCUGGUGCCAUAUACCCGAUUGUGGUUUGCUUCACUACAUCACCUUCUCCCAAAAAGUUGGAAAUGCCAAAAUCUCCCAUAUGUGCAACCAUGUCUUUAUCUAGUAAAAUAUUGCUUGGUUUGAAGUCAGAAUGAAUCAUAGGUGUUGGAUGUCCGUAGUGGAGAUGUUCUAUAGCUGUCGCAACAUCUAUCAUUAUGUCAACCCUUUGUAUGAUAUCAAGGAAACAGUUUUUAGAAUGUAGCCAUUUCUCAAGAUUUCCAUUUGACAUGUAAUCAAACACCAAGGCUUUUUUAAAAAUAAAAUAAACUUGGUAUCCAAAAUUUUUUUGUGUUGACAUGGCAUUUUUAAAAAUAAAAUAAACUAGGUAUCUGUGUAACAAAAAUAAAAUUGUAAUAGGCCUAAUUUUAGUAAAGAAUGUUAACGAUGUUAAGAAUUCUUUAAAAUUCACAUAAUCAUUUUUAUUAGAAUAAAGUAUUUAGACUUGACUAAUUAUAUUAUAAAAAUUAAGAUACCAAAUUAUGUCAAAAUUAAAGUUAUAGAUUAAAUCUCAAUUUUAACAUUCUUAUAAUUUGAAAAAGUAGAAGAUUGGAAUUAAAUAAAUUUAUAAUCCUUAAUUGUAAAUUUGAUAAUUCCUAUUAAUCUAAAUUAUUACAAUAAUGUGCUUACAAUGCUUGGUUUUACUUAAUGAGUGAUAUUAAAUUAAUUAAAAAAUUACAUAAAAAUCAAAUAUCUUAUUUCUAAUAAUAAUAUUACUACUCCCUCACAAAACUAUAUUUCACUUGAAAGAAAUUCUAUUCCCUUCAAAAAAAAAUUACCAUCUUAAAACACUUCAAUCUUUUAAAAAAUCUUAAUGCACACUUUAAUCCCUAAAUUAUAUCACUUUUUUAACUUUAGUCUUAAAUUAUUUUUUUUGAUUUUAGUCCCUAAUAUUAUUAAACGUUUCCAGUUUAGUUCAUUGGACAAUAAAAAUUGAUUGUCGUUGGGAUAUCCAACCAAUCAUACACUACCACAUAUUGUACGAUGAUAUCAUUAUGACAUCACCAACAAAAAAAACCUUAAAAAUCUUUAAAAAUGACAAAAAAUUAUUAUAAUUAUUUAAAAAUAGAAAAAAACUAAAAUUAUAAAAAUAAAAAAUCUAUGUAAAAUAUAAAAAUUUACAUAAAAUUUAAAAAUAUAUUAGAUAUUUUAAUAUCUUUAAAAUUUUAUAAAUCACAUUUACUAGAGUUUGAACCUAUGAUUAUUGUCAACAAUUGUUUUAUGACUCAAUUAAUCAUAAUUUAUAAUUGGUAGAUCUUUUUACGUGAUAAACUUGGAUAAUUUUUUUUCAAAUUAUUUAAAUAAUGAAAAGUAAUAUUAUUUCAAAUAAAUAAUAAAUUAUAUAAUAUUUUUAAUUAUUCCAAAUAUUUUUUUUACUAUAUUAAGAUAAAUUAUUUGUCUCUAGACCAAUAUCUUAAGAACUAUUGUCGUAUGUUUAACUAUUCUAAAGAACUUUGGUAUAAAAUAGAAAAAGCAUGUGCACAAUGGUAAAUAGGGAGUCGAGUCAAAUAAACUUGUUGCCAGUAAUGCUGGCAAAGUACUAAAAAUUGAUGUAUUUUAAAAUAUUAAAAAUUUGAUAUAAAAAUUUAUUCAAAUUUUUAUUAUAAUAAUUUUAAAUAUUUUUUUAUAAAAAUUGAUUGUACUACAAUAUACAAUUUCAAUAUCAAAUUUUUAAUAUUUUAAAUGUGAUUAGCGAAUGUAUACUUUAUUUCAAGUUACACAACUUUUACUAGUAUUUUAAUUUUUUUAUUUUUUACAAUCUUUUAUUAUUUCUAAUAUUUUUUAUAUUUUUUACAAUAUUUAAAAAUUUAUAAUAACUUUUAAUAAUUUUAUUAUUUUUAGAAAUUAAAAGAAUUGACAAUUUUUUUAUUUUUUAAACAAUUAUAAAUUUAUAAUGUAGUUAAUUUUAUUUAAGUUUAUUUGAAUUUUAUGUUAUUUUAAAAAAAAAUUAUUUUUGCAAUCGUGACAUCAGCAUAUGACACGUGGUAAUUUAUGAUUAGAUGAAUAUUCGGUUUUUUUUUUAACGUCCAAAGGAUUAUGCUGAGAACACCUGGUAAUGUUAAGGACUACACUAAGAGCAUUUGAUAAUAUUAGGUACUAAAGUGGGCCUAAAAAACAUUAAGGACCAAAGCAAAAAAAAUGCUAUACUUGAACUUUCAAAAUUAUCUUUCAUUUAGUUAGGAUUAAUAUUUAACGAUUUAACAUUUAAAAAUUUGUAGUAUUGAGGUUAAAAAAUGAGUAAGAGGUGGUGGAUGGUUCAUAUAAUGGUGAGGCACAAAGAACCAUUUUAAAAUAAGAGAAGGGAGGGGUGCUUAUUCUUGAGGUUAAGAAUGAGUAUUUAUAGGUGAGGUUAAUCAUCCUUGAUCAUUAGACCUUGACAAGUGUUUGAUGCCAGUCUUAUCGUGGUUGGCCACUAAGGGAAUGAUGGACCUCUAGGUAGUGAUGGAAUUUACAUGAAUUAGAUGAGAUUAGGAUGACAAUUUGGAUUUUGAAUUCGGAUAAUAUUGGAAUUAAAAUUUUGAAAUUACUAUCUGUUGCAUAUUUGAAGUGAAUGCGGAUAGAUGUUUCAGAUUUAUAUUAGUCGAAUAUACAUUACUUAUUCGAAUAGAUGUAGAUUGGAAUUUAGAUAUCUGAAUCAACUAGUCACGAAAUGUGUAUAGUUUUGAUUAUAUAUAAAAAAAUUUGGUGGAUUCAAUUUUGAAUUUUCGUGGAUUUGGAUAUCCAGAACAUGAUUGAAAUUUUUAAAGUUACUCCUUUUUUGUUGAUUCAGAUAUUUGACGAAUAAUAGUACUUAACUUAAGCCAAAUUUAGAUAGUAAUACUCGGAUAAUUUGUAUAUAAUAAAUAAAUUUUGAUUUUCAAGCAAAUAUGCAUAUUCAAAUUCUAAUAAUUCAAAAAAUGUAGAUACUAACCUAUUGCCAUUCCUAGGCAAGAGUACCCUACGUGUGAUCCAUGCACAGAAGGAUCCAACAUCUUUCACUGAUGAGGUAGAUUAGAAGCAUCACGUACCAGGCAUAUAUGUAUCAAUGAGGUCUAUAGCAGGCAAAGUGUAGCCCCAACUGAAAUCAUAGUUGACGAGGUUGUAGUUGGGCGACAUGAUGGUGACAAAAGCCACUCUGGUAAAAUAUUAAUAGCAAUCGCCCUCCAAUUAAUGAGAAGUUAUAAAGUGACCUAAUUAAAUGGUAGCAUAGUUUACCAUAAGUGUCAUAUGUGUUGUAAGGCAUGAGCUCAAACCCUACCAAACUCAAAUGAUCAAAUUUCCUUGGUACCGUUUGUCCCAACAAGGCGCUCCCACUCUGUUGAACCUGUCACCUCUUUAGGUAGCUUUAGGCACUUGAGAUCUUUACAAAGUCGAGAGGUAAAAUUAUUGGAAAAAAAACUCGAUUUGAAAAUGGUUUUCUUGCACAGUAGAAAAAUAAAAUUUUGAAAAUCAACUUGGUUUGUGAUAUUUAUAGCAAAAAAACCUUAACUGAAUUCAUACAUGUGUUUUUGGAUAAGUGGAUCCUUGAUGUUUUCAGGCUUUCAACCAAACGAUCUUUUGCACUAUUCUCGUACCACGAACUGCUUCGAGUGUGGCCUCAAACCAAUUGAAUCAAAACACAAAACUAGAAAAGGUUUUCCUUUUUGAGUGAAAACCAAAAUUCUCUCUUCUUUAAUAGAAAUCGGUAAAAUUAUUAUUAUGAAAAAUAUGUUUAUAAGUUGAGAAUAAAUUCUCUCUAUUUUUUGACAGAAUAACAAUCUCUCAAAAGUUGUGUAAAUAGCUCUACUGGUGCCAUUUAUUUAUAGGAAGAGAAAGUAGAACCCUUGUAGAGUUGUAAAAGUUUAUAUCCACUAGAAAAAUAAUAUCCUAGCCUAUCUAGGAUAUAGGAAGCAACAACCCUAGUUAAUGAUACUAGGGUUUUGUCGUUCCACCUCCUUAUAUGAGGGGUUUUAGGCCUCUCUCACAUCGGGUCCAAGUACAAGUACUUCUUAAAUAUAAACUUGUAUUUGAUAUAUUGAUUACGUAUGAAUUUAUAUAUUGUGAGUAAAAUUUGUAUUUGAUAUAUUAAUAAUGUAUAAAUUUAUAUAUUGUUAAUACAUCAUAUGUUUAAAAAAUCUAAUAAUUAUAUAUUAUUUUCAAUAAUUUUUAAAUUUAUUAAUUGAUUUAUUGGUAUAUUAAUAUUAUUUUUUAGUAAUAUGUAAAUUUAUACCCAGUCAAUUUAUGAAAUAACAUUUAGUGAGUGGAAUAUAUAUAAAAGAAGAUAUUCUAAAUCUUUCUAAGCUUUAUAAUUCUUCCUUAAAAUAGAAAAAGAAAUAAAUUGUUGAUAUAGAUAUGUUGAUAAGAUUUUCAUGUAGGACUUUUCUGUAAUUCAUGAUUUUGUUACAUGCAUUAAUUGUAAUUGUGAUAUUUUAUAUUUUAUUUAUAUAAAUCAUGUUAAAUUUGAUUUAAAUUCCUUUUUUAAUUAUUUAUUCUUUUAAGAAAUUUCAAGUAUUCAAUAAAUAUUAAUGUAUACAUUUCCUUAAAUUGAUAUAAUAGUGAUAUCAGAUUAGUUUAAAAUUUUGCGUGUAUGACAAGUACAAUUAUAUUGAUAGAUUCAAUAGUCGGAUUAUUCAAAUAUUACUCCUACAAAUAUAUAUGUAUGAAGAAGUAUAAACUACUUUAAUUUUACACUGGUAUAAGUAGAUCUCUCUCUUACAUCUGUUGUAUAUUUGAUUUUGAUUCAAACGUACUCAUUUAAAGAAAUAAAUACAUCAAUUUAUUUUUAUAUUGAAUAAGUAUAAUUAUUUGAAUAUGAAAUAUAUAGAUGUAAAAUGAUGGUAUAUCAAUAACGAUGUUAGAUGUUUGUGAAAAUUGAAUCAAAUCAAUAUUUCAUGUAUAAAAUUGCACAAUGGACCAAAGUUCAUGUACAGUUUUGAUCUUUAUAUCUGAAAUUUAUUAAUGAAAAUUAUUUUCCAAAAGAUCACAUUGAGUAAGUUUAAUUUAAAUUUAAAUAUUUAUAUUUUUUCUCAUAUAGAAUUAUAAUUUUUUUAAAAGAAGUGUAUACUAAUUGUUGAAAGAUUUUCGACUCUUUUGGAAAGUCUUCAAAGUGGCAUAUUUUGAAGAUGGUGGACCCUCAACACGUCCAAUAUUAUCAUUGGUUAAGGUUUUUGUUGGAUCUAGUGUCCUAAGUGUAGUACUUUUUAUCAAUAUACAGUUGUAAAUUUUGUUAACAAAUUGGUUAAUAAAACAAAUUUAUCGAUUAUAUUAAUAUACUUUAUAUAAUUGUCCUAACAUAGUUUUUGCAUGCAAAGCAAAAUGGAAGCAAAUGUUGCUCAUUGGUUGCCUAAAUAUUUAACUAAUACUAAGCGGUAUUAUGUGUAUAAAAAACAGCUUGUAUUAGUAGACAAAUCUAAACAUGUCCUUAGCAUAAUUGGAAAUGAGUAAAUUGAUUGAAAAACUAAUAUGUCGUCUAUCAAGCGUAACUGGGGAGAUUCCUUGUCUUGGGCAUCGAAGCGGAUGACUCCCAAAAGGUAGAGACAUAGAUGUGACUGACUUGACUGGUAGUACAUUGGAUAGGACACAAAUAGAAUAGAUCCUGAAUUUGUUUAUGGACUUAUUCACUUGUGAUGUCCAUAGUGUGGCAUACAUAAAUCUUGAAUAGAUAGCGGAGUGUGACUUUUACACUUUGAUGUAAGUAAAAAUGUAAGUUCAAAUAGAUAAGGAACCAAAAUCUAGUACAUUUGGUUUACGACUUCUGUAGUAUGUAGCAUCAUUCAUAAUAGUGAAAUUCAUAGCCCAAAUCAUGGGUAAAUGAUAUCCUCUCAUUGACAUUACAUGGUUAAUGAAAAGUAAAUGUGGCCACGGGUUGUCCGUCUUUGUGAUGGAAACUUGAUCACUAAUUGAUAAUGAUUGAUUUUUCACGAAAGAAGCUGUAAUGGUUACCAUGAGAUAAAAUAUGAUCAUAUUGGGAGAACAAAUAUUAUCACAAAGAGAUCAAGGAUAUCCUAUGAGGGUAACACACUAAUGACAAGGUUAUUGGACGAGCAUUAAGUAGUUACUUUCGUAAUGGUAUGUCGUUGGGGAUAUUUCAUUCACGACACUAUAGUGGAAUGACUUCAUGACUAAAUGAUUUUAUAAUUAAUAGGUAAAAAAACAGAAUUUAAUUAUAAAUCAUUUGAGCCUCAACUCCAUAUGUCUACUCGGUCCCCCCACUGUUAGUUCAUUGAAACCAAAAAUGAAUUGCACGUUUGAAUGGAAAUCAGCGAAAUGGAUAGAAAAAGAGAAAUGAGAAACAUUCAGAAAUGAUUAUGGUCUCCUCUAAAAUGGAGAAAUGGAAUAAUUUGAAAAUGAAUGUAGGUUUCCAAAAAUGGAAAUAGAAAUGAAAAUGGAAACUUGCAAUUUUAUAUAUGAUUACUUAAAAAAUGAUGGAAGAAUGAGUUUAUAUUUUUUGACUGUUUUGAAGCUCGAAAAUGAAAAUAAAUCAUUCAGUCAUAGUGAACAUAUUGAGUUGUGUCAUAUUAAAUGAAUUUUCUUGAAAUUUUAUUGGAGGUAAAAUUGCCAAAAUUUUAAUGCGUAAAAUUGUCAUGAGAAAAUAAUUUAAUAUGUAAAUAUUAAAAUUUAUUUUGGAAAUAGAAAAAUUGAAUCGGGUUGGACCAUAUUACAAAGUACUAGAUCAAAAAGGCCCAGAAAGUACUCGUACUUGGACCUGAUGUGAGAGAGGCCCAAAACCCCUCAUGUAAGGUGGGACGGCAAAACCCUAUUAACUAGGGUUGUCGACCCUUAUAUCCUAGAUAGGCUAGGAUAUUAUUUUUCUAGCAGAAAUAAACUUUUACAACUCUACAUGGGUUCUAUUUUCUUCUCCUAUAAAUAGAUGGCACCAAUAGAGCUAUUUAUACAACUUUUGAGAGAUUAUUAUUCUACCGAAAAGUAGAGAGAAUUUAUUCUCAACUUAUAAACAUAUUUUUUAGAAUAACAGCUUUACCGAUUUCUAUUAAAGAAGAGAGAAUUUUCGUUUUCACCCUAAAAGAAAACCUUUUCUAGUUUUGUGUUUUGAUUCAAUUGGUUUGAGCCCACACUCGAAGCAAUUCGUGGUACGAGAAUAGCGCAGAAGAUCGUUUGGUUGAAAGCCUGAAAACAUCAAGGAUUCACCCAUCUAAAAACACAUGUAUGAAUUCGGUUAAGGUUUUUUUGCUACAAAUAUCACAAACCGAGUUGAUUUUCAAAAUUUUAACUUUUGCUGUGCAAGAAAACCAUUUUCAAACUGAGUUUUUUUUCAACAAUUUUAUCUCUCAACUUUGUAAAGAGCUCAAGUGCCUAAAGCUACCUAAAGAGGUGACAGGUUCAAUAGAGUAGGAGUGCCUUGUUGGGACAAACGGUACGUGACGCAUGACCACCUACCAAGGAAAUUUGAGCAUUUGAGUUUGGUAGGGUUUGAGCUCAUGCCUUACAACAAAUAUGGCACUUAUGGACAACUGCUACCAUUUAAUUAGGUCACUUUAUAACUUCUCAUUAAUUGGAGGGCGAUUGUUAUUAAUAUUUUUCCAGAGUAGCUUUUGUCACCAUCACCUCGGCCAACUACAACCUCGUCAACUAUGACUUCAGUUGAGGGCUACACUUUGCCAGCUUUAGACCUCAUCAAUACAUAUAUGCCUAGUACAUGAUACUUCUAAUAUACCUCGUUAGUGAAAGAUGUUGGAUCCUUCUAUGCAUGGAUCACACGUAGGCUACUCUUGCUUAGGAAUGGCAAUAGGUUAGUAUAUACAUUUCUUGAAUUAUUAGAAUUUGAAUAUGCAUAUUUGCUUAAAAAUCAAAAUUUGUUUAUUAUCUAUAAAUUAUCUGAGUAUUACUAUCUAAAUUUGGCUUAAUUUAAGUACUAUUAUCUGUAAAAUAUCUGAAUCCGCAAAAAAAGAGCAAUUUAAAAAUUUUCAAUCAUUUUUUGGAUAUCCAAAUUCACGAAAAUUCAAAAUUGAAUCCACCAAAUUUUUUAUAUAUAUAAUCAAAACUAUACACAUUUCAUUACUAGUUGAUUUAGAUAUCGAAAUUCCAAUCUACAUCUGCUAUUCGAAUAAGUAAUUUUGUAACACCUUAAAUAAUUUAAGUCUGUUUUUGUGAAAUUUGACACAAAAUGUGUACCUGCUUCAGUGGUUAAGUGUUCUAGGUGUGUGUGUGAGGUAUUGGGUUCAAUUCCUACUUUUGGAAAAACUUUGUUAUUUUAUAUCCAAGCCUAACUCUUAUUGAGUGGGCUUAUGUUAAAUUGUUUGUUAAUCCAUAUCAAAAUAAGCUUGUAGGUUUGAGUGGUAAGGAGUUGGUGUGUAGGAGGUCCUAUGUUUGAAUCCCUACGUGAGCGUAGGUAUUAAUUUUUGCUCGGUUGUCUGAUAGAGUUUGAGUGGUCUUGAAAGUCUGAGGUUGUUAAGGUUGAGUGUUAGUGGGAAGUUAGGAUAUUUUGGAGGGAUUUUUAUGUUGAUUAUUAUUUUAUUUUAUUCCUUUUUCAAAUUUUCUUCUCUCUUCCCAAAAUUUCCCUCUAAUGUUAUUCUUCAAGUUUUUUUUGUUGUCUCUAAUAUUUUUCCCCCUUUUCAUUAAAUCUUUGUUUUGUUCUUCUUUUUUUUAUUAUGUUCGUCAACCUACCAUUCGAUCGUGCCAUUGGAGUUGUCGAGUUAUCUAAUCGGUUGGUAAGUAAAACUUUGCUUCCCUUUAACUUUUGAUUUGGGAUUAUAGUGAUUUCAAUAUGUAGCAAUUGAUUAGUGGAACUUCGUGUUUAAGAGAAGAAUAGGGAGCAAUGAAUUGCACUCCAACGAUUUAGUGUGCGUUGAAGUGGUUUGUCAUCGAUGGUAAGUCAGUUUCGUGUUGUUUCUUGUCUUCAAAUUCAUUAAUGAAUCUACUAAAUCAAUGCUGGGUACUUUAAUUUUAGGAUUCAGAAGGCUCGGGAGUAUUUUUGCAUUAAAAUCAUAAUAGGUGUGUCCCUAAAACACAGAAAGUUAGGUUUCGAUAAAAGCCAAAAAUGCAUUCUGUCGAUGCCACAAGGGCGUGUGCCUGGCCGUGUGGCUAGUCGUGUGUGAGACACGGCCGUGUGUUUGACGAGGGUGUGGCUAUGCGCAAGCCACGGUCGUGUGGUAGUGUAAGUGUGGUUGUGUAGGCCAUACGGGCUAGGCCAAUCUAGGUUUGUGGGCCUACACGGGCAUGCCACACGGACGUGUAGAGGCCCACACGGCCAUGUAGGCCCACAAUUUUGAGAUUUUCCCUAAGGUUGCACGGUUCGUUUCGAACGAUUGUGGUCCUACCAUAGGGUCGGUAAGGGCUAAUCAAACCCUAAAUUAUGUGAUAUGAUAUUCUGAUAGUACACCUUGUGUAGGAUGUCGAUAUGUACAUCUGUUUUAUUUACGUAUAUAUAUGCUAUCUGUAUAUGAGCAUGUUAUGCAUGAUAUUACUGUAUCUGUUAUUUCUAUAUUAUGUAUCUGUGAUUGGGGUGGGUUUUGUAUAUGUAGAGAAAGUGAUCUGUAGGAUAACACUUCCAUUAUAUUUUAGCAGUUGACUGCAUAUUAUUUGUAAUGUGUAGCAUUGACAUUAUAUGGUGUGUAGGGAGGGGUGGGUGCUUUUAGCCCCAUAUGGUGUGAUGGGAUGGUCGAAGAUGUUGUGUAGAGGAUGGGAGUAGGAUUCUGUAUAUCUGUACUACUUAUCUGAUUCUGUUAUCUGUAUCUGGAAUGGAUAUAAGUCUAGAUCUUGAUCUGACUGUAUAUAAGACUUCUAUUUGUAUUGCAUGUCUAUUUUUGUUAGGUUACACAAUGAGUUUACGAAAACUCACAUCUGUUUGUCUGUUCUGUUCAGGUCUAUAGACUUAGGCGAAUCAGAGUGACGGAGCCUCACGGUAACCACGAGAUUGUAAACUAUUUAAGAUUAUGGUUUUUAUUUAAUUUAAGGAUUCUUUCUGGAAGUUUGUAAUAAUUGGGCUUUCUAGAAUAUUUGACUUUUAUUUCAAUUUUGGAGGCGUUUUAACUUUUAUGGCCACGUUUGACCAAAUUCUGAUUUUACUAAAAUAAAGGAUUUUCUGAAUACACGAAUUAGAUUUCCAAGAUUCAAUGCUUUUUGAAAACUUCCGCUGCAGAUUAUGUUUUGGAAAAUGAAUGAAUUAAAUAAUGCUUCUAGUAACAGAUAGUACACUUGGGGUGAUUUAUCGAACGACUUAACAAAGCUUUAUCAAAAGAUCACUAUUUUCAAAACCCUUCCAUGUAACACUCUUAGAUUCGGCCACAACGUCUAGGCCAGGAUUGGGGUGUUACAUUUAAUGGUAUCAGAGUCAGGUUGCAAAACUCGAGCUGUGAAUUUUGGGUUUCAAAAUUAUGUUUUGAAAAAGAACAGGUUUUCAAAUAAUUUGGAUCAUUUUGAAUAAGUAUGUGGUACACUGAGUCUCCGGCGUUGAUCCUAUGAGUACUUUUGAACUUAGAUAAAACUUUCUGAAAACACUAUAGUUAGUACUUUCUGAAACUGUACUGAGUUAGUUAAAAAAUAAAAACCUCUGAAAUAUGUUCAAACUUUUGAUAAUUUGAGCAUAAAAUAUCUGUUAAUAAACAUUGGAGCUGAUGCAUAAAAUUUUAUAAUGUAGAUAAAUUUUAAAAUAUAUAAUGAGCACUUGUGGAACUCGCGGUCAUGGUAUUCGUGGGCUCAGUGGGGGCCAUAGGGGGCUGGAGCUGAGUCUUUUUCUAUGGGCAAUAUGCCAAACUUAGAUAUGAGUAAGCUACGGUUUCACUUGCUACUGAGACAAGGUCUCAAAGCCAGUUGGCUAGGGACGAUGCACUAUCCCAAGCCAUGUUAAGGGUGUUGGAGAGGGUCACUGGACCCCAUUCUGGAUCUGUGGGCCAUAGGAUGGUAACUGAACAACUCUGGUCCAAUGGAGCUGAGCUGUUUAGGGGUGUCAUUGAAGUCGCUCCUACUGUGGUCGAGUAUUGGUUGGAGGGCACAAAGAGGAUUCUGAACGACAUCGAUUGUACUCCUAAGUAGAAAUUUAAUGGUGCAGCCUCUCUACUUCGCGAUGAGGCAUAUCAGUGGGGGUUGUCAGUUGAGGAGGGUACUCAACGGGACUGUCUGAACUAGGAUUAUUUUAAGACUACCUUUCAGGGGAAGUAUGUGGGCGCGAGCUAUGUUGAUACUUAUAGGCGUGGGUUCAUGAAUCUCACGCAAUGUGAUAAACCAGUGGCUAAGUAUGAGGCAGAGUUUCUAAGGUUAAACCGCUACGCUUGAGGCAUGGUGGUGACUAAAUUUGAGAAAUUCAUCUGUUUUAAGGAUAGCUUGAGGUAUAAUCUGAGGGUACUGAUUGCUCCACAGAGGGAGCAAGAGUUCACAGUUCUUGUGGAUAAGGUGAAGAUCGCAGAGGAGAUUAAGUGCGUGGAGCGCUAAAAUAGGGAUCGUGAGUGAGGCAAGAAUAAGAGGGAUUCAGAGUCCUCUAGUUCUGUUAAGAGGGCUGUUAGAGUAGGGGUUCCUAUUACUUCUAAUAGGAUUCAGCCACGUGAUGAUUGUGGUAGGCACCAUCCGGGUGAGUGUUGGAGGAGGUUGGGGGCUUGUCUGAGGUGUUGGUAUUUGCAACACCACAUUAGAGAAUGUUCACUCCAUGCAGAUUAGAUGCAAGCUUUAGGAUCAAGUUUUAUACAACCUUAGAGGGCAGUUCAGUAGCCAUCUAAGGGCCGUGGUCCGACUAGGGGUGGUAAUGGUAUGGGUCGAGGACAUAGAACAUCGGGAAAAGGUGUUAGUUAGACUGAGGCAAGGCAGCCUGCACUGGUUUAUGCUACUCAAUGCCGAGAGGAUAGAGACGCUCAUUAUGUUAUCACAGGUACUUCUUUAUUUUUGGUGUUCCAUAUACUGCUCUGAUAGACAUAGGUUCUACUCAUUCCUAUAUAGGUAGUACUAUUUCUAAAAAUUUAGGGAUUUUUGGUGAGGGUGUUUCUAGUGAAAUUAUUGUACUGAGUCCGUUAGGGCAGUCUUUUCAUGUAAGUAGACUUUAUAGGAAUGUGCCUUUGGAAGUACAAGGGAUUGUGUUUUCGGCAUAUCUGAUGGAGUUACUAUUUGGGGAGUUUGACUUAAUUUUGGGUAUAGAUUAGUUGGUUGAGCUUUGAGUUAGCUUGGAUUGCACAACUAAGAGGGUCAGUCUGAGGGCUGUGGAUGAAAGAGAGAUAGUAGUGAUCGGUGAGCAUCGAGAUUAUCUACCUAAUGUGAUCUCCGCUCUUGUGGCUGAAGAAUUGGAUCAGAAAGGGUGUGAGGCGUAUUUGGCUUACGUCAGUGUUCUAGUUUCUAGGGACUCUUCUAUCCGGGAUAUCAGAACAAUAAGGUAAUUUUUGGAUGUAUUUCUUGAGGAAUUAUCGGGUUUACCUCCGAAUUGAGAAGUUGAGUUUGGUAUUGAGCUUCUACCAGGUACAUCUUCGGUGUCCAUCGCUCCCUAUCAAAUGGCAUCGAAGGAGCUUACAGAGCUUAAGGCUCAACUUCAAGAGCUUUUGCAUCGUGGUUUCAUCCAUCCUAGUGUGUUUCUGUGGGGGGCACCGGUUCUGUUUGUAAAGAAAAAUGAUGGUACCACAAGGUUGUGUAUUGACUACCUACAGUUGAAUAAACUAACAGUAAAGAAUAAAUAUCCACUUUCGAGGAUUUAGGACUUAUUUGAUCAGUUCCGAGGGGCUGCAGUGUUUUCAAAAAUAGACCUUCAUCCUGGGUAUCAUCAGCUUAACAUUAGAUUUUCAAAUUUAAAAAUUAAAAUUUUUUUUACAGCUGCAUAAUUAAUAAGAUAUCAAUUUUGAGUGUUGUAGAAGUGUUAUAACCUUCUCAACGCAUAACCAACUCUUGAAUUCACUUUUUUCUCUAAAAUUCUACAUAGAACACAAAUUUAUUUUUUAAAUAUAUUUUAAAUCUCGCAAUAUUUUUAGGCGAUUCACCAAAGAAUAAAAACCUAGGAGGUGAUUCCUCCUUUUUAAUAAAACCUUGUGCUUUUGCAAACACCAAAUUAUUGCUAAGCUUUACAUUAAUAGACAUGAUUUAUUUGUUCGUUAUUAUUAUUUCUAUGAUUAUAAUAUUAUACUUAUCGGACUACAAUCAUAACCAUGUUUAUUAUAAUUCAAUAAAAAGAAAUAAGUGUUGGGUGUAAUGGCAAGGUUCAUUACACUCUUAAUAAGAGAUCAGGGUUUUGGACAAAGGAAGAAUAUGAUUCGAAUUUUGGAGACGACAUUCUUAAAAUGAGCAACCACGAAGCCCGAUUAUGAACCAUAAAAUGAACAUGAAAAGUACAAAAAAUACGUCUAUUAUCAAAUUAGUAAUCCAUCCCAAGGCUUAAAUUAACAAAAUUCACCAUGCAACCAUGUAGACUAUUUUACGUAUAUACUAUAUUCAUUCUUCAUGCAAAAUGUUUAUUAUAUUUAAAAAUUAAAAUAUAUGGUUCAUUGAGUUUUAGUUGAGUUAAUAUUGAUAUUGUUGUUAGUGCAGAAGAAUGUGAGUUCAAACAUGUUUAAACGCGUUUUUCUUCCAAUUUAGGAGUUGGAAAGGGUUUUCAAUAGUUAAAUUAUAUAAGUUUUUUUGUCUAAUUAAAAUUGAUUUAUAAACAAUAUAAAUAAAAAGAUUUAAAAUAUAUAUAUUCAUAUUGAUGGGCUUUUUCAUUAUUAGACUUUUUUCCUUACAGGUAAAAGUAUAUAUGGACAGGAUGAUGUAAAAUUAUGACCUGAAUAAUUUUAAACCUUUCAUGACUACAAAAAUGAAAAUAAUAGAAAUGAAAGACUAGCCAUUGUAUGAAAUUUAUAAUUGAACUGCCAACAAAAUUGGGAGAAAUUUUUAAAUUUUAUGAAAUUUUAAAAUUAAACUAUCAAUAAUAGAAAAUUGCCUGAGUGACUUGGGAUUAGAGGUUGAACAUUUCUGGACCACAAUACAUUUAAGAUGGGUCUUUAAGGUUAUACUUUAGUUAUUGAGAACAUUUUCCACAAAUUGUCAUUAUUGUUUACUGCAGCAAAACAGGCUUUUAGCAUCGUUUUCUUAGGCCUAUAGCAGCUUUUUCACAAGCGCCGCAAAAAAUGCCACUAUAGACAACGCUGUUAAAUUUUGCGGCAUUUUAGAACAUGACCUUUAGCGACACUUUACCCAAAAAUGCCACUGAAGAACAUGAUCUUUAGCGGCGCUUUCCCAUAAACACCGCUAAAGAACUUGAUCUUUAGCAGCGCUUUUAUCACAAACGUCGCUAAAGAACAUGACCUUUAGCGGUGCUUUUAUCACAAACGCCGCUAAAGAGCAUGGCCUUUAGUGGUGCUUUUAUCACAAACACCGUUAAAAGUACCGUUCUUUAGCAGCGUUUAUGAAAAAACACCACUAACUUUGGCAGAUUUGUAACAUCCAAUUUUCAUCCAUAUACAACCCUUCCUGUAGCAUGAAAUCCAACCAAAAACAACAAAUCUAAAUGAUACUUCAAAUUCUACGAAAGAUAUAUGAUAUAAAUUGAUAACUGAAGUAUAAUUCAAAAUAUUCUUACAAUAAUGUUAAAAGUUACAAAGUUAAAAAUAUUCUUACAAUAAGAAAACAAAUGUCUAAGAUGGCAGAUUUUGCAACUGCUGAAACAUCUUCAUCAUAUUCUGAAGCUGUAGCUGCAGUGUAUAGUACUUUCUAAUUGAAUAAACACAAAUCUAUUUUUCAACAGCUAUAACAAAUCAGCUAUAAACCUUCAACAGGACCAGUACUUGCAAAAACCUCUUGGAGUAGUGGUUCAGCCCACCUACCUACAGUUUCUCAAAAAUUAAAAUAAAAAAUUAAAAGUUAAAGAAAAAAACAGAAAAAAGAAGAGAUAAAUAAAACUAUAUAAGUAACUUUCUAAGUUGUUAAAAAGAUGCAAGAACAUGCAAGCAUCUAUCAGAUUCCAAAAACCAUUUAACUAUCAAUUAAAAGAGCCAUUAGCUUAGAAUUUUGCACAGAGGGUCAUAGCCACGUAUCCAAUAAGUAGACUCAUGAAGGAAAGUGUCUCUAAUUCAUGCAGUUAUAAGCAUAGAAGUGACUAGGGUAUGUGCUUAAGCAAGAAGGGGAAAUAAGCGACUCACAAUAUACAAAUAAAACAAAAUGGAAAAAGGGGAAAAAUAAGUAAAAAAAACCUAGGCAAACACUCACACACUGCGGCAAGUACUUGGAUCAAAACCAGGAGGCAAAUUUCCACUUGGUAUUGGCUCUAUCUGCAGAAUAGAAAAGUGAAAAAUAAAAAAGAAGAGAAAAGAAGAAACGAUGUACAAAAAAGUUAGGUCCCACUCAACUCAAUUCUAAAGCCUCCAUAUCCAAGAAAAAGGAUGAGUUUUUGAAGAAAUCUAAUAGUCAACCUAAAAGAACAAGCAAGAUGCUAACUACGACCAUGACAAAUGUAAGCAUCACUUCUCCUACUUUGGCAAUACUUUCCACUUGAAAAGACAACAGACUUCCUUGCUUUUACUAUUAUCACAUUUUCCCUUUUCAUUUUUUCAGUGCCGACCUGAAAAAAUAUAUUUUAGCCUCAUCUAAAUAAGACAUACUUUAGCAGAACAACAGACUGUAGAUCAGACCCAAUUCAAGGGUAAUGCAGUCCAAAGUUCCUUGAGCUCCCUCCUCCAAAGUGAAAAACAAAUCUAUAUCUUUCUGCAUGAUUCAAACAAAAAUGACUGUUGGACAUGUAACUCAGAAAGAAUGCAAAUACAUUGAAAGCACCACAGACUUUAUAAAUUAGCUUCAUGCUGUUAAAUUUCAACACUAUAAACCUAACAAAUCCCAGAACGAAAUGCGGGAAUCAUGUCUUAAACUCUAAUACUCAAACAAGAGACAGAUAAAUUGCACGUUUUUUUUAUAUAAUAUUUACAAACUAGAGAUAAAGAUGUAGAAAAAUAUAAACAUGGACAUGGACAAAAAGACUAAUUGACUGUGCAUGUGUGCCAGAGAGAUGGCAACUAAACAUUAUCCAAACACAAUCAUUUCUCAACAUUUGCAAAACAAAAUGAAGAUUAAGAUUAGCGGUAAACUAAAUAAAACCAAAGAAGUGAGAACCACAAGUAAAUGAGAAAGAAAACAAAAUAGAGAACCUAAUAGCUUUCCCAUUGAACUUCGUAUAAAAGAAAUAACAACAUUUGAACUUCAAGCAAAUAAAAAUGUAAAAUAUUUAGAAUCAAAACAAUCUUUUAUCAAAAUUCAAACCAAAAACAAUGAGCUUCACUCUAUACAAGAAGCAUGUUAACGUCAUAGGCUUUCUCAUUUCUGGAAACCAAAUCCAGAAACGUCUCCCACCAAAAAUCAAGAAAAUAACUUUUGUUUUUGAAAAUCACAUUCAAAUCGCGAAAUAGGAGCAAGGUCCUUCGAAUUCAAGCAAAGUUGAUGGUAAAAGCUUAGCUUUCAAAGGUCAAACAUCACAGCAUUAAAUAUAAAACUAACCCAAUCUCCACCAAUUCAAAAACAAGAAACCAAACACAAGAAGAUCCAAACACGAUUUCGAAAAAAGAAAAAUAGAUAUUCCUGAAAACCGGAUCAAAAACUAGCAUAUACUUAAUGAAAAGAGAAAUUGACGAAAAAUCACAGGAGAUCUGCAUGCAAAUAGAAGCACACUUUUGCUUGAUUAUUCGCUUAAAAAAGUAACAAUGGAAAAUAAGAUGCAAGUGCUAGGUAAAACCAUCAUGUCUUCUUACUCACCACAAACAAAGGCCCUCUAGGACCUUCAUGAAUUUUUGUCUCAUAAGUGCUUCUAUUGUGAGCCCGAACAGCUUGAUAGCCCACAAGAUAAGGAUAUCGAUCUUCACCCUACAGAUUAACAAGGCUAAAUCCACUUAAAUGAAACACCAUUAGUCCAUAACAAUUUACUUCAAUUUUCUGCUGUUAGUUCAAAUAUGUAUUUUUUUUAAUUUGCCAAAACUUGUUAGGAUCGAAGAUUCGGAAUUCCUAAAUUUCAAUUCAAAUUUACACAAUACUUGCAGAAAAAUAUACUACUAUUAGAGACACCGGCAAUCAACCAGAGUUCUUUAGUUUUCGAUCAAGUUAUUCGGCAGGUAUCUAUAUUGAUUACACAAAAAAAAAAAAUCUUACACCGUGAGAAUGUCGAGUAAAUUGCAAAUAGAAAAGCAAACGAACCCUAGAGGAGCUCCAAUACUUCUUCUCCCAAGGGCCUUUGUAUAGAGAUCCAAUGGAAAUGAUCUCUAGAUCGUCUAAUUUCGCUGUUUGUUCUGCUUCUUUAGUUUUCGCCAUUCAAAGAAAUGAGAAGAAAGCAAGAUUUCCAAACAACUAACAAUAAGCGAGUAGAGAGGAUUUUCAAGAUAGACGAAGACAUAACAUUUUAAAAUAGCAAGAACUAAAAUCUUAAAAUGCGUCAUUUCCCUCGAAAUUCUAAAUAAAAACUUUAUUUGAUUAGGAAAAAUGUGAAUUGAUUUUGGGAAAAAGAAGGGAAAAAAAAAAGAAAAGAUUUCAUUUGAAAUAUUGGGAUAAAAAAUAUAAUUACAAAAGGACCCCGUUUUGAAAAAAACAUAUUCGUGGCGUUUGGAAAAAAAGUCACUAUUGCUCGACUUUUAGCGACAUUUGGACCAAAAACGCUACUAUUGUUCAACUUUUUUCUGCAUUUACAACAAAAAAGCCGCUAUUGCUUACCUUUUGCGGCUUUUUUUUAUAAAUGCCGCUAGCGCUUGACUUUUUUACAAUUUUUAUAUUGAAUUAUUGUAUCUUUCAUAUAAAUUUUAAAUGAAUAAUUUUUUAAAUUUUAAGUAAUAUUUAAAAGAAUUAGAUAAAAUUAUAAUUUUUAGUUUUUGUAUUUCAUUUUUAUUUUUGUAUUUGAUUUUUAUUUGUUAUAAGUUUGUCCUAUCCAAAAUAGAUAGUUACCUAUCCAUAUCAAUCUGUUACUUUUUUUAUUUAUUUAUCAAUGUUUUUUUAAAUCUAAUAUUUAAAUAUAUCAAUUGGUUUAGAUUAAAUAUUUUUAAAUAUAAAAGCAUUAAUUGAUUGUAUAAAAUUUCAUCAUUUAACAAAUCUCAAGUAAACCUUAAAUCUUAAACCAUUUAAUAUUUAUAAAGUUUAUCUAUUAUCUCUUACAUAAUUUAAACUAUAAUCAUAAUUUUAAUAUAUUAAAAUUAAAAUUAUCUCUUUUACAAUUAUAUAAUAAAUUAUUUAAUAUAUAAAUUAAAAAAUACUAAUUAAUCUAAACUCUAAACCCCUAUCCCCUAAACCUUAAAUCAUAAAACAUAAACCCUAAAUCCCUAACCCUUAACCCCUAACCCCUAAACCUUAAACCCCAACCCUUAAACCAAAAAUCAUAAACCAUAAACUAUAAUCCCUAAACCCAUAAUCCAUAAACCUUAAAAUAGUAACUCCUAAACCAUAAACCAUAACCCUAAACCCUAAACUAUAAUGAUAAUUAAUUCAAUAUUUUAAAAUUAAUUCUAUCUCUUUUAUAAUUAUAUAAGAAAUUAUUUAAUAUAUAAAUUAAAAAACAAUCAGUCAUGAACCCAAAAAACUUUAAAAUUAUUUUAAAUAAUAGUAUUUUCAUUUUUUUUCAUUUUUAACAAAUAUUUUCUAUGUUUUUACUUUCAAAAUUUGUCUACGUGUCAUUAUUUUUUUCUGAAAAUUUUAAAUAUUCAAUUAAAAAUAAAUUUUAUUUUAAUUAAUAUAAAUAAACCAGUUAAAUAAUAAAUAGACAAAUAAAAUAUUUUUUGCGACAUUUUUGAUAAAGUGCGGCUAAAUCUCGAUCUAUAGUUGCGUUUUACAAAAAAGCGUUGCUAAUGCCACUAAAGCUCAACAUACAACGUCUUACUGAAUUUUUUGCGGCAUUUUUCAAAAAGCACGACUAAUGCUUGAUCUAUAGUGGCGUUUUUCAAGAAGCGCCGCUAAUGCCACUAAAGCUCAAUAUAAAGGUACCUGAGUCUAGUUUUAAAGACAUCAAGUGGAUCUUAAUUCGGAAUUUUGUAGCUCAAGAUAUAAAUUUAUGUUAAUCUUGUUAUCUUUCUUAUUUUAGAAUUGAUUACAUGAAAGUUAAUUGCUAAUACUAUUAGUUAAUUAUUAGUUUUCUUCAAAUCAAAUUAAAACCCGAAAGGUCCCUCUUUUUUUAUAUUAGUUUUAGUUUUCCAUUAAAUUUGUUUCUUUGUAAUAAAAUUAAAUUAUAGAAAUAACAUUAAAAUUUUAAAUAAAAGUAGUUCACAAUAAUUUAUUAUUUAAAAAACUCCCUGAAAUUUAAAAUUAUUGUUAUAAGUAUACCAUUAAAUCAUACAGAAUUUAAUUUUUCUUUCAAAUACUACAGUUAAUAAGGAAAGAGAAUAUAGUACAUAUCAAUAAAACUUUUAAAAAAGAAAUAUUGUUUGUAAUACCAAUUUUUUCUGCCCGGGCCCAUACAAAAUAAAAUACAGCAGGCCCAUCUACAGACCAAACCCAUAUUCAAAAAAAAACCUAGGCUAAGAAGCAGCAAGCUUCAGCCGCACGCCCAACAGCAGCCUCCCUAACCGCCGCCGCAUCCUCCGCGCACAUACACCUCUUCCACGGCCUCCAUACCUACGAGAAAAGCGGAUCCAAACAGCAAUAGACGCAGCCAAUAAUGAAAUAGGAUUUUUUACUUUUUUUUUGCUGUAAUUUUGGCUAUAAAAAGCCAUCAAAAAUCUGUAAAAAAGGGGAGGGAUUUUUGGAGUUUAAAAGAUACGAAAUAGAGGGAAAGAACAGAGAUCGAACUUGUUUUUUUUAAAGGUUUUUUUCGUUUUACUUUGCAGUGCCUAUUGUUUUUAUUUCCAUAUUUUUUUCUUUUAUUUUCAUUUUGUUUUAUUUAAAAUAACAAAGGAAAGAAAGAAGAGGGGAAGAUCUUACCUCUUUCGCCGGAGCUGACGAGCCGUUGCCACCACCGACGAUUGGGCCGUGGCGCAUGGGAAAUGGCGGCGCAAGGACGCUAGGAGUCCAAACCUAGCAGAGCAAAACAGGGGGGGAGGGCUUUGUUUUUUUCUCUUCGGUUGUAAUUAAUUUUGAAAGAAAAAAUUUGUUUUAAAUAACAAAAGUGAAACGGCGCCGUUUUGAUGGCCAGACCCGCGCGUUCUGGCUUUAAGUGGGAAAUUUUCGCUUUCAGUCCCUUCUUUUUGCGACACGUUUCAAUCAAGCCCAAUUGUUGUUUUUUAAAUUUAGCCAUGUACUUUAUUUUUUGUUUCAAAUUGGCCCUUUGUUGCGCAGCGCUUUGGAGGGUGGGAUUAAUUUCCCUUUAGGUCCCCAUGGUCGUUCGCGCGUUCAAGUUGGUCCCUUUUUGUUUAUUCUCGAAUUUACCCCAUUCUUUUGUCUUUAAGUUCAAUUUAGUCUAUUUUUUUUGAACUAUUCAACUUUUUUUUUUUGUAAUUAUUAUAUUAUACCAUCAUUAUUUAUUAUUAUUAUUAAUACUAUACUUAUUAUUUUUCAUGAACAUACGCAUUUUAUAUAAUAUAUGUUCUAAUUUCAAAAAACGUUUUACUUUUGUAAAUGUUAUUUUAAUUUCAAAAACGUUUUCCGCUUUUUGUAAAUAUAUAAUUCUAUAUUUUAUUAUAAAUAUUUUUUUUCCUCUAUUUUACAAAUGUAUAUAUAUAUGAAUCUACAUACGCAUUUUAAAAUACGCAUGCACCUUACAUAUCUAUAUAUAUAUAUUUUAUUCUACUUACAUAAUUUUUAUAUACAUUUAUAUUUGAUAUAGAUAUACAUUUUUGUAAUAUAUAUAUUUCUCAUAUGUUAUAAUUCAAAACAUACAUUUAUACAUUUUCUAUAAUAUACAUACACUUUCCAUUUUUUAAUUAUUGUAAAUAUUUUUUUUGUUAUUUCAUGUAUCCCAUUAUUUUAUAUACAUAUUGUACAUAUAUAUAUGUAUUUGAAUAUAUACGUAUACGAAUUUUCGUGAUUUACCUAUGUAUAUAUACUUAUAUAUUUUAUUUUUCUAUUUUGUAAAUAUAUACACAUCUACAUGUUCUUUAUUCUAUUUUUACAAUUUUCAUUACAUGUAUACAUGCAUAUUUUUUAGAAAUUAUUAUAAGUUUGUUGUAUAUAUUUCUUCACUUGCCUUUUUAUAUGUACACUUAUAUUUAUGUGUUAAGUAUGCGCCCCCUCAUAUUUUCGAAUUUGCUUGUAUAUUGUACUUGUAUAUAUAUUGUAAAUACAUAUUCAUAUACGUUUUACAUUAAAGUUUUGUUUCACAUUGUACCUUAACCUUAACAUACCCUUUUGAAAAUAUAUUUUGGUUUUAACCAUUCAUCAAGGUUAUUUUCUUGAUUUAAAAGUUUUUUUUUUGAAUAAAAGCAUUAUUUGAGGUUUGGGAUUUUCGAGGGAAAUUGAGCCCUAACGUAUUGGGUUCUGAUUUUCUUUGUCAAUCUUAAAUGAUCGAGAAUACUCUUUAUUCAAAAUGCAUUAGUAUAAAAAUCAUUUUUGGGAACUUAACUUGUUGUGCCCUAACGUAUUGGGUGUGGCCAGUUACUUUCUCGAAAUGAAGAUUUUCGCAUAAAAUAAAAGUGAUAUUCAAAGUUCGGGGAUUAUGAGGAAUCGUACCCUAACGUAUUGGGACUCGAUUUCUUUACAUGACUUGAACAAUUGGUUAUCCUUUUGCAAAUUUCAUCAUUCAAGCUUAUUUUAAAAUCUUUUUUAACUUUCGACACUAAGACAUCAAAUAAUCAAUUUGGUACCGAUUUUGGGCGUUACGAGGGUGCUAACCCUUCCUCGUGCGUAACUGACUCCCAGACUCGUUUUCUCAAAAUUCGUAGGCCAAAAUAAUUUUUUUAAAAGGUGGGCCGAUCACACCUUAGUAAAAGAAUCGGUGGCGACUCCAGUUUUAUUUUUAAAAGUCGACAACUAAAUUUUUGUUUUCAAAAAAACGGUUUCGACAUUGUUUAAUUAGUUAAUUUAAAAAUCAAUAGAGUCUAAAAACGGUCAGAAUGAAAUAUUAGAUUUUAUAAGAUUUCAUUAUUCUAAAAAAUAAAAUACGACAAUGCUUAAAAAUUUUAUCAAAAAAGUUUUAAAUUUUAUAUAAAAUUAAAAAAAACAGUAUUAAAAUUUUUUAUAACAAAUUUAAAUAUUAAUUAGUAAAUUAUUUUUGUAAUAUUUAUAUGUAUUUUCAUUUUUAUAAAUACUAUUAAAAUUUAUUAAAAAAAUUGAAUGCUAUUUAAAAACAUUAUUAAAAAAUAAAAUAUUAUAUGAAAGUUAAAAUGACCUAAAAACAUAUUUUAAAAAUUUAAAUACUUUAUACAAUAUUUAAAACUGUUUAAAAAUUUCUAAACCCUAAAAAAUCAAUAAAAUAUAAUUUUUUUUCUAAGAAAUCAAUAAAAAUAUAUUUAUAAUUGAACUGUCAACAAAAUUGUGAGAAAUAUUUAAAUUUUAUGAAAUUUUAAACUUAAACUGUCAAUAAUAGAAAAUUACCUCAGUGACUUGGGAUAAGAAGUUCAACAUUUAUGGAUCACAUCGUUAUGAUCGAUCGUAGGCCUUUCGUGGGGUCGAUAUAUAAUCAAAUAGACUGUAAAUUAUGAAAUCCGGUGAACUAAUACUAUAAAUUCUGAUAUCUAUUCAUAUAUUUGAGAUGUUAUUUGUUAAAUAAACCUUGUAAUAGGCUAUGAGAAACUUGAGAAAUAUUAUGUAUGCUUUGUAUCUGUUAUGUCAUACAUGUAUAACUGUAUUAUGUCCGAUUCUGUUCUAUUCUUUUCUGUAUUUGCAUCUGGGGUGGGUUAUAUUAUGUGGAGGAAGUGUUUCUUUGAAUGGCGAUAAUUCGCCUAUUACACUGGCAGCUCAGCUACAAAUAUUCUGAAAAGUGUCAUAUCGACACUAAGUGGUGUGUAGGGCUGGAUGAGUGUUUCAUACCCCAUAUGGUGUGUUGGGAUGGUCGGAACUAGUGUGUAGCGGAUGGGGUAGGAAUAUAUGUCUGUAUUUGUACUGCUCUAAUAUGAAUAUGUUCUGCUAAAUCUAUCUGAUAUAAAUUAACUGUUUAAAGUUAUUCGUUAUACAUUGAGUUUUGUAAACUCACUUUCUGUUUGUUUGAUAUUUUUUGGUAAUCCUCUGACUUUGACAAAUCGGUGCGAAAGAGCUCAGUUAAAUUGAUUUAGUUUCAUUAUCUAUUAUAAUUAAAUUUUGGGUUAUUGUGUUUUAUUAUUUUUGGACUGUUGGGAAUUUUUGGAUUGUUUUGGUUUUUGAGAUUUUAUUUUCAAUUUUUGCAUGAUACUAUUAAAAAUGUUUUAUCGGAAAUGUUUGUUUUCUUGCGAAACAACUGAUUUCAGAAAAAUAAACUUAGUUUUCCAAACAUAAUGAUCUAAGAAUUUCCACUGCUAAUAAUUCAUUUUAGAAAAAGUAAGCAAACAUCGUUUCAACUAUAAAGUUAAGUUAGAUGUAUUUUUCUCUUAAAUUGAGGUUUAAGUAAUAAAAGUUUACGACAUUUUUCCAAAUUGUACAAAAAAUUGGAUUUACAAUUGUUUUAUAUAACAUCUCUAGAUUUGGCCAUAGCGUCUAGUUGGAUUUCGGGUGUUAUAUUUAGUGAUAUCAGGUCAGGUUGCAAAACUUAGGCUGUGAAAUUUUCGGUUCAAAAUUUUGUGAAAACUAUUUUUCGAGUAAAGUUUGUCGAAACUACUUUUUGGAAACAAAAAAUAGCGUUGACUUAAAAUAUGAAAAUUGGAGUCGCCACCAAUCUUUUUUAUUUAGGUGUGAUCGGAUCACCUCCUAAUUUAAUCAUUUUAAUAAAAGUUAAAAUUUACUAAAACGAUAAUUUUUGGUCUACAAAAUUCAGAAAAUGGGUUCAGGAGUCGGUUACGCACGAGGAAGGAUUAGCACCCUCGAUACGCCCAAAAUUGGUACCUAGUUGAUUAAUUAAUGUCUUAAUGCUGAAUAUCAAAAACUCGAAAAGAUUAAAAAUACGAUCUUUUUAUUAAAAAACUUGUAUAAAUCAAAAUGUGUGCUAAGACCCCCUUAUUUCGGGAGAUAGAAUGUCACAUCCAAUGAGUGAGGAUGUGAUGUUUCGCAACCUCAAAAAUGAGAUUGUCUUUUGAUUUUUAAAACUCAUGCAGUGAAGUUUAAAAAUGAUAUUCAAUUGUUUAAGUCAGAUGAAAAAUCGAAGCGCAAUAUGUUAGGGCACAAUUCCUCAAAAUUCUAAAUAUUGAAUAUUGCCUUUAUUAUUUUUUAGAAAAAUCCUCAUCUUGAGAAAACAACAUGUCAUAUCCAAUGCAUUAGGACACAACGUAUCGAAUUCCUGAGAAUGAGCUUUUUAUUUAUGUGUUUUGAUUAAAGAAUAUUCCCAAUUAUUUAGAUUCAACGAGGAAAAUUGGAACCUAAUACGUUAGGGCUCAAUCCUCUCGAAGAUCCCAAAUACCGAGUAUUGCGUUAUCUUGAAACCUUUUGAAUAAAAUGAUUCCCAAAACUUAAACCAUAUUAAACAUAAUUUUUGAGCAAAUAAAGCAUGAUGGAAAUGAUAAUAUGCAAUGCGAAGUAAUAAUUCGUAAGCCAAAAAAAAAUACUCUAAUGGAUGACAAAUAAUCAAUAAGUACAAGUAAGCGAUACAAUACACAUAAGGGCAAUAGUCACAUAUUAUGUAAAUACAAACAUUAAUCUUUGCAAGCUAAUCUAAAAAAAAUACCAAACAAAUUAACAAAUAUGAAAUGUGACAAGUUUUUGAAAUAACUAAAAAACAAACAACAUGUAAGAAGGGAAAUUAUAAUCAAUAAAUUAUAUUUACAAAAAUGAAAGUUUGAAAUAAAUCAAAUAGUAUUAAAAAUAAAUACUACAUAAAAUAAUAGUAUUUAAAUAAAUUUUAAAGUAAAUUGUAUAAGUAGAAAAUCAAAAUAAAUAGUACACAAAAUAACAUACAUAUAUUAAUCUAAACAAGUAAUACAUGAAAACUUAAUAUAAAUUAUAAUGUAUGCAUAUAAUAAUGUAUAUAAAAAAGUUGAGAUAAACCAAGUAUAUAAUAAAAUAGGGUUUUAAGAUAUAAAUUAUGUAUAUAUAAAAAUAGGUUUUUAAAAAAUAUAUAUAAACACAUUUGAAAGAAAACUUAAAGUUAACAAUUAUAAUAAUAUGAAAUCAAUAAUAUAUAUAUAGAAUAAAAAUACUUUAAUAUAAAUUAUACAUGUAUAUAAAAUAGUAUAAUAAAAAUAUUUUUAUAUAAAUCUUCAAAACAUAGAAAUAUAUAAAGUGAAUUUUUUUAAAAAAUAAAUUAAAAAUAAAAAUCAUUAAAAAUAUAUACAUUAUAUUGGAUUUUAAAGAAUAAUACAUUAUAAAAUUAAAUGAUAAUAUAUGACAAUAAUAUAAAAACCUAUAGUAGAAUAAAAUUACGUAUAUAAAAAGGUUAGACUAAUAUAAAAAAGAUAAUAAUAGAUUAAUAUUAAACCCAUUAUUUUAAUAGCAAAAAUCACAAAGCAAUGGACUAAUUUGUAAUGAAAACAGAAACUUAAGGGCAAAUCUGAAAUAAAUAAAAAGAAAAGGAUCGGAUCAAAACACGCUAUACAAGCGGAGGGACCAUUUGCGCAAAUAUCUCUCUGAAGCAAAAACAUGCGGAUCCUUCCCCUAGGUUGGGUCACCGCGCGGGUCAAAACCCACCAAACAGCGUCGUUUUGGCGCUAUGGACCUUAGCUCAAAAUGGCGCCAUAUUAUACUAUUAUUUAAACAAAACCUUCUUUUUUUAAAACAUUUGCAGCCUGAGUUUAAAAAAAAAAUUUGCUGCUCAUGUUCUCUGCUAGGGUUUCAACGCUAGUUUCACGAGGCCGAAAGCUCCGCCGAUCUUCGGCCUUACAGCCCUUGCCCGAACUUUGACUGUGACGAAGCGAACAAGGAUCCAAUCGGCGCUAACACUGAGGUAAAUCCCUUCCCUCUUCUUUAUUUUUAUUUUACAAACAUUAACAAUAAUAAACGAACAUCGAAGAAACAGAAAAGAAAAAAGAAAUCAAAAAGAAAAAAAAUCAGAUUUCAAAUCACCUCACAAAAAUUUAAUUGCUUUCUGAUUUCUUUGGUAUCUUUUUUUUACUUAUUUCGUAUUGUUCGCGUAAAAAACUUACGAAGGUCUUUUCUUCUAUUUUAUAGCCAAAAUCUAAAAUAUAUAUAUAAUAUAUGUUUUUUUCUGUGCUAUUUUUUCGUCCUAUUUGCAGGUAUGAAGACCAGCUGGCAGUGUACGGAGGCGGUGGUGCAGCACGCGCUUGGCUGAGGCGACUAGAGGCAUGCGGCGGCUGGGUCUGCUGGGGUUUAAUUUGGGCCUGGGAUUGGGUUUGAUUUAAUGGGUUUGAUUUUUGGGCCGUAAAUGGGCUUUUUAAUAUUAGACUUUUAUUUUUUAUUUGGAUUAUUAUUAUUUUUUGUGUAUGUGGGUCGGGGCAGAAAUUGGGCUCUACAAAUUUCAUUUCUGCAUUAAUCUGAAAAUUAAUUAUGUGAAAUAUCGAGUCUCUGACGUUGAUCCUGUAAGUACUUCUGACUUAGAUAAACUUUAGUUUUAGAAAACUCUAAAAUUAUUAGAACUGUACUUGGAUAGUUAGAGACUGAAACAUCUCUAUAAAUUCUUUUGAUAACUUUUUGAGUAUAAAAUGUUUGCUAAUAAAUACUAAAAUUGAUACAUAAAAUUCGUAAUAUAGGUAAUAUAUACGAUGAGUACUCGUGGAACACAUGGACGUGGUAACCGUAGGCAUGGCGGGCGCCGAAGAGAGGCUCGAGCUGAGUCAUCCUCGAUGGGUACCUGAUAGGCUAUUGUUGGAGAGAGCAAUAGUCUUGAGAGAAGAAAUUUUGAAGAUCAAAGUCAAAAUCUGACAUGUAAGGCCUUUAAUUGCUUGAAUAAUAAGCAUUUCCAAACUAAAAGGAUUACGAUUUCUUCAAGAAUUUGACCUGCAGACAUAGUUGAAACAUCAAGGUGUUAAAUUACCUAUUUUGUUAGUGUAAAUCAAAGAGGCUUUUUAUUUUUUUUUUCGUUGUGAAAUAAUAUGGAUAUGUUAGAUUCUAAUCAUAUUUAAGUAUAUAUUAGUUCUUGAAGAGUUCUUAUUUUUUGGUAUUUAUAUUGCAAAUAUUUUUUUUAAAAUUAAGAAAAAAGGGGGGGGGGCAAAUGUGUAUAAACUACAGACAUCAAGGAGAAGGCAUACCUUCUAGGUUAUUUAACCCCAAGUAUAAUUGUUUAAGUUGUGUCAAAUUCCCAAUGCUUUUUGGAAUGAUCCCACUAAAUUGAUUAACAGACAAUUCCAAAAUUUGAAAGUUGCAGCAUUUGUCUAUACUUGAUGGAAUAGAACUUGAUAAUUCAUUUCUACUGAUCAAGUAAAGCUCUUUAAGCUUGGGAAGAUGGACACACAAAUCAUCGGGCAAGCCACCAGAAAGACUAUUAUCACGAAAAUGAAUCCUUUUCAAAGAAGAAAUGUUAAAGAUGGAAGAUGCAACCUGGCCAGGUAAUUGAUAAAACUUUGACUUAAUCCUUUAAAAAAUGUAAAAAUAUAGGCUAUUAAAAUGGUAAAAUUACAUUUUUACUAUUGUAAAAAUUACAAUUUAAUUUCACUCCUAAAAAGAUUUUCUGGCUUCGACCCUAAUAAAUUCUUUGGCAAAAGAUUAAAAUAAAAUUAUACCGUAAAUGAAAAAAAGAAACUAAGAAAAUCCAAUCUAACAAAGAAAAUAACUUGAUGUCCAAAAGCUACCAUAAACCGUAAUUCAUGGGAAGGCUUGUUGCUCAUUUUAUUGGUUUCCAUUUUGAUUUUGCAAAAGAAGUUUGAAUUUUGAAGAGAGCCUACUACGUGAGAGCAAAAGAAAAAAAAUAGUUUAUAUGAUUAAAAUUCCAGAAUAGAUUAAAAAUGUUGAAUUAAAGAUAAAAUUACUCACCAUCUCUGUUAAAAAUGUUGGAUGUUGUUUAGCAACCUUUGUUUGAUUUUCUUCAGCUCAACCACAACAUCUUUCAUAUCUUUUCUUUCUUCUGGCAACUCAGCUGAACAAUUCAAAGCCAACUCCAUGAUAGAUGAAAUACAAUUUGCUUUAACAACAAUGUACUCAUCCUCUCUUCUUAAUAAAUCAACAUCUGCAAUUUCUAUCGCUCCUUUAGGCAAUGAACUUUCCAUCCAAUGCCUUAUAGUCUCUUCUUCAACAAAAGCAUUAUCAGUUGGCUUUUUCUUUGUGAAAGUUUCUAUAAGGACGAUCCCAUAACUAUAGACGUCAGAUUUUAUAGAAACAACUCCUGCUGAUCCAAAUUCUGCAUUUCAAGUAUAAUUAGAGCAUCGUUCAUCCUCAAUUAUUUCUAAAAUGCUUAUUCAAAUAUAUAUCCACAUACACAUGAAACAAAAAUAUAAAAUGCAAAUUAGGAAAAUAAUCAUACAAAAAUAAAAAAAGAAUUCACCUGGUGCCAUAUACCCGAUAGUUGCAAGAGUCAUGGUUUGCUUCAUUACUUCACCUUCUCCCAACAAUUUGGCAACGCCAAAAUCUCCAACAUGUGCAACCAUGUCUUCAUCUAGUAAAAUAUUGCUUGGUUUUAUGUCACAAUGAAUUAUAGGUGUUGGAUGUCCAUUGUGGAGGUGUUCUAUAGCUACCGCAACAUCUAUCAUUAUCUCGACCCUUUGUAUGAUAUCAAGGAAACAAUUUUCAGAAUGUAACCAUUUAUCAAGGUUUCCAUUAGACAUGUAACCAAGCACCAAGGCUUUGAAGUCAACACUUGAGCAGCAAGUAAUGACCUUCACAAUAUUACGAUGAACUAUAUUACGCAUAGCAUCACAUUCAAUGUCAAAACUCCUAAAUGCUCUCUCUGUUUGCAAAUUGAAAACUUUUAUUGCAACUUCCAUUCCAUCUGAAAGCCUCCCUUUAUAUACAUAUCCAAAACUCCCUGAACCAAGCAUAUUGCUUUCCUCAAAUCCAUUAGUUGCUCGUGAAAGUUCAGCAUGUGAAAUUCUUCUCGGUGUCUUCAAAGACAACAAAUCAUCUUUAACUGGUAGAGUUGUACUCCUUUGGCAUCUUCUAUACAUAAUAGUUAAGACUAUUAGUACUACGACAAUACCAAUUGUUGGUAAACCAUACCUAAAAGCAUGCAAUAUAAUCAUUUGGGAGUUUUUGUGGAUGUCGUUUUUGCAAGGUGGGACUAGCAAUCUAGGUGGACCACAAAGUGCACAAUUCUUCAUGAAUGAUGUGCUAGAAAUGUUUGAAAAACAUCCUUUGCUGGGAAUUUCCCCUUCAAGUCUAUUGAAAGACACAUUAAAAUACUUUAGAUAUAAAAGCUGUUCCAAAGAUUUGGGAAUGACUCCAGAGAAAUUGUUAUUGCAUAAAUCCAAGAAUUCCAAACUAAUCAACCCAUCAAAUGAUUCAGGGAUACGACCAUGUAGUAUAUUAUUUGAUAAAUCUAAUGAAACCAAAGUUUGAAGACCCCCAAAUGUGGAUAAGAUAUCGCCCAUGAGAAGAUUCCUUGAUAAAUUUAGUCUCAGUAGACUCCUAAAAUUUCCAACAUCAAUAGCAUGUGAAUUGUGAAGACGGUUUGAUGAUAAAUCUAUUUCUAAGAUAUCUUUAAGACUCCACAAAGUUGAGGGUAUUGUAGAACUCAAUUUGUUGGAAUCUAACCAAAGAUAUCUCAAAGCAGAAAUAUUACCUAAACAAGAGGGUAUGGAUCCAUGCAGCUUAUUCAACCCUAAAUGCAUCCCGUAUAGUCUCUCCAAACCACAGAGGCUUUCUGGGAUAGGCCCUCCUAAUUUAUUAGAGGAAAGAUCUAGACCUUGCAGAUUCCGCAGUCCUCCUAUUGAUGCUGGAAUGAAUCCACUUAAUUUAUUAUGGCCAAGUUCUAAAACCAAUAAGUUGGUUAAGUUACCUAUUUCCAUAGGAAUAAUGCCUUGAAGCUCACAAUUAUAGGCAAGAAAGAAUUGAAGGGAUUUUGAAAGGUUCCCGAUAUAAGUAGGAAGAACACCACUCAAUGGAUUUCCUGAAACUCCUAUGGCUUUCAAAUUCCUACAAUUCGUCAAAGAAGAAAGAAAGCUCCAGUCAUGAUCAGUAGCAGAUCCUGUGAUCAAAUUAUUGUCAAAGAUUUUGAGCACUUCAAGGUGUUUUAAGCUGCCUAGCGUUUUAGGGAUUGGGCCAGAGAAUAAGUUAUGUGACAAGGAUAGAAUCUUAAGCAUGGAAGCAUUGGAGAUAGAGUUGGGAAUGUUUCCGCUAAGUUUAUUUCCCCACAAUAAAAGAAUCUCAAGCUUUGGAGCAUUGGUGAUGGGUGGUAAAUUACCUGUAAAAUAGCAUCUUUUAGUAUACAUAUUCACAAAAUAUAUAAUACAUUAAAAUAAAAACUGUAAAACUUUAAAUCAAUUAAGAAUAAAAUUUUGGCAUGGAAAAAUGUGAUGAAAUCAAUUAGAAAGUUGAGACAUAAUAAGAAGUUUUGAGUACUAAUUAGUCUUUGUGAUUUGUAUAGACAAAACAUAUAAUACACUAAUAAUUUUUUAAAAUAUUGUAAAACUUGAAAUAAAAUAAAAAUAAAAGUUUGGCAUGAGAAUGUGGCAUCUAAUCAAUCUUAAAAAUGAGACUCACACUGAAUAAUAAUUAGUUAUGAUUUGGGAAACAAAAAUGUUAAAGCCAUUGUUUUUAAUGUAAACUGGUAUGAUUCUUAUCUAUUGGGUUAAUUAUUUAUUUUUAUUAAAUUAUAGUGUAAAAUUUAAAUAUUAUUAUUUGCUCAAAAUUUUUGUAUUUUUCGUAUAUUUGAAAUUCAAUCUUUAUAUUUUUUAUUUUCUGUGAUUUAGUCUCUCUACUUUUUUUAUUAAAAAUUUUAGGUUCAUUUAUUAACACUGUUAAAAAGUUUUUGUAUUAGUAUGACAUUUUGAAAAAUAAAAUAAACUUGAUAUCUAUGUUUUUAAUUAUUCCAAAUAUUGUUUUACUAUUUCAAGAUAAAUUAUUUGUGUCUAGACCAAUAUCUUAAGAACUAUUGUUGCAUGUUUAAUUAUUCUAAAAAAUUAUUGAUUGAGUCUUAGCUUGAUUGGCAUGUGCAUUGUUGCCAAUAUAAGAGAAUGUGGGAUCAAAUAUGCUGAAGUUCAUUAUCCUCCUAUUAUGAAUUGGGGAGUUGGUAAAGUAUUAAAUUUUGAUAUAUUUUAAAAUAUUAAAAAUUUAUUAAAAUAUUUUUUAUAAAAAUCGGUUGUACCACAAUAUACAAUUUUAAUAUCAAAUUUUUAAUAUUUUUAAAAUAUUAGCGAAUAUAUACUUUAUUUCAAGUUACACAAUUUUUACUAGUUUUUAACUUUUUUUAAAAUUUUUAUCGUCUUUUAUAAUUUCUAAUAAUUUUUUACAAUAUUUAACAAUUUCUAACCAUUUUUAAUAAUUUUAUUACUUAUUAAAAAUUAACAAAUUAACUAUUUUUUAUUUUUUUAAAACAAUUAUAUAUUUAUAAUGUAGUUAUUUUUUUAUAAUUUUAUUUGAAAUUUUAAAGUUUUUUUGGUUUGUUUUCUAGAUGAUGAUGCCAUCAUGAUGUCAUCAUAUGCCACAUGGCAAUUUAUGAUUAGUUGAAUAUCUCAAUUUAUUUUUUUAAUGUCCAAUGGACUAAACCAAGAACACUUGAUUAUGUUAGAGACUACACUAGGAAUGUUUGAUAACAUUAGGUACUAAAGUAGGAAAAAAAAAAAAAGGAGCAAUACGAUGUAGGGAGUAAACUGUGCAUUAAGCCAUUAAAAAUAUAUCUAUAAUAUAUAUAAAUGCAUGGAUUUUGAGAAACUUUUGAAAUGAUAAUUAUAUAGUCUUUGUUUUUUUACUAUAUUAUUGAAUUUGUUAUUUUAAAUAUUUUUUUAUUACUUUUAAGAUUUAUCAUAUGUAUGGAUAAGAAUUUUGGUUUUACUAAAAUAUUUGGUUAAAUAAAUUCACUUCAUAAGAAGAUUUAGCAUCCUUGUAAAUAACAAUUUUGAUUCUAUUAAAAAAUUAUUUUAAAAUAUAUAUAAUAAAAUUUUAAAAUUUAUAUUGAAUUACUUUAUACUUAAAUUAUUAUUAGAAACUUUAUCAUACACAUACGUGUAUGAGAACUAUGUAUUUAGAACAUAAAUUUGUGUUUUAAAAUAACUUAUGAUAAAUAAUGAAAUGUAUAAUUUGAAACUAUUUAAUAAAAACACAUGGCUUAUCUACAAUAUUAAAAUAAAAAUAGCUUAAAUUGUAAGCAAAACAUAAUUUAAACAUAUGAAUACAUUAAAUUAAGAAUACUAAAUGAAUACAGUUAUUUAUGAUGGUGUUGUCUUCAAUUCCUAAGUUGGUGUCAAGUUAAUUUGUGACAUCAUAAAUUUAAGGUUUUAUGUAUUGAUGUGGAUUCAAAUAUCACCAUUUUUUUUAAAAUAAAAUUUAAAAUAAAUACAUUUUCCACAUUGGUUUCUUUUCUUCUACAGACAAAGGAUUUCUAAUGAUUUUUUUUUUAAAAAAAAUUACUUAUAUAAAAUAGAUUAGUUUAUGCAAUAAAAAUAAUUUCUUUUUUAAAGUUUAAUAGAAAUUAAAAAACAAAAAAAAAAUCAAUUCAUAUAAAGCUUAUUGUUUAUUAUCAGAUUAAAAUGAUAAAAGUAUACGAUAAACCCAUACUUGACGGAAUGUUACCAGAUAAUUCAUUUUUAUUCUAGUAAAGCCCUUCAAGCUUGAGAAUAUGUUGACACAUAUCAUUAGGCAAACUACCUGAUAGGUUAUUGUUGGAGAGAUCAAUGGCCUUCAGAGAAGAAAUGUUGAAGAUCGAAGUUGGAAUCUGACCUGUAAGGCCUUUAAUUUCUCUAAUAUUAAGCAGUUCCAAACCAAGAAGAUUACCGAUUUCCUCAGGAAUUUGAUCUGCACACAUAGUCGAAAAAUCAAGAUGUGAAACUACCUAUUUUGUUAGCAUAAGUCAAAGAGGUUUUCUUUUCUGUUCUACAUAAUUUGCAGAUGUUAGAUUUUAAUAUUUUUAAGCAUAUUUGUUUUCAUCAAAUUAACUAUUUUGAACUAUUUUGCCUUGAAUGAAAUAAAAUGCUCAUAUUUUUGUUAUCUAUUACUAAUCAAACUCUUUUAUAAAAAAAAAUACUUUAAACUAAAGAAACCAAGAAAAUUCAAUACCUUCUAAGUUAUUCAACUCCAAAUAUAAUUCUUUGAGUCGUGUCAGAUUUCCAAUACUUCUUGGAAUGAUCCCCCUCAAUUUAUUAUCGGAAAAUGCCAAUAUUUUAAGGUUGCUGCAUUUGCCCAUACUUGAUGGAAUGUUACCAGAUAAUUCAUUUUUAUUCAAGUAAAGCCCUUCAAGCUUGGGAAGAUGUUGACACAUAUCAUUAGGCAAACUACCUGAUAGGCUAUUGCUGGAGAGAGCAAUAGUCUUGAGAGAAUAAAUGUUGAAGAUCGAAGUUGGAAUUUGACCUGUAAAGCCUUUAAUUGCUUGAAUACUAAGCAUUUCCAAAUUAAAAAGAUUACCGAUUUCUUCAGGAAUUUGACCUGCUGACAUAGUCGAAACAUCAAGGUGUUAAAUUACCUAUUUUGUUAGUGUAAAUCAAAGAGGAUUUUUAUUUUUCUCGUUAUGAAAUAAUAUGGAUAUGUUAGAUUCUAAUCAUAUUUAAGUAUAUAUUAGUUCUUGAAAGAAAGAGUUCUUAGUAUUUAUAUUGCAAAUAUUUUUUUUAAAAUUUAAAAAAAGGGGGGGGGCAAAUGUGUUUAAACUAAAGAGAUCAAGGAAAAGGCAUACCAUCUAGGUUAUUUAACCCCAAGUAUACUUGUUUAAGUUGUGUCAAAUUCCCAAUGCUUUUUGGAAUGAUCCCACUAAAUUGAUUAAUAGACAAUUCCAAAAUUUGAAGGUUGCAGCAUUUGUCUAUACUUGAUGGAAUAGAACUUGAUAAUUCAUUUCUACUCAAGUAAAGCUCUUUAAGCUUGGGAAGAUGGACACACAGAUCAUCGGGUAAGCCACCAGAAAGACUAUUAUCACGAAAAUGAAUCCUUUUCAAAGAAGAAAUGUUAAAGAUGGAAGAUGGAACCAGGCCAGAUAAUUGAUUGAAUCCCAAGUUCAAGAUCUCUAGAUUGGAUAAGUUGACAAGUGUUUGAGGGAUUGUGCCUGUGAAGUUAUUAUUUCUCAUUUCCAACCUUUGAACUCUGUGCAAGUUCCCAAGCCAUGAUGGAAUUUCCCCAUUAAGACGGUUGUAGCUUAAUCGAAUGAUCCUCAAACGAUGCAAUUGGCCCAAUUCUUUAGGCAGAUGGCCAUAGAAAUUGUUGUUGCUCAGGUCGAGAGAAAAUAGAAAUGAAAGAUUUCCAAGGUGUGGAGGGAUAGUACCCCUAAGAUUCAUGUUUGUAAGAUUCAAAGCUACAACUCUUUCAUGGAUGAUGUCACAAGAAACACCAGCCCACUUACAAACAGAGGUAGAGUUCGUCCAAUUGUUUGCCAACACAUUUUGAGGAUCGACAAUGCGAUCUUUAAACUCAAAGAGUGCAAACUGAUAGGAGUUGAGAUUCCGGACUGUCAUAGCCAAGGAAACAAUGGAACAUUGUAAGAAUAAAAGUGAAAGAAGAUGAAAGCAAGUGUUGUAGUUCAUGAUGGCAAGACGAAAUAAGCCAGGAAAAGGGAAGUUGAAUUGAUGAAGAAAUACCCAGCCAACAUGCUUAAAUAGGCUUCAACCCUUGCACACUUCUCAUACAUAAAGUUCACUGCCAUUACAACAAGAAAACUCGUAUCUCCAUUCAUACCUAUCCAUACUUUAUUUGACUAACUUUUCCCUAACAGGUGUUCAGUAAGGAGACAAAUCACUUUGGAGCUAUUCACCGACUUCUCCAACCUUGGUUUCAAACUCCGUCCAACCUUGGUUUCAAACUCCUAGCCCAUCAAUUCACUUUAAUUGAAACGAUAUACACGAGUCUUUCGGCUUAUAUUUUUAACUUACUAAUUCUCUUUUUAAUUUAUUUUUUGUUACUUGUCAUAAUAUUUUUUGAGAAAUCCAAUAUUCCAGUCUGAAAUUUCUUCAUUGCCACGUCUAUCUCCUCGGUAAGUUCGUGGCUAGGCGGCCCACUUUGGGGGCAGGAUUGUAAUUUUAGUUCUAUCCGACUCAUUUUACUAUUUAGAAAUAUAAAAGUAAUAUUUAUUAAUUUUUAUAUUUUUAUAAAUUUAAAUUUAAUUUUAAUUUUUAAACAAUAAAACGAGUCAUUUUUAUUUGCCUAGGCCAAAUUGAAUCAGGAGUGAAAAUUUUUUUAAUCAUAAUUUACUAUUAUUUUAAUUAAUUAAAUUUUAAUUUACUAUAACUAGUAGUUGCAAAAAAAAUGACAUUCCUUUAGAAAAAUGAGAACUUAUGAAGCAUUCAAUAAGAGUUGUUGGAAUACAUGGUAACGAAACCAUAAUUCGAUAUAAAACUAUAUAAAUAAUGUAAGAUUUGUGAUACCUAAAUUGUUAUGUUUUCUAUAAAUAUAUGGAGAUUUUUUAUUAGGAAAUAAUUUUAUAUAUCAACAUUUGUUAUUUUCUUUUGAUAGAAAUUUAAUUAUGUUAUCUGUAGAAAAAAAUAUUUAUAGAAAUAUCAUUAGUAGAAAAUCAUAAAUUUGUGUGUGGCAAAAAAUUUUCACCACCAAGAAAGGGACAAAUUAAACAACUUGAAAGUCAUUGGUUGUUUAAAAUAUUAGAUAAUAAUUUUAGUGAAGAAUCAUUAAAAUUAUGACAAAAUAACCCUAGAUAUUGUAGUAUUAAAUUAGAAAAUCUCAAUAAUAUUAUUAGAGUAAAACCUAUGAUGUAUCUAAACAAGAUAUAGAAGAAUUUGAUAUACAAAUUAAGGGUAGAAAUCAUACGGAAAUAAUAAAAAACAAGAAAAAGCUAGUAUGGUCAUUAAUUAUAAAAGAUUAAAUCAAAAUAUUAUUUUUUGUAGUUACUUGAAUUAAUCAGGAUAAACAAACAAAAUAUUUUAGUAAAUUUGACUGUAAAUCAGGAUUCUAGUAAAUCAUGCUAACAGAAAAAUCUAAACCUUUAACAGCUUUUAGUGCACCCAAUGGACAUUACCAAUGAAAAGUGAUGUCAUUUCAAUUAUGUGAUGCACCACAAAUCUUCCAAAGACAAAUAGAUUUUAUAUUUAAUAAAUAUAAAAAAAUACUAUGUAGUUUACAUAGAUGAUAUUUUGAUAUUUUCAGAUACACUAGAAUUACAUAAGAAACAUUUAAAUAUUAUUUCUUAAGAAUUCAUAAAAUAUAGAAUCAUAUUAAACCCUAAAAAUAUAGAGUUAGAAAAAACAGAGAGAAUUUUUACAAUAGUGGAAAUAAAAAAUUGUCCUCAAUUUUAUUACAGAAAUUUCUUUGCCGACAAUAAGAAAAGAGCAUAUUCACAUUUUCGUCGCAAUUUCAACUAACACCCAAUCUCUUUCCCACUUUCCUUUUUCGGCCAAUUUCAAACGUAGCUGUUUUUCGAUUUUUCCUCUUGAUUUCAUUAAUAAAAUGAUCAAUCUAUUUGUUUUUUAAAUAUAUGAUUUUAUUAAUAUUUUUUAAUUAUAAUAUAAGAGUUGUUGUUUAUUUAUAGUUUUAUUACAUUAUUUAAUCUCUUUUUUAUAUCAAGUUUUUUAAAUUAUAAUAUAAGAUUUAUUUUAUCAAAUUGUGGCUUAUCAAAUGUUCAUCUAUUUUAAUAAUAACUUGAGUUCGAAUCAUUAUCAUACCAGAAAGAGUUCCCUUUAUUCUUUAUCGUAAAUUUUAUAAGAAAUUAUAUUUUAUUACAAUACUAUAUGUGUUAGAAUAAUAUUUUAUUGUGGAUGCCCAUAAUUCUCGAAGUUGUAACCUCGAAUGUAGUAACCUCAAUGAAAUUAUGAGGCUUUUAUAUUGUAAUCAAGCCUCUAUCUAUUCUUUGUAUUCUUUGUAGAAAAUAUGAAGUUGAUUUUACUUUAUUAAAAAAUUUAAAAUAAAUUAUCUUGUUUUUUUUAAAUGAGUUAACCAAAUUAGCAUAUUUAUUUUGAUCUAAAAUUAUCCAAAAUAAUAUAAAAUAUUAUAUUAAUAAAAUUAAAACUAUGAAAUAAUUUUUUUUAAAGAUUAUUAUUUACUUUUAUCAAACAAUACAAUUAUAUUCAGUACUUAUAUUUACUAGUUUACCAAACAGUUUUCCAAUAUGAAUUCAACACUUAUCAAAUUCAGUAUUAAAAAUUCAGUGCUUAAUUUUUUAGCACUUAACUUUUCAAUUCAUCAAGCACGUCUAAUUCAAUUUAUACAAUUCCCUAUUUGUAUCUCUAUGAAUUUAUAAAAUCCUUCUCGCAUUUAGUUGUUGGGAUCUUUAUAUGAAGAUAGAUGCUUUUAUUUUUUAUUGGUUCACUUUUAAUUGUAUUGAUUUAUUUAAUUUUAAUUUUGAUUAAUAUAUAUGAUUAUUGUGGAAUGGGAGUAAAAGUAUUUACUUCUCAUAAACUUUGAAAUAUUCACCCUGUCUACAUAUUAAUUAUUGUAAAAUUUGAAUUGAAAUUAUGCCAUAAAAGGUGGAGGUUAGAAAACCUCUUAUUGAGACCUUAUAAUAUUUUGUAAUUUUUUGUGUUAUGGUAUAUAAAAAAAUAUCUAACCAUAGUGAUUGAUUAGUAAUAUAAAUUUGUUAUUUGUUAUGUUUAAUAUAUAUUUUAUUUAUACUUAUUCAUUUUAUUUUUAUAUGAGUAAAUGAAGUGUUUGAAGAUUCGAAAUUUUUAUCAUCCAUGUUGAAAAUAACUGCAAAAGUGUAUAUUAUUUAAAAUAAAUUACGCAUUCAUUAAUGUUAUGUGAUAAAAUCAUUACAUUUUCUGAAGAACUAAUAUUGCAUCAAACUGUAAAAAGCUCUUGAAGAGCUAAUAUUUAUCUCCCUGUGAUGCAAAAUCUUGUAAAACAUGAUAUUAUUUUUCAAAUCAAGAAGAUUUAUGUUGAAGGAAAUAUUUAUGUGUUUUACAUUAAAACCAUGGAUAGAAAUGACAUGAGACACUCAUGUAUUUGCAUUAUAAAUAUUCCUUGAAGGAAUACACUUCACUUGUAUGAUUGACAUAUGAGAUAAUAGCAAGAAGUUUAUAGUGUUGGUAUGGCCGGCUAGACCAUCUCAAGUCAAUAAUGAUGCAAAAUAAUUUGAAGAGAAUUUAUAUGAUUUUAUUGAAGAAUGAGAAGUUAUUUUCAUUUUGAUAAUUGUCAUCAACAAUAGUUCUUUGGAAAAAAAAAUAUUGAACUAACAUCAACUAAAGUUAGAGGUUGGUUCAUGGUUGCAUUUUUUGAUGAUAUCCAAAUAAUAUAUGAGCUCAUGUAUCACAUGUAUGCAACCCAAAGUUUACAGUAUUAUUUCUUGAAAUAAUUUGAUUCUACACAAUCUCUAUAGCAUGCAAUUUGUGCUAACAACACUGGUGCAUUAUAUCCUAAGCUUGAUUUUCGUAGUUUUAGCUGAGAUAAUAUUAAGUUGUCUAUGCCUAUAUAUAUUAUACUUAAUGGUUAGCAAAAUUAUGCCUCCAUUUAAUUGCUUAACCAUUAAUAUAAGAAUAGCUUUAAAAUAAGCAUGUAAUUUUAUUUGCAUCGAGCCAACAUGUAAGAAAUAUUUGUCCCAUGAGAAUUAGCUUUUAUUUAUAAGCCAAUAGGUUUCAUUUAUGACUAUUUGGAUGUAAAAUAUCUAUUUUAUAUUCCACCAUAAUGCACUAAGAUGGACCAUCAAGUAUGAAGUUGAGAAAAAUUAGAAUUUUUAUUUGAUGGUAAAAGUUGCAAAGAGAUAUAUAUUUAUAAUUUUGAAAAAAAUAGUCAUGUUGCAAAUUUUCUCAGUAUUAGAGGGAGACAAGUUGGACAAAUACGUAUAAUUAUGUCAUCACUUUUUGUGACCCCUCACUAAUCUUAUGUGCACAAAGUUUGAAGGAAAAAAAUAAUUUGCUAGACAUGUUUAGUGAUGACAUUUAGAGAUUGUAUAUAUUGGAUGAUACAUAUACCAGCUAAAAUGUUCCAAAUAAUUAUGCGUCCUAGAAGGACAAAGUGAUAAAAAUAAUUUUUGGGCACGCUAGAAGGAUGAAAAACUAGUUGGUUCUAUAAAUAAAAAAAUUCUUGACAGAAAAGAGUAAGAAAUGAAUAUGGCCACACGUUAAAGGAGACGAGUACUCAUGAAGAGACCCAAGGUAUAACUUUUAAUAAAACCCCAAAAGAGGUUCAAUACAUGAAAUUAUGAAUAUAAUAAGUGUAAUAACCAAAUUUUUCCCGGGCCCAAUGCCAAACAAAUAAAACCCAAACCAAAUAAAUAAAAUAAGAGUCCAAAUUAUAGUCCAUUAGGGCCCAAUUCAGACCAGCCCACUAUUCAAUCAGACCAGCCGAACAACAAAAAAAAAACCUAGUAGCCCACAGCCCAACUAAGCCUAAAAAAUUUUCAGCAAAAGAAAAAACCCUAGCUGCCAUGCUAGCCGCCGCUCCUGCCCUAGCCUCUGCCCACUAUCGUACGCCACCUCUGCCAUCACCAUUAGCCUCUGACACCUGCAAAACAGCAAACAACAUGCAACAACAGAGAAGAAGACGACAAGCAAAAAACAAAUCACUAAAGGACAAAAAUAAUGAUAACAAAUAGCCUUAGUUUGGCUAUAAAAGCACAAAAAUGAAAACUUUGUACUUCUUUGGCAAGAUUAAUACAAAAAAGAAAAGAUUUGAACUUUUUAGGGUGAUAUUUCAUUUUUUUUUACGCUUUAGAUCUAUUUUUUUAUUUCAUCUUCAUCUACGAAAAUAAUAGAAAAAAGACUUUGAUUUCAAGGUGAUAUUUUGUUGUUUUUUAGAUCUAGUGUUUUUUUAUUUAUUUUUAUCUACAAAAAUAAAAAAAAAGGAAAAGAGAAACGUACCUAAUUCACCCCAUGGCUCCGUCGACGGAAGUCCCAUCGCCAUCGUCGGAAUCGGGCUUAAAAGGGGAAGGUUUUUAUUUUUCUUUACUUUUUUUUUGGAUUUUUCGUCUCAAGAAAUGGACUAAGGGAGGGGAAAUGGCCAAAAUGGUCUUUUUCCGAUGAACUCUGGCAACCACAUGUGGCAGUUAACAGUGCCGGUGCUCGGUGGCUGCGGUGGAGCCAUGGUGGUGUCCCAUGGCCGGAUCUAGAGAGGAAGCCUUUGAGAGGGAGAGAGUUUCUAACAUUUUUUUUAUUUUCUAAGGCAGAAAUGAAUUUUUGAAAAAAAAAAGUUGGGUUUUAUAAGUGCGUGAAAUGGCGCCAUUUUGCGCAAGUGCACAUCGACGUCGAAACGACAUCGUUUACCCCUUUACCCGCUCGCCCGAGUCUGGCUCGAUGAAGGUCCGCAUAUUUUCAUGCCUGAUGGGUUAUUUCCCUGCCCGAUCCUUCCGCUUUUGGGCUUCUUCUCAAUCUGGUCCUGAUCCUACUUUUUCCCGCCUUUUAAAUUGUACCAUUUAAUUUCAUUUCAUUUUCAACUCGGUCCCUCGGCUGACCAAAGGAAAUGAUGCGCAUAAAGUUAAGGGAUAUUUUCCCUUUCAAUCCCCAAUAUUUUUAGAGCGAUGCAUUUUAAUCCCUAACCUUUCAUUCCAAUCUUUUACACAUAUUAUUUCAUUUUAUUCGUUUAUUUAUUGACUUAUCAUUUUUACCCUCUUUUUAUACUUAAAAAUAUAUAUUAUUUACACUAUUACUUGCAUUUUUUUACUAUUAAAUUAUUAUUUUUAAUGUAUUAUAUUCCCAUUAUUUUACCAUUUUAUUUAUUUUGAUACUUUCAUGUCACAUUUAUUUAUUUUAAUAUUGCCAUUAUUUAUUUUAUUUUAUUCUUAUGUUUUUUAGUAUUUUAUUAUUUCUUUUAUUGUUCACGGUUUUUUUUUCAUGUUAUACAUUUUUAUCUUUCUAAUCAUGCAUUUUUCCUUUUUUUAUUUUGUUUUAGGUUACGUUAUUUAUUAUUAUUAUUAUGAUAAUAUUAUUAUAAUUAUAUUACCAUUAUUAUAGAAUUCCUUUAUUUGUAUAUUCCAUUAUAACUAUUAUUAUUAUUAGUAGUCUUUAACUCACUUCUAUUUUUAUUAUUAUUUUUUAGAAUAGUAGUCAACAUGCUUAUCCUUAUUGUUAUUUGGUGUUGUUCUUAUGAUUUUAUCAUCAUUAUUGUUGUAUUUCAUUUUUUGUUCACUCUUUAAAUAUUUUGUUCAUAUAGUUAUUUUACACUAUUGCAAUAUUGUUGCAUUACGCAUUAUGUUUCUUAUAUAAUAAUUAUUUUGCUUUCACGCGAUGUUCGAAUCAAUUAAACAUGAAUCUUCUCAAUUAUUACAUUAAUUGUUACUUAAGUUCAAAAAGAAAAUUUUCAAAAUAAGGCAAUAUUUUGCGUUUUGGAAAUUCGAGAAAUCAUACCCUAACUUACGAGGUUUCGAUUUUCUCGUUAAACUUAAAUAGCAAAAUAUUCUUUUAAAUUUCAAAAUGCAUGCAAUUUCAAUAAAAAUCAAAGGCAAGCUUAUUCUCUAAGGUUCCAAAUAUCGCGUCCUAACUUACGGGAUGUGACAUUUCGUUACCUCGAGACGAGUAGGUCUUCAACACUCUUUUCGAUUUAUUCGAGCGUUUUUAAUAACAUUAAUAAAAAGGGAUCGUAUUUUAAAUUUCUAUUCAAGUUUUCAACCUUGGACAUUAAGACAUUACUUAAUCAACUAGGUACCACCUUUGGGUGUAUUGAGGGUGUGUUUUCUAGAUUUUGUAGACCAAAUAUUAUCGUUUUUAGUAAAUUUAAAUUUUUAUUAAAAUGAUUAAAUUACAAGUGUUGACACCAUUUUUUCGAUGAAAAACGGGGUCGACUUGGGUUUUAAAAAAAAUGAAAAACGGGAGUCGCCACCAAUCCUUUUUGAUAAGGUGUGAUUGGGUCACCUUGAAAAAUGGUUGUUUUUAAUAAAUGAUUUGAUUUUAUUAAAACAACGGUUUUGGUCCAUGAAAUUUAGAAAACGGGUUCGGGAGUCGAUUACGUACGAGGAAGGAUUAGCACCCUCGUAACGCCCAAAAAUUGGUACCUAGUUGGUUAGCUAAUGUCUUGAUGUCGAAAAUUGAGAACUUGGAAAAAAUUAAAAAUACGAUCCUUGUAUUAAAAUGAAAAUUUUAGGAAAAGGGGGGGGCAUACUUCACGCUAAUCGAGAAAGAGAAUCAUAUCCAGUAAGUUAGGACACAAUGUCUCGAAUUCCCGAUACGCGAAUGAAUGCCAAAAUUUUACUUAUUUAAAAGACAUUUUAGCCGUCUCGAAUUUAAAAAUGAAAUCACGACCAGUAAGUUAGGACGUGAUUUUUUAAAACUUGAGUUUGAAAAGAUUCGUGCAUCUAGAUUUAUCGUGAAAAUCAAUACCCAGUAAGUUAGGGUACGAUUUUCUUGAAUUUAAACACGAAAUGCCAUUUUUUAAAACAAAUUUUGUUAUAUCGAGUGAAAUAAAAACACAAAGUCGUAGUAAAAAAAUGUGUAAGCAAAUUACAUUGUUAUGCAUGGCAAAAUCAUAAUGAAUACAAAAGUAUAAAAAUGAUACGAGCAAUAAAAACAAUAUAAAAUAAAUAAAAGUCAAACCUACAAUAAUAUUAAAUAACAAUGUAUAUAAACAAAUAAAAUUAAAACAUUCAUUCAAAAUAAUAAUGAAAAUGAAAUAAAUAAAUAGUAAAUACAAAAUAAAACAAUAGUAAUGAAUAAAAAUAAUAUAAUAUAUAUAUGUAUGUUAGAAUUAUAAAGUAUAAAAAUAUACGUAUGUGUAUAUAAGAAUAUGUAAGCAUGUAUAUAUACAUAGAUUAUAAAAUAUAGAUAUUUAUAUAAAAAUGAGUAUUUGUAUUAAAUAAGUUGAAAAAAUAUAUAUAUAUAUACCUACAUAUAUAUAAAAAAUUAUAUAAUAAUAACAAUAUAAUAAAACACAUAUAUCUAAAAUUUACAUAAGUAAAUAUAAAUAAAAACAUACUAAUAACAAUAAUAUUAAUAGUAAAAUGAUAAUACAUAAAAAUGAUGAAGAAAAUAAUAAAAAUGCUUAAAAGGGGACUAAAUCGAAGUAAGAACCAAAAAAAAAGGGGCAAAAUCGAAAUAAAGACAAGAGGGACUAAAUUGUAACGCGCGCUGAAAGAGGGGGACCAACAAGGUAAACAAACCAAAGCCUCAAAACGUUGCUCUGUAAAGGACUGAAAUGAGACAAAAAUAAAAUUUUGUGGCCAAAUUGCAAAUAUGCGAAAAACUUCCAUGAAAUCGCUACAAAAUCAAAGGGACUAAUUGCGCAAAUAGACCCUUAAACAAAAACGCGCGGAUCCUUGGGUGCGGGUCGGGUCGACGUGCGGAUCCCCUCACCAAAACGGCGUCGUUUUGUGUUUAAUAUAAAUAUAAAAAAAAGGGCUAAAAAAAACAGUUUCAUCAUUUUUGUUGAAAAACAAAGAGAAACCUCUCUCUUUUUUCCCUUUCUCAGGCUCAGAUUCCGGAGAUGGCCCGGCCUAGGCUUCUGGCGAAUCUCCGCCGUAGAGCCACCGUGUGUGGCGGCCGGAGGUCCAAAAUCGGACCUUUUCGGUCCCUUUUUGAAACUGAGAAUCCCUAGGGUACGGAUCUGGGACCAAACCCCCGAAAAAAAGAAUCGGAGACCUGAAGAACGAGGGGAAACCGCUCGUCUUCUCUCCUCCGGCGCGGCGCAGGUAAGGUUUCUUUUUCCUUUAUUUAUAUUACGUAAAAAAAACAUACAAAAAGAAAAAAAAAGAAAAUAGAGUUUAAAAAAAAUCUAAAAUAGAAAUGAGAGAAAAUCACCUCUCAAGUUUUCUUGUUUUUUAUUUCUUUUUGCUAAUAUCUGUUUCUUCUUUUUACAAAAGUUGAUGGAAGAAGAAAAAAUUACAUUUUGUUGGCUUUUUAUAGCCGACUUCUACUACUGCCUGUGUUAUUUGCUCUCUGUUUCUUUGUUUUGUUUCUUCUUUGCAGGUGACGGCGCAAGUGGUGGUGGUGACGUGACCGUGGCAGUGGCGGCGUGACGUUGGCGGCGGCGGCAGGCCAAAGGUCAAUAGGUGUGGAGCCUAGGGUUUUAGUUUUUGAAACCCUAGGCAGAUUUUUUUAGGGGAAUUGGGCCUUAGCUAUUGGGUUGUUCGGGUUUGGGCCUCGGGUUAGGCUAGUUGGGCUUUGAGGUUGGGUUGUUUUGUAAUGUGCUUUGGUGUUUGGGCUGGUAGCUGGUGGGUAAGGUUUAUUGUUUUGGGUUCUUGGGCCUGGUUCUGUUUGGUUAGGGUAAUGGGCCAUUUGGGUCUGGGCAUAAAAUUGGGCUAUACAACAAGGUGACCCGAUUACACCUCAUCAAAAAGGAUUGGUGGCGACUCCCAUUUUCAUUUUCAUUUCUUUUUAAAUCAAAGUCAACCCGUUUUUAAAAAAAAUGGUUUCGACAAUAAGAUAUAUUGAUUAGUUAUGUCAUAACUAAAGAUGAUGGAGUUGACAAAAGGAAAUUGUAGUUAACAACGAAUAAUCUACGUAGAACAUUUCAAUAUUAUGGAAAAAUGAGUAUUUACCAACCUUCUUUUAGUCAAAUUAUGCAAGCCUAAAAUUUUUAGCUUAAUUUGAGUUUGUUGACUAUGUCUAAUUCAAGUUUUAUUAUUAAGGACUAAAUUGUAACUUAAAAAAAUUAGAAUACCAAUUUAAAGAGACAAAAAUUCAAAACCCCAAAACCCACAUGGGCAUGUGGGUAAGUGACACAGGCGUGUGGAGACUGGAGCUAUCACACACGGGCGAGUGGGACAGAAAAAUAUGAAAUAAAUUAAUCCACUUAAAUUUCAAACAACCAUGCUAUACUACCAAACCAAAUAAUGCUAGAAGCUUUGAAUAGGGGUGAAUCGAAAAAAAAAAUAAAAGAAUUAGAAUUAAAUUAUAAAAUUUUCAGAAGUUAUCAUGUAUUAAUUUAUUAUUUUUUAAAGGGUCUUAAUAGAAUUUUUUUUUUCCAUUUUGGUUUGGCCAAUACCCCUGUCUACCUCUUUCAAUUUGCUUCAACCCUAAACCUAAUAUUCAAUUUGUUGUGGAAGUUUGACGCAUAAAAAUUUCUUUUUUAGAGGUUUAAAUUAUAAAUUUUUGAAAGUUUAAAAUAAAUUUUCAUUUUUAUUAACAAAAUAUAAAAGAAAAAAAACAUGUGUAGACAAACCAAGAAACCUUUGGGAUCAUACGGGUGAUUUUGAUGAUGUUAAUGGUUAUUUUGAUGGAGAGGGUGAAAAAGAAACAAAUGAUUCAUAUAUAUAAUAUAAUUAUGAAAUUCAAGCCAUAUAUUGUAUGUUUCAUCCAUAAAAAUUUCAUGGGAGGUCCGAAGGUAAUUAAAUGACUUGUAGGCUUGCUGAAUUUCUUUGAAAGGCCCAAUGGCAAUUUAACAUUCACAAAAUAAUCUCUAAAUACUGUAAAGACAAAAUCAAAUCCACAGCAGCAUUAGAGUUGAUUAAGCUAAGCAUUGGCAAAUAUUACUUUGAUUUUGCAUGCAAUAUUAGCAAAACCCCCUCUUACAUUAGAUAAACAACAUACUCCAUGAAACAUUGAUAGCCCAAAUACAAAUUUCAUCGACAAAAAAGUCUCUUUGUUUUGUAGAACAUGAUAGUAAAAAUGUGGAGUUUCGUUCUUCUUAUUGGCCUCCUUUAGUUUUCCUUGAUCAACAACCACUAGCCAAAAACACAAUUAGAUUAGAUUAUGAAUGAUACGUUCAACUAUGACAUUAUUAAAUAUAAAACACUCUAAAUAACUCUAAAUAAAUGGAAAGCAACAAAUUACCUAACGAGGCAAGCUAGCUCAAUUAAGACCAUUGUGUUAUACUUGUCUCUGAAUUGAAAAAUUUAGAAGGAAAUAAAGAGAAAGACUUAGAAAAUAUUUGAAAACAGAUAAAACUUAUAUGUCAUUUAAAAUAAAAAUUUUGUAUUUAAGCCGUUUAAAAUUUUUAAGAUUUUUGAAAUUUUAAAACGAUAAAGGUAAAAUUGUACUUUGGCACACCAAAAAUGAUAAAACUUUGAUUUAAUCCUUUAGAAAUUAUAAAAAUAUAGGCUAUUAAAAUGGUGAAAUUACCUUUUUACUAUAGUAAAAAUUACAAUUUAAUUUCACUUUAAGAUUUUCUGACUUCGCCCCUAAUAAAAUCUUUGGCAAAAGAUUAAAAUAAAAUUAUACCGUAAAUGGAAAAAGAAACAAAGAAAAUCCAAUCUAACAAAGAAAAUAACUUAUUUCCAAAAGCUACCAUAAACCGUAAUUCAUGGGAAGAGAGCCUAGUACGUGAGAGCAAAAGUAAAAACAAAUAGUUUAUAUGAUUAAAAUUCCAGAAUAGGUUAAAAAUGUUGAAUUAAAGAUAAAAUUAAGCGUGAAUUAAUAACCACAAGUGUACUCUUUACUCACCAUCUCUGUUAAAAAUGUUGGAUGUUGUUUAGCAACCUUUGUUUGAUUUUCUUCAGCUCAACCACAACAUCUUUCAUUUCUUUUCUUUCUUCUGGUAACUCAGCUGAACAAUUCAAAGCCAACUCCAUGAUAGAUGAAAUACAAUUUGCUUUAACAACAAUGUUCUCAUCCUCUCUUCUUAGUAAAUCAACAUCUGCAAUUUCUAUCGCUCCUUUAGGCAAUGAACUUUCCAUCCAAUGCCUUAUAGUCUCUUCUUCAACAAAAACAUUAUCAGUUGGCUUUCUCUUUGUGAAAGUUUCUAUAAGGACGAUCUCAUAACUAUAAACGUCAGAUUUUAUAGAAACAAGUCCUGCAGAUCCAAAUUCUGCAUUUCAAGUAUAAUUAGAACAUCAUCAGUCCUCAAUUAUUUGAUAAAUCUAUGUAUAUCCACAUACACGAGAAACAAAAAUAUAAAACGCAAAUUAGGAAAAUAAUCGUACAAAGAUAAAAAAAGAAUUCACCUGGUGCCAUAUACCCGAUUGUUGCAAGAGUCAUGGUUUGCUUCAUUACUUCACCUUCUCCCAACAAUUUGGCAACGCCAAAAUCUCCAACAUGUGCAACCAUGUCUUCAUCUAGUAAAAUAUUGCUUGGUUUUAUGUCACAAUGAAUUAUAGGGGUUGGAUGUCCAUUGUGGAGGUGUUCUAUAGCCACCGCAACAUCUAUCAUUAUGUCGACCCUUUGUAUGAUAUCAAGGAAACAAUUUUUAGAAUGUAACCAUUUCUCAAGGUUUCCAUUAGACAUGUAAUCAAGCACCAAGGCUUUGAAGUCAACACUUGAGCAGCAAGUAAUGACCUUCACAAUAUUACGAUGAACUAUAUUAAUCAUAGCAUCACAUUCAAUGUCAAAACUCCUAAAUGCUCCCUCUGUUUGCAAAUUGAAAACUUUUAUUGCAACUUCCAUUCCAUCUGAAAGCCUCCCUUUAUAUACAUAUCCAAAACUCCCUGAACCAAGCAUAUUGCUUUCCUCAAAUCCAUUAGUUGCUCGUGAAAGUUCAGCAUAUGAAAUUCUUCUCGGUGUCUUCAAAGACAACAAAUCAUCUUUAAUUGGUAGAGCUGUAUUAGCUAAUGUUUCAAAAUUUAAUGUUGGUUCAUUAGAACCGUAUAAACCGAGACCCAAAAACUCCUUCUUUGGCAUCUUCUAUACAUAAUAGUUAAGACUAUUAGUACUACGACAAUACCAAUUGUUGGUAAACCAUACCUAAAAGCAUGCAAUAUAAUCGUUUGGGAGUUUUUGUGGAUGUCGUUUUUACAAGGUGGGACUAGCAAUCUAGGUGGACCACAAAGUGCAUAAUUCUUCAUGAAUGAUGUGCUAGAAAAGUUUGAAAAACAUCCUUCACUGGGAAUUUCCCCUUCAAGUCUAUUGAAAGACACAUUAAAAUACUUUAGAUAUAAAAGCUUUUCCAAAGAUUUGGGAAUGACUCCAGAGAGAUUGUUAUUGCAUAAAUCCAAGAAUUCCAAACUAAUCAACCCAUCAAAUGAUUCAGGGAUAUGACCAUGUAGUAUAUUAUUUGAUAAAUCUAAUGAAACCAAAGUUAUAAGACCCCCAAAUGUGGAUAAGAUAUCGCCCGUGAGAAGAUUCCUUGAUAAAUUUAGUUUCAGUAGACUCUUCAAAUUUCCAACAUCAAUAGCAUGUGAAUUGUGAAGAUGGUUUGAUGAUAAGUCUAUUUCUAAGAUAUCUUUAAGAUUCCACAAAGUUGAGGGUAUUGUAGAACUCAAUUUGUUGGAAUCUAAGUAAAGAUAUCCCAAAGAAGUAAUAUUACCCAAACAAGAGGGUAUGGAUCCAUGCAGCUUAUUCAACCCUAAAUACAUCUUGUAUAGUCUCUCCAAAUCACAAAGGCUUUCUGAGAUGGGCCCUCCUAAUUUAUUAGAGGAAAGAUAUAGACCUUGGAGAUUUCUCAUUCCUCCUAUUGAUGCUGGAAUCAAUCCACUUAAUUUAUUAUAGUCAAGUUGUAAAAGCAAUAGGUUGGUUAAGUUACCUAUUUCCAUAGGAAUAAUGCCUUGAAGCUCACACUCAUCGGCAUAAAAGUAUUGAAGGGAUUUUGAAAGGUUCCCAAUAUAAGUAGGAAGAACGCCACUCAAUGGAUUUCCUGAAACAUCUAUUGUGCUCAAAUUCCUACAAUUCGUCAAAGAAGAAAUAAAGCUCCACUCAUGAUCAGUAGAAGAUCCUGUGAUCAAAUUAUUGUCAAAGAUUUUGAGCACUUCAAGGUGUCUUAAGUUGCCAAGCGUUUUAGGGAUUGGGCCAGAGAAUAAGUUAUGCGCCAAGUCUAGUUCCUUAAGCAUGGAAGCAUUGAAGAUAGAGUUGGGAAUGUUUCCGCUAAGUUUAUUUCUCCACAAUAAAAGAAUCUCAAGCUUUGGAGCAUUGGUGAUUGGUGGUAAAUCACCUGUGAAAUAGCAUCUUUUAGUAUACACAUUCAUUGAAUACCAAAUUCACAAAAUAUAUAAUACAUUAAAAUAAAAACUGUAAAACUUUAAAUCAAUUAAGAAUAAAAUUUUGGCAUGGAAAAAUGUGAUGAAAUCAAUUAGAAAGUUGAGACAUAAUAAGAAGUUUUGAGUAGUAAUUACUCAUGAUUUC